UACGAUCGAUGCACUAAACGUAAGCAACUAUUGUGCGCACGCAAAUUUAAAAACUCUACCGGCAAGCCGGCAUCGGUCAAGCCGUCGGGUAGAAGGGCGAGGUGGCGAGGGCACAUGUGCCCGUCGGCCCGACAACGUCCUUGGCGAGGUAGAUGUAUCCCUGGUCGCCCCAAUCGUUGCUCCACGAGUUCUUGGCUAUCCAAAACUUCUCACCGAACUCCUCGCAGUAGCCGACAAUGGUGACGGCGUGGUUGACCCUCGCGGCGUCGGAGGAGCAGGGGCCCCGGAAGAUGCCGCCGGAGUAGAACUGGAACUCCCACGUGCUGGCGUCGAUGUACACCGUCACGGGCUGCCGCGCCACUGCCAGCGCCAGCUGCCGCUCGUUGUUGGGCGGCACGGCCUUGAAUCCCUUGACGGACGCCUGGUGGUCGAACAACAGCUUGUCCACGUCGCAGGUGCCCUUGAAGCCGCUGUACGGGUACCUCUCCUCUGACGUGAUGCCGCCGCGGGCAGCCACGAGGCCCAGGGCAGUGUCUGUGCGGCCGCCGCUGCAGCCACUGCUACCGGUGUCGCAGUCCACAAGCUGCUGCUCCGACAGAGACACCAGUUCGCCGGUCCUGAUCUUGUUCAUGCCCUCGAUGGCCGCCACGGCCGCGAAUGCCCAGCAUGACACUGCCAUAUACAUGUUCGUUAGUCGUUACUCUACGAGAACUGACCAAAAUAUGUAAAGUUAUAAACCUGAGCAGGAGUUUGCUAGCUUGACUUACAGCAAGAACCCUGAAACUUGACGCCGGUGACGGCGCCGCUCGAGCGCCAGUCAACGCAGCACGGUUUCCAUGAGUCGUAGGGGAGCGGGGUUGGAGGCUCUGGGGUGAAGACGGAGUUGUUGAACCCGGUGAACUGCUCGGCGACCUCGCUGGGGUUGAGAUCGCCGAAUCUGUUCAUGCCGACCCUGACCGUCGUGACGGUCUGGGGGCCGAACGAGCCGACGCCGCCGUUGACCGUUGUCUGGCUGGCGAAAGCGCCGAUGGAGUUGGUGUUCGUCUUGAAGAUUCCGAACCGCUUCUCCUGCUCCUCGUGGCUCGGGUAGCGCUUCGAGUACUUGGUUUGCCACCUCGUCCACCUGGACCUCACCUCGGAUUCCGGCAGCUCCCAUGAUGGCCGCUGCGGCGGGUCUGCCGCGGUCAGCGAUGCCUGCAGCAGGCAGGCGAUGCCCAAGAGUAGGACUAGGCAAGGCAUUGAAGAAGCCAUUUUGAUUGAUUAACUUAGGCUGUGUGGAAAUGCAUGCACCGGGUUAAUGUUUAUAUAGGCGCUUUGGUGAUGCGUGGGUUAGCACGUCGCUGUGGCUGCAGGCUGAGUCAUUAGGUGUGGCCAGCGGAGCUAAUCCUUGAAGACGACUAUGGGUCAUGGAGGUGUGUCAGAUGAGUACCCAGUAGGAUGGUUCAAUUAGCUAGUGAAGGGAAAUGCCUUACAUCUGUAAUCUGAUCCCACGUUUUGUUAGGACUCGUUUCUACUCCCUCCGUUCCUAAAUAUAAGUCUUUAAAGAUGUUUCAUUAGUGAACUACAUACGGAUGUAUAUAAACAUACUUUAGAGUGUAGAUUCAUUCAUUUUACUCCGUAUGUAGACUUCUAAUGAAAUAUCUUAAAAGACUUAUAUUUAGGAACGGAGNNNNNNNNNNNNNNNNNNNNNNNNNNNNNNNNNNNNNNNNNNNNNNNNNNNNNNNNNNNNNNNNNNNNNNNNNNNNNNNNNNNNNNNNNNNNNNNNNNNNNNNNNNNNNNNNNNNNNNNNNNNNNNNNNNNNNNNNNNNNNNNNNNNNNNNNNNNNNNNNNNNNNNNNNNNNNNNNNNNNNNNNNNNNNNNNNNNNNNNNNNNNNNNNNNNNNNNNNNNNNNNNNNNNNNNNNNNNCUUAUAUUUAGGAACGGAGUGAGUACUGAACAAGCGAAACGUUUUCGUUUAUAAAAACAAUAAUUCAUUACACUAAGUUUGUUACGCAAACAUAUGCAAACAUAUAGGGGGCUGCUACACAUCCACCUGCGAAUGUUUAGUAAACAUCCGCCACCUCAACGGCCGUUGGAUGUAUCGGUGCAGCCGUCCGAUCUACGUCCCCGUACCCAAUAGUUCCUGAAACACAUGUCGAGUUGCAGAAACAAUAGUCGCGUUGCGAAAACAGUGAUCGUGCUUCAAAAAAAAUAAAAUCCUGAAACAACGAUCGCGUUGCAGAAAAUAAUUUAUGUAACUCGUGAAACAAUGGCUGAGUUGCAGAAACCACGACCCUAUUGCAUAAAUGUUGUAGGCCAGUUGCGGAGCUGCCCGACGGCGGAGGGCGACGGCCAGGCCAGCGGCAGAGGGCCGUGGGGCAGGCCGACGGGGCGGGGCCGUGGCGCGGGGCGGGGCGGCNNNNNNNNNNNNNNNNNNNNNNNNNNNNNNNNNNNNNNNNNNNNNNNNNNNNNNNNNNNNNNNNNNNNNNNNNNNNNNNNNNNNNNNNNNNNNNNNNNNNAUAAUAACCAUUUUAUUAUCGCCUCUAGGGCAUAUUUCCAACAGCGCGUGGCAAAGUUGUGUCUCAAAAACCCUAAAACCUCUAGUACAUAUAGGAGGAGGGGAGGGGCUAGCCUCGGGGCUCAAGGGAGCCCCUAGGCUGCCGGCCGAGAGAGGAGGAGGAGACCCCAACUCCAAUUCGGUUUGGGAAGGAGGAGCCCCCUCCUUCCUUCACACCUCCCUCUCCUUUUUUUUCUUUUCUCUUUGGUUUUUUUCCUUAGCCGACAUAGCCCACUUGGCCUGGCCUCACCAGCCCACUAAAGGCUGGUGCGCCACCCUUGGGCUAUUAGGCUCACUCCCGGGUGGGUGGGCCUCUCCCGGUAAAAACUCGGAACCCAUUCGUCACUUGUGUUACACUGCCGGUAAUGUCUGAAAUCCUUCCGAGACCAAAUGAAACAAUCCUAUAUAUCAAUCUUCGUUUCCGGACCAUUCCGUAAACCCUCAUGACGUCCGUGAUCUCAUCCGGGACUCCGAACAACCUUCGGUUACCAACACCUAUAACUCAACUAUACCGAAACGUCACCGAACCUUAAGUGUGCAGACCCUGCGGGUUCGAGAACUAUGCAGACAUGACCUGAGACACUCCCCGGUCAAUAUCCAACAGCGGGACCUGGAUGUCCAUAUUGGAUCCUACAUAUUCUACGAAGAUCUUAUCGGUUGAACCUCUGUGCCAAGGAUUCAUAUAAUCCCGUAUACCAUUCCCUUUGUCCUUCGGUAUGUUACUUGCCCGAGAUUUGAUCGUCGGUAUCUCUAUACCUAUUUCAAUCUCGUUACCGGCAAGUCUCUUUACUCAUUCCGUAAUAAAAGAUCUCGUGACUAACACAUUAGCCACAUUGCUUGCAAGGCUUAUAUGUGAUGUUGUAUUACCGAGUGGGCCCCGAGAUACCUCUCUGUCACACGGUGUGACAAAUCCCAGUAUUAAUCCAUGCUAACUCAACGGACACCUUCGGAGAUACCUGUAGAGCACCUUUAUAGUCACCCAGUAAAGUUGCCCUUUGGAGAUACCUGUAGAGCACCUUUACAUGAUCUCAUGGUCAUAGGAAUGAAUACUUGACACUCAGAAAACAAUAGCAACAAAAUGACACGAUCACAUGCUACGUUCAUAGUUUGGGUCUUGUCCAUCACAUGAUUUUCCUAAUGACGUGAUCGAGUCAUCAAGUGACGACACUUGCCUAUGGUCAGAAAACCUUAACCAUCCUUGAUCAACUGGCUAGUCAACUAGAGGCUUACUAGGGACAUUGUUUUGUCUAUAUAUCCACACAUGUAUCUAUGCUUUCAUUCAAUGCAAUUUUAGCAUGGAUAAUAAACGAUUAUAUUGAAACAGGAAACAUAAUAAUAACUAUUUUAUCAUUGCCUCUAGGGCAUAUUUCGUACAGUCUCGCACUUGCACUAGAGUCAAUAAUCUAGUCUCACAUCGCUAUGUGAUUUACAUUGGAAUGAAUCUAACACACAUACAGUUCUGGUGUUGAUCAUGCUUAGCUCGUGGAAGAGGUUUAGUUAGCGGAUCUGCAACAUUCAGAUCUGUAUGCACUUUGCAAAUAUUUACGUCCUCUCCUUUGACAUAGUAGCGGAUGAGGUUGAAGCGUCGUUUGAUGUGUCUGGUCUUCUUGUGAAACCGUGGUUCCUUUGCUAGAGCAAUGGCAACAAUGUUGUCACAGAACAGAGUUAUUGGAUUUAGUGCACUCGGCACAACUCCAAGAUCUGUCAUGAACUGCUUCAUCCAGACACCCUGCUUAGCUGCCUUCGAGGCAGCCAUGUACUCCGCUUCACAUGUAGAAUCUUCUACGACGCUUUGCUUGGAACUGCACAAGCUUACCGCACCCCCAUUGAGAAUAAACACGUAUCCGGUUUGAGAAUUAGAGUCAUCCGGAUCAGUGUUAAAGCUUGCAUCAACGUAACCCUUUACGACGAGCUCUUCGUCACCUCCAUAUACGAAAAACAUUUCCUUAGUCCUUUUCAGGUACUUCAGAAUAUUCUUCACCGCCGCCCAGUGUUCCACUCCUGGAUCACUUUGAAACCUGCGUGCCAUACUUAUGGCCAGGCCGAUGUCCGGUCUUGUGCACAACAUUGCAUACAUGAUACACCCUAUGGCUGAAGCACAGGGGAUGGUACUCAUCUUUUCUCUAUCUUCCGCAGUUCCUGGACACUGAGUCUUACUCAACUUUAUACCUUGUAACACUGGUAAGAACCCCUUCUUGGACUGCUCCAUUUUGAAAUUCUUAAAAACUUUAUCAAGGUAUAUGCUUUGUGAAAGUCCUAUUUGGCGCCUCGAUCUAUCCCUAUAGAUCUUAAUGCCUAAUAUGUAAGCAACUUCUCCUAGGUCUUUCAUUGAAAAACAUUUGUUCAAGUAAUGCUUUACGCUCUCUAAAAACUCCACAUUGUUUCCAAUCAGCAAUAUGUCAUCCACAUAUAAUAUUAGAAACACUAAAGAGCUCCCAAUCACUUUCUUGUAAAUACAAGAUUCUCCAACAACUUGUAUAAACCCAAAUGCCUUGAUCACCUCAUCAAAGCGCUUAUUCCAACUCCGAGAUGCUUGCACCAGUCCAUAAAUGGAUCGCUGGAGCUUGCAUACUUUGUUAGAAUUAUUUGGAUUGACAAAACCUUCAGGUUGCAUCAUAUACAACUCUUCCUUAAGAAAACUAUUAAGUAACGCCAUUUUGACAUCCAUCUGCCAGAUUUCAUAAUCGAAAAAUGCAGCUAUUGCUAACAUGAUUCGGACGGACUUAAUCAUCGCUACCGGUGAGAAUGUCUCAUCGUAGUCAACUCCUUGAACUUGUGAAAAAUUCUUUGCCACAAGUUGAGCCUUAUAAACAGUCACAUUAUCGUCCGGGUCCGUCUUCUUCUUAAAGAUCCAUUUGUUCUGAAUAUCCUUGCGACCUUCAGGUAAUACUUCUGAAGUCCACACUUUGUUUUCAUACAUAGAUCCUAUCUCGGACUUCAUGGCCUCUAACCAUUUGUUGGAAUCCGGACCCACCAUUGCUUCUUCAUAAUUCAGAGGCUCAAUGUUGUCUAACAACAUGAUAGAUAAGACAGGAUUCCCGUACCACUCGGGAUCAGUAUGUGAUCUUGUCGACCUCCGAGGUCCGACAGUAACUUGAUCCAAAGCUUCAUGAUCAUCAUCAUUAGCUUCCUCCUCAACAGGUGUUGCCUCGACAGAGAUUUCUCUCUGCCCUGCGCCAUCAUCUAGAGGGAGCAGAGGUUCCACAACCUCAUCAAGUUCUAUCUUCCUCCCACUCAAUUCUUUCGAGAGAAACUUCUUCUCAAGAAAAGCUACGUUCUUAGCAACAAACACUUUGCCCUCGGAUCUGAGAUAGAAGGUGUACCCAACUGUCUCUUUUGGGUAACCUAUGAAGACGCUUUUUUCCGCUUUGGGUUCCAGCUUUUCAGGCUGAAGCUUUUUGACAUAAGCAUCGCAUCCCCAAACUUUAAGAAAUGACAACUUUGGCCUCUUGCCAUGCCAUAGCUCAUAUGGUGUCCUCUUAACGGAUUUUGAUGGUGCCCUAUUUAAAGUGAAUGCAGCUGUCUCUAAUGCAUAACCCCAAAACGAUAAUGGCAAAUCGCUAAGAGACAUCAUAGAUCGCACCAUAUCUAACAAAGUACGAUUACGAUAUUCGGACACACCAUUAUGCUGUGGUGUUCCAGGCGGUGUCAACUGUGAAACGAUUCCACAUUGUCUUAAGUGAGCACCAAACUCGAAACUCAGAUAUUCACCCCCUCAGUCAGAUCGUAGGAACUUGAUCUUCUUGUUACGAUGAUUUUCAACUUCACUCUGAAAUUGCUUGAUAUUUUCAAAUAUUUCAGACUUGUUCUUCAUCAAGUAGAUAUAUCCAUACCUACUCAAAUCAUCAGUGAAGGUGAGAAAAUAACGAUAUCCGCUGCGCACCUCCACACUCAUUGGACCGCACACAUCAGUAUGUAUGAUCUCCAAUAAGUCACUUGCACGCUCCAUUGUUUCGGAGAACGGAGUCUUAGUCAUCUUGCCCAUGAGGCAUGGUUUGCAUGUGUCAAGUGAUUCUAAAUCAAGUGACUCCAAAAGCCCAUCAGCAUGGAGUAUCUUCAUGCACUUUACACCAAUAUGACCUAAGCGGUAGUGCCACAAGAAGGUGGUGCUAUCAUUGUUAACUCUACAUCUUUUGGUCUCAAUGUUAUGUAUAUGUGUGUCAUCACAAUCAAGAUUCAAUAUGAACAAACCCCUCACAUUGGGUGCAUGACCAUAAAAGAUAUUACUCAUAAAAAUAGAACAACCAUUAUUCUCUGACUUAAAUGAGUAACCGUCUCGCAAUAAACAAGAUCCAGAUAUAAUGUUCAUGCUUAACGCAUGCACUAAAUAACAAUUAUUUAAGUUCAUAACUAAUCGUGAUGGUAACUAAAGUGAGACUGUGCCGACGGCGAUUGCAUCAUCCUUGGAACCAUUUCCUACGCGCAUCGUCACUUCAUCCUUCGCCAACCUUCGUUUAUUCUGCAGUUCCUGCUUCGAGUUGCAAAUAUGAGCAACAGAACCGGUAUCAAAUACCCAGGCACUACUACGAGAGUUGGUUAGGUACACAUGAAUAACAUGUAUAUCACAUAUACCUGGUUUGGCGUUGGUGGCCUUCUUAUCAGCCAAAUACUUGGGGCAGUUGCGCUUCCAGUGACCCAUCCCCUUGCAAUAAUAUCACUCUGUUUCUGGCUUAGGUCCAGCCUUGGUUUCUUCGUCGGAUUGGCAACAAUUUUGCUGCUCUUCUUAGAGUUACCCUUCUUGCGUUUGUCGUUUCUCUUAAAACCAGUGGUCUUAUUGACCAUCAACACUUGAUGUUCUUUCCGGAGUUCUAACUCUACAACUUUCAGCAUCGCGAAUAACUCGCCCGGUGACUUGUUCAUCCCUUGGAUGUUAUAGUUCAACACAAAGAUCUUAUAGCUAGGUGGGAGUGAUUGCAAAAUUCUGUCAGUGAUAGCCUCUUGCAGGAGUUCAAUCCCCAGCUCAGCUAGACAGUUUGAGUACCCAGACAUUUUUAGCACAUGUUCACUAACAAACAAAUUCUCCUUCAUUUUGCAAGCAUAGAAUUUAUCGGAGGUCUCAUACCUCUGGAUCCGGGCGUUCUUCUAAAGGAUAAACUUCAACUCCUGGAACAUCUCAUAUGCUCCAUGAAAUUCAAAGCGUCGUUGAAGUCCCGGUUCCAAGCCAUACAAGACUGCACAUUGAACUACUGAGCAGUCCUCCUUACGUGAUUGCCUAGCGUUCAAAACAUCUUGGUCAAACGUAGCGGGUGGUUCAUCUCCUAGCGCUGCAUCAAGGACAUAAGUCUUUUUCCUAGCUUGUAGGAUGAACCUUAGAUUAUGAGCCCAGUCUACAAAGUUGCUACCAUCAUCUUUCAGCUUAGCUUUCUCUAGGAACGUAUUGAAAUUCAGGGUUGCUACUGCGUGAGCCAUUGAUCUACAACAUAAAAUAUUGCAAAGUGGACUUAGACUAUGUUCAAGAUAAUUUAGAGUUUAACUAAUCAAAUUACUAAUAAAAUCCCACUCAAAUAGACAUCCCUCUAGUUAAUUGAGUGUUAUGUGAUCCAAAUUCACUAACUCAAGUCCGAUCAUCACGUGAGUUGAGUAUAGUUUCAAUGGUAAAAAUCUCUAUGCUAAUCAUAUCAACUAUACAAUUCAUGCUCGACCUUUCGGUAUCUUGUGUUCGAGGCCAUGCCUGUACAUGCUAGGCUCUUCAAGUUUAACCCGAGUGUUCCACGUGUGCAACUGUUUUGCACCCGUUGUAUGUCUACCUUGAGUCUAUCACACCCGAUCAUCACGUGGUGUCUCGAAACGACGAACUAUCGCAACGGUGCACAGUCGGGGAGAACUCAAUUUUAUCUUGAAAUUUAGCGAGGGAUCACCUUAUAAUGCUACCGUCGUUCUGAGAAAGAUAAGGUGCAUAAAAGGAUUAACAUCACAUGCAAUUCAUAAGUGACAUGAUAUGGCCAUGAUCUUGUGCUUCUUGAUCUCCAUCACCAAAGCACCGGCAUGAUCUUCAUCGUCACCGGCGCCACACCAUGAUAUCCAUCAUCGUGCUGCCAUCGAGAUUGUCGUGAUAUCUAUGGUAUUACUACUAAAGCUGCAACCUAGCAAUAUAGUAAACGCAUCUGCAAACACAAACGUUAGUUUAAAGACAACCCUAUGGCUCCUGCCGGUUUCCGUAGCAUCGGCGUGCAAGUCGAUAUUUAACUAUUACAACAUGAUCAUCUCAUACAUCCAAUAUAUCACAUCAUGUCUUUGGCCAUAUCACAUCACAUGCAUACCCUGCAAAAACAAGUUAGACGUCCUCUGAUUGUUUGUUGCAUUUUUAAGUGGCUGCUAUGGGUAUCUAGUAUGAUCGCAUCUUACUUACGCAAAACCACAACGGAGAUGUGCAAAUUGCUAUUUAACCUCUCUCCAAGGAACGCCUCGGUCAAAUCCAAUUCAACUAAAGUUGAAGAAAAAGGCACCCGCCAGUCAUCUUUAUGCAACGAGUUGCAUGUUAGUCAAUGAAACUGGUCUCUCGUAAGCGUACGAGUAAUAUUGGUCCGGGCCGCUUCAAUCCAACAAUACCGUCGAAUCGAGAAAAGACUAAGGAGGGAAGCAAAUCGAACAUCAACGCCCACAAAAACUUUUGUGUUCUACUCGAGAUUACAUCUACGCAUGAACCUAGCUCUAAUACCACUCUUUGGGAACGUUGCAUGGGAAACAAAAAUUUUCCUACGCACACGAAGACCUAUCAUGGUGAUGUUCAUAUACGAGAGGGAGAUCGAAUCCACAUACCAUUGUAGAUCGCUAAGCGGGAAGCGUUAAGAAACACGAUUGAUGUAGUGGAACAGCUUCGUGAUUCAAAUCACCGUCGUCCCACGAUCCGUUCCGAUCUAGCGCCAAACGGACGGCACAUCCACGUUCUGCAUAUGUACAACUCGAUGACGAUCUCCACCUUCUUGAUACAGCAAGAGAGACGGGGAAGUAGAUGAGUUCCCUGGCAGCGUGACGACGCGCUGGUGAUGGUGAUGAUAUGUCCCUGCAGGGCUCCGCCCGAGCUCCGUAGAAAACCGAUCUAGAGGUAGAACUACGAAGUAGAGGUUCAGGGUUGCACGUGGCAAAGUUGUGUCUCAAAACCCCUAAAACCUAUAGUAUAUAUAGGAGGAGGGGAGGGGCUAGCCUUGGUGCUCAAGGGAUCCCCUAGAGCGCCGGACGAGAGAGGAGAAGGAGACAACAACUCCAAUUCGGUAUGGGAAGAAGGAGUCCCCUCCUUCCUUCCCACCUCCCUCUCCUUUUUUUCUCCUCUUUGGUUUUUUUCCUUAGCCGACAUAGCCCACUUGGGCUGGCCUCAUGAGUCCACUAAGGGCUGGUGCGCCACCCUUGGGCUAUUAGGCUCACUCCCGGGUGGGUGGGCCCCUCCCAGAAAAACUUGAAACCCAUUCGUUACUCCCGGUAAUGUCCGAAAUCUUUCCGGAGACCAAAUUAAACAAUCCUAUAUAUAAAUAUUCGUUUCCGGACCAUUUCGGAAACCCUCGUGACGUCUGUGAUCUCAUCCGGGACUCCGAACAACCUUCGGUUACCAACACCUAUAAAUCAACUAUACCGAAAUGUUACCGAACCUUAAGUGUGCAGACCUUGCGGGUUCGAGAACUAUGAAGACAUGGCCUGAGACACUCCCCGGUCAAUAUCCAACAACGGGACCUAGAUGUCCAUAGUGGAUCCUACAAUAUUCUGCGAAGAUCUUAUCGGUUGAACCUCUGUGCCAAGGAUUCAUAUAAUCCCGUAUACCAUUCCCAUUGUCCUUCGGUAUGUUACUUGCCCGAGAUUUGAUCGUCGGUAUCUCUAUACCUAUUUCAGUCUCGUUACCAGCAAGUCUCUUUACUCGUUCUAUAAUACAAGAUCCCGUGACUAACACAUUAGCCACAUUACUUGCAAGGCUUAUAUGUGAUGUUGUAUUACCGAGUGGGCCCCGAGAUACCUCUCCGUCACACGGAGUGAGAAAUCCCAGUAUUUAUCCAUUCUAACUCAACGGACACCUUCAGAGAUACCUAUAGAGCACCUUUAUAGUGACCCUGUAACGUUGCCACGUUUGAUACACACAAGGUAUUCCUCCGGUGUCAGUGAGUUACAUGAUCUCAUGGUCACAGUAAUGAAUACUUGACACGCAGAAAACAAUAGCCACAAAAUGACACGAUCACAUGCUACGUUCAUAGUUUGGGUCUUGUCCAUCACAUCGUUCUCCUAAUGAUGUGAUCCAGUCAUCAAUUGACAACACUUGCAUAUGGUCAGAAAACCUUAACCAUCCUUGAUCAACUGGCUAGUCAACUAAAGUCUUACUAGGGACAUUGUUUUGUCUAUAUAUCCACACAUGUAUCUAUGCUUUCAUUCAAUACAAUUAUAGCAUGGAUAAUAAAUAAUUAUCUUGAAACAAGAAAUAUAAUAAUAACUAUUUUAUCAUUGCCUCUAGGGCAUAUUUCCAACACGCGAGCCUUGGUCUUUGGCUUCCUCCUGGGAUGAACCGGAUGGCCUGGGCUGCUGGUCUUUGCUGGGUUCCCUCAUGUGUGUUUUCGUGACAUUCCCUCCUCCUUGAGUCUUGGAUUGCCCCCAAGCCAGUGCUUGGGGAAAUCUUGAUCGGAGGGCCACUUCAUCUUCCCAUGUAGCAAGUGACAUAGGGAACCCCGACCAUUGAGUCAGCACUUGAUCAAUCUGCUUAGCUCAUCAAAGAACCUAGCGACAUUGCGGGAUUGAAGCGGGCACUUGAAAUGCCAAGAGAUCUUCAUCCACCACCGGUAGUUCGGGCAUCACUUGGGUGGUUGGUGGUAACCCAGCGCUCAGCUGAGACACAUGGAUACUGGGUGCAUCGGGGCUUAUUGUGGCGACACCAUCUUGUAUGCAACCUCCCAAACAUGGCCAGUAACCCAAAAGGGACCAAAGAAACGAAAAGCUAACUUGUGAUUACCUUGCGCAGCCACUGAUGACUGAGAAUAGGGCUGCAACUUGAGGUACACCCAAUCCCCAACCGAGAAUGCUCAAUCCGAGUGAUGCACAUAAGCUUUUCUCUUCAUCAUUUGCUUCCCUCGAUGGAGGUCAUGCUUAAGGAGUGACAGCAUGGUUGCCCGCUCGCAAGUCCACACCACCAAAUCUAUGACAAUUUUGUCAACAAUGUUGGAGAUGCCAAAGAAUCGAGGCUUGUGCCCGUACAAGACCUCAAAUGGGGAUGUCUUCAGUGUGGAAUGAUACGAAGUAUUAUACCAAAACUCAGCUAACGCUAGCCAUUCCACCCAUUUGCUCGGGCAAUUGUGAACAAAGCACCUUAGAGAGAGCUCCAUGGAUUGAUUGACUCUAUCUGUAGUUUCAAUAGUGUGUGGGUGUCGAGCCGAGGAAAUGUUGAGGGUGGUACGAGACAACCUACACAACUCAUGCUACACUUUGCUAGUGAAUACUCGAUCGGUCUGACACCAGCUUGUCCAGAGGCCCAUUCAACUUGAAGACAUUCUCCAUGUAUGCUUUUGCUACUUGUAGAGGACAGAAGGGAUGCCGGAGUGGGAUGAAAUGAGCAUACCACGUCAAUUUGUUCACCACGACGAGAAUUGAAGUAAGUCCCUUGGAUGUUGGCAAUUCUUCGACAAAGUCCAAGGUGACCAUCUUCGAGGCUUGCUAGGGGUACUCAAAGCGGUUGAAGCAGCCCUGGGUACUUUACAUGUUCUAGUUUGGCUUGUUUGCACACCUCACACUCAGAGAUGAACUUCUUCACAAACUGCUUCAAUUUAGGCUAAGCGAAUAGACGUAUCACACGGCUAUAUGUGACUUGGACACCGGAAUGCCCUCUAAUGGCUCUGGCAUGGAGUUCCGUAAGAAAUUGCUACUAUGCCUCCACAUUAGUACCCAACCAAACUCUGCCCUUGUAGUGAAUCACACCAUCCUUGACCAAAAAAGUCCCUUCUAGAGGAGCUCUGACCGCUUCUAAAGCCAGAAGGCGAGAACUGUAAGGGUCGUUCUUGUAGCCUUGCUUGACCAUGUUUAGAUAGUGUGGCACACACACCGAGACAACCUAUAGACUAGCCGCUACUCGUGGUUGAUGAGGAAGAGCAUCAUCCGCUAGAUUUGUUGCACCUUGUCGAUAUUCGAUCUUGUACUGCAGGCCCAACAGCUUUGUCAAAACCUUGUGUUGCCAUAGGGUGGUAAGCCGCUACUCGUCCAUGCAUCAGAGGCUCUGGUGGUCCGUGCAAAUAGUAAACUCAGAAAGCAACGGAUACGAAUGCCACCUAUCCACGGCCAUGAGAAUGGUCAUGCUCUCCUUUUUGUAAAUAGACAACACACAAUGCCGCGGACCAAGCGCUUGGAUGAGGAAGGCAAUAGGAUGGUGUUGUUGCAUUAACACCGCAAUAAUCCCCGUGUCCGAGGCGUCCAUUUCGACCACGAACGGUUUGGAGAAAUCAGGCAGAGCCAACACUGAUGCCGUGGAGAGACCUGUCUUCAAGCAGUGGAAGGCCUCUUGAUGCACAUUCAUCCAAAUGUAUGGGAUCCCUUUCUUUAGGAGCUUUGUGAGGGUCUUGCUAGUCACUCCAUAGUGUUUGAAGAACUUCCGGUAGUACCCUGCUAGCCCGAGGAACUACCUCAAUUCUUUGACUGAGGCUGGGGGUGCCCAUGCUUGUAUCUUCUUGAUAUUCGUGGAUCGUUAUGCACUCCUGCGGCGCUAAUGACAUGCCCGAGGUAACGCAACUGAGGUUGAGCAAACACACACUUUGACAUCUUCACGUUCAAUGAGUGUUGAUCCAGCAGUUGAAAAGCUGACUAUAGCAACAACACGUGCUUCUCCAAAGUUCCGCUAUACACAAGGACGUCGUCUCUGAAGACCAAGACGCCCUCCCAAAGGAGUGGUCUUAGCACCACCUGCAUGCCUUUCUGCAAGGUUGAAGUACACCCCCCGUGACCCCAUAUGGCAUCACCUUGAACUCAAAGUGCCCAUGAUGUGUUUGGAAGGCAGUUUUUGCUUCAUCCUCGAGAUGCAUGCGGAUCUGGUGAUAUCCAGCCCGAAGAUCUAGGCUGGUAUACACAGUUGCCCCUUGCAACUCUUCGAGCAAUUCAUCAAUAAUUGGAAUUGGAAAACAGCUCUUGAUGGUGAUCGCAUUGAGGAAGCGAUAAUCGAUGCAAAACCUCCAUUCGCCAUCUUUCUUGUGCACCAACAACAUGUGUGACAAAAAUGGGCUACGACUGGGCUGCAUGAUUCCUUGUCUUAGCAUCUCAAGCACCUGAGCUUUGAUUUCAUCCUUCUGUGCCGGGUUAUAUCAAUGCGGUUGUCGGUUCCUCAAAUUCCCUUGGUAGCAGGACUGACGGUUCCUCAAAUAAUUCCACAAACUUGCCCAGAAGUUCUUCAAGUACUACCGGAAUUGGAGCCCCCUCGAGAUCAGGUUUGCCAACAGACAACAACAAUACAUGGGCUACAUCGGUACGGGCUUGUAACAAGUGGAAUUCAGCUGCUGAAAUUGCUUGACAAUGGUGGAUGCCCUGCGAAUUCCCAGUCAAUUGGAUGACCUCCCCUUUGUGUUUAAAUGUCAUGUGGUUGUUACUCCAAUUAACCGUCAUCACUCCUCUUGACACGAGACAGUCCAUAUCCAACACAAUGUCAUAAUAUCCCAAUGGAAAAAGGUUGAAAGUAGAUCGGAACUGAAAGCCUUGAAUGAUGUACUCACAUAGCGGCAGCUCACGAUUACAACUCGUUACUACCCCAUCUGCGACCUUUACCCUGAGGGAGUUUUGCAUUGGUUGAAUUCCAGGCCAGGACUAAACUAUCUUAAUGUUGAUGAAACUAUGUGAGCUUCAAGAAUAAACGAGCAUCAGGAGAACCUUGUCACCAAUCUGCCCAGAUAACCUGAACGCCAUCGGGGCCUCUGUACCACUGACCGUUGUAGUAGAUAGUAAGCACAUGUCGUCUUUGGAAAACUUUCCACAGCAAGUUGUGCUGCAUCUCAUGAGGAUGGGGUGAGAACAUGCCCACUAGUUCUUCCUCAACAUGGAGCUGCACUGUGGCUGCACAAGUGUGUCCAGGAUUCCAGCUCUCCCCACAAGUGAAGCACAACCCUCUGGCCUUGCGGAAGUCUUGUAGGGCCUUAAGUUUUUCGUUUGUUGGCAAUGUCAACAACUCUCUGCAUCUCCAAGCGUGUGGGGGUUGGCAAAGAGUUGGCAGUUCGACAACCCCCUGUUAUUGAUGGUAGGCUCACCGCAACUGGCGGUCAUGGGAAGGCACACCUAGGUCGAGCCUGAGAGGACUCAGCUCGUUGCGAUGCCACGCUCUCCUGCUCCUCGCGCACCAACACCACCAGCUCUUCCUGCAAUUCAGCAAGAGACACAUCCUGACAACCACUUUGAUCAUAAUUCUAAUAGUAGGUUCCCAUCCAUCAUACAACUUUGUAGGAAUACAGACUUCUAACUCAAGUUUCUCAUCAUAGGCUUUUACCAUAGCUUCUACUAUAUGUUGAGUAAAAGAUUUAUUUUUUUCUUAAGCAUUGGGUGAGAUAAUGAUGGAUUGCAACAAGGACAUAAGUUCUACUAAAGAACAAUUAUCAUAAUUAAAAUCCUCGACAUCCAAGAUAGUGGGCACAUCACUAGUUAAAGUUUUAACCUUUCCAAAGCCACUUUUUCAGUUUUAUCAUUAUAGUCAUCACCCUCCAAGAAAUUGGGACACUCUCUAACUAGAGUUGACUCAUCUCUAGUCCCAUUAUCAUUUAUUUUUAGAGAAGUAAACAAAGAUUCAAUAGAAUAAGUACCAAGCAUUUUAUGAUAUUCAUCAUGAUUCCGGUAAAAACUGCGUGGAAAGGCUUUUUCUAGGAAUUCCUGCUUAGCUUUCAACUUGGCGGUCCUCUCCCUACUUUCAUUGAUAGACAUUUGGAUAGAUUUAAUAGUCUAAUUAAAGACAUGCUUUGGUGGCAAAGUUUUACUUUUUAGAGUUUCUAGCCAAAUCAUCAAUUUAUGCAACUUUUCCUCUACCAUAGUAUUGAAAACCUUUUAUGAAUUAAUGGAUUAUUCAAUGGUGCUUUUAAGAUCAUAGGAUACCUUAUUAUUAUUUGUAGAAGGAUUUGCAUAAGAAUUUCCAUAUGAGUUCCCAUAACCUUUUGAGGAGUUACCGGGAUAUGGCCUAGUAUUGAAAUUACCUCUAUAGGCAUUGUUACUAAAUUUAUUUCAUGAGAUAAAAUUCACAUCCAUGGAAUUAUAAUUUUGCUCAAUAAAAGUAAACAAGGCCAUGUCAUUAGGAUCAAGGUGAGAAUUUUUAUCACCAACCAAAUUCAUAAGAGCAUAAACGUUUUCACUCAAAGUAGCGAUUUCCUCAACAAAGUUUACCUUCUUACUAGUUGGAGCUCUUUUAUUAUGCCACUCAGAGUGGCUUGUCAUGAUGUUGUCCAGAAGUUUGGUGGCCUCUCCUAAGGUCACCUCAAUGAAAGUACCCCCUGCGGCAAAAUCUAGAAGAUUUCUAGAUAGAAAGUUUGGUCCAGCAUAGAAAUAUUGGAUAAUCAUCCACAAGUUUAAACCAUGAGUAGGGAAAUUUCUAAUCAUCAAUUUCAUCCACUCCCAAGCUUGUGCAACAUGUUCAUGAUCAUGCUGUUUAAAAUUCAUUAUAUGAUUUCUAAGGGAGUUGAUCUUAGCAGGAGGAAAAUACUUGGUAAUAAAAGUAUCUUAACACUUAUCCCAUGUUCCAAUACUAUUACGUGGUAAAGAUGAUAAGCUAGAUUUACCUUUAUCUCUUAGUGAAAAAGGAAAUAACUUUAACUUCACAACAUAAUUAUCCAUGUGCUUUCAAUUUGCACAUCACGGAGUUCAACAAAGUUAUCAAGACGAGUAGCGGGAUACUCAUUAGGACUUCCCAAAAAUUGUUCUUUCAUGACAAGAUUCAACAAUGCAACAUUUGUAUCACAAGCCUCCUUACUAGUGGCGUGUGUGAUAGGAGUACUAUUAAAAUCAUGUUUAUUAGUAUUUGAAAAGUCACACAACUUAGUAGUAUCUUGAGACAUGGUGAUCGAGCAAGCAAAGUAACUAGUAGGACAAGUAAACUAUCAAGCAAAGCGAGCAAAGAAGUAAACUAGCAACUAGCAAAGAUAAAUAUUUUUGUAUUUUUGAUUUUUAUCAAGUAAGAAAAAUAUAACAAAAAAUAAAAAGUAGAACAAGUGAAUGAUAAUUUGUCUGAAGUUACUUGAUAGUGUUGGGGAACGUUGCAUGGGAAACAAAAAAUUCCUACACACACCAAGAUUAGUCUAUGAAGAUCACCAUCUACGAGUGGAGAGAUUGGAUCUACAUACCUUUGUAGAUCUCUAAGCGGAAGCGUUUACGAAAACAGUUGAUGUAGUGGUAUGUGUUUGCGAUCCAAUCAUGAACCGUCUCGCAAUCUCUCGAUCAAGGGCCGAACAGACGACACCUCCACGUUCAACACACGUACAACUUGGUGACGCAUUCACCUCCUCAAUCUAGCGAGUGAUGGUGAAGUAGAAGCCUGAGUCCUCCGAGAACAUGCCGGCAUGGUGAGGUGUUGGUGGUGACAACUCGACAUGGCUUUGCCGUGGGGUUAUGGAGGAGAGAAACUGCGAGGGAGAGGAGGGGGCAGCGCCACGGCAAGAUUGUUGUGUGGCUGCCCCCUCGCUACCUCUCUAUAUAUAGGAGGAAGGGAGAGAGGAGGGCGCCCUAGGGUUACCCACUAGUGCCCGACGGCCAAGGGAGGGGGAAGCGGCGGCUAGGGUUAGGGUGCCCCCCUCCCCCACUUGGGUGCCUUGCCACCCAAGUUGGGUUGGCGGCACCCCAAGGAGGCCCACCCUGUUGGAAAUAUGCCUUAGAGGCAAUAAUACAUUAGUUAUUAUUAUAUUUCCUUGUUCAUGAUAAUCGUUUAUUAUCCGUGCUAGAAUUGUAUUGAUUGGAAACUCAAAUACAUGUGUGGAUACAUAGACAACACACUGUCCUAGUGAGCCUCUAGUUGACUAGCUCGUUGAUCAAAGAUGGUCAAUGAUGAGAACAUCAACACCAUUGUUACACCCACAACCCCAGCUGUUAUACAUAUUGGACUAGUUACUAGAGCUCAUGCACGCCAAUUGAAUUACCAGGUACUUUCGUUUCUUGGGAAUACUUCUAAUGUUCAUGAACAUAUGAUGUUGCCUAAGUUAGAUACUUUUGUUGUGCUCAUGAAUGAAGGAGCUAGCAUGGACAAGAAGGAUAUCCGUUGGAGCGGGAUCAAACAUGGACAAGAAGGUGCACGCGCGCGAGAGAACAAUGGAGCUUCCACUGGUGGUUUUCGCACUCUAAAGCCACCAUAAGGAGAGCAUGAAGGCUUUGGACGAAAUAUUCAAGACACCACUUUAUAAAUUUCGUCCAUAGGCUAUUACAGGUGUUGCACCACCUUAUUUUCGGGCCAGUCCCAUGUAAUUUCGAAAUACCAUAAUAUAGGGUAAUUUUAGAGUCCGUAUGUGUGUGGAAACCGAGUUUAGGGCUGUUUUCAGACCCCUCCUCCAAGGGUCAUGGAAUUGCCUCUCUAGUCACUCAUAUAUACAGCCCUUAGGGCACCGUUUAGAUUUGGGUUUUGUUUAAAUUACAAGUUCCCAAAGCUGCAACUUCGCGUUCUUCGUUUGUGUUCUACGACCAGACAAAGGCGUCACAGAACCCUACCUUCAUCAAUAAAGCUUUCCUCUUAUAUUCGCAAUAUCUUGAUUGCAUCUUGGUUUCUUGCUUGAUCUUCGUUUGCGUGCAGGAAACAUACCUUUGUGGUCAGGUUGAUCGUGCUCCGGCAUGGUCAAUAGCCUCUCGGAGUUGGUUUAGCAAUUGCUAAGGAGCGACGUCCUCACACGUUCCUAGUCGGAUCGUCAAAGUCUACUCCACCAAAAUGAUACCCACGAUCUCAUCGAAAGACAGGGACAACUUCGCCUCUAUCAAGUGGUAUGAAAUUUCCAGGUUGCUUGGUGAGAUUUUACCAGUUUUCGUAGUUAGAUCCCAUUUGUUCUUCAUACCUAUAGUCCACGAAAAAUCCAUAAAAAGUUAGGGUUAGAUCAUCAUAUCCGAACAAAUCUGAGCCUUUGCAUAGUCUUUUCAGUAGUUCGCUUUGUUGAAAUUGCGGUUACAUCGUCGUGUCGAGUUGCUGGUCUUAGUGUCUAGUUCUUUAGGGUUUCGAGUUCUGUUCACAGGUUGUCACGCUGCCACCGCACUAUCUUUCAUCGCUGCCAUAUAACACCUCCACACUACCAUCAUCGCUGCUGCCAUAUACCACCACCACGCCACCAUUAUCCUUGCUGCCAUAUACCACCACCAUAUAUCCACCACAAUCCUUCUCGCCUUAGGUUAAUUUUGAGAUCCUUUUGCUUUAGGUUUCGCGUUUCCGUACCUGAGUAGGUUUCGGAAAAAACGAGUCUGGCACGCUUUCCACAUCACUUUUUAGGCCAAAAUUUUGAGUGGUGAAUUUUUCCCCCUAUCGUUUUGUUAGGCUUUUUAGAGAGUUUUGAGAUACUCGCCAUCAUAGUGAUUUUUGGCGCAAUUUUUGGUCCUCGCAGCCCCGAAUUGCUCCAAAAAUAAUAAUAAUAAUUGUCAAUUUUUUUCAUGCCUAUCCUGUUUUUGGUCCUUGGGAAGAGUUUUGAGACACUCGCCAUUAUAGUGAUUUUCUGGAAAAAAAGCGCAGAAAAAAAGAGUGCAAAAAAGAGAAAAAAAGAUCAGAGUGGCUCUUCCCUUGAUUAGUACGUGUCGUCGUGACUUCAUUCGUGUUCUAGGCUCGCGUCUCUAGUAGGUCUAGCAUAGGACCAACACGGUACCAUCGUUGAGCGUCUUUUCAAUUUUGCAUCUCUGAACUGAUUAUUGCUGACCCUUCUUGCUACCGUAUUAUAAGCCUUUCCAGCUCCACAUACAUCGACAUCGUGUGUUUGAAACCACCUGGCAAUCGCUCUAUCCAAGCUUUGAGAGUUUUGACUACACCGGUUGCCGAUCGCCACCUACUGCUAGGUAAGAAUUGGUAAGAAAUUGAGAUUUGCUUGACGGAUUUGUGACACACCACCACCACCACUUCCUAGUAGUCUGUAGGUUCAUAUUCUUCUGUGUUCCUAUUGCUGCUAACCAUGCCAGGAUCAUACGACGAGGAGAUCGACUGGGAGAACCUGACCAACCGGGAGCUCCAUUAUAAAUUUCAGCAAAUGAUGUCUGACCAGGUACAUGAUUUCGUGGCCACCUUUGGAGAGGCCAUGGACAAGCUCGAAUGUAUGGAGAAGAAAUUCGACACCAAGAUGAGUGCCAAGUUAAAUGAGGUGCUUGCCCGUUUACCACCACCAGCUGCAGCUUAUGUCCCUCUUCAACCACAACCACAACGACUACGAGCGCGACGUGUGCUUGUCGGAUUCUAUGGCUGAGAAGAAUGAGGAUUAUGAUGAUGAUUAUGAUGGUGAUUACGGUGAUGAGGGAUAGGUUGCUCCAGUUCCGCACCUGGAACAACAACCACCACGAUAAGCCGCUGGUCGUCCACAUGGAUACAAUCGCAAUGGUAGGGAUGCACCACACCCUCAGGUACGGGAUCAUGACCAUCUCCCUAAACUUAAAUUGAAUAUUCCUACUUUUGAUGGUCAAUAUGUUCCUCAUAUAUAUCUUACUUGGGAGUUAGAAACAGAGCAACGUUUUACAUGCUUGCAAUUUCCUGAAGAUAGGCAUGUUGCUGCUGUUGUUUGUUCUUUCACUAGUUUUGCUUGUGUUUGGUGGUCUGAAUAUUGUCGAAUACAUCAUGCUAAUAUUCAAACUAGUUGGGCUGCUUUGAAAACUGCUAUGCGUNNNNNNNNNNNNNNNNNNNNNNNNNNNNNNNNNNNNNNNNNNNNNNNNNNNNNNNNNNNNNNNNNNNNNNNNNNNNNNNNNNNNNNNNNNNNNNNNNNNNGAAUUCAAUCUUUAUGGAGUAUUUGGAUAAAUUCGUCGUAGUAUACCUCGAUGAUAUUCUCAUCUACUCCAAGAAUGAACAAGAGCAUGCCGAGCAUCUAAGGCUGGUAUUGAUGAAACUUCGAGAGCAUCGCCUUUAUGCCAAAUUUUCAAAAUGUGAAUUUUGGUUACCAGAAGUGACCUAUCUAGGCCACGUAAUCUCUUGUAAGGGUAUUGCUGUCAAUCCCAAGAGAGUUCAAGCUGUCCUUGAUUGGACUCAACCUGAAUCGGUUAAGCAAGUUAGGAGUUUUCUUGGUCUAGCGAGCUAUUGUCGCCGCUUCGUCGAGAAUUUCUCCAAGGUUGCAAAGCCUCUGACUGAACUCCUCAAGAAGGAUAAAAAGUUCGAGUGGACACCACAGUGUGAGCAUAGUUUUCAGGAACUGAAAAGAUGCCUCACCUCCGCACCUGUGUUGCUACCACCAGAUUUUUCUAAGGACUUUGUUCUCUAUUGCGACGCCUCGCGACAAGGAUUAGGUUGCAUUCUCAUGCAAGAUCGUCAUCUGAUCGCAUACGCAUCUCGACAGUUGCGUCCACAUGAGGAUAAUUAUCCCACACAUGACCUUGAGCUUGCAGCUGUGGUCCAUGCACUAAAACCCUGGCGACAUUACCUUCUGGGUAAUCGUUGCGAAAUAUUCACUGAUCACCAAAGUCUGAAAUAUAUCUUCACCCAGCCAGAUUUGAAUCUCAGGCAAAGACGGUGGGUUGAGUUGAUCUCGGAUUACGACUUAGGGAUAACUUACACCCCGGGGAAGGCCAAUGUUAUGGCCGAUGCACUAAGUCGUAAAUCUUAUUGUAACAAUCUGAUGCUACAACAAGGUCAACCACUUCUCCAUGAGGACUUUCGGAAGUUGAAUCUUCAUAUUGUUCCUCAAGGAUUCCUUUCUACCCUGGUGGCGAAGCCUACUCUUAAGGAUCAAAUUAUAGCUGGCCAAAAGCGUGACAAGGGUAUAUCACGGAUCAAGGAGAAUAUUUUUAGCGGAAACGCUAAAGAAUUUUCCAUGAAUGAUCAAGGUGUGGUAUUCUUCCAGAAUCGUUUAGUGGUUCCUAAGGACCCACAUCUAAGGCAGUUAAUUCUUAAGGAGGCUCAUGAUUCCCCUCUCACCAUUCAUCCCGGUAGUACUAAGAUGUAUCAGGACCUACGCCAGAGGUUCUGGUGGACUAGGAUGAAGAGAGAAAUUGCUGAGUUCGUUGCUAACUGCGACGUUUGUCAUCGAGUUAAGGCAGAACAUCAAAAGCCUGCUGGCACCCUUCAACCUUUAGCUAUUCCUGAAUGGAAAUGGGAUAAAGUUAGCAUGGAUUUCAUUACUGGAUUUCCCAAGACCAAGAAAGGAAAUAAUGCUAUCUUUGUGGUCAUUGACCGUCUUUCCAAAGUGGCUCAUUUUCUUCCUGUUCGUGAGAGUAUAACAGCUAGCCAGCUAGCAGAGUUAUAUAUCUCUCGAAUAGUGUCUCUUCAUGGUGUUCCCCUGGAAAUUAACUCGGACCGUGGAAGUAUCUUUACUUCUCGAUUCUGGGAAAGUUUUCAGAAUGCCAUGGGGACUCACUUAUCUUUUAGCACUGCUUUCCAUCCCCAGUCAAGUGGUCAAGUAGAAAGAGUUAAUCAAAUCCUAGAAGAUAUGCUCCGAGCUUGUGUUAUUUCGUUCGGUAUGAAUUGGGAGAAGUGCCUUCCAUUCGCCGAAUUCGCUUAUAACAAUAGUUAUCAAUCCAGCCUGGGCAAAGCCCCUUUUGAAGUUCUCUAUGAACGAAGAUGUCGAACACAUCUUAAUUGGUCAGAAACCGGAGAGAGGCAACUUUUUGGCCCGGACAUGAUCCAGGAUGCAGAAGAGCAGGUUCGCAUUAUUCAUGAAAAGUUGAAAACAGCCCAGUCUCGUCAAAAGAGCCAAUAUGAUCGUCAUCAUAAGGCUGUGACCUUUGAAGUUGACGAGAAGGCUUACCUUCGGGUUACACCUUUGAAGGGUACCCAUCGUUUCGGUAUCAAGGGCAAGUUGGCUCCUCGUUACAUUGGACCUUUCCGCAUUCUUGCCAAACGAGGAGAAGUUUCCUACCAGUUGGAACUUCCUCCGCAUCUUUCCAGGGUUCAUGAUGUUUUCCACGUCUCGCAACUCAGGCGUUGCUUUUCGGAUCCCAUCCGUGAAGUGGACCACGAAACGCUUGAUCUCCAAGAUAACCUUUCUUACCGAGAAUACCCCGUGCGUAUUCUUGAUCAAGCUGAGCGUACCACUCGACGUCGAAACCUCAAGUUUCUUAAAGUUCAAUGGUCAAAUCAUUCUGAAAAGGAGGCAACUUGGGAAAGAGAGGAUCGUCUCCGACUUGAAUAUCCUGCGUUAUUUCCGACGACUUCUAAAUCUCGGGACGAGAUUCUUUUGAGUGGUGGUGAGUUGUCACAUCCCUAAAACAUUAAGCUAGAUAGCAUUGUGCUCCUGUCUUCUUUGCAUUUGCAUCUAAGAAGUUUUAACAAAAACAACAAAGUGGCAAAGGAAAAACUCUAAACUCUAGCCACCAUUUCAAUUAAAGGAAAUUUCAAACUAGUUCAAAAUCAAUGAACCCAAAAUGGCCUCAAGAAAUGUUCAAACUUUCUGAUAAAUCAUGAAAGUAAAUGAGCAUUGGAGAAAACUAAUUCCUUGGCACUUCAAGCAUUUUAAAUAAAUGCAAAAGCCACUGGUUUCAAAUCUAAAAAUUUGAAAACAGAAGCUAUAAUUUUCCAAAAAUGUUGAAAGUCUUGGAAAUGAGUGGGGACAUUAUAACAAAUAUUUCAGGAGGUUUAAAAUAGUUUUUACUUUUUGUUUUGGAGCUGAAAUAAUUAGCAAAGCAAUAAAUAGCAAAACAGAAAAACAAAAACAGAAGAAAAAGGAAAAGUCUUACCUGACGCCCACGCCAGGCCCAGCCCACCUCGCCGCUCGUCCCCUUCCCCGCGCCAGUAGGCAGCAGGAGGUGGCCGCCGCCUCCUCCGGCGCGGCCACGCACCUGCGUGCCUGCCUGGCCGCCGGUUCACGCUGGCGACGGCGGGGAUAAGCUCCCCAGAGCCUCCCCUAUCCAUUCCNNNNNNNNNNNNNNNNNNNNNNNNNNNNNNNNNNNNNNNNNNNNNNNNNNNNNNNNNNNNNNNNNNNNNNNNNNNNNNNNNNNNNNNNNNNNNNNNNNNNNNNNNNNNNNNNNNNNNNNNNNNNNNNNNNNNNNNNNNNNNNNNNNNNNNNNNNNNNNNNNNNNNNNNNNNNNNNNNNNNNNNNNNNNNNNNNNNNNNNNNNNNNNNNNNNNNNNNNNNNNNNNNNNNNNNNNNNNNNNNNNNNNNNNNNNNNNNNNNNNNNNNNNNNNNNNNNNNNNNNNNNNNNNNNNNNNNNNNNNNNNNNNNNNNNNNNNNNNNNNNNNNNNNNNNNNNNNNNNNNNNNNNNNNNNNNNNNNNNNNNNNNNNNNNNNNNNNNNNNNNNNNNNNNNNNNNNNNNNNNNNNNNNNNNNNNNNNNNNNNNNNNNNNNNNNNNNNNNNNNNNNNNNNNNNNNNNNNNNNNNNNNNNNNNNNNNNNNNNNNNNNNNNNNNNNNNNNNNNNNNNNNNNNNNNNNNNNNNNNNNNNNNNNNNNNNNNNNNNNNNNNNNNNNNNNNNNNNNNNNNNNNNNNNNNNNNNNNNNNNNNNNNNNNNNNNNNNNNNNNNNNNNNNNNNNNNNNNNNNNNNNNNNNNNNNNNNNNNNNNNNNNNNNNNNNNNNNNNNNNNNNNNNNNNNNNNNNNNNNNNNNNNNNNNNNNNNNNNNNNNNNNNNNNNNNNNNNNNNNNNNNNNNNNNNNNNNNNNNNNNNNNNNNNNNNNNNNNNNNNNNNNNNNNNNNNNNNNNNNNNNNNNNNNNNNNNNNNNNNNNNNNNNNNNNNNNNNNNNNNNNNNNNNNNNNNNNNNNNNNNNNNNNNNNNNNNNNNNNNNNNNNNNNNNNNNNNNNNNNNNNNNNNNNNNNNNNNNNNNNNNNNNNNNNNNNNNNNNNNNNNNNNNNNNNNNNNNNNNNNNNNNNNNNNNNNNNNNNNNNNNNNNNNNNNNNNNNNNNNNNNNNNNNNNNNNNNNNNNNNNNNNNNNNNNNNNNNNNNNNNNNNNNNNNNNNNNNNNNNNNNNNNNNNNNNNNNNNNNNNNNNNNNNNNNNNNNNNNNNNNNNNNNNNNNNNNNNNNNNNNNNNNNNNNNNNNNNNNNNNNNNNNNNNNNNNNNNNNNNNNNNNNNNNNNNNNNNNNNNNNNNNNNNNNNNNNNNNNNNNNNNNNNNNNNNNNNNNNNNNNNNNNNNNNNNNNNNNNNNNNNNNNNNNNNNNNNNNNNNNNNNNNNNNNNNNNNNNNNNNNNNNNNNNNNNNNNNNNNNNNNNNNNNNNNNNNNNNNNNGUACGGGUUACUCUCAGAUAGGCGAUAAACCUGGACUAGGUACUAGUGUGGUUAACGGUCGUGGCCGACUCCCUCGCUGGGCUUCCGCUUGAAGGUUGCCGAGGUGCAUGACGUGCACAUGGCGAUAAGUGGCGGGAGCGUGUGUGACGAAGUACACCCCUGCAGGGUUAUGAUCUAUUCGAAUAGCCGCGUCCGCGGAUAUGGACUACUUGGAGACAUAUGUUGUUCAUAGAUAACUUAAAUGGCUACUCCUAAAAUUGUCAAGAUAAGCGUGAGUGUCGUGGACGGCAUUUCCGUAUGGAGACGGAAUGAUUCCAUGAUAGUGUAUUGUUGUGGUGUUAGUGGACUCGUGUGCGAGAAAACAAGUUGUCAAAACUAAUUUCAAAAAGCAAAUGGUCUAGCCAUGAGUCAAAUGCUGGCUUUCCGCAUGAAACCCCACAACACCUUCUUGAUACCUUGCAUGAGUAGUUAGCCAUCCUAAAGUCUUGUUGAGUACCUUCGUACUCAUGUUUGUUUAAUAAAUGUUGCAGAGGUUGCUAAUGACCCUAAUGGAGGGUUCUUCGUAGACAUCGACGACGACGAGUAGCUGGUGUCCCAGCUACGACCUGGCCCUACGUCGGCUCUGUAGUAUAGUCAGGCCAUGUGCCUUCUAGUUGCUUUGUCUGUACCCAGACAGUUUAUAACUCUUCCGCUGGUUUGUAUUUGUAUGACUGCUAUUAUGGGUCGAGAGACCCUUAAUGUGUAAUAUUAUGUGUGUGGCUCUUCCGAGCCUCUUAAAUAAAGCUUGUAUGUUUAUGGUUAUGUUGUGAUGCCAUCGAUGUAUCUAUACAUAUCGGUAUGCCAUGCGUACGUGUGUCUUACUUGAUAUGUAUGGGGUUCGAAUACCUAGUCGUGAACUUUAGUAGUACUCCUUACAAGGAAAUGCCCCUUUGUGAUCCAACGAGCCUUGGUAGUUCGCUACUGCUACGGACACAUUGGUUGACCGGCAUGUGUCCUUCUUAGCUGCUGUGUCUGUCCCCUUUGGGGAAAUGUCACGCGACGUAAUGGAGUCCUUGUAGCUUGCUACGACUCGCCUACGUUCGUUGAUGACCGACACCUGCUUUGUUGGGUCAUGUAUGCCUGUCCUUGUGCGGAACUGCCACUUUGGUUUAUGACUAGACAUGUCGAUCCGGGUUCUUUGACAUUGGAUUGCUAGCGACACUAUCGCAUACGUGAGUCAAAAGACGCAAACGGUCCCGGCUAAGGUAAGGCUGCAGCCGUGGAGUUAACCGUGCGUGAGACCACAAAGGGAUGCGAUGUGUUACAGGCUGGAUUCCUAUGGCUUACAAUAAGAUUGAGCCCUGAUAGUCUGAGCCCUGAGCUCCGUCGAGACCUGCGCCUCCAUGAGUGUGCAAGCUUUCAAGCCCUGGUCAACAAAGCGAUCAGUGCAGAGACUGGUCAUACUGACUUCGAAGCCACAAGGAAGCACUCCCGUGACUUUGGCUCGUCCUCUGGUUCCGCGUUUCCAAAAAGCAGGCUGUGGGUUCCAAACAGUUCUCUGCCGCCAAGAUACACUCCAAGGCCAUCCUACGUGGCGCCUCAGACGAAUCAGGCAAAUCCUCCAGCAAAAGCUUAUGGUGGUCCAGCUAGCAAUGCUGCACCACGUGCCAACCAGGUGAUUUGCUACAAGUGUGGAGAACCAGGGCAUUAUUCCCGUGAGUGUCCUCAGAAUGUGGGUGCCAAGCAACCCGGAUAGUCCGUCGGGCAGGCCAAGUCGGGCAAAGCGUUUUAUGUGAAGCCAACUCCUGCACGUGGCCGUGUGAACUAUGUGUUAGCAGAAGAAGCUGCAGAGGAUCCCGACGUCAUGCUGGGUACGCUUCUUGUUAAUCAUCACCCAGCGUCCGUUCUCUUUGACACUGGGUCUUCUCAUUCCUUCAUUUCAGAAAGUUAUGCACAGUUGCAUAACAUGUCAUUUUGUGAUAUGCCAAUCCCAUUGGUUGUCCAAACCCCUGGUAGUAAAUGGCAAACCUUUAGGAUAACCUAUGAUAAUGAGAUUCUAGUAGACAGGCUAGUUUUUCUAGCCUCAUUUAUAGCAUUGAAAUCUUCGGAUAUUAAUAUCAUCUUGGGCAUGGACUGGUUAUCAGCUCACUAUGCCAAGAUUGAUACUCACUCUAGAAAUGUCCAGCUUACCCAUCCCUCGGGUGAGAUAGUUAAUGUCUCUACUCGAGUUGCCAAAUGCCAGCUCUAUUCCCUAAAUGCCAACCCUCUUCCGGAACUUGAAGACAUUCCGGUAGUCCGUGACUUCCCGGAUGUUUUUCCAGAGGAACUGCCAGGAAUUCCACCUGACAGAGAUGUAGAGUUUGUGAUAGAUCUCGUUCCGGGAACUGUCCCAAUAGCCAAAAGACCUUAUAAGAUGGCACCCCUGGAGCUAGCCGAACUUAAGAAGCAAUUAGAUGAGGCCUUGAACAAGGGUUUCAUUCGUCCUAGCUCUUCUCCUUGGGCUUGUCCCGUCCUCUUCGUCAAGAAGAAAGACGGAACGGAUCGGAUGGUUGUAGAUUACCGACCAGUUAACCUGGUCACCAUAAAGAACAAGUAUCCGCUCCCCAGGAUCAACGAUCUGUACGAUCAGCUCGCUGGAUCCUCAGUCUUCUCCAAAAUGGAUUUGAGGUUGGGAUACCAUCAAAUCAAGAUUAAGAACGGGGACAUUCCAAAAACGGCCUUUGUUACCCGUUAUGGCCAAUAUGAGUACACCGUUAUGUCCUUCGGGUUAACCAAUGCCCCAGCCACCUUCUCUCGGCUGAUGAAUUCAAUCUUUAUGGAGUAUUUGGAUAAAUUCGUCGUAGUAUACCUCGAUGAUAUUCUCAUCUACUCCAAGAAUGAACAAGAACAUGCCGAGCAUCUAAGGCUGGUAUUGAUGAAACUUCGAGAGCAUCGCCUUUAUGCCAAAUUUUCAAAAUGUGAAUUUUGGUUACCAGAAGUGACCUAUCUAGGCCACGUAAUCUCUGGUAAGGGUAUUGCUGUCAAUCCCAAGAGAGUUCAAGCUGUCCUUGAUUGGACUCAACCUGAAUCGGUUAAGCAAGUUAGGAGUUUUCAUGGUCUAGCGAGCUAUUGUCGCCGCUUCGUCGAGAAUUUCUCCAAGGUUGCAAAGCCUCUGACUGAACUCCUCAAGAAAGAUAAACAGUUCGAGUGGACACCACAGUGGGAGCAUAGUUUUCAGGAACUGAAAAGACGCCUGACUUCCGCACCUGUGUUGCUACCACCAGAUUUUUCUAAGGACUUUGUUAUCUAUUGCGACGCCUCGCGACAAGGAUUAGGUUGCAUUCUCAUGCAAGAUCGUCAUGUGAUCGCAUACGCAUCUCGACAGUGUCGGGACCCCGAUCCUAAGCCAUAGGAAUCCAGCCUGUGACACAUCGCAUCCCUUUGUGGUCUCACGCACGGUUAACUCCACGGCUGCAGUCUUACCUUAGCCGGGACCGUUUGCAUCUUUUGACUCACGUAUGCNNNNNNNNNNNNNNNNNNNNNNNNNNNNNNNNNNNNNNNNNNNNNNNNNNNNNNNNNNNNNNNNNNNNNNNNNNNNNNNNNNNNNNNNNNNNNNNNNNNNAGCCUCCCCUAUCCAUUCCCCGCCUCGGUUCUCCUCCUCCGCCCGGAUCCCCUCCUUCUCCCUGCUGCCGCCAUUAGAGCCGAGCUCGAGCUCGAGCUGGCCGUUGCCCUGGCCACAGGAACCCCUCCCCGAGCACGCCUUUAAAUCCGCCUCGUCGCCUUGGUCGUCUCUGCAGAAGCCAAAGUCCCCUCGAGCCCUGCAACGCCCGCAACGCCGUCGUCUUCUUCCUCCGGCCGCCGGACAUCUCCCGUCGAUUCAUCGCCCCCAGGCCUUCCCCGAGCCGUCUGAGCUCUUCUCUGCACUCCCUGUGAGCAUGCGGUGGUUUCCCCUAAGCUUUCCCCGUCGAUCCCCUUCUCUAGCCCUAGUUUCACCGGAGGCCGACGAGCACCGCCGCUGCCGCUCGUCGCCGGUAGCCCUCCGAUGUCCAGCUCGUCCUCCCGUGAGCACCAGAAGCUCCAGGAUGACGUGUAGAUGCCGUAGCAGCUAAGAUCUAAGCGUGGAUCCCCCUGAUUCGAAGCCCCGACGACGGCCGAGCUUCGUCCGCCGCUCCGGCUCGUCGCCGACGCCUCUUCCGGCGACCCUAGCCUCCCCAGUUGGUCCUGGCAGAUCGGCCGCUUCGCGAGCUUGCUGUAGCUGCUAUCCGCGUGCGAUUUGGUGCUGUGUAGCGCCAUCUAGGCCGCCUCCGGCGAGCCCUCCGCCGCGGGUUUGGUCGCCGGCGACCACCCUCCGGUGGCCGUCGACGUGGCCGGCCAUUAGGGCCUAAUCGCCCUCCUCUGAGUCGCUGCCAGAGGGCCCCACGCCUGGUCAAACCCCAAUUAGGGGCUGGUCAGCGCGGGAUUAGUCCCAGAGAGGCUGACCAGUGGGUCCCCCCUGUCAGGUUUGACCUGCACAGGUCGGCUGACCUGCUGACGUCAGCCUGAUGCAAUAAAUAGAAUUUCCAGUUUAAAACUAAUUUAGGAAAUUGCUAAAAAUUGCAAAAAUCAUAGAAAUUAAUCUGUAACUCCAAUGAAAAUAAUUUAUAUAUGAAAAAGUAUCAGAAAAAUUCAAGGAUUCUGAUUAUGCUAUUUUCAUCUAUGUUUGAAAAAGUUACNNNUCAGCGCGGGAUUAGUCCCCGAGAGGCUGACCAGUGGGGCCCCCCAGUCAGGUUUGACCUGCACAGGUCGGCUGACCUGCUGACGUCAGCCUGAUGCAAUAAAUGGAAUUUCCAGUAUAACAAUAAUUCAGGAAAUUGCUAAAAAUUGCAAAAAUCAUAGAAAUUAAUCUGUAACUCCAAUGAAAAUAAUUUAUAUAUGAAGAAGUAUCAGAAAAAUUCAAGGAUUCUGAUUAUGCUAUUUUCAGCUAUGUUUGAAAAAGUUACAGAACCCUAAAUUGUGAAAUAAGGAAUACUUCAAUUCUUUUAAUCACUUUAUAAAUGGAAUUUGCAAAAAUAUCCAAAUUUCAUUAUAAAUACAAUAAUCACACACUGCCCUAGAGGUAAAUCAGUACCAUAACAUGACAUUCAUGCAUGUUAACAUUAGGUUGAUCUGAGGAUCAGGUCGAAUCAAUUAAACCAGUAUCCGAGAAUACCCGUUUGAAUUGCUAUUCGAAUGUGAUUCAAAUCAACUCUAAACUUAAAACAUCUUUUUGAAUUGCUAUUGGAAUGUGAUUAUAAUAACUUAUCACUUGCAUUCUCAUGCCAUGCUCAUGCAUCAUUUUGAUUGCAUAUGAUUGUUAUUGAAUGUUGCCGUUCAUUUCGGUAGGCUCCGCACCCCAGGAUUCCACCGAAUAUCCGUCUGACGGAUAUCGUUCCUCCUCUGAGCAACAAGGCAAGCACCCCUUUUGAUCAUCCCGAUAAAUCCCAUGUUCUUGCUUGUGCACCUAAUUAUUGCACCAGGAUCAAAUGCUUCAACUGCUUUUGCCACGAUAGUUGAACCCACUUCCUUUGCAUGACUUAACCUUGUCACAGUAAAUAGCCGAACCUUGCAACCUAGCAUACCUGGUAGUUGCUUGAGCUAUGAUGUGCCUUUUCCUGCUAUGCAUGCUAUGCUUAGAGUUGUGUAUGGUCUGUCAUCUGGGAGAUGAACAGAAAUGUGGAAUGUGUUCGGUGAGCAAAGGUCGUGUGUUGAACUUGAUUUGGUAAAGGUACCGGUGAAAGGCUGUGUAGGAGUACAUGGCGGGUUGUUUCAUNNNNNNNNNNNNNNNNNNNNNNNNNNNNNNNNNNNNNNNNNNNNNNNNNNNNNNNNNNNNNNNNNNNNNNNNNNNNNNNNNNNNNNNNNNNNNNNNNNNNAUCAAUUUCCACUUCAAUUGGCGUAGGCGCCUGAUAUGUCCAUUUUGCAUCAUGCUUUCAUGUUGAUAUUUAUUGCUUUUUGGGCUGUUAUAUUACUUGUGGUACCAUAUUUAUGCCUUUUCUCUCUUAUUUUGAAAGGAUUAUUUGAAGAGGGAGAAAUCAGGCAGCUGGAAUUCUGGACUGGAAAAGGAGCAAAUCCUAGUCCACUAUUCUGCACAUCUCUAAAUGCCCUGAAAAUUUACGUGGAUUUUUUCUGGAAUAUAUGAAAAAUACUGGGCGAAAGAACGACCGGAGGGGGGCCACCAGGGCCCCACAACCUUGGCCACCGCCACCACCCCACUCGUGGCGCAGGGCAGGCUUGUGGGCUGCCUGAAGGCCCACUAGCCACCCUAUUUUUCUAUAUGAAGCGUCCUGGUAUGAAAAAACUCAAUCAGGAGCUUUUUCGUGGUUUCGCCGCCACCACGAGGCGGAACUUGAGCAGAUCCAAUCUAGAGCUCCGGCAGGACGAUCGUGCCGGGGAAACUUCCCUCCUGGAGGGGGAAAUCGUCGCCAUCGUCAUCACCAACACUCCUCUCAUCGGAGGGGAGGCAUCUUCAUCAGCACCAUCUCCUCUCCAAUCCCUAGUUCAUCUCUUGUAACCAAUCUUCGUCUCGCGACUCCGGUUGGUACUUGUAAGGUUGCUAGUAGUGUUGAUUACUCUUUGUAGUUGAUGCUAGUUGGAUUGCUUGGUGGAAGAGUUUAUGUUCAGAUCCUUGAUGCUAUUCAUUAAACCUCUGAUCAUGAUUAUGAUUAUGUUUUGUGAGUAGUUACUUUUGUUCCUGAGGACAUGGGAUAAGUCAUGUUAAUAAUAGUCAUGUGAAUUUGAUAUUCGUUCGGUAUUUUGAUAUGUUGUAUGUUGUCUUUUCCUCUAGUGGUGUUAUGUGAACGUCGACUACAUAAAACUUCACCAUAUUUGGGCCUAGAGGAAGGCAUUGGGAAGUAGUAAGUAGAUGAUGGGUUGCUGGAGUGACGGAAGCUUAAACCCCAUUCUAUGCGUUGCUUCGUGAGGGGCUGAUUUGGAUCCACUAGUUUAAUGCUAUGGUUAGACUUUGUGUUAAUUCUUAUUUUGUAGUUGCGAAUGCUUGCGAGAGAGGUUAAUCAUAAGUGGGAUGCUUGUCCAAGUAAGGGCAGUACCCAAGCACCGGUCCACCCACAUAUCAAACUAUCAAAGUAACGAACGUGAAUCAUAUGAACAUGAUGAACCUAGCAUGACAGAAAUUCCCGUGUGUCCUCCGGAGCGUUUUUCCUCCUAUAAGACUUUGUUCAGGCUUGUCCCCUGCUACAAAAGGGAUUGGGCCACUUGCGGCACCAUUUCUACUACUUGUUACUUGUUACUUUUUGCUCGCUACGUUUCACCUCACUACACCAUCACUUGUUACCGCUACUUUCAGUGCUUGCAGUUAUUACCUUGCUGAAAUCCGUUUAUCAGAGCCUUCUGCUCCUCGUUGGGUUCGACACUCUUACUUAUCAAAAGGACUACGAUUGAUCCCCUAUACUUGUGGGUCAUCAGCGCCACAGGAACAACUUCAUGCGCCCUGGUACACACUGGUUGAAGUGACGGUUCAAUAACGUCAUCAAGUUCCACCACCCUCCCACUCAAUUCUUUCGAGAGAAACUUUUCCUCGAGAAAGGACCCAUUUUUAGAAACAAACACUUUGCUUCCAGAUCUGAGAUACGAGGUAUACCCAACUGUUUUGGGUGUCCUAUGAAGAUGCAUUUAUCCGCUUUGGGUUCGAGUUUAUCAUGCUUAGGUUUCUCCAAACCAUAGUGCGAAAUCCGAGUCUUGAUCCAUGCCAACCCAACAGACACCUUUGGAAAUACCUGUAGAGCACCUUUAUAGUCACCCAGUAAUGUUGCGCUGUUUGAUACACACAAGGAAUUCCUCCGGUGUCCGGGAGUUGCAUGAGCUCAUGGUCAUAGGAACAGAUACAUUGACAUGCAGAAAAACAGUAGCAAUAAACUGACACGGUCAUAUGCUACGGUUAUAGUUUGGGUCUUGUCCAUCACAUCAUUCUCCUAAUGAUGUGAUCCCACUAUAAAGUGACAACACUUGCCUAUGGCCAGGAAACCUUGAAUGAUAGAGGCGAAGUUGUCCGUGUCUUUCGAUGAGAUCGUGGGUAUCGUUUUGGUGGAGUAGACUUUGACGAUCCGACAACGAACGUGUGAGGACGUCACGCCUUAGCAAUAGCUAAACCAACUCCGAGAGGUUAUUGACCAUGCCGGAGCACGAUCAACCUAACCACGAAGGUUUGUUUCCUGCACGCAAACGAAGAAUAAGCCAGAAACCAAGAUGCAAUCAAGAUAUUGCGAAUAUAAGAGGAAAGCUUUAUUGAUGAAGGUGGGGUUCUGUGACGCCUUUGUCUGGUCGUAGAACACAAAGGAAGAACGCGAUGUUGCAGCUAUGGAGAACUUCUAAUCGAAACAAAUCCCAAGUCUAAACGGUGCCCUAAGGGUUGUAUAUAUGAGGGAAUAGAACGACAAUUUCGUGACCCUUGGAGGAGGGGUCCGAAAACAGCCCUAAACUCAGUUUCCCCACACAUACGGACUCCAAAAAUUGCCUAUAAUAUGGUAUUUCGACAUUACAUGGGCCUGGCCCAAAAAUAAGGUGGUGCAACACCUAUAAUAGCCUAUGAAUAAAAUUUAUAAAGUGGCGUCUUGGAUAUUUCGUCCAAAGCCUUCAUGCUCUCCUUACGGUGGCUUUGGAGUGCGAAAAUCACAAGUGGAAGCUCCAUUGUUCUCUCACGCGCGUGCACCUUCUUCUCCAUGCUUGAUCCCUCCCCAACGGAUAUCUUUCUAGUCCAUGCUAGGUCCUUCAUUCAUGAGCACAACAAAAGUAUCUAACUUCGGCAUCAUCGUAUGUUCAUGAACAUUAGAAGUAUUCCCAAGAAACGAAAGUACCUGGUAAUUCAAUUGGCGUGCAAGAGCUCUAGUAAUUGUUCCAGUAUGUACAGGAGCUGGGGAUGUGGGUGUAACAAUGGUGUUGAUGUUCUCAUCAUCCUCCCCUUCUUGAACUGAAGUCGUCCUCGACGGAAGCUCAUCUUCCUCACCCAAAUACGGCUUCAAAUCUGCAAUGCUAAAAGUGGGACUAACCCCAAAAUCUGCACGAAGCUCAAGUCUAUAUGCAUUAUCAUUUAUUUCUCUAAAACUUUGAAAGGACCAUCAACACGCGGCAUUAGUUUUGACUUGCACAAAUCAGGAAACCUAUACUUACGCAAAUGCAACCAAACAAGAUCUCCAAGUGCAAAGACAACAUGUUUGCUACCCUUAUCUCCAGCAAGUUUAUAUUUAGCAUUCAUGGACUCAAUAUUUUCCUUAGUUAAUUCAUGCAUCUUUAAUAUCAAAUCAGCACGUUCUUUAGCAUCAAAAUUAACCUUCUCCGAAGAUGGAAGAGGUAACAAAUCAAUAGGUGCACGAGGUAGGAAACCAUACACAACUUCAAAAGGACACAUCUUUGUAGUAGCAUGCAACGAACGAUUAUAAGAAAAUUCAAUAUGGGGCAAGCAUUCUUCCCACAGUUUUAGAUUGUUCUUCAAAACAGCCCUAAGUAUAGUAGACAAAGAUCUAUUGACUACUUCAGUUUGUCCAUCAGUUUGGGGGUGACAUGUAGUACUAAAAAGCAAUUUUGUCCCCAACUUAGCCCAUAAACAUCGCCAAAAGUGGCUAAGAAAGUUAGCAUCACGAUGUGAAACAAUCGUAUUUGGCACACCAUGCAAGCGAAUAAUUUCACGAAAGAACAAAUCAGCCACAUUAGCGGCAUCAUCACUUUUAUGACAUGGUACAACGUGUGCCAUUUUUGAAAAUUUGUCCAAGAGAACAAAUAUGCUAUCCCUCCCCUUCUUUGUUCGACGUAAACCUAAAAUAAAGUCCAUAGAUAUAUCCUCCCAAGGAACACUAGGUACAGGCAAAGGCAUAUAUAAACCACGAGAAUUGAGUCGUGACUUAGCUUUUUGACAUGUCGUGCAGCGAGCAACAAAACGCUCAACAUCCCGUCGCAUCUUUGGCCAAAAGAAAUGUGUAGCAAGUACGCCCUCCGUCUUCUUUAUGCCAAAGUGUCCCAUCAAUCCUCCUCCAUGCGCCUCCUGUAACAACAAUAGACGAAGAGAGCUAGCAGGAAUGCAUAGCUUGUUAGCACAAAACAGAAAUCCAUUAUUAAUGAUGAACUUGUUCCAUGUUCUCCCUUCUUUACGAUUCUCCAACACAUCUUUGAAAUUAUAAUCAUGCACAUAUUGAUCUUUGAUGGUCUUCAAACCAAAUAUUUUAAAGUCAAGUUGUGAAAGCAUAGUAUAAUGGCGAGACAAAGCAUCAGCAAUAACAUUUUCUUUACCCUUCUUGUGUUUAAUGACGUACGGGGAAGUCUCAAUGAAUCAACCCAUUUAGCAUGUCUACGAUUCCGUUUUGCUUGACUUUUAAAAUGUUUCAAAGAUUCAUGAUCAGAAUGUAUGACAAAUUCUUUGGGCCAUAAAUAAUGUUGCCAUGUUUGCAAAGUCCGAACAAGAGCAUAUAAUUCCUUAUCAUAAGUAGAAUAAUUCAGACUAGGCCCACUUAAUUUUUUAGAAAAGUAUGCAAUAGGUUUACCAUCUUGUAAUAACACACCUCCUAAUCCAAUUCCACUAGCAUCACAUUCAAGCUCGAAAGUCUUAUUAAAAUGAGGAAGUUGGAGUAAAGGAGCAUGUGUUAACUUAUCUUUCAAAACCGUGAGGGCUUCUUCCUGUGCGGUACCCCAAGAAUAAGGCACAUCCUUCUUUGUAAGCUCAAUGAGAUGUGCAGAAAUGGUGCUGAAAUCUCAAUAGAACCCGGUGAGUCCAAGGAAACUCCUCAUUUGUGUGACCAUUUUGGCUGCGGCCAACUCUCAAUAGAUUCAAUCUUGGCUUUAUCAACUUCAAUUCCUUGUGGAGUAACAACAUAGCCAAGAAAAGAUACUCGGUCUGUGGAAAAGGUGCACUUCCCAAGGUUACCAAACAAACGCGCAUCACGUAGAGCAAGAAAAACAGCGCGCAAAUGAUCCAAGUGUUCCUCCAAAGUUAUACUAUAAAUCAGUAUAUCAUCUAAGUAGACUACAACAAAUCAUCCAAUGAAAGCACGUAAAACCUCAUUCAUUAAUCUCAUGAAAGUGCUAGGUGCAUUAGUCAAUCCAAAAGGCAUAACUAACCACUCAUAUAAUCCAAACUUAGUUUUAAAUGCUGUUUUACAUUCAUCUCCCAAUUUCAUGCGAAUUUGAUGGUAUCCACUACGCAAAUCAACUUUGGAGAAAAUUGAAGAGCCACUUAAUUCAUCAAGCAUAUCAUCUAGCCUAGGAAUAGGAUGACGAUAACGAAUAGUAAUAUUAUUAAUUCCUCUACAAUCAACACACAAACGUGAUGUACCAUCCUAUUUUGGCACUAGAAUAAUUGGAACAACACAAGGACUAAGAGAUUCACGUAUAUAACCUUUGUCAAGCAACUCCUGUACUUGACGCAUAAUCUCCUUUGUGUCCUCUCGAUUGGUACGGUAUGGUGCACGGUUGUCGGGACCCCGAUCUUAAGCCAUAGGAAUCCAGCCUGUAACACAUCGCAUCCCUUUGUGGUCUCACGCACGGUUAACUCCACGGCUGCAGCCUUACCUUAGCCAGGACCGUUUGCGUCUUUUGACUCACGUAUGCGAUAGUGUCGCUAGCAAUCCAAUGUCAAAGAACCCGGAUCGACAUGUCUAGUCAUAAACCAAAGUGGCAGUUCCGCACAAGGACAGGCAUACAUGACCCAACAAAGCAGGUGUCGGUCAUCAACGAACGUAGGCGAGUCGUAGCAAGCUACAAGGACUCCAUUACGUCGCGUGACAUUUCCCCAAAGGGGACAAACACAGCAGCUAAGAAGGACACAUGCCGGUCAACCAAUGUGUUCGGAGCAGUAGCGAACUACCAAGGCUCGUUGGAUCACAAAGGGGCAUUUCCUUGUAAGGAGUACUACUAAAGUUCACGACUAGGUAUUCGAACCCCAUACAUAUCAAGUAAGACACACGUACGCAUGGCAUACCGAUAUGUAUAGAUACAUCGAUGGCAUCACAACAUAACCAUAAACAUACAAGCUUUAUUUAAGAGGCUCGGAAGAGCCACACACAUAAUAUUACACAUUAAGGGUCUCUCGACCCAUAAUAGCAGUCAUACAAAUACAAACCAGCGGAAGAGUUAUAAACUGUCCGGGUACAGACAGAGCAACUAGAAGGCACAUGGCCUGACUAUACUACAGAGCCGACGUAGGGCCAGAUCGUAGCUGGGACACCAGUUACUCGUCGUCGUCGAUGUCUACGAAGAACCCUCCAUUAGGGUCAUUAGCAACCUCUGCAACAUUUAUUAAGCAAACAUGAGUACGAAGGUACUCAGCAAGACUUUAGGAUGACUAACUACUCAUGCAAGGUAUCAAGAAGGUGUUGUGGGGUUUCAUGCGGAAAUCCAGCAUUUGACUCGUGGCUAGACCAUUUGCUUUUUGAAAUUAGUUUUGACAACUUGUUUUCUCGCACACGAGUCCACUAACACCACAACAAUACACUAUCGUGGAAUCAUUCCGUCUCCAUACGGAAAUGCCGUCCACGACACUCACGCUUAUCUUGACAAUUUUAUGAGUAGCCACUGAAGUUAUCUAUGAACAACAUAUGUCUCCAAGUAGUCCAUAUCCGCGGACGCGGCUAUUCGAAUAGAUCAUAACCCUGCAGGGGUGUACUUCGUCACACACGCUCCCGCCACUUAUCGCCAUGUGCACGUCAUGCACCUCGGCAACCUUCAAGCGGAAGCCCAGUGAGGGAGUCGGCCACGACCAUUAACCACACUAGUACCUAGUCCAGGUUUAUCGCCUAUCUGAGAGUAACCCGUACGGAAGUCCGGCCGAGGUUUCUGCCACGGCCUCAAACGAUGUGCGCAGGGUUCCCAAGCCCACCAUCCGGGUGCCACUUGGUACACCGUGCCACUGCCUACCGCAUCACGGUCCACCUCUCAGGUCAGCACCAUGCACGGCCUCCAGCAUUACUAUAAACACCAGAAACUACUUGCAACUCCUGGACCGAGUACUACGCGAUUAAUAGGCCGAGCGGGGUCAUAUUUCAGGGCCCAGCAUGUGGUAGUAUCUAGUCUUGGAUUACAUACACGAAACUCAGUUCCUAAGGACGGUUCCAAUGAAACAACCCGCCAUGUACUCCUACACAGCCUUUCACCGGUACCUUUACCAAAUCAAGUUCAACACACGACCUUUGCUCACCGAACACAUUCCACAUUUCUGUUCAUCUCCCAGAUGACAGACCAUACACAACUCUAAGCAUAGCAUGCAUAGCAGGAAAAGGCACAUCAUAGCUCAAGCAACUACCAGGUAUGCUAGGUUGCAAGGUUCGGCUAUUUACUAUGACAAGCUUAAGUCAUGCAAAGGAAGUGCGUUCAACUAUCGUGGCAAAAGCAGUUGAAGCAUUUGAUCCUGAUGCAAUAAUUAGGUGCGGAAGCAAGAACAUGGGAUUUAUCGGGAUGAUCAAAAGGGGUGCUUGCCUUGUUGCUCAGAGGAGGAACAAUAUCCGUCAGACGGAUAUUCGGUGGAAUCCGGGGGUGCGGAGCCUACCGAAAUGAAUGGCAACAUUCAAUAACAAUCAUAUGCAAUCAAAAUGAUGCAUGAGCAUGGCAUGAGAAUGCAAGUGAUAAGUUAUUAUAAUCAAGAUGUUUUAAGUUUAGAGUUGAUUUGAAUCACAUUCGAAUAGCAAUUCAAACGGGUAUUCUCGGAUACCGGUUUAAUUGAUUCGACCUGAUGCUGAGAUCAACGUAAUGUUAACAUGCAUGAAUGUCAUGUUAUGGUACUGAUUUACCUCUAGGGCAGUGUGUGAUUAUUGUAUUUAUAACGAAAUUUGGAUAUUUUUGCAAAUUCCAUUUAUAAAGUGAUUAAAAGAAUUGAAGUAUUCCUUAUUUCACAAUUUAGGGUUCUGUAACUUUUUCAAACAUAGCUGAAAAUAGCAUAAUCAGAAUCCUUGAAUUUUUCAGAUACUUUUUCAUAUAUAAAUUAUUUUCAUUGGAGUUACAGAUUAAUUUCUAUGAUUUUUGCAAUUUUUAGCAAUUUCCUGAAUUAUUGUUAUACUGGAAAUUCCAUUUAUUGCAUCAGGCUGACGUCAGUAGGUCAGCCGACCUGUGCAGGUCAAACCUGACAGGGGAGCCCCACUGGUCAGCCUCUCGGGGACUAAUCCCGCGCUGACCAGCCCCUAAUUGGGGUUUGACCAGGCGUGGGGCCCUCUGGCAGCGACUCAGAGGAGGGCGAUUAGGCCCUAAUGGCCGGCCACGUCGACGGCCAUCGGAGGGUGGUCGCCGGCGACCAAACCCGCGGCGGAGGGCUCGCCGGAGGCGACCUAGACGGCGCUGCACAGCACCAAAUCGCACGCAGUUGGCAGCUAUAGCAAGCUCGCGAAGUGGCCGAUCUGGCAGGACCAACUGGGGAGGCUAGGGUCGCCGGAAGAGGCGUCGGCGACGAGCCGGAGCGGCGGCCGAAGCUCGUGCGUCGUCGGGGGCUUUGAAUCAGAGGGAUCCACGCUUAGAUCUUAGCUGCUACGGCAUCUACGCGUCGUCCUGGAGCUGCUGAUGCUCUCGGGACGACGAGCUGGACAUCGGAGGGCUACCGGCGACGAGCGGCAGCGGCGGUGCUCGUCGGGCUGCGGUGAAACUAGGGCUAGAGGAGGGGACCGACAGGGAAAGCUUAGGGAAAACCACUGCAUGCUCACAGGGGGUGCAGAGAAGAGCUCAAACGGCUCGGGGAAGGCCUGGGGGCGACGAAUCGACGGGAGAGGUCCAGCGGCCGGAGGAGGAAGACGACGGCGUUGCGGGCGUUGCAGGGCGCGAGGAAGCUUCGGCUUCUGCAGGAAUGACCAGGGCGAUGAGGCGGAGCUAAUGGCGUGCUCGCGGAGGGGUUCCUAUGGCCASGGCAACGGCCAGCUCGAGCUCGAGCUCGGCUCUAAUGGCGGCAGCAGGGAGAAGGAGGGGAUCCGGGCGGAGGAGGAGAACCGAGGCGGGGAAUGGAUAGGGGAGGCUUUGGGGAGCUUAUCCCCGUCGUCGCCAGUGCGAACCGGCGGCCAGGCAGGCACGCAUGUGCGUGGCCGCGUCGGAGGAGGCGGCGGCCACCUCCUGCUGCCUACUUGCGCGGGGAAGGGGACGAGCGGCGAGAUGGGCUGGGCCUGGCUUGGGCGUGAGGUAAGACUUUUCCUUUUUCUUCUGUUUUUGUUUUUCUGUUUUGCUAUUUGUUGCUUUGCUAAUUAUUUCAGCUCCAGAACAAAAAGUAAAAACUAAUUUUGACCUCCUGAAAUGUUUGUUAUAAUAUCCCCACUCAUUUCCAAGACUUUCAACAUUUUUGGAAAAUUAUAGUUUCUGUUUUCAAAUUUUUAAAUUUGAAACCAGUGGCUUUUGCAUUUAUUUAAAAUGCUUGAAGUGUCAAGGAAAUAGUUUUCUCCAAUGCUCAUUUACUUUCAUGAUUUAUCAGAAAGUUUGAACAUUUCUUGAGGCCAUUUUGGGUUCAUUGUUUUUGAACUAGUUGAAUUUUCCUUUAUUUGAAAUGGUGGCUAGGGUUUAGAGUUUUUCCUUUGCCACUUUGUUGUUUUUGUUGAAACUUCUUAGAUGCAAAUGCAAAGAAGACAUGAGCACAAUGCUAUCUAGCUUAAGGGUUAGGGAUGUGACAACGGUUGGGUAGCGGUGCACCGGGAAUUAAGUUCAUCUGAUGCUCAAUCCCUCUAAUAGGUGGUAAUCCCAAUGGCACGUCUUGUGGAAAGACGUGAGCGAACUCGUGCAAAAUGUUAAUGACAGCAGGAGGCAAAGAGGGUGGCAUGUCCUCAAAUGAAAAUAAUACCUCUUUGCAUACGAAAUUAUAGCAAACGGAUGUAGUAAUAUCCAAAUCAGUAAUAUCAGAUUUAGUGGCAAGUAAACAACCAACCUUCAAUUUUAUUUCAGAGGCAACACUAGAUGAUGAUUUUGUAGGCUUAUUGUGUUGCUCAAAUUCCUUCGCUAGAAUCUGAUUUUCACUCUUAUGUAGGUCCUGUUUUGCUUUACUAGCUCUAGCAACGUCAUCUUUCAGAAUAUGUUUAGGAGACAUAGGAAGCAAGGUUUUAUUUUGAUCCUUAUGAACAAGAGUAUAUUGAUUUGUUCUACCAUCGUGUACAGAAUUUGUAUCAAAUUGGCAUGGUCUACCAUGUAAAACGGAGCAUGCUUGCAUGGGUACCACAUCACAAUCAACAAAAUCCGAAUAUGCAGCAAUGCUAAAAUGCACACGGACAAUACGUGUUACCUUAACCUUGCCAUUGUUGUUGAACCACUGGAUAUAAUAAGGAUGAGGAUGUGGUCUGGUGGUGAGAGAUAGCUUCUCCACCAUCUCCAUGCUAGCUAAGUUGUUGCAACUCCCUCCAUCGAGGAUUACGCGAAUAGAACGUUCCUUUACCACUCCCUUAGUAUCGAACAAGUUGUGCCUCCGAUUUUGCUCAUCCUGUGUUACCUGCACACUUAACACACGUUGAGAAACUAAGCUUUCAUACCUGUCACCAUAGCUAGAAGCCAUGUAUUGUGUCUCUUGUUCAGUAUCAUCUACACCCCAUUCUUCACUUGCAAUAAGAGAUAGAGUCUCCUCGUCGUAAUCACUAGCGGAGUCAUAUCCACCAUCCUCCGUAAUAGUCAUCACGCGCUUGGAUGGGCAGUCUCUCGCAUAAUGACCUCCACCCUUGCAACGACGACAAAUAACCUCAUGUGUUUGCCAUGUGGAUGCCAUGGAUGAAGAAGAGCUAUGUGCAGGCCUGGAAGGUGUGCUAUUGGCUAAGCUUGUGGCAGGGGCCUGUUUCCUGGUAUCUCUGGUGGAAUGGCUGAAGUAGGCGGUGCUGAUGUAGAAGGACGUGUGGAAGUAGAUGUGGUUCAUGGCGUCCAUGAGGAAGUGCGACCUGUAGAAAAAAUUAGUUCUCGCCAAUGUGUGUCUAUCAUGCACUUCACGUCCAGCUUUCCAAGCAAGAUGAAAUAAACGAGUGAUAGUGUUAUAAUCCUUAUAUUCGAGAAUAGUCUGAAUAUCUCUAUUUAAUCCACCUAUGAAACGUGCAAGCAUAGAUUCAUUAUCCUCAACAAUACCACAUCUAAACAUUCCAGCUUGUAAUUCAUGAUAAUAUUCUUCUACAGACUUUUUGCCUUGUCUUAAACGAUGUAUGUUUUGAAGUAAUCCAUGUUGAUAAUAUGGUGGAACCCAACGAGUNNNNNNNNNNNNNNNNNNNNNNNNNNNNNNNNNNNNNNNNNNNNNNNNNNNNNNNNNNNNNNNNNNNNNNNNNNNNNNNNNNNNNNNNNNNNNNNNNNNNNNNNNNNNNNNNNNNNNNNNNNNNNNNNNNNNNNNNNNNNNNNNNNNNNNNNNNNNNNNNNNNNNNNNNNNNNNNNNNNNNNNNNNNNNNNNNNNNNNNNNNNNNNNNNNNNNNNNNNNNNNNNNNNNNNNNNNNNNNNNNNNNNNNNNNNNNNNNNNNNNNNNNNNNNNNNNNNNNNNNNNNNNNNNNNNNNCUAACUCCCAAGUAAGAUAUAUAUGAGGAACAUAUUGACCAUCAAAAGUAGGAAUAUUCAAUUUAAGUUUAGGGAGAUGGUCAUGAUCCCGUACCUGAGGGUGUGGUGCAUCCCUACCAUUGCGAUUGUAUCCAUGUGGACGACCAGCGGCUUAUCGUGGUGGUUGUUGUUCCAGGUGCGGAACUGGAGCAACCUAUCCCUCAUCACCGUAAUCACCAUCAUAAUCAUCAUCAUAAUCCUCAUUCUUCUCAGCCAUAGAAUCCGACAAGCACACGUCGCGCUCGUAGUCGUUGUGGUUGUGGUUGAAGAGGGACAUAAGCUGCAGCUGGUGGUGGUAAACGGGCAAGCACCUCAUUUAACUUGGCACUCAUCUUGGUGUCGAAUUUCUUCUCCAUACAUUCGAGCUUGUCCAUGGCCUCUCCAAAGGUGGCCACGAAAUCAUGUACCUGGUCAGACAUCAUUUGCUGAAAUUUAUAAUGGAGCUCCCGGUUGGUCAGGUUCUCCCAGUCGAUCUCCUCGUCGUAUGAUCCUGGCAUGGUUAGCAGCAAUAGGAACACAGAAGAAUAUGAACCUACAGACUACUAGGAAGUGGUGGUGGUGGUGUGUCACAAAUCCGUCAAGCAAAUCUCAAUUUCUUACCAAUUCUUACCUAGCAGUAGGUGGCGAUCGGCAACCGGUGUAGUCAAAACUCUCAAAGCUUGGAUAGAGCGAUUGCCAGGUGGUUUCAAACACACGAUGUCGAUGUAUGUGGAGCUGGAAAGGCUUAUAAUACGGUAGCAAGAAGGGUCAGCAAUAAUCAGUUCAGAGAUGCAAAAUUGAAAAGACGCUCAACGAUGGUACCGUGUUGGUCCUAUGCUAGACCUACUAGAGACGCGAGCCUAGAACACGAAUGAAGUCACGACGACACGUACUAAUCAAGGGAAGAGCCACUCUGAUCUUUUUUUCUCUUUUUUUGCACUCUUUUUUUCUGCGCUUUUUUUCCAGAAAAUCACUAUAAUGGCGAGUGUCUCAAAACUCUUCCCAAGGACCAAAAACAGGAUAGGCAUGAAAAAAAUUGACAAUUAUUAUUAUUAUUUUUGGAGCAAUUCGGGGCUGCGAGGACCAAAAAUUGCGCCAAAAAUCACUAUGAUGGCGAGUAUCUCAAAACUCUCUAAAAAGCCUAACAAAACGAUAGGGGGAAAAAUUCACCACUCAAAAUUUUGGCCUAAAAAGUGAUGUGGAAAGCGUGCCAGACUCGUUUUUUCCGAAACCUACUCAGGUACGGAAACGCGAAACCUAAAGCAAAAGGAUCUCAAAAUUAACCUAAGGCGAGAAGGAUUGUGGUGGAUAUAUGGUGGUGGUAUAUGGCAGCAAGGAUAAUGGUGGCGUGGUGGUGGUAUAUGGCAGCAGCGAUGAUGGUAGUGUGGAGGUGUUAUAUGGCAGCGAUGAAAGAUAGUGCGGUGGCAGCGUGACAACCUGUGAACAGAACUCGAAACCCUAAAGAACUAGACACUAAGACCAGCAACUCGACACGACGAUGUAACCGCAAUUUCAACAAAGCGAACUACUGAAAAGACUAUGCAAAGGCUCAGAUUUGUUCGGAUAUGAUGAUCUAACCCUAACUUUUUAUGGAUUUUUCGUGGACUAUAGGUAUGAAGAACAAAUGGGAUCUAACUACGAAAACUGGUAAAAUCUCACCAAGCAACCUGGAAAUUUCAUACCACUUGAUAGAGGCGAAGUUGUCCCUGUCUUUCGAUGAGAUCGUGGGUAUCAUUUUGGUGGAGUAGACUUUGACGAUCCGACUAGGAACGUGUGAGGACGUCGCUCCUUAGCAAUUGCUAAACCAACUCCGAGAGGCUAUUGACCAUGCCGGAGCACGAUCAACCUGACCACAAAGGUAUGUUUCCUGCACGCAAACGAAGAUCAAGCAAGAAACCAAGAUGCAAUCAAGAUAUUGCGAAUAUAAGAGGAAAGCUUUAUUGAUGAAGGUAGGGUUCUGUGACGCCUUUGUCUGGUCGUAGAACACAAACGAAGAACGCGAAGUUGCAGCUUUGGGAACUUGUAAUUUAAACAAAACCCAAAUCUAAACGGUGCCCUAAGGGCUGUAUAUAUGAGUGACUAGAGAGGCAAUUCCAUGACCCUUGGAGGAGGGGUCUGAAAACAGCCCUAAACUCGGUUUCCACACACAUACGGACUCUAAAAUUACCCUAUAUUAUGGUAUUUCGAAAUUACAUGGGACUGGCCCGAAAAUAAGGUGGUGCAACACCUGUAAUAGCCUAUGGACGAAAUUUAUAAAGUGGUGUCUUGAAUAUUUCGUCCAAAGCCUUCAUGCUCUCCUUAUGGUGGCUUUAGAGUGCGAAAACCACCAGUGGAAGCUCCAUUGUUCUCUCGCGCGCGUGCACCUUCUUGUCCAUGUUUGAUCCCGCUCCAACGGAUAUCCUUCUUGUCCAUGCUAGCUCCUUCAUUCAUGAGCACAACAAAAGUAUCUAACUUAGGCAACAUCAUAUGUUCAUGAACAUUAGAAGUAUUCCCAAGAAACGAAAGUACCUGGUAAUUCAAUUGGCGUGCAUGAGCUCUAGUAACUAGUCCAAUAUGUAUAACAGCUGGGGUUGUGGGUGUAACAAUGGUGUUGAUGUUCUCAUCAUUGACCAUCUUUGAUCAACGAGCUAGUCAACUAGAGGCUCACUAGGACAGUGUGUUGUCUAUGUAUCCACACAUGUAUUUGAGUUUCCAAUCAAUACAAUUCUAGCACGGAUAAUAAACGAUUAUCAUGAACAAGGAAAUAUAAUAAUAACUAAUGUAUUAUUGCCUCUAAGGCAUAUUUCCAACAGGGUGGGCCUCCUUGGGGUGCCGCCAACCCAACUUGGGUGGCAAGGCACCCAAGUGGGGGAGGGGGGCGACCCUAACCCUAGCCGCCGCUUCCCCCUCCCUUGGCCGUCGGGCACUAGUGGGUAACCCUAGGGCGCCCUCCUCUCUCCCUUCCUCCUAUAUAUAGAGAGGUAGCGAGGGGGCAGCCACACAACAAUCUUGCCGUGGCGCUGCCCCCUCCUCUCCCUCGCAGUUUCUCUCCUCCAUAACCCCACGGCAAAGCCAUGUCGAGUUGUCACCACCAACACCUCACCAUGCCGGCAUGUUCUCGGAGGACUCAGGCUUCUACUUCACCAUCACUCGCUAGAUUGAGGAGGUGAAUGCGUCACCAAGUUGUACGUGUGUUGAACGUGGAGGUGUCGUCUGUUCGGCCCUUGAUCGAGAGAUUGCGAGACGGUUCAUGAUUGGAUCGCAAACACAUACCACUACAUCAACUGUUUUCGUAAACGCUUCCGCUUAGAGAUCUACAAAGGUAUGUAGAUCCAAUCUCUCCACUCGUAGAUGGUGAUCUUCAUAGACUAAUCUUGGUGUGUGUAGGAAUUUUUUGUUUCCCAUGCAACGUUCCCCAACACUAUCAAGUAACUUCAGACAAAUUAUCAUUCACUUGUUCUACUUUUUAUUUUUUGUUAUAUUUUUCUUACUUGAUAAAAAUCAAAAAUAAAAAAAUAUUUAUCUUUGCUAGUUGCUAGUUUACUUCUUUGCUCGCUUUGCUUGAUAGUUUACUUGUCCUACUAGUUACUUUGCUUGCUCGAUCACCAUGUCUCAAGAUACUACUAAGUUGUGUGACUUUUCAAAUACUAAUAAACAUGAUUUUAAUAGUACUCCUAUCACACACGCCACUAGUAAGGAGGCUUGUGAUACAAAUGUUGCAUUGUUGAAUCUUGUCAUGAAAGAACAAUUUUUGGGAAGUCCUAAUGAGUAUCCCGCUACUCGUCUUGAUAACUUUGUUGAACUCCGUGAUGUGCAAAUUGAAAGCACAUGGAUAAUUAUGUUGUGAAGUUAAAGUUAUUUCCUUUUUCACUAAGAGAUAAAGGUAAAUCUAGCUUAUCAUCUUUACCACGUAAUAGUAUUGGAACAUGGGAUAAGUGUUAAGAUACUUUUAUUACCAAGUAUUUUCCUCCUGCUAAGAUCAACUCCCUUAGAAAUCAUAUAAUGAAUUUUAAACAGCAUGAUCAUGAACAUGUUGCACAAGCUUGGGAGUGGAUGAAAUUGAUGAUUAGAAAUUUCCCUACUCAUGGUUUAAACUUGUGGAUGAUUAUCCAAUAUUUCUAUGCUGGACCAAACUUUCUAUCUAGAAAUCUUCUAGAUUUUGCCGCAGGGGGUACUUUCAUUGAGGUGACCUUAGGAGAGGCCACCAAACUUCUGGACAACAUCAUGACAAGCCACUCUGAGUGGCAUAAUAAAAGAGCUCCAACUAGUAAGAAGGUAAACUUUGUUGAGGAAAUCGCUACUUUGAGUGAAAACGUUUAUGCUCUUAUGAAUUUGGUUGGUGAUAAAAAUUCUCACCUUGAUCCUAAUGACAUGGCCUUGUUUACUUUUAUUGAGCAAAAUUAUAAUUCCAUGGAUGUGAAUUUUAUCUCAUGAAAUAAAUUUAGUAACAAUGCCUAUAGAGGUAAUUUCAAUACUAGGCCAUAUCCCGGUAACUCCUCAAAAGGUUAUGGGAACUCAUAUGGAAAUUCUUAUGCAAAUCCUUCUACAAAUAAUAAUAAGGUAUCCUAUGAUCUUAAAAGCACCAUUGAAUAAUCCAUUAAUUCAUAAAAGGUUUUCAAUACUAUGGUAGAGGAAAAGUUGCAUAAAUUGAUGAUUUGGCUAGAAACUCUAAAAAGUAAAACUUUGCCACCAAAGCAUGUCUUUAAUUAGACUAUUAAAUCUAUCCAAAUGUCUAUCAAUGAAAGUAGGGAGAGGACCGCCAAGUUGAAAGCUAAGCAGGAAUUCCUAGAAAAAGCCUUUCCACGCAGUUUUUACCGGAAUCAUGAUGAAUAUCAUAAAAUGCUUGGUACUUAUUCUAUUGAAUCUUUGUUUACUUCUCUAAAAAUAAAUGAUAAUGGGACUAGAGAUGAGUCAACUCUAGUUAGAGAGUGUCCCAAUUUCUUGGAGGGUGAUGACUAUAAUGAUAAAACUGAAAAAGUGGCUUUGGAAAGGUUAAAACUUUAACUAGUGAUGUGCCCACUAUCUUGGAUGUCGAGGAUUUUAAUUAUGAUAAUUGUUCUUUAGUAGAACUUAUGUCCUUGUUGCAAUCCAUCAUUAUCUCACCCAAUGCUUAAGAAAAAAAUAAAUCUUUUACUCAACAUAUAGUAGAAGCUAUGGUAAAAGCCUAUGAUGAGAAACUUGAGUUAGAAGUCUGUAUUCCUACAAAGUUGUAUGAUGGAUGGGAACCUACUAUUAGAAUUAUGAUCAAAGUGGUUGUCAGGAUGUGUCUCUUGCUGAAUUGCAGGAAGAGCUGGUGGUGUUGGUGCGCGAGGAGCAGGAGAGCGUGGCAUCGCAACGAGCUGAGUCCUCUCAGGCUCGACCUAGGUGUGCCUUCCCAUGACCGCCAGUUGCGGUGAGCCUACCAUCAAUAACAGGGGGUUGUCGAACUGCCAACUCUUUGCCAACCCCCACACGCUUGGAGAUGCAGAGAGUUGUUGACAUUGCCAACAAACGAAAAACUUAAGGCCCUACAAGACUUCCGCAAGGCCAGAGGGUUGUGCUUCACUUGUGGGGAGAGCUGGAAUCCUGGACACACUUGUGCAGCCACAGUGCAGCUCCAUGUUGAGGAAGAACUAGUGGGCAUGUUCUCACCCCAUCCUCAUGAGAUGCAGCACAACUUGCUGUGGAAAGUUUUCCAAAGACGACAUGUGCUUACUAUCUACUACAACGGUCAGUGGUACAGAGGCCCCGAUGGCGUUCAGGUUAUCUGGGCAGAUUGGUGACAAGGUUCUCCUGAUGCUCGUUUAUUCUUGAAGCUCACAUAGUUUCAUCAACAUUAAGAUAGUUUAGUCCUGGCCUGGAAUUCAACCAAUGCAAAACUCCCUCAGGGUAAAGGUCGCAGAUGGGGUAGUAACGAGUUGUAAUCGUGAGCUGCCGCUAUGUGAGUACAUCAUUCAAGGCUUUCAGUUCCGAUCUACUUUCAACCUUUUUCCAUUGGGAUAUUAUGACAUUGUGUUGGAUAUGGACUGUCUCGUGUCAAGAGGAGUGAUGACGGUUAAUUGGAGUAACAACCACAUGACAUUUAAACACAAAGGGGAGGUCAUCCAAUUGACUGGGAAUUCGCAGGGCAUCCACCAUUGUCAAGCAAUUUCAGCAGCUGAAUUCCACUUGUUACAAGCCCGUACCGAUGUAGCCCAUGUAUUGUUGUUGUCUGUUGGCAAACCUGAUCUCGAGGGGGCUCCAAUUCCGGUAGUACUUGAAGAACUUCUGGGCAAGUUUGUGGAAUUAUUUGAGGAACCGUCAGUCCUGCUACCAAGGGAAUUUGAGGAACCGACAACCGCAUUGAUAUAACCCGGCACAGAAGGAUGAAAUCAAAGCUCAGGUGCUUGAGAUGCUAAGACAAGGAAUCAUGCAGCCCAGUCGUAGCCCAUUUUUGUCACACAUGUUGUUGGUGCACAAGAAAGAUGGCGAAUGGAGGUUUUGCAUCGAUUAUCGCUUCCUCAAUGCGAUCACCAUCAAGAGCUGUUUUCCAAUUCCAAUUAUUGAUGAAUUGCUCGAAGAGUUGCAAGGGGCAACUGUGUAUACCAGCCUAGAUCUUCGGGCUGGAUAUCACCAGAUCCGCAUGCAUCUCGAGGAUGAAGCAAAAACUGCCUUCCAAACACAUCAUGGGCACUUUGAGUUCAAGGUGAUGCCAUAUGGGGUCACGGGGGGUGUACUUCAACCUUGCAGAAAGGCAUGCAGGUGGUGCUAAGACCACUCCUUUGGGAGGGCGUCUUGGUCUUCAGAGACGACGUCCUUGUGUAUAGCGGAACUUUGGAGAAGCACGUGUUGUUGCUAUAGUCAGCUUUUCAACUGCUGGAUCAACACUCAUUGAACGUGAAGAUGUCAAAGUGUGUGUUUGCUCAACCUCAGUUGCGUUACCUCGGGCAUGUCAUUAGCGCCGCAGGAGUGCAUAACGAUCCACGAAUAUCAAGAAGAUACAAGCAUGGGCACCCCCAGCCUCAGUCAAAGAAUUGAGGUAGUUCCUCGGGCUAGCAGGGUACUACCGGAAGUUCUUCAAACACUAUGGAGUGACUAGCAAGACCCUCACAAAGCUCCUAAAGAAAGGGAUCCCAUACAUUUGGAUGAAUGUGCAUCAAGAGGCCUUCCACUGCUUGAAGACAGGUCUCUCCACGGCAUCAGUGUUGGCUCUGCCUGAUUUCUCCAAACCGUUCGUGGUCGAAAUGGACGCCUCGGACACGGGGAUUAUUGCGGUGUUAAUGCAACAACACCAUCCUAUUGCCUUCCUCAUCCAAGCGCUUGGUCCGCGGCAUUGUGUGUUGUCUAUUUACAAAAAGGAGAGCAUGACCAUUCUCAUGGCCGUGGAUAGGUGGCAUUCGUAUCCGUUGCUUUCUGAGUUUACUAUUUGCACGGACCACCAGAGCCUCUGAUGCAUGGACGAGUAGCGGCUUACCACCCUAUGGCAACACAAGGUUUUGACAAAGCUGUUGGGCCUGCAGUACAAGAUCGAAUAUCGACAAGGUGCAACAAAUCUAGCGGAUGAUGCUCUUCCUCAUCAACCACGAGUAGCGGCUAGUCUAUAGGUUGUCUCGGUGUGUGUGCCACACUAUCUAAACAUGGUCAAGCAAGGCUACAAGAACGACCCUUACAGUUCUCGCCUUCUGGCUUUAGAAGCGGUCAGAGCUCCUCUAGAAGGGACUUUUUUGGUCAAGGAUGGUGUGAUUCACUACAAGGGCAGAGUUUGGUUGGGUACUAAUGUGGAGGCAUAGUAGCAAUUUCUUACGGAACUCCAUGCCAGAGCCAUUAGAGGGCAUUCCGGUGUCCAAGUCACAUAUAGCCGUGUGAUACGUCUAUUCGCUUAGCCUAAAUUGAAGCAGUUUGUGAAGAAGUUCAUCUCUGAGUGUGAGGUGUGCAAACAAGCCAAACUAGAACAUGUAAAGUACCCAGGGCUGCUUCAACCGCUUUGAGUACCCCUAGCAAGCCUCGAAGAUGGUCACCUUGGACUUUGUCGAAGAAUUGCCAACAUCCAAGGGACUUACUUCAAUUCUCGUCGUGGUGAACAAAUUGACGUGGUAUGCUCAUUUCAUCCCACUCCGGCAUCCCUUCUGUCCUCUACAAGUAGCAAAAGCAUACAUGGAGAAUGUCUUCAAGUUGAAUGGGCCUCUGGACAAGCUGGUGUCAGACCGAUCGAGUAUUCACUAGCAAAGUGUAGCAUGAGUUGUGUAGGUUGUCUCGUACCACCCUCAACAUUUCCUCGGCUCGACACCCACACACUAUUGAAACUACAGAUAGAGUCAAUCAAUCCAUGGAGCUCUCUCUAAGGUGCUUUGUUCACAAUUGCCCGAGCAAAUGGGUGGAAUGGCUAGCGUUAGCUGAGUUUUGGUAUAAUACUUCGUAUCAUUCCACACUGAAGACAUCCCCAUUUGAGGUCUUGUACGGGCACAAGCCUCGAUUCUUUGGCAUCUCCAACAUUGUUGACAAAAUUGUCAUAGAUUUGGUGGUGUGGACUUGCGAGCGGGCAACCAUGCUGUCACUCCUUAAGCAUGACCUCCAUCGAGGGAAGCAAAUGAUGAAGAGAAAAGCUUAUGUGCAUCACUCGGAUUGAGCAUUCUCGGUUGGGGAUUGGGUGUACCUCAAGUUGCAGCCCUAUUCUCAGUCAUCAGUGGCUGCGCAAGGUAAUCACAAGUUAGCUUUUCGUUUCUUUGGUCCCUUUUGGGUUACUGGCCAUGUUUGGGAGGUUGCAUACAAGAUGGUGUCGCCACAAUAAGCCCCGAUGCACCCAGUAUCCAUGUGUCUCAGCUGAGCGCUGGGUUACCACCAACCACCCAAGUGAUGCCCGAACUACCGGUGGUGGAUGAAGAUCUCUUGGCAUUUCAAGUGCCCGCUUCAAUCCCGCAAUGUCGCUAGGUUCUUUGAUGAGCUAAGCAGAUUGAUCAAGUGCUGACUCAAUGGUCGGGGUUCCCUAUGUCACUUGCUACAUGGGAAGAUGAAGUGGCCCUCCGAUCAAGAUUUCCCCAAGCACUGGCUUGGGGGCAAUCCAAGACUCAAGGAGGAGGGAAUGUCACGAAAACACACAUGAGGGAACCCAGCAAAGACCAGCAGCCCAGGCCAUCCGGUUCAUCCCAGGAGGAAGCCAAAGACCAAGGCUCGCGUGUUGGAAAUAUGCCCUAGAGGCAAUGAUAAAAUAGUUAUUAUUAUAUUUCUUGUUUCAAGAUAAUUAUUUAUUAUCCAUGCUAUAAUUGUAUUGAAUGAAAGCAUAGAUACAUGUGUGGAUAUAUAGACAAAACAAUGUCCCUAGUAAGACUUUAGUUGACUAGCCAGUUGAUCAAGGAUGGUUAAGGUUUUCUGACCAUAUGCAAGUGUUGUCAAUUGAUGACUGGAUCACAUCAUUAGGAGAACGAUGUGAUGGACAAGACCCAAACUAUGAACGUAGCAUGUGAUCGUGUCAUUUUGUGGCUAUUGUUUUCUGCGUGUCAAGUAUUCAUUACUGUGACCAUGAGAUCAUGUAACUCACUGACACCGGAGGAAUACCUUGUGUGUAUCAAACGUGGCAACGUUACAGGGUCACUAUAAAGGUGCUCUAUAGGUAUCUCUGAAGGUGUCCGUUGAGUUAGAAUGGAUAAAUACUGGGAUUUCUCACUCCGUGUGACGGAGAGGUAUCUCGGGGCCCACUCGGUAAUACAACAUCACAUAUAAGCCUUGCAAGUAAUGUGGCUAAUGUGUUAGUCACGGGAUCUUGUAUUAUAGAACGAGUAAAGAGACUUGCUGGUAACGAGACUGAAAUAGGUAUAGAGAUACCGACGAUCAAAUCUCGGGCAAGUAACAUACCGAAGGACAAUGGGAAUGGUAUACGGGAUUAUAUGAAUCCUUGGCACAGAGGUUCAACCGAUAAGAUCUUCGCAGAAUAUUGUAGGAUCCACUAUGGACAUCUAGGUCCCGUUGUUGGAUAUUGACCGGGGAGUGUCUCAGGCCAUGUCUUCAUAGUUCUCGAACCCGCAAGGUCUGCACACUUAAGGUUCGGUAACAUUUCGGUAUAGUUGAUUUAUAGGUGUUGGUAACCGAAGGUUGUUCGGAGUCCCGGAUGAGAUCACAGACGUCACGAGGGUUUCCGAAAUGGUCCGGAAACGAAUAUUUAUAUAUAGGAUUGUUUAAUUUGGUCUCCGGAAAGAUUUCGGACAUUACCGGGAGUAACGAAUGGGUUUCAAGUUUUUCUGGGAGGGGCCCACCCACCCGGGAGUGAGCCUAAUAGCCCAAGGGUGGCGCACCAGCCCUUAGUGGACUCAUGAGGCCAGCCCAAGUGGGCUAUGUCGGCUAAGGAAAAAAACCAAAGAGGAGAAAAAAAGGAGAGGGAGGUGGGAAGGAAGGAGGGGACUCCUUCUUCCCAUACCGAAUUGGAGUUGUUGUCUCCUUCUCCUCUCUCGUCCGGCGCUCUAGGGGAUCCCUUGAGCACCAAGGCUAGCCCCUCCCCUCCUCCUAUAUAUACUAUAGGUUUUAGGGGUUUUGAGACACAACUUUGCCACGUGCAACCCUGAACCUCUACUUCGUAGUUCUACCUCUAGAUCGGUUUUCUACGGAGCUCGGGCGGAGCCCUGCAGGGACAUAUCAUCACCAUCACCAGCGCGUCGUCACGCUGCCAGGGAACUCAUCUACUUCCCCGUCUCUCUUGCUGUAUCAAGAAGGUGGAGAUCGUCAUCGAGUUGUACAUAUGCAGAACGUGGAUGUGCCGUCCGUUUGGCGCUAGAUCGGAACGGAUCGUGGGACGACGGUGAUUUGAAUCACGAAGCUGUUCCACUACAUCAAUCGUGUUUCUUAACGCUUCCCGCUUAGCGAUCUACAAUGGUAUGUGGAUUCGAUCUCCCUCUCGUAUAUGAACAUCACCAUGAUAGGUCUUCGUGUGCGUAGGAAAAUUUUUGUUUCCCAUGCAACGUUCCCAAAGAGUGGUAUUAGAGCUAGGUUCAUGCGUAGAUGUAAUCUCGAGUAGAACACAAAAGUUUUUGUGGGCGUUGAUGUUCGAUUUGCUUCCCUCCUUAGUCUUUUCUCGAUUCGACGGUAUUGUUGGAUUGAAGCGGCCCGGACCAAUAUUACUCGUACGCUUACGAGAGACCAGUUUCAUUGACUAACAUGCAACUCGUUGCAUAAAGAUGACUGGCGGGUGCCUUUUUCUUCAACUUUAGUUGAAUUGGAUUUGACCGAGGCGUUCCUUGGAGAGAGGUUAAAUAGCAAUUUGCACAUCUCCGUUGUGGUUUUGCGUAAGUAAGAUGCGAUCAUACUAGAUACCCAUAGCAGCCACUUAAAAAUGCAACAAACAAUCAGAGGACGUCUAACUUGUUUUUGCAGGGUAUGCAUGUGAUGUGAUAUGGCCAAAGACAUGAUGUGAUAUAUUGGAUGUAUGAGAUGAUCAUGUUGUAAUAGUUAAAUAUCGACUUGCACGUCGAUGCUACGACAACCGGCAGGAGCCAUAGGGUUGUCCUUGAACUAACGUUUGUGCUUGCAGAUGCGGUUACUAUAUUGCUAGGUUGUAGCUUUAGUACUAAUAGCAUAGAUAGCACGACAACCUCGAUGGCGGCACGAUGAUAGAGAUCAUGAUGAUGGAGAUCAUGGGGUGCCGCUGGUGACGAUGAAGAUCAUGCCGGUGCUUGGUGCUAGAGAUCCAGAAGCACAGGAUCAUGGCCAUAUCAUGUCACUUAUGAAUUGCAUGUGAUGUUAAUACUUUUAUGCACCUUAUCUUCCUUAGAAUGACGGUAGCAUUAUAAGGUGAUCCCUUACUAAAAUUUCAAGAUAAAAUUCUGUUCUCCCCGAAUGUGCACCGUUUCGACAGUUCGUUGUUUCGAGACACCACGUGAUGAUCGGGUGUGAUAGCCUCAACGUUUACAUACAACGGGUGCAAAACAGUUGCACACGCGGAACACUCGAGUUAAACUUGACGAGCCUAGCAUGUACAUACAUGGCCUCGGAACACAAGAGAACGAAAGGUCGAGCAUGAAUCAUAUAGUUGAUAUUAUCAACAUGGAGAUGUUCACCACUGAAACUAUACUCAACUCACGUGAUGAUCGGACUUGAGUUAGUGGAUUUGGAUCAUGUGCCACUCGAAUAACUAGAGGGAUGUCUAUUUGAGUGGGACUUCUUAAGUAAUAUGAUUAAUUGAACUAAUUAUCAUGGACAUAGUCAAAAGGUCUUUGCAAAUUAUGGUGUAGCUUGUGUUGUAGCUCUACUAUUUUUUUAAAUGUUCCUAGAGAAAAUUUAGUUGAAAGAUGAUAAUAGCAGUUUUAUCGGACUGAGUACGUAAACUGAGGAUUGUCCUCAUUGCUGCGCAGAAGGCUUAUGUCCUUAAUGCACCGCUCGGUGUGCUGCACCUCGAGCGUCGUCUGUGGAUGUUGCGAAGAUCUGACAUACACAUUUUUAUGACUAUGUGAUAGUUCAGUGCGUAAUGCUUAACGACUUAGAAUUGGGGCGCCGAAGACGUUUUGAAACGUCACGGAACAUAUGAGAUGUUCCAAGAGAUGAAAUUGGGAUUUCAUGGUCGUGCCCGCGUUGGGAGGUAUGAGAUCUCCGACAAGAUUCUUUGUCUACAAAGUUAAGGAGAAAAGCUCAAUCGUUGAGCAUGUGCUCAGAUUGUGUGAGUGCAACAGUCGCUUGAAUCAAGUGGGAGUUAAUCUUCCACAUGAUAUAGUGAUGGUUCUCCAAAGUCAGUGCCACCAAGCUAUCAGAACUUCGUGAUGAACUAUAACAUAUCAAGGAUAGGUAUGAUGAUCCUUGAGCGAUUCGCAAUGUUUGACACUGCGAAAGUAGAAAUAAAGUAGGAGCAUCAAUUGUUAAUGGUUAGUAAAACCACUAGUUUCAAGAAGGGCAAGGGCUAGAAGGGAUGCUUCAUGAAAGGGCAAACCAGUUGCUGCUCUAAUGAAGAAACCCAAGGUUGAACUCAAACCCAAGACUAAGUGCUUCUACUAUGAGGGGAACGGCCACGGAGGCGGAACUACCCUAGAUACUUGGUAGAUGAGAAGGUUGGCGAAGUCGACAAAGUAUAUUUGAUAUACAUGAUAUUGAUGUAUACCUUACUAGUAUUCCUAGUAGCGCCAGGGUAUUAGAUACUGGUUCAGUUGCUAAGUGUUAGUAACUCGAAGUUAUAGCUACGUAUUAAAAGGAUACUAGCAAGGGUGAGGUGACGAUGUGUGUUGGAAGUAAUUCUAAGGUUGAUGUGAUCAAACAUCGCACACUCCCUCUACCAUCGGGAUUGGUGUUAAACCUAAAUAAUUGUUAUUUGGUGUUUGCGUUGAGCAUGAACAUGAUUGGAUCGUGUUUACUGCAAUAUAACUGUUCAUUUAAAGAGAAUAAUUGUUAUUCUAUUUGCGUGAAUAAUUACCUUCAAUGGUUUAUUGAAUCUCGAUCGUAGUGCUACACAUUUUCAUAAUAUUGAUGCCAAAAGGUACAAGGUAGUAAUGAUAGUACCACUUACUUAUGGCACUGCCACUUGAGUCAUAUUGGUGUAAAAUGCAUGAAGAAGCUCCAUGCUGAUGGAUCUUUGUACUCACUAAUUUUUGAAACGUUUGAGACAUGCAAACCAUACAUAUUGGUAUAAAUGCAUGAAGAAACUCCAUGCAGAUGGAUCGUUUGGACUCACUUGAUUUUGAAUCACUUGAGACAUGCAAAUCAUACCACAUGGGCAAGAUGACUGAAGGCCUCGUUUUCGAGUGAGAUGGAACUAGAAAGUAACUUAUUGGAAGUAAUACAUUUGGUUGUAUGCAGUCCAAUGAGUGCUCAGGCACGUAGUGGAUAUCGUUAUGUUCUUACUUCACAGAUGAUUUGAGUAGAUACUAGUGUAUUUUCUUAAUGAAACACACGUCUGAAUUAUUGAAAGGUUCAAGAAGUUUCAGAGUGAAGUUGAAGAUCGUUGUGACAAGAGGGUAACAUGUCUACGAUAUGAUCAUAGAGAUGAAUAUCUGAGUUGUGAGUUUGGUACACAAUUAAGACAAAUGUGAAAAUUGUUUCACAUCUCAUGCCACCUAGAACACCGUAGUAUGAUGGUGUGUCCGAACGUCAUAGUCGUGCCCUAUUUGAUAUGGUGCAUACUAUGAUGUCUCUUAUCAAAUUACCACUAUCGUUUAUGGGUUAUGCAUUAGAGACAACCGCAUUCACUUUAAAUAGGGCACCAUGUAUUUCCGUCGAGAUGACACUGUAUGAGCUAUGGUUUGGAGAAACCUAAGCUAUCGUUUCUUGAAAGUUUGGGGCUACGACGCUUAUGUGAAAAAAAAUUCAGUCUGAUAAGCUCGAACCUAAAGCGGAUAAAUGCAUCUUCAUAGGAUAUCCAAAACAGUUGGGUAUACCUCCUAUCUCAGAUCCGAAAGCAAAGUGUUUGUUUCUAGAAACGGGUCCUUUCUCGAGGAAAAGUUUCUCUCGAAAGAACUGAGUGGGAGGGUGGUGGAACUUGAUGAGGUUAUUGAACCGUCACUUCAACCAGUGUGUAGCAGGGCGCACGAAGUUGUUCCGGUGGCGCGUACUCCAAUUGAAGUGGAAACUGAUGAUAGUGACCAUUAAGCUUCGGAUCAAAUUACUACAAACCUCGUAGGUCGACUAGGUCGCGUACUACUAUAGAGUGGUACGUUAACCCUGUCUUGGAGGUCAUUUUGUUGAACAACAAUAAACCUACGAGCUAUGGAGAAGCGAUGGUGGGCCCGAAUUCCGGCAAAUGGCUGGAGACCAUGAAAUCCGAGAGAGGAUCCGUCUAUAAAAACAAAGUAUAGACUUUGGAAGAACUACUUGAUGGUCGUAAGACUAUUAAGUACAUAUGGAUCUUUAAAAGGAAGACAGACAAUGAUGGUGAAAAGUCACCAUUAAGAAAAGCUCGACUCAUUGCAAAGAUGUUUCCCACAAGUUCACGGAGUUGACGAUGAUGAGACUUUCUCACUCAUAGCGAUGCUAAAAGUCUGUUGGAAUUAUGUUACCAGUUGCUGCAUUAUUUAUGAAAUAUUGCACAUAGGAUGUCAAAACAUUGUUUCCUCGAGAGUUUCCUUGAGGAAAGGUUGUAUGUGAUACAACCAGAAGGUUUUGUCAAUCCUAAGGAUGAUAACAAGUUAGCAAGCUCUAGCAAUCCUUAUGUGAACUGGAGCAAGCAUCUCGGAGUUGGAAUAUACGCUUUGAUGAGAUGAUCAAAGUUUUGGGUUUUAUACAAGGUUUGUGAGAAACUUGCAUUUCCAAAGAAGUGAGUGGGAGCACUAUAGAAUUUCUGAUAAGUAUAUGUGGUUGACAUAUUGUUGAUCGGAAGUAAUGUAGAAUUUCUAUAAAGCAUAAAGGGUUGUUUGAAAGGAGUUUUUCAAAGGAAAACCUAGAUAGAGCUACUUGAACAUUGGGCAUCAAGAUCUAUAGAGAUAGAUCAAAACGCUUAAAUAGAACUUUCAAUGAAAUGCAUGCCUUAACAAGUUUUUGAAGGAGUUCAAAAUAGAUCAACAAAGAAGAAGUUCUUGGUUGUAUUGUAAGGUGUGAAUUUGAGUAAGACUCAAAGCCCGACCAUGACAGAAGAAAGAGAAAGGACGAAGGUCGUCCCCUAUGCCUUAGUCGCAGGCUCUAAAGUAUGACAUGUUGUGUACCGCACCUGAUGUGUGCCUUGCCAUGAGUCUGUCAAGGGGUACAAAGAGUGAUCCAGGAUUGAAUCACUAAAACAGCGGUCAAAGUUAUCCUUAGUAACUAGUGGACUAAGGAUUUUUUUUCUCGAUUAUGGAGGUGAUUAAGGAGUUUGUUGUAAAGGGUUACGUUGAUGCAAGCUUUAACACUAAUCCGAAUAACUCUAAGGAGUAAAGAGGAUUCGUAUAGUGGAACGGUCAUUUGGAAUAAUUCCAAAUGGCCCGUAGUAGCAGCAUCUACAGGAUAACAUAGAGAUUUCUAAAGCACACACAGAUCUGAAAGGUUCGGACUUGUUGACUAAAACUUCUCUCACAAGCAAGACGUAAUCAAACCACAGAACUGCAUGGGUGUUGGAUUCGUUAAAACCACAUAGUGAUGUGAACUAGAUUAUUGAUUCUAGUGCAAGUGGGAGACUGUUAGAAGUAUGCCAUAGUGGCAAUAAUAAAUUAGUUAUUAUUAUAUUUCUUUGUUCAUGAAAAUCGUUUAUUAUCCAUGCCAUGAUUAUAUUGAUUGGAAACACAAAUAUAUGUGUGGAUACAUAGACAAAACACUGUCCCUAGUAAGCAUCUAGUUGACUAGCUCGUUGAUCAAAGAUGGCUAAGAUUUCCUAACCAUAGACAAGUGUUGUCACUUGAUAACGGGAUCACAUCAUUAGGAGAAUAAUGUGAUGGACAAGACCCAAACUCUAAACGUAGCGUAUCAUCGUGUCAGUUUAUUGCAACUGUUUUCUCCAUCUCAAUGUAUCUGUUCCUAUGACCAUGAGAUCAUGCAACUCCCAGACACCGGAGGAAUACCUUGUGGGUUAUCAAACGUCGCAAUGUAACUGGGUGAAUAUAAAGGUGCUCUAUAGGUAUCUCCAAAGGUGUAUGUUGGGUUGGCAUGGAUCAAGACUGGGAUUUGUCACUCCGUGUGAUGGAGAGGUAUCUCGGGGCCCACUCGGUAAUACAAUAUCACAAUAAGCCUUGCAAGCAAUGUGACUAAGGAGUUAGUUACGGGAUCUUGUAUUAUGGAACAAGUAAAAGACUUGCCGGUAACGAGAUUGAACUAGGUGUAGAGAUACCGACGAUCGAAUCUCGGGCAAGUAACAUACCGAAGGACAAAGGGAGUAGUAUACAUGAUUAUAUGAAUCCUUGACAUAGAGGUUCAACCGAUAGAGAUCUUCAUAGAAAUAUGUAGGAGACAAUAUGGUCAUCCAGGGCCCGCUAUUGGUUAUUGACCAGAGAGUGUCUCAGGUCAUGUCUGCAAAGUUCUCGAACCCACAAGGUCUGCACACUUAAGGUUCGGUGACGUUUUGGUAUAGUUGAUGUUGGAAAUAUGCCCUAGAGGCAAUAAUAAAAUGGUUAUUAUCAUAUUUCCUUGUUCAUGAUAAUCGUCUAUUGUUCAUGCUAUAAUUGUAUUAACAGGAAACAAUAAUACAUGUGUGAAUAAAUAGAUCACAAUGUGUCCCUAGCAAGCCUCUAGUUGGCUAGCUCUUUAGUCAAUAGAUGAUCAUGGUUUCCUGGUCAUGGGCAUUAGAUGUCAUUGAUAACAGGAUCACAUCAUUGGGAGAAUGAUGUGAUGGACAAGACCCAAUCCUAAGCAUAGCACUAGAUCGUAUUGUUCAUAUGCUAAAGCUUUUCUAAUGCCAAGUGUCUUUUCCUUCGACCAUGAGAUUGUGCAACUCCCGGAUACCAUAGGAGUGCUUUGGGUGUAUCAAACGUCACAAUGUAACUGGGUGACUAUAAAGGUGCACUACAAGUACCUCUGAAAGUGUCUGUUGGGUUGGUACGAAUCGAGAUCGAGAAUUGUCACUCCGCGUGACGGAGAGGUAUCUCUGGGCCCACUCGGUAGAACAUCAUCAUGAGCUCAAUGUGACUAAGGAGUUAAUCACACGAUGACAUGCUAUGGAACGAGUAAAUAGACUUACCGGUAACGAGAUUGAACAAGGUAUAGGUAUACCGACGAUCAAAUCUCAGGCAAGUUCUAUACCGACAGACAAAGGGAAUUAUAUACGGGAUUGAUUGAAUCCUUGACAUCGUGGUUCAUCCGAUGAGAUCAUCGUGGAGCAAGUGGGAGCCACCAUCGGUAUCCAAACCCCGCUGAUGGUUAUUGGCCGGAGAGGUGUCUCGGUCAUGUCUGCCUGUCUCCCGAACCCGUAGGGUCUACACACUUAAGGUUCGAUGACGCUAGGGUUAUAGGGAAUUGUUAUACGAGGUUACCCAAAGAUGUUCGGAGUCCCGGAUGAGAUCCCGGACGUCACGAGGAGGUCCAGAAUGGUCCGAAGGUAAAGAUUGAUCCAUAGGAUGGAUGGUUUUGGACAUCGGAAAUGUUUCGGGUGUCACCGGUAAUGUACCGGGACCACCGGGACCACCGGAAAUGGUCCCGGGGGUACACCGGGAGGGGCCACCAGCCCCAAGAGGUAGCAUCACUACAGGAAUCGGCUUCUUUGCCGUCUCCCAUCACAGACGACAAAGACAAUAUCCUGGACGGCAAAGACAAUAUCACAGACGGCAAAGAUUCUCACGGCCGGCAAAAUUUCUGCGUCAGCCUACGACGGCAUAGGACCUUCUUUGCCGUCUGCCCCCCCAAAGCGGACGGCAAAGCUCUUUGCCGUCAGCUUUCCUUAGGAGCAGUCGGCAAAGUGCUCGAGACGGAAGCCGGCAGGCGUUGCCUCCGUUAGGGGUUAACGGAGGCUUUGCCGUCUGCCUCCCCGUCCAUCUUUGCCGUCUGCCUUCUCUUCCCCUCCCCUCCCCCUCCAUCUUUGCCGUCUGCCUCCCCGUCCAUCUUUGCCGUCUGCCAGCUCCUCCCCUCCCCCCUCUCUCCACUCUUUGCCGUCUGCCUCCUCCUCACCCCUCCCCUGUUCCCUCUUCUUUGCCGUCUGCCCACCCUGGAGGCUGACGGCAAAGAGACCCUGGAGGCUGACGGCACAUUAAUAUAAUUCACCACACAUAUAUGAUAUAUAGUUCACCACACAUAUACUUGCCAACACAUAUAUAUAAUUCACCACACAUAUAUGAUUCACCAAUGUACAUCCCCAUAUAUCCAAAGAACCAACAUACCAGGUAUUGCACUGUUUAUCCAUAUAUACAUAUACAUAUAGUUCGACAUUGUUCAUCAACUCAAAUGAAAACUAGAUGAUAUACAUAUAAAGUUCAUCCAUCGACAUUGUUCAACUCCAUGAAUGCCAGCUUCCAUGCAUGUAGUAUAUCCAAUCUGCAAAAAUGUGAAUAAGAAAGUUAGAAGAAGAACAAAAUAUGAUGUUUUUCAGCUAAUUAUGUCAUUUUUAGUGGAAAACCAGCUAAGUAUAUGUGUCGUGAACUAUAUAUCAUUUGUUGGAGCUAAAUUACCUAAUUAUGUCUUUUUGAGCUAAAUGGGCUAAUUAUCRCAUUUUAGAGGAAAACAAGCUAAGUAUAUAAUAUUCAUGAGCUAACCAAGGUUCUUAUGCCAUUUUGAGCUUAUUAUGGUAUUUUGGAGCUAAAUGGGCUAAUUAUGUCAUUGUUGGGUUAAUUAAAGCAAGGAUAAUAUGAAAGAGGAGAAGAAAGAGGAGGAGGAGGAGAAGAAGAAGAAAUCAAGAAGAAGGAGGAGGAGGNNNNNNNNNNNNNNNNNNNNNNNNNNNNNNNNNNNNNNNNNNNNNNNNNNNNNNNNNNNNNNNNNNNNNNNNNNNNNNNNNNNNNNNNNNNNNNNNNNNNAGGAUCAUGUUCAUCAUUUGCGAGUAGUUACUUUUGUUCUUGAUGUCAUCGGAGAAAUCAUGUUACAAGUAAUCAUGUGAACUUGAUACGUGUUCAAUAUUUUGAUGGUAUGUAUGUUGUGAUUCCCUUAGUGGUGUCAUCUGAAUCUCGAUGACAUGACACUUUACCAUAUUUUGGGCUAAGGGAAUGCAUUUUGGAGUAGCUAUUAGAUGAUGGGUUGCUGGAGUGAUAGAAGCUUAAAUCCUAGUUUAUGCUCUACUUCGUAAGGGGCCGAUUUGGAUCCAAACGUUUAAUGCUAUUGUUAGAUAUUUAUCUUAAUACCUUUCUCAUAGUUGUGGAUGCUUGCGAGGGAGUUAAUAAUAAGUAGGAGGUUUGUUCAAGUAAGAAUAUCACCUAAGAACCGGUCCACCCACAUAUCAAACUAUCAAAGUAUAGAACACGAAUUAAGCUAUCAUGGUGAAAGUGACUAGAUGAAAUUCCCAUGUGCCCUCAAGAAUGCUUUGCCCAUUAUAAGAAACCACUUUGUCCUUCCUUUGCCACAAAAGGAUUGGUAUACCUUGCGGCACUUAUUUUUAAUCUAGCUACUCGUUACUUGUUAUAUCUAUCUUGCUAUCAAACAACUUGUUACCGCUAUUUCAGUGCUUGCAGAAAUUACCUUGCUGAAAACCACUUGCCAUUUCCAUCUGCUCCUCAUUGGGUUCGACACUCUUACGUAUCGAAAGGACUACAAUUGAUCCCCUAUACUUGUGGGUUUUAACAGGCUCCAAGAUCUUCAGGCUCAACACUUUGAUCUUCAAAACCAAAAUUGUGAGUAUGAAUCUCGUUUCAAGAGGAUGGGUAUAGUUGUAGAUUUCAGUAUUCCAGAGAUGAGCUCUUUAUUCUUGAUUGGGUAACCUAUGCCAUGGAAGACGAAGGACAAGCUUACCGUAUAAUCACCACCAUCACCCAAGAAUUACUCUUGACUACAUGGGUAUGGGCACCACCCUUAGCUUGUUCCAAGCUCAGGGGAGGUGCCUCGAUGUCGUAUGACCAUCAUUUCUACUAUUACGAUCUAUCUCAGUUCGAUCCUUAGUUAUUUCAUGAUUCAGAGAAAUAAAAUUUCAGAUUUGUUUUGCAUAGAAUGUUUGCUUUGAGUUCUACCUACCCUUGGAGUCGAAUGUGAGAGUUAUAUAAUAAAGAUUAGUUGAGUUUGUGUGCUCUACUUGUGUGCACCCAUCAUCAUAGCAUGGCAGUAAAAGAAAUAGAAAAGAACAUAUGCUUAUCUCGUGGGGAGUAAUGACUUCACAUAAAAAAGGGUGUAAGUGAUAAAAGUAGCUGGAAAUAAACAAACAUAGUAUUAGUCAUUAUUACAAUGUAAUCAUGAUUAUGAUAGAGGAGUGGAGAUUCUCAUACAAAUAAAGUAUCUUGGAUAUGUUUUAUGAUUGUGAGCCAUCACCAAAUAUUAUAUAAUGAUCAAGUGUUGACAUUGGACAUGGAAGAUAAUGUAAUGAUCAUGGUAAUUUAUAUCCAAAUAGAAUUUAUAUGGUUAUGGAUCCUUUAACAUGUGGUGCUUUCUUUAGAUCUUUUGCUAGCCAAAAAAUUCCGCACUAAGUAGAGAUACUACUUGUGCAUCCGUAACCCUGAAAUCUAGUUCCUUGCCAUGAGAGUCCAUCCUGCCUACCUAUGGAUUAAAUAAGAUCCUUCAAGUAAGUUUUCAUCGGUGCAUCAAGCAGUAACAAUUCCUCUUAAAUAUGUAUGAUCUUUUGUUGCAAAGUAAAAUAAUCUUUUUACAAUCUUGUGAUGGCAAAGAAAUAAAAGAGACAAAGUGCAUAAUAAAGUUUGCUAUCAUAAGGGGAAUACAAAGUGACGUUCCUUUGCAAUAAGAGUUUGCACAUCCAAAAACUUAAAAGUGCAUGACAAACUGUCCUUUCCUCUGCGAAGGGCCUAUCUUUUACUUUUAUGUUUUCACUCCUACGUGAGAGUUAACAAAGUUUAUUCCUCUUCCUACCUAUUAAUUCUAUAGAGCCAAGCAUCCAGUGUUGAGGAAACAUUUAAACUUAUAUCUUCAAGUGGGUGUAGAUGAUCAUGAUUUAUUAUUGUUGACAUUAUCCUUGAGGUAAGUUGAGUGGCAAAUUAGUUAAGCCCAUAUCUUCCUAUGUGUCCCAUGGAAACAUGAGCUCCAAAAACAUGUCUUGAACAUGAGCAAUCAUAGAAGACUAAAUGAUAGUUGAGUAUGUGAACUUGCAAAUAAGAAAGAUCUUACAUAGACUCUCCUGUGAAAUUUGAUGAAUUAUGAUUGUCCCCAUGAUUGAGAACAUAGUUUGUUGAUUGUCAAUAAGGUGUAUGCUUCGUACUCCAAUAAUCGUGAAUGGAUUGUUACUUGUUUAUGAGGAAAUAUGUGAUAAAAUACUUGCUUCUAUGCUAAUAUUCAUGAUGAUCUCAUGUUCGUAUUUUGUUUUUAUCAAAUUUCCCCUCUCAAAUCAUGUGGCCAUUACUUCGAAGCUCGAGUUUCACUUGAGGACAAGUGAGGUCUAAGCUUGGGGGAGUUGAUACGUCCAUUUUGCAUCAUGAUUAUUUAUUUAUAUUUGUGUUAUUCUUGUCCAUUAUUACCUAUUAUCAUACAAUUCUUAUGACCUCUCUCUUUGAAUAUGCAAGGUAUAUCACAAAGAGGGAAAUAUCUGGAAACUAGAAUUCUGGACCAGGAAUCCAAGAAAAAGGUAGAAAAAUCAGCGGGCUUCAAUUGAACUGAAACACCAAGGAGAAUUUUUAUCGAACAUGUAAGAAUUAUUGGGACAAAAAUAUACCAAAGGGGGCCCACCUCCUGUCCACAAGCCAACAGGGCGCUCCCACCCCCUAGGCGCGUCCUGAUGGCUUGUGAGGGCCCUCUAGACCUCCCGACCCCCUCGUCUCCUAUAUGGUGUGUUUUACCAAAGAAAAAAAAUCACAAGCUACCUUUCGGGAUGAAGCGCCACCAUCUUGAGGCAAAAACCUAGGCAGAUGCCCUUUUGCUCUCUGGCACACAGAUUCUGCCGGGGAAUUCCCCUCUGGGAGGGGGCUAUCGAAGCUAUCAUCAUCACCAACACAUCCUCCUUCCUUCGAGGACCAAUCUUCAUCGACAUAUUCACCAACACCAUCUCAUAUCCAACCCUAGUUCACCUCUUCUAUUCAAUAUUUAUCUCAAAACCUCAUAUUUGUACAUGUAGGUUACUAGUUGUGCUGAUUACAUCUUGCACUUAAUGCUUGUUGGAUUAGUUGGUGGAAGACAUUAUGUUUAGAUACUUAAUCAUUAUUAUUAUACCUCUGAUCUUGAAUAUGUUGACAAAGUGUGAGUAGUUACUAUUGUUCCUAAGGACAUGGGAUAACUCUUGUUGUAAGUAAUCAUGUAAAGUUGGUACUCGUUCGAUAUUUUGAUGAUAUGUAUGUUGUUACUUCUCUUAGUGGUGUCAUGUGAACGUCGACUAGGUGACACUUGACAAUGUUAUGGGCCUAAGGUAAAUCAUUAUGGAAUUACAAGUACAUGAUGGGUUGCGAGAGUGACAGAAGCUUAAACCCCAGUUUAUGUGUUGCUUCAUGAGGGGUUGAUUGGGAUCCACACGUUUAAUGCGAUGGUUUGAUUUAUCUUAAUUUUGCUUUCGUAAUUGCAGAUGCUUGUGAUAGAGGGUAAUCAUAAGUUCGUUGUUUAUUCAAGUAAGAUCAGCACCUUAGCACCAGUCCACCCACAUAUCUAAUUAUGAAAGUAGUGAACGUGAAUCAACUCAACAUGAUGAACAUGACUAGAUAGAAAUUCCCAUGUGUGCUCGGGAGUGCUUAUAAGAGUACUUUCAGGCAUGUCCUUUGCUACAAAAAGGAUUGGGCUACCUUGCUGCACCUUUGUUACUAUUGUUACUUAUCACUUGUUACGAAUUAUCUUUCUACAAAACUAUCUACCAUUGUUACUUACAUCACUUGUAGAGAAUACCUUUCUAAAAACCGCUUAUCAUUUCCUUCUGAUCCUUGUUGGGUUCGACACCCUUACUUAUUGAAAGAACUACGAUUGAUCCCCUAUACUUGUGAAUCAUCAGUAACCUACUUUCUUGAAAAAUGUGUGAGCAAAGAUACUCAAGGUUGCGAUAGCAGAAACACCCACAAGAAAUGAACCACUACACAAAUUAUAUUAUCAUGGUGGUGUUCGACAUCGCGAUCGCCACUUUAGGGCCUGACUACAUCAGAAAAAAUUACUUGCAUCAAGUUGGCAACUCAUGGCUCCUGCUAGUUGAUCCCUUACUACUACGUAGAUGUCGUAUACCAUGUCGACGAAAAUAGGUAGUCACCACUGGCGGAACCAGCAUCAUUUGAGAUCCAAGCACUCACUUUUAGUACAUCUUAUACGACACGAUCCUUUCUAUUUUGCAUAUGCUUUCAUUCAAGCACAGAGUAUUCGCUACUAAUUUGGCAUCAAAAUUAGGAACAUGAGCUUCACCGAGGUCCAUCCGACCUCCACUUAUGAACCUCAGACCUGGAUCUAUAGACAAGUUAUUUUGGAACCUCAUUUCUGACAUGGAUGACCACCCGAACAACAUGUUUCUCCUGAUUACUGGCGGUUUUGUAAUAGCACAACUGUGAGAGUUUCAUCAUGAAGAUUGAACCGACUGUUCGUACCCGACACUACAUUUUCGGGUGCUCCGUGUCAAAGGAUUGGAUGGAGAUCUCGAAGGUUUAGAGUAGAAGCACUUUUGGAACAUGGGCCCAUGGACCAUGUUCGUUGGACAUAGCUACCAGCUAAUACUAGAGAUGCCUCCUUCUGAUCACGAUGAAUAGGGACUCCCAUUCAUGAACAAAGGUUGUGUUUUCACAGCUCGCAUACGUAGUAGGACUGAGCUCGGCCGCCUGCUUGAGUUAUGACGGUACGCCGUUGAUGAUGGUCCUAUGUUGGAUGUGCACCUUAAGAGUUGUGGAGAAGAACGACACGAACACCGAGUCUGGUUCAUGCCAUCCCUACUAAGGACAGGGGACUGUCAUUACGUACUCAUAGUGUUGGUUUGUGCUGAUAGUUAAGUUAUGUAACACUUUGAAUAAGUCUUGUGAACCAUGUAAUUGGCCUAACAAGUAUGCACUGACUGCUUUUGAACUAUGUGAGUCAUGUGAACCAGUCAUGUGAACCAUGUACAACUUUCUGUAAGUCAUGUUUUGAAAGGACCUAAUUAGGCGUGUGUGUCAUCGUAUUUACGCUAAGUACCCACAUGUGUCAACACGAGGUGAACCGUAGUAGCCAAUAGAUUUGGCGCCUACUACCUAGUGAGACCAUCUGUGUAAAUGAAUCCGCCUGUAGGCCAUAAGUGUUGAUAGAAUGGUGUGCUAUUCACACCACAACUGCUCCUUUCAACGCAUGAAUCUAUCAAAUCAGAAACACUAUCUCCCUUGGCAAUUCUCGUACAGGUAAGAACUUCCAAGUUUUAAUCACGUCACACUAGACAACGAGCUGCCCCGUGAAGUCUCAUCGUCGCAGCCCAAAUAACACACAAAUUCCCCAGGCGCCGCAAGGGGUUCACGUGGGACGCGCGUUCACACUGGCGCUUCAGGAAACCCACACCACCCAGUCUCUCGUGUAGGGUCCGAAACACGGCGCCAUCAAACCUUGGCACAUCUAAUCAAUUGUAUUCGUUUACUGCAUGUUUGCCACGCCUAAGCAACUUGCUCUACCCGAGGCGACGAAUCGAUUGCAUACUUUAAACCGCACUACCCUGGCAGUCCAAUCAAGUUCAUUGUGUCCCAAGGGAAACUCCUCCAAGUUUGAGUAAGUGGAACCGCCCGCCCGCACGGCAGAUGCCAGAGCUACUUCUUCCCCUGCCUCCCAUAGAUCCUCUCUCAUACAAACCACAAUCCUAUCAUUUCGUCUCCAACUUUCACUCAGUCCCUAAGCCAUGGCCAUGUCGGAGCUCCAUGAUGAACCAUUGAGAGGCUUUCCGGCUAUGUUGUACGACACCGUGUGCUCUACGAUGGAGCACAUCGACCUUCUCAACCACAUUCGAGUCGCAUGAACCAACUUCUGCCUUAACCGGGAUGUUCCUCGCGUAAACCAGGAGGUGGCCAACAUGAUGGAGAAGACCACCGUGCUCGACUGUGACAUGACCUAGAUGGUCGCCCCCCCCCCCCAAGCUGGGACAGACACGCUUGUGAGACUUGUGAUCUACAUUGGGUUUUCCAUCAAGAGGAAUGGGUUAUCACAACACAACGUGGGUAAGUAUCUCCCUCUGUUAUGAAACCAAGGUUUAACUAACCAAUAGGAAUAUCAAUCACCAUCGUCUUCAGCGACCGCACACAAAAGAACAAACAACUUGAACCCAACGAGGGCAAGAGGGUUGUCAAUCCCCUUGAUCUCGUUAUUUGCAAGCAAAGGAUGUGUCUAGAUGAUUGUUUAUGAAAGUAAAAUGCAAACUAAAAUAAAAGCAAGUAAAUGGCAGCAAGGUAUUGGAGGUUUUGUAAAUAUAUAGUGAAUAUACCCGACGGGCAUAAUUUUCCCUAAUGGCAUCUCUCAUGAAAAAAUAGCAUACGUUGGGUAAACAAAUUACUGUUGGGAAAUUGAUAGAAAAGCAGCUAGUUAUGCGAUUUUCACGACAAUGAUCAUGUGUAUAUAGCAUCACAUCCAUGAACAAAUAGGCCGACUCCUGCGUGCACCUUUUACUAUUACUUCACUUCAAGAGCGCUUCUAUGCCUUCCACUCUACAUAUUAAGUUCCUGACAAACGAAGUAAUGCAUGGAGAACAAUGACAUGAUGUAGACAAAGUAAACUGAACCAAUAUGAAUAAACCCCAUCGUUUUACCCUUAUUAGCAGCAAUAUAAAGAUGCAUCUUGUCCCCUUCUAUCACUAUGAUAUAGAAAUCCACCAGGUUGAACCUACUGCAACGCACCUCUCUCACCGAAGAAAUAUCAAUCUAGUUGGCUAAACUAUUUCAAUAGAUUGGAGAGAAUUAUGAACCUAUCAUAAUCAUGCACAUAAGAAUCAUAUAAUAUUUCAGACGAGACUCAAAUAUUUAUCAUGAAUAAUCUGAAUAGAACACCAGAAUUCAUCGGAUCCCAACAAACGCACCGCACGAAAUGAUUACAUCAUAUGGAUUAAAGCGAAAAUGCGAUGAUCAUUGUAUUGAAGAUCAAAAGAGAGAGAGAUUGCCACAUAGGUACUGGCCAUGGACACGUACGUCUGUGGUGAAAUACUCACACAUCAUCGUGAGGGCAACAAGGUUGAUGAAGAGGCCCUCCAUGAUCGACCCCCCUCCAACAGAGUGACGGAACGAAGCUCCAGAUGGCCUCCCGUUAGAAUAGAGACUUGCAACGGCUUAAAAAGUGAUUCAGGACCUCCUCUAGGGUUUUUGGAAUAUACCAGAAUUUAUAGGCUAGAGAACGGAGUCGGAGAGGCUACAAGGCGGCCAGAAGCCAUUAGGGUGCACCCCUAGGGCGUGCCCUGUUGUCUUGUGGGCCUCUCAUGUGGCCUCCUGUCUCCUUUCAAUGCUCCUAGGUUUUGUUUUGGUCCAAAAAAUCACCAAAAAGUUUCCGGUCAAUUGGACUGGGUUUGGUAUUGGAAACCUAAAAAGUGAAAAACACGAAAACAAGAACUCGCAUUGCACUAGGUCAAUAGGUUAGUGCUCAAGAAUAAUGUAAAUUGGUAAAUAAAGCUCGCAAAAGUAUUCUAAAAUGAUAAUAUAUCAGCAUGGAACAAUAAAAAAUUUAUAGAUACGUUGGAGACGUAUCACCUUGCUCGUGCUGAUGGACUCGCCGACCAUUACAACAAGGAUAUUGUACGAGCCACCUCCUGAGAAGCCUUGGAGCACGCAGGUAAGCGACCACCCAAAGUAAUCAUAUUCUCCCUCGUCAUACUUCAGGAUGCAUCUGCCGACAACAAGUUCAUGUUUGUGUUGCCAUCUCUGAAAUUUUAAUAUUGUAUGGGAGCAAACAAAGAUUGGUCGACUUCGUUGAUGCAUAUGGCGAUAUGAACCUACACAGUGUGUACACUGGUCGGAAUGUACACCUUCCGCUGAUCUCUGCUCUAGGUUUCUCCGCAGUGGGCCUUUCAAGCACAACAGAUUUCUUGUACAACCGUACCAGGGCGAACCUAAUGAAGGUUGCCAUCUCCCAUCCACCAAAAAUAACAUUCAGCUACACAUAUGUCGUCAUCAUUGUGGUGAUCGACAUAGCGUUCGCCGUGAACAUAGGUUAUAACCAUGCUAGUGUGGAUGAGUGGAUACUAAUGUCUAUGACUGUUAUUGCACCGCACCACUAGGAGGAUGCGGUCUACAUUCAUGGCCGGAUUUGCUGUUAUAGCCAGAGCAUCUAAAUUACAUGUCUUUUUAUCAUUUUGGUUGAACGCUUGGUGAAUCUCAUUGGUUUAAACACCACGAUCCUUCGCUCCACCAAGGUGCCUAGAGGACCUACCCUUGUCGUACCAUGUUGGCAAGCCCAUGUUCUAGAACCUAGUGCUAGACACGGCUCAUCACUCGAACAACAUGUAUCUUGUGCGCUCGGGCGGCAAUGUGACACGUCACGAGCAGGGGGUCAACCAUGAAGGUCAAACGAUGUGUUCCUACCCAAAGCUAAAUUGCCACGUGUUCUGGUUCGACGGACAACAUCGGCAUUUCACAGGAGCACAGUGGAUGCCUGAUACGUCUCAAACGUAUCUAUAAUUUUUGAUGGUUUCACGCUGUUAUCUUGUCAUCUUUGGAUGUUUUGUUUACCUUUUAUAUCUUUUUUGGGACUGACUUAUUAAUUCAGUGCCAAGCGCAAGUUCCUGUUUUUCUGUGUUUAUGACUUUUUCAGAUCUGAUUUUGGAACGGAGUCCAAACAGAAUAAAAUCCCGGAAAUAAAUUUUUCCAGAGCGGAAGAAGAUCAGGAGGCUUGAGGGCCAAGGCAGUGGGCUCUCAGGGGGCCCACAAGCCCUGUUGCCGUGCCCAGGGGGGAGGCCGCGGCAACCAAGCUUGUGGCCCCCCUGGUGCUCCCCUACCCUAGGUCUUUCGCCUAUAAAUUUCCAAAAAAUCCAGAAAAAAUUAGGGCAUCCACGAAAACACUUUUCCGCAACCGCAAGCUUCCGUUUACGCGAGAUCUCAUCUGGAGACACUUCCCGGUGCCCUGCCGGAGGGGACUUUGGAGUUGGAGGGCUUCUACAUCAACAUCAUCGCCUCUCCAAUGACUCGUGAGUAGUCCACUUCAGACCUACGGGUCCGUAGUUAGUAGGUAGAUGGUUUCUUCUCUCUCUUGGAUCUUGAAUACAAAGUUCUCGAUGAUCUUCAUGGAGAUCUAUCCGAUGUAAUCCUCUUUGGCGAUGUGUUUGUGGAGAUCCGAUGAAUUGUGGAUUUGUGAUCAGAUUAUCUAUGAAUUAUAUUUGAGUCUUUGCUUAUUUCUUAUAUGCAUGAUUUGAUAUCCUUGUAAGUCCCUUCGAGUCUUGGGGUUUGUUUGGCCAACUAGAUCUAUGAUUCUUGCAAUGGGAGAAGUGCUUGGUUUUGGGUUCAUACCGUGUGGUGACCUUUCCCAGUGACAGAAGGGGCAGCAAGGCACGCAUCAUGUUGUUGCCAUCAAGGGUAACAAGAUGGGCUUUUAUCGUAGAUAUGAGAUUGUCCAUCUACAUCAUGUCAUCUUGCUUAAGGCGUUACUCCGUUCUUUUGGACUUAAUACACUAGAUGCAUGCUGGAUAGCGGUCGACGUGUGGAGUAAUAGUAGUACAUGCAAAAAGUAUCGGUCUACUUGUUUCGGAUGUGAUGCCUAUAGAUAUAAUCAUUGCCUUAGAUAAUGUCACAACUUUGCGCGGUUCUAUCAAUUGCUCGACAGUAAUUCGUUCACCCACCGUCUACUUGCUUUCAUGAGAGAAGCCACUAGUGAACACUAUGGCCCUCGGGUCUAUUCACAACUAUCAUUUCAACUUUCACUUUUACUUUGCUUGUGUACUUUGUUGCUUUCAGUUCUCACUUUGCAAACAAUCUAUAAGGGAUUGACAACCCCUUCAUAGCGUUUGGUGCAAGCUCUUUGUGCUUUUGUAGGUACUUGUGUCUUGACGAGAUCUUCCAUUGGUUCGAUACCUUGGUUCUCAAAACUGAGGGAAAUACUUACCACCGCUGUGCUACAUCACCCUUUCCUCUUCAAGGGAACACCAACGCAAGGCUGCAAGGCCGCGGGGAAAUCCUUUGCAUAUUUGCCAAGGAAGUCACUAAAGGCGUAGCCGUAGCAGCAGGAUUCCUGGCGCCUUACCAGGGAAGGUCUGUUGUCGUAGUAGCAAUACCCUAUGUCGACCUUGGUUCAUGCUCUCUCUCUCUCUUUGUAGGAGAAACCUAUCCCCUCGUGAUGGACAUACCACCUACACAUCAAGAUGCCAACAGGAUACCAUUCCUCACCCGAGGAUACGUUUUCAUAGCUCGACGGGGGAUUUCUUGCUCGAAUGGUCCACUCCCUCAGCUGUGCCAUUUUAGCCUAGGAAGAAGACUCACGUUGGGCUUCUCCAUCAAGAACUCAGGCUUGCAGGAAAGAGCCAACCACCCGGUGUGGCUUGUGACAUCGCUGUGUAACGCCAAGGAAUGGGUUGAGAAUGACGCAGAGUGAAGAAGAGACUACUGUAGUUGUAUGGACAAUCUAGUGUUUCAUAUAAGAACCUAUGACGAAUGUAUACCUUUUUAUGAGACUAUGUUUUUAUAUGUAAUGUGUUUGGAGAACAACGUUUGCAAAGUGUGUUUUACUAUGUAAUGUUUGUGAACAACUACUUGGCAUUCAUAUGUAUUGUGUUGCACAAAGUUAUUGCAGGCGUCAAGCUUUUACAUGUUAAAAAUAUGUCUUCACGUGAGCACAAAAUACAAGUACGCAUAUGUCACAUGGCAAGUUUGACCUAGUCAAUCAUCUUUACACAAGCGGGGCAUAGAAUGAAUACGAUCAUAUAUGCGACAUGGGGCAUCAAAUUGGCGUCAUUAACUCAAAAUACUAGCUUAGGUUCACAUGACCGGAGUUCACGACCUAACAUCGCUUAUGGUAUUCUGCACCUGAUCGACGAUAUGCUUGAACUCCUGGUUCUCCCUCUCCAACUUCACCGAGGACCUAGUGACAUACUCCAGGGAACGAGGGACAGACUCCAGCUUUUUCACUGCGUUUAUAAUAAGUACGAGCAUGGUGUUGUUUGACGAUCGGUUCAUCAUUGGCUCGCGUGACAUGGUUGCCGGAGGAGUGUAAGAGUUACCUUCCAUUUCCAUGAAAUCCCUCGCAGUGAAACUCUCUUCAAGUAUAACCAAUUCAAACUGGUACUGCUUGUGCUUCGUUGUACACAAAAUCUUCAUGACGGGUGAACAAACAUCAUCGAGCUAAGCCUAGAUAUUGGUGCGGAAGUAAGGCUCCAACUUUUAUCCGCGGUUGCGCUUGUCAUCUUAGUUAAAAUGAAGUGCAUCACCUGGAAGUCCUCCUUGUGGAAUAGCAUUAGCAGGUUGGCAGCCCAUUGGUGGACACUCCCUUUGUCUCCAUGCUUCGGGACGAGUGUGUGAUGUAGCACACGAGAGAGAAUGACAAGGCUAGGCUUCUUGUACUUCAGAUUACCGGCCUUUGAAUCUUUAUGUGAUGCCACUACGUCAACAAAGAAUGACAACACCUGGUCGGGCUCUAGGGGCUCGCCGACUUCGUGUAUCCUUUUCUUCAACUUUUCCCAUUCAUCAUCGAGUGUUAGUAGGCCAAGCACUUUGGCGAAUUGGUCCUACGUCGUCUCAAACUUUUUAUAAUGGGUCAUUGAUACAUCUCCAACAUAUCUAUAAUUUUUUAUUAUUCCAUGUUGAUAUAUUAUCAUUCUAGAAUACGUUUGGGAUAUUUAUUUAUCAAUUUAUAUUACUUUUGAGCAUUAACCUGUUGACCAUGUGCGUAGUACCAGUUAUUGUUUUCCGCAUGUUUUUUACUUUUCAAGGUUUUCCAUACCAAACAAAGUUCAAUUGACCUGAAACCCUCUCGAGAUUCUUUUCGGACCAAAAGAAAGCCAACAAGUGACGUAGGAAGGCCGGGGGCCAACGAGGGCUCCACAAGCUAACCCGGCUUGCCUUGGGGGUGCGUCUUGUUGGCUUGUGGAUCCCUCGAGGCCCUUCCGACUCCGUUCUUUGGCUUAUAAAUUCUCUCUUACCCUAAAACACCUUGAGGAGUCCCGAAACAUGUUUUACGCCACCGCAAGUCCCUGUUCAUACGGGAGGCCAUCUGGAGCUCCGUUCUGGCACUUGACCGUAGGGGAUAAUUCAUGGAGAGCCUCUUUAUGAACCUUGCUGCCCUCACGAUAAUGUGUGAGUAGUUCACCACACACCUACAAGUCCAUAGCUAGUACCUAGAUGGCAGUCUCUCUCUCUUUAUCUUCAAUACAAUGAUCAUCGCAUCUUCGCUUUGAUCCGCAUUAUGUAAUUCCUUUUGUGCGGUGCGUUUGUUGGGAUCCGAUGAAUUGUGAGUUUAUGCAUAUUUUUUAUGCUAAAUAUUUGAGUCUUCUCUCAAUACUUAUAUGGUUCUUAUGUGCAUGAUUAUUAUAGAUUCGUAAUUACCUUCGAUCUAUGGAAAUAGUUUGGCCAACUAGAUUGAUAUUUCUUCAGUGAGAGAGGUGCGUUGUAGUAGGUUCAACCUGGCGAAUUUCCAUAUCCCAGAAAUAGAAGGGGACCAGAUGCGUCUUUGUGUUGCUUCUACUAAGGAUACAAUGACGGGGUUUAUUUAUAUUGCUUGAGUUUACUUUGUAUACAUCAUGUCUUUUUUCUCCAUGCAUUACUCUCUUUUACUUAAUACUUUAGAUGCAUGCUCGAUAAUGGUCGAUGAGUGGAGUAAUAGUAAUAGAUGCAGGCAGGAGCCGACCUAUUUGUUUAUGGACGUGAUGACUAUAUACACAUGAUCAUUGAUGUGAAUAUUGCAUAACUAUUAGCUUUUUUGUCAAUUGGCCAACAGUAAUUUUUUUACCCACCAUACACAAGUAGGAGAAAUGCUAGGCGCUAGUUUUGCCCUUACCAGUACCGCUUGUGCUAGCGCUACUACAAUCGCGCUACAACUAAUCUAUUAGCAGUAGCGCUGAAAAUAAAAGCGCUACUAGUAUGCACAUUAGCAGUAGCGCUGGAAUAAAUAAAGCGCUACUGCUAAUAUUCCAGCUCUACUGCUAAUAUUCCUGUUUUUAAUAUUUAAUUCGCGUCGUAUUUAUGUCCGUCCUACGGAUUUGUGCAUGCUCUAUACAGUGGUUUCAUCAUAUCAUAAUAAUCAUGCAUAAUUUGCAUCACAUCAUACCCAUAAAGUAGUCUCUUCAUUUAUACCAUCAUCACCAUCAUCAUCAUUAUCCAACACAAAUAUCAUCAAAUCUCGCAAAUAGCGAUGCACACAAGUCAUGGCACACCCACAAGUUUCAUCAUCCCUAUCUAAUCCAUCACGUAGAAGAGAAGGGCGAUCAUCAUGAGCAAGAGCGUGACUAUGUAGUACUUCUUGAGGCACCGGUUUCACUCCGUCUCUUGUCAUAGCAUCAUCCACCUCAAGUAACUCAUUUCCGCUUUGGCUCUACUGUUGAACUCUGUGUGGCAAGCCCCCGGGUACCUGUCCACCUGGGCCUGAGCGUCUGGCCAGUGGUCGUACACUCCUGGAACCUCCCAAUGAAUAUGACGUAGCAGCCCUUCGCCAUCUCUGAUCUAUGUACCUGCAUCGUAUGUUGAUUAAUUCAAUGAUAUAUAAUAUGCAACAUAAUGUACUUGAGAAACACAAGCGGUAAACAUAUAUAAAUAAGAAAGUUCCUCAUACACAAACGAAUUAACUAGAGCGAUGUACGGUAGUUCAUAUAAAGACUAGUAGUAUUAGUUAUAACUGAACACACACAUUGUCAUCGUCAAUCACUAUUCCUCAUCGAAGUUCCAAUCUUCAUAUUCAGGGAUGAAGCACCCGAGCUUCUUGAAAGGAUUCAUGUCCAAACCCUGAGCGACUAGCACAUCUCGGACAAUCUCCCGCCUCAUUGUCCCAUCGUAGAACAUCCCUCCUUGUUCGAUGACCUACUUCAUGAUCACCUGGGCAUGUUCACACUGGAUGUGAUAAAACUCAGCUCAGAUUUGAUGAUCCAGUGUGCUUCCUAUGCUUGUGGCCCAGCUGCGAUUCUUAGCAUCACUGGAAUUAGAUGACAUGCCAAGGCGUUAUCUAUCCCUUACGAACUCGAUCAUGUGACGCAUGAGGUAGAAUCCAUCAGCCCUACUACCGUUUGGUUGCUGGAUGCACCAGAAGUUGGUCUUAUGGCCGAAAGUCGACGCUUUGUUCCUGUACUUUUUCACCUUGAUAUAUCCACCAGUAAGGCUAUAGGUGAAAAUGGCACUAUCGAGAACAUUAUUUAUGUGCGUGUAAUCCUUCUUCUUGAUGUUCAUCGAUGAGUCCGAGUAUAGAGCAUAGGAGUAUUGAGGGCACAAACAGAUGAGGAACCCCCCCCCCCCGUUGUGCAAAAUAAGCAGAGCUCAAACUAUCAUGCAUGCUUGCAAAGGAAUCAUCAAAACUUACUAAAGGAUAUUUGUGGAUAACUUACGUGGGAUGAUAAGGCAGGAAAAUCAUUUCCUUGUCCUUAUUAGCGAGCAUGAAGUCGCUGAUGUACUUGCACGCAGAGUCCCGAUGCUCUUGGCACUCUGCCAACAAGCCCUUGUGCAUAUAGUAUGGGUCUGCGACGCUCAUAUAUUAUAUGUUCUCGCGCCUGAUGAUGUAGUUGAGAUACAUCGCAUACAGGCGGAUGAACUGAAAAUCCAGCUUGGUUAGGUGGAACAUGUCGUAGAUGUAGUCAAAUCGCAGGAUGAACUUGACCGUGGGCCAUGUGUCGACGUAUCCACUCGCACCCGGAACCUGAUUUGGGUAAAGCUGAUAUCCUGGCUUUUUCGAGCUGAGAAGUUUCUUCUUUGUGGCCAACACAUCAUCAUGAAGUCUCCUUAGAUCAUUGUUCUUUAUGCUCUCUACCGCUUUCUGAGGUAGGAUCGGGUGGCCGGCGACAUGGAAAUGCUCUGGACCUUCGAAAGGUAUCCUGUCUACCUCCCGGGGCGCGGCUGGUUACAACAUUUCUUUUCCGGUCUCCUCCUUUGCUUCAUGGCGGGUGGCGGUAGUGAUCCCGCCAUACCUUCCCUAACCAUAUCCCCCAGCGUCAUCGGACUAAUUAUCAGUGGACGGCUCCUGUGUUGUUCUUGCUGGGUAAAGGCAGCAUCUAGAGGCGUCUCCUGCGAGGAUCGCACGAAGAGAGACUUUUUGCAAUCAGCCGUCAGACGUUCCGGCUCCGGCAAAUCAGGCAUCAUCAAGUCAUCUGCACGCUCAUAGUGUGAGUCAUAUUGCAGAGCAUCGUGACAGUCGGUAUUGAUAUACUGGUUAGGGUCCUCAUCAUAAUCCUCCUCCAUGACAUCAUCAACAUUUGCUAAUUCGACGGGGGGCGACGUCAUCUUGCACUAAUGGAGGCUCUCCCUCACUGCUUCGUCCGCUAUCUCCCCCCCCACGCAGGUGCAGGUAGUUGGGUAGGUGGGAUGGUGUUCAUACCUUGUUGAUGAGUUGCCAUUGGUGUGCUAUCGGGAACCUCAACAUGAAGGUGAGUCUUCGGCCAAGGCAAGAACCAGUUCUUGCAUGCGCCAAUCAGUUGAGGGGUCUCGUCAUCACCGGAUGUUGUUGGAAGAGCCAAAUACUGGACGCCCGUUUUGACACUAGCCACGCAAACUUUGAAGACGCCAUGGGGCAUCUGCUUGUUGUGGAGCAUGUGGUCCUUCAGCUUGAUUAUCGUUGCCUUUCCCACGUCCACCUUCUGACCGUUGAUAUCGUACAGUAGGGUGUACGGGGUUUCGUCAGCCUGCGAAGACAUGACUACGACGCCAGACAUCCGAAAGGCAACUGAAAUGGAAGACUAUAUAGAUAUGUUGUGACUAGUGUAUGACGCGUAAUUACCGUGAUGGUGUCGAGCUCAGCCAAAGGCGAAGCCCCGCCGAGCACGCCAGAGGGGGAGGGCGGGCUGCUAUGAACCGAAGCGAGACCAGGUACGGGAGGUGUUGGUGGUGCGAUGUUCGCGAAAUUGCUCCCGACAAACCUGAGUAGUGGAAUGCUUGUGACUAGUGCUUCCGUAUUCCUCCUCACAUACUCAAAAACUGCCGGAACCAAUUGGCCCAAAGACGCUGCCACAGCUGCAUUGACCUUAUUGUCGACUACCUUGGUCAUCUCUUCUUUGCUCUGAUCGACCGCCCGCAUGACCUUCUCGUUGAUGGUCAGUUUAGUAUGCUCUUGUCUCUACUUUAUUUCCUACGGCCACUUGUGGUAGAAUUUAUUCCAUGAGGCACCAUCUCUGACGUCGUGCACACGUCCACCUAAUGGAGGUUUGUACACCGAGACAUUUUUCAGUAUGUUUAGGGCCCGGUUGAACGGUUGUCCCACUUGGGCCUCGCUGACGACUGAGACGACUCGUCUCUUUCGGCUGCCUUUUCGUGCUGCUCUUUCUACAAAAGGAACAUAGAUCGUUUACAAAUUAAUUAAAAGCUAAUUAAUAUAAUUAAGGUGGUAAUACAACAAUUACCAGUAGUCUCAUGAACUCCCUCGUGUACGGGUCCGUGUAAAAGAUCUUCUUGACGGUGUCCCACUUGUGCCUGACCCUGAUCCAGUCGUGCUCCAGCGGGUCGGUGAACUCCGCCAAGGGGUCUGGAAUUCUGUGACUUUCACGUUCGGCAUCCUCCUUGGCCCAAGUGCUCCUCUUCCCCUCGUAACCACGGCUUCCGAGGUGGUGGGCAGGCGUGUUCUUGGCUUGGAGCCGCUUCAUUUUCUCGACUUUUCCUAGGCUUCUUCUGUAGAACAAGCCUCUUUGAAAUUUUCGAAGUCCUCAUCCGUUAUUGAUGGAUUGUGAGCAUGAAUCUUGGACCACGGUUCAUUCUUCAGAAUGACUUUUUUCACCCGUACUUUCCAGGCAGACAAGCCAUUGGUGAACGUCACCAUUGCCUUGUUGUUUAUCUUUGUCAUGUUUCUAUCCUUCCACGGAUGUUCUACCUCUUCAUCCCACCCGGGGAACAGGAACCUGUUGUGCAACUUCAUUAGGAGCGUUUGCUCCGUAUGUGGUAUCUUCUUCAACUUUUCGUCGUUGAUGUUGGCGGUUUCCCUGAGGAUGCAUCCUAGUUGAUUGACGUAGCACUUCCACCCUUUCUUCGGCUCCACUGGCUCUAAUUUCAUGGGGUGCAUCGCCGUGACCAUGAUUUGUCUGGUGUCGAGCUCACUUGGUUUUCUUGCCCUCUUCGUUUUCGGUCCUUCACCGACUAAAUCAGCAUCGUUGCCGGACUUAGGGGCAAUGUUGGUGUCGGUGCCGGUGCCACUGUCGGUGGCGGUGCCAGCGUCGGUGUCGGGGUUGGUCCCACUGCCACCCUGCGUGCCCGGCUUGCAUUGGUCCACGUAUUUUGAAUAUCCAUCUGCUUCCUGAAAAUGGCCAUCUCCGGCGCGACCUGAACCCCUGGCUUUGUCGUGGCUGGACAUAUUAAUUUCCUACGAGUGUUUAAUUAUAAUAGUUCAUAUCUAGCCCGCAUAACAUGAAUGAUAAAAGGGACCUAUUAUAAUAGUUCAUGUCAUUUAUGAACAGAAUUAACCUAAAUAAUUCUAAAACAAAAUUAACCUAAAUAAUUCUAAAAACAUGAUUAACCUCAAACAACACUAUUAGUCUCUUCUUCUUCUCUUCCUCCUCUUCUUCCCCUCCUCCUCUUCCUCUAACAAUUCUAAAAUAGAAUUAUCCUAUAUAAUUCUAAAACAGAAUUAACCUAAAUAAUGCUAAAAACAGAAUCAACCUAAAAAUAUAAUCCCCUCUCCUUCCUCCUCUUCUUCCUCUCCUCCUGUCCUUCCUCUCCUUCCUCUUCUACUUCUCCGCUUUUUCUUCUACUUCUCCUCAUCUUUUAUUUUUCCUCUACUUUUCCUCUUCAUUCCCAUUUCCGGCAAUUCCAGGGCACUUCAUAUGUCCACGUUUCUAGCACUAGUAAUACCUAAAUUCACGAAAAAUUUCGGCAUGACCUUUGCUAAAAGUGGACAUAUGGAGCGCCUGAAAUUUGCCGGAACGAAAAUGAAUCAACAUUCCGGCAAAACAGAGGCCACUCGAUCAUUUCAACAAUACUUUCCACAAACUUAGCACAAGUGGAGCACAUUGUAUUACCUAAUAACAAUACUCCUCCUCUUCUUUUCUUAUCCUCUUCUACUUCUCCUCUUUUUCUUCUACUUCUCCUCUUCUUCUAGUUUUCCUCUUCUUCCCAUCUCCUCCUCUUCUUAUUCUUCUUAUCUUCUUUUCUUCCUUUUCUUCCUUUCCUCCUCUUCCCCUAUAUUUCUAAAACAUAAUUAACCUAAAACCUAAUUCUAAAUAUUACUAACCCUAAUAAUUCUAACAAAAAACAAAAUUAAUCUAAAACAAAAUUUCCUCUCCUUCCUCCUCCUCUUCUUCCUCUUCUUCUUCUCCUUCUUCCUCUUCUUUUCCUCCUCUUCUUCCUCUCUUUCCUCUUCUUCCCCUCCUUCCUAUUAUUCCUCUCCUUCCUCUUCUUCCUUUCCUCGUUUUCUUCUUCUCCUCCUCCUCUUCUUCCUCUCCUCCUCCUCUUCUUCCUCUCCUCCUCCUCUUCUUCUCCUCAUCUACUUCAACAGAAGUAGGUUACCAUUGGGAGAGAGGGGCAGGGGUUACCUGGAGCGGGAGAGAGGGGCGUCGGCAUUCAGCCGUGGUGGUGAUGACUACAGGAGGGGUGGCGGUGGCAGAGACUGCAGGAGGGGGAGGCGGCGUCCGGCGGUGACGGCGGCGGCGACUGUAGGAGCGGGAGGAAGUUGUAGAUGGGAGUGGAGGGAGAGGAAAAUUUUGGGCCGGUUAAGUAACAAUAGCAGUUGCGCUGCAUUUAGGCCAUCGCUACUACUAACUUAGUAGUAGCGCUGGUUCUGGUCCAACGCUACUGCUAAAUUCCCUAGGACAGUUAGCAGUGGCAUUGUGGGGUUUCGAGCGCUACUUCUAACUUAGUAGUAGCGCUAUAUUGGUUCCAACACUAGUGAUAACAUUAUUUUCUUUAUUAUUAUUAUUAUUUUAUUAUUAUUAUUUGCCUUUCCUUUUAUGUUUACUUUUGUUUUUAUUUUGUAUUGUUUUCUCCUUUUUGUUUUUAUCCCGACGGCCUGACACGUAGUUGACGCCGAGAACGUCUCCCUCCCGGCCACACUGUGCGACUAUUACCGGAACCAUGUACACAAAAUACAUACAUAUAUAUAUAAAUGAUUAUUUUGAACACAAAAUAGAUACAUAUAUAUAUAAAUGAUUGUUUCUCAGCUGCGUCGAAGACGUUUCAGAUGGAGCUUCUUUCCUUUCUUGUUCGUUGUGUUGAUUCUUCUUUUCCGGCACCAUGGAGUACGAUCUUUCUUAGGUAAUGUAGUCUUGAUUCUUCUUUUCACGUAUGCUUCAUCGUCAUCAUCAUCUUCCCUCAUCGGGUUACUGUAUUGGUUGUAGUCUUCCUCGUUGGCGAUUCCAUCCAUUCCGACGAUGUUUCUUUUGCAUCUCCUCACGACAGCACGACUGGCAUUGGUCGGGUUGGUUAUGAAGAAGCAUUGUGUCACGUGCUUUGUGUGUAUCCAUGGCUCAGUUUUGGCAAUGAUGUUAACGUUGACGGUAGAGCUCUUUGCGUCGGGUAUAGACAUGGUAGUGAAAUACUUGUUUUCUCUUACGACGGCCUUAGCCCACCUGACACGGAACAUUGUCGCAUCAUGCUUUCGAACAAAGUUAAGCUCCCAGAUCACUUCGACCUUUCCAAAGAAUCUUUUAGUUGUGUCGUUGGAGUCGGUCACGCAUUCAGUGGUCACCCCUGAGUUCUGGUAAUCACUGUCCACGUCUCUGGCCUCCAUGAAGAACGUGUACCCAUUGAUAUUGUAUGCCUCGUAGGACACGUGUACGAGAAACCCGUCCGCACUGCCCUCUUCGGGGGGAUUAGCACGAACCUGUUCUUUGAACCAACGCAAGGAAGUGGCGUUGUGCUCUACUGUAACUUCGUCGUCCGUCUUGCGCUUCCCUUGAUCACGGUACUUCCUUGUGAUGAUUUCUUUGUGCAGUGUUACAUAAUCAUCUACCACAUCUCGGUGUUGUAGCACUACUAAGUUAGCCGUGUCAAAGUCGUCCAAUCGAUCCGAGUAGUCCACGUCCAAUUCCCUCCGGCUGUUGUUGUGACCUUCUCCUCCGAGCCUCCCAUGGUGCUUGUUGACGGGAAAACCAACAACAGGAUCUUCUGUACGUAUAUAAUUCUUGCAAAAGGAGAUGCACUCUUGGGUCAGAUAGCCCUGGACGAUGCUCCCCUCGGGACGGACCAUGUUACGAACGAAUCCUUUGAUGACCCCAUUCAUCCUCUCCAAUGGCAUCAUGCUGUGAAGGAAUGUCGGCCCGGGGUCGAUGAUGUCGUCCACAAUGUGGACACACAGAUGCACCAUGAUGUCAAAGAAUGCGGGCGCGAAGUACAUCUCAAGCUCACAUAGUAUGACAACGAUCUCUUCCUGUAGCCUUCGCAGCUGCUUCACACUGAUGGACUUUCGAGAGAUAACGUCGAAGAAGUUGCAGAGACGAUUAAGUGUCUCACAGACGUGCUUGUCCAUUAUUCCUCUAAUGGCAACCGGGAGUAUCUGCGUCAUCAUCACGUGACAGUCAUGAGACUUCAUCCCGCUGAACCUGUUCUUCUUGGUGUCUAGAAAUCUGCUUAUCUUCCCAUAGUUAUUGGAACUAAAUUUGAUUCUCGUAAGGAACAUGACGAAUUCAUCGAUCUCCUUUGGACUUAAGGUGAAGAAAGAAGGGGGCAACAACUCUACUCCUUCUUGUUGACUUUUAUUCCCCUUGGCCCUCUCGCCGUCUCUGUCUCCGUCUCCUCCGUCGACUUUUUACGGGGCAUGUGGAGACCCCUCCUGAUCUCCAAAUCCUCCAAGUCUUUCCUUGCCUUCGGCCCAUCCUUGGUCUUCUCCGGCAUGUUCAUUAGGGUGCCAAUCAAGCUCUCGAGGACAGUCUUAGUUAUAUGAAUUUCAUCAAGGCAAUGAGGUGUGCCAGGAUUGGGCCAGUACUCCAAGUGCCAGAAAACAAACCUCGUUUUCCAUACCUUCAGCAGCAGAUCCGACACCUUUUCCAUCUUUCCCGGCGCGGGGCAUUGUUGCCAGUUAUUCAAUAGCUCGUUGAUUUUGGCGCCGCUCCUCUUACGUGGAGGACCUCGAUACUCAUCCAAACCAUUGAAUAGAUCUCCACGUUUUCUCCACUGGUCAUCCUUUUCGAGCCAUUAACGAUGUCAAUUGUACACGAUUUUCCCAGACCCGUCAUUUUCAUUGACGUAUGUUGCAUCCAUGCACCUCGUGCAUCCGCUGUAUCCGUGGCACACCUGGCCUGAGGUGUAUCCAUAACCGAGAUAGUCAUGAACAGUCAUCAUUAGCGCAGCUCUCAUAUAGAAAUAAUCUCUUGUGCUGAAGUCCCAAGUCUUGACCAGCGAUUUCUAUAACGUGUCUAGCUCCUCUUUCAGAAGCCCCAUAUACAGGUUAAUAUUAUUUCCCGGUUGUUUCGUCCCUUGAAUUAGUAUGCUCAUGUGUAUGUACUUUGUCUUCAUGCACUUCCAUGGGGGGAGGUUGUACAUCUAUACAAAGACAGGCCAUGUGAUGUGGUUGGUGCUCUGGUUUCCAAACGGAUUCAUACCAUCGGUACAUGCACCAAGCACGAUGUUCCUUCCAUCUUCUCCAAAAAAAGGAUAUUCGGCAUUGAGUGAUCUCCACUGGCUACCAUCUGCGAGGUGUCUCAGCUUUGGAUCAUCUCCAUCAUCGGGCUUCUUCCUCUCCACGUGCCAGUGCAUGAGCUUUGCUUCCUUAGGAUCUACGAAAUACUUCUGCACACGGGGAGUGAUCGGAAAGUACCAUACAACUUUCUGAGGAGCUUUCUUUCCUGCCUCCUUUUAUCGAGAAGCAUUGCACACUGGACACCUGGUCUUUUCCCCGUGCUCACCCCGAUAAAUGAUGCAAUCGUUGGUGCAUGCGUGGUAUCUAAUGUGCGGCAGAUCCAGAGGGCAACGAUUUUCUUGGCCUCAUUGACACUAGUAGGACAGAGGUUCCCUGCGGGAAGAACUUUAUUUUGUGGAUACUUCAAGUGCUCAUCGGGGCUUUUGUUUGUCCAUUUGUUUUUGGCCUUCGUCUUUAGAAGUUUGAGCAUGAAGUAUCCACCGAGUAUAGCCAUCAUUGAAACCAUUGAUCAGCAAGUGGGCCUUUAAACUUCCACGAUCAAAAGGGUCCAAAAUUACUCCUUAUUUGCAUCUUGUACACAGACAUCUAAUCCGAGUCCGUUUAUUUUCGUACAUGUCAAUAAUCGCGGAAUGCAAGUAUCGCUCCACCUUGCUACCACUCACCUUCUACAAGGUGUAUAUAACAAGCAAAAGGGUCAUAAACAAAAUGCAUGCAUAUAAAAAAUUUGCAUGACCUUGCCUAAAAAUAGGACAUAUCGAGUUUGCUUGUAAUUCUCCGAAGCAGAAAUAAAUCGACAUUUCGGCAAAACAUAAGCAAAUAAAGGAGAGGUGACAAUGGUGGAGAAAUUAGAGAGAGGAAAGGGAAAAGGAGGGGAUAGGGAAAAGGGGGAGGAAGGUGGAGAGGGGUGUGUGUGGGUGAAAUGAGGGCAACAAUGGUGGAGUAAAGGAGAAAGGAGGGGAUAGGGCCAAGUGGGGGUGGAAGGGGGAGAGGGGUGUGUGUAUGGGUGAAAGGGCAACAAUGGUGGAGGAAAGGAGAAAGGAGGGGAUACGACAAAUGGGGGAGGAAGGGUGAGAGGGUGUGUAUGGGGGUGAUAGGUAGAAGAAAGAGAGAAUAAGGACAAGAAUGGUGGAGAAGUAACAAUGGAGGAGGAAAGGUGAAAGGAGGGCAAAGGGGGAGGAAGGGGAGGGGGUGUGUGUGGGUGUGGGUGUAAAUGAAGCUGCCCACAUGUAGCAGUAGGGCCGGUUCCAGGGGAGCGCUACUACUAUUGCACUUAGCAGUAGCCCUUUUUACAAUCCAGCGCUACUACUACAGAUACUGUUGGUGGCCUCGUUGGGCCCCAUUUAGCAAUAGCGUUGUUCCAAUGAAGCGCUACUGCUAUGCAGUAUCGCUUUUUACAGUCCCGCGCUACUAUUACAGAUACUAUGGGUGGCCUCAUUGGGCCCUGUUUAGCAGUAGUGCUGGAAAUGCAUCCCGCGCUACUACUACGGUAGUUAGCAGUAGCGCGUCCAAUUUCCAACGCUACUGCUAAGUAGCAGCAGUGCGUGCUAUUUUCCAGCGCUACUACUAGGCUCCUACCUAUAAGGUUUUUCCUACUAGUGAUAUGCUAUUUUUCAUGAGAGAUGCCAUUAGGGAAACUAUGCCCCCGGGUCUAUUCACAACAUAUUUACAAAACCUCAAUACCUUGCCGCCAUUUACUGUUUUUUUAUUUUUGUAAUUUACAAUCAUCUACAGUUAUCUACACACCUCACUCGCUUCCAAAUAACAAGUACGAGCGGAUUGACAACCCUCUUGCCCACGUUGGGUGCAAGUUGUUUCUUCUUUUGUGUGCAGCCGCUAAAGACGGUUGUGGUUGAUAUUACUUACCCACACUGUGUUGUGAUAAACCGUUCCUCUUCAAGGAAAACCCAACGGAGAUCACAAGUAUCACGAAGGAUUUGUGGCACCGUUGCCGGGGAAUAUCAUCACGAUCUACCAAGUAACUCCACACAAAAUUUCAUUCACUUGUUCUCCAUUUUAUUGCUGGUAUAUUUAGUAUGUCUCAUUACAAAAUACAUAAAUAUUUACCUUUGCGUGCUUAGCAUGUCACUAGAUUGCAUCUUCGCUCUCUAGUUUGCUUGUCUUACUUGUUACUUUGCUUUCUCGGUCACCAUAUCUCAAGAUACUACUAAGUUGUGUGACUUAUCAAUAGUAAUAACAAAUACUUUAUUAGUACUCCUAUACCACCCGCCACUAGUGUGUACGCUUUUUAUUAAUGUUGCAUUACUGAAUCUUGUCACAAAAGAGCAAUUUUUGGGAAGUCCUAAUUAGGAUCCCGGUUCACAUCUCAAUACCUUUGUUGAACUUUGUAAUAUGCAAACGAAAAAGGAUAUGGAUAAUGAUAUUUUGAAAUUAAAGUUGUUUCCUUUUUCACUAAAAGAGAAAUCUAAAGCUUCGUUUUCAUCUUUACCACGUAAUAGUAUUGGAACAUGGGAUAAGUGUAAAUAUGCUUUUAUUGCCAAGUAUUUUUCCUCCUGCUAAGAUCAUCUCCCUUAGAAAUCAAAUAACGAAUUUUAAACAACAUGAUCAAGAACAUGUUGCACACGCAUGGGAGAAAAUGAAAUUGAUGAUAAGAAGUUGCCCCCUGAUGGUUUAAACUUGUGGAUGAUUAUCCAAAAUUUAUAUGCUAGACUAAACUUCGUGUCUAGAAAUCUUCUAGAUUCUGCUGCACGUGGUACCAUUAUCGAUGUGACUUUGGGAUAAGCCACACAAAUUCUACACAACAUCAUGACUAAUUAAUAUCAAUGGCAUACAGAGAGAGCUCCAAUCGGUGAGAAGGUAUAUUAUGUUGAGGAAAUUGCUACUAUGAGUGAAAAACUGGAUGCUCUUAUGAAUUUGGUUGCUAAUAAAAAUACUUAUGUUGAUCCCAAUUGUAUGCCCUUGUCAACCUUGAUUGAUAAAAAUAAUGAUGCUAUUGAUGUGAACUUUGUUUUGCGAAAUAAUUUCAACAACAAUGCAUAUAGUGGUAAUUUCUAUGCUUAUGGUAAUUCUUCUGCAAAUCCUAAUAGGAUACCCGAUGAUCCUGAGAACACAAUGAAGGAAUUCAUUAAUUCCCAAAAAGCUUUCGAUAGUAUGGUAGAAGAAAAAGUGCAUGUUGUUGAUACUUUGGCUAUAAACAUGGAUAAAAUUGCUCUUGCUAUAGAAACUCUUAUAAAAACUUUUAUCUGCUAAGCAUGAAAGUUUCUAUUAAUGAAAUUAAGGAGAGGACUGUUAAUGUGAAAGCUAAGGGGGCAUUCCUAGAAAAAAGCUCUUACACCCGUUUUUACCGAAAUCAUGAUGAAGAUCUUAAAACUAUUGGUGCUUCCCCUAUUGAAUCUUUUUUUACAUCUCUGAAUAUUAAUGAUAAAGGGACUAGAUAUGAGUCAACUCUAGUGAAGGUGUGUCUCGUUUGCUUGGUCUAUUAAAUCAAGACAUUAACUAGUGACGUGUCCACUAUCUUGGGUUACACGGACUUUAAUUAUGAUAAUUUAUAUUUAGUAGAAUUUAUUUACUUUCCUCAAUACAUUAUUAGCUCACCCAAUGCUUAUGAAGAAAACAAAGCUUUUACUCAACAUAUAAUAGAAGCUAUGGCAAAAGCUUAUGCUGAGAAACUUGAUCUUGAAGCUAUUAUUCCUAGAAAGUUGCAUGAUGAGUGGGAAACUACUAUAAAAUUAAUAUCAAUAAAUAUAAAUGCAAUGCUUUGUGUGACCUUGGUUCUAGUGUUUCAACUAUACCUAAAUCUUUAUGUGAUGUGCUUGGUCUCACUAAUAUUGAAGAAUGUUCCCUAAACUUGCAUCUUGUGGAUUCUACCAUUAAGAAACUUGUAGGUAGAAUUAAUGAUGUGAUGAUAAUUGCAAAUAAAAAAUUAUGUGCGUGUAGAUUUCAUUGUGUUUGAUAUUGAUUGCAAUCCUAAUUGUCCAAUUGUACUUGGAAGGCCCUUCCUACGAACUAUAGGUGCAACCAUUGACAUGAAAGAGGGAAACAUAAGGUUCCAAUUUCCACUAAAGAAAGGAAUGGAACACUUCCAUAUAAAGAGAACUAUAUCACCUUAUGAAUCAAUCAUGAGAGACACUUAUGGGUGGAGUGUCAAAGGUGACAACAUUUCAAACUAUGCAAUAUGCCUAGCUGGGGGCGUAAAACAAUAGCGCUUGUUAGGAGGCAACCAAAUAAUUAUCUUUAUUUUUGUAUUUUUUACUUUCUGUUUGUUUCUAUUAACAUGAUUAUUUUCUCUGUAAUUAUUAUGUUUUCAUGUUUUAAUUAAUGUUUAUGUCAAGUAAAGCCUUUGGGAUGAUUUGUAUGAUGAGUAGAAUUGAUACGGUGCAAAAAUAGAAACUUUGAUGCUCAGUGCAAAAUUUCUUUGAUUUUACUGAAAUGACUAUUUAAGCUGAAUAUUUUACAUAGUAUUCUAAUUCCAAAUUCCUCGGGUCUUCCUAAUUGUUCAGAUUGUUUGGAGUUAUAGAAGUAUAGGUUCAUUAUAGAUUACUACACACUAUUCUAUUUGAGUCAGAUCCUUUUUUUCCUUGCAUAGUUUGCUUGUUUUGAUGAUGCUAUGGAUUGUAUGAGGGGUAUAAGCCAUGGAUAAGUUAGAAUACAUUACCUUAUGCUAAAAUAAAAUAAGUAUCAACUUACAACUAUACCUGAAAGUAUUUCAUAUGUUUCUUGUACUAGUGAAUCUCAUGGAGUUUUGUUGAGUUUGAUGUGAUUGAAGAUUUCAAGUUUUGGGUAUUAUCCCGAUGGACUAAGAAAUGAGGAGAAGCAAAAUCCUAAGCUUGAUGAUGCCCAAGGCACCUCAAUGUAAUAUUCUAGAAAGACUCGAGCGUUAUAGCUUGUGGAUGCCCCGGAAGGAAUCCCCUCUUUUUGUCUCAAUCCAUCGGUAUGUCACUUGGAGCUACAUUUUUAUUUAUCACAUGGUAUGAGUUUUGUUUGGAGCGUCAUUUUAUUUUACUUUCAGUUUUCAACAAUCAUUGUUUCAGGUACACACCUAUUUCAGAGAGAUAUCACAUCAUUAUAAUUUGUUAGGAUACUCUAUGUGCCUCACUUAUAUAUUUUGAGCUUAGUAGUUGCUCUAGUAGUCACUUAUAUAUUUUUGAGCAUGGUCAAGUGUAGAUUUUAUAGAAGUAUUAUGCUAUCAUUAUUCACUUACGUUUGUUUGAGAAUUAAAUAAAUAGUGAUGGUAAUAUUCUUGGGUCAUAAGACUAGAUAAAAAUAAUAGGUCUUCAAUGAGUGAUAAUUAAAACCACCAUGUAGCACAUAUAGAGAAAUUGUGGGUUAAUGAUAUUGAUGUGAUGAUAUGAAAAAGGUGUGAGUGCAUUAUUAUUAAUUUAGAGAGGUGUCGAUACUAAGAGAUGUUAAACUUCUUGUUCAUCUAAAAAUCAAAAGCGCAUGCUGAUGAUGUGUAAGCAUUUCUAUUCCUUGUGGAAAUCCUAGUGCUGUUUUGAGUUGGAGUCGUGCGAUGGUUAAUUCCUAACAACCAUCUCCCUCGAGGCAUGUGAGUAGUACUUUGAUUUGUGAUAAAACUAAUAAAACUUUGCAAUAAUUACAUGUGUUCUUCAUGACUAAUGUGACACAAUCUCACCUCCUCAUAUUUCUUAACCUCGUCGGUAUCGUGCAUCGCCCGUUCUCCCCUUGAGGAUCGGUGCAACUUUCGUCGGUGCAUCCAAACCUCGUGACAUGGCACGCUCUAUUGCACAUAAGCCUUUUUAUAUCCUCCUCAAAACUGCCACCAUACCUACAUAUCAUGGCAUUUCCCUGUCCAUUCCAAGAUAUAUUGCCAUGCAAAUGCCAUCGUCACUUCACACGACUAGUUCGUUCAUCAUCAUAGUGCUUUGCAUGAUCAUAUAGAGCUGACAUAGUAUAUGUGGAAAACCUACCAUUCAUCAUAUUUUUGAUACAUGUCAGCCUAGAUCUUUGCACAUCCUGGUUCACUACCAGAGUCAUUCAUACAGAGUCAUAUCGUCCUAUCAUUUUUCAUAUUGAGUUGUAAGUAAAUAAAAAUUAUAUGAUCAGCAUUAUUAAAGCAUUGUCUGAGUGAGGAAAUAAAAAUGGGGGAGGCAAAAUGAUCCCACAAUAAAAAAAUGAAAACAGAAAAAAAUGAAUGAGAGAAAGAGAGAGAAGGGGCUUUGCUACUAUCCUUUACCACACUUGUGCCUAAAGUGGCACCUUGUUCUUCAUAUAGUGUCUCAUGUUAUGUCAUUCAUAUGCUAGUCGGAAUCACUUUUUCAUAAACUUGGCAUGUAUAUUGCAAUGACGGGCUUCCUCAAAUUCCCGAGGUCUUCAUGAUCAAGCAAGUUGGAUGCACACCCCACUUAGCUUUAGUGGAGCUUUCACACACUUAUAGAUCUAGAGCAUCAUUUGCAUGGAAAUCCCUACUCCUUGCAUCGAUAUCUAUCAACAGACAUCUCCAUAGCCCGUUGGUACGCCUAGUUGAUGUGAGACUAUCUACUCCACCUUUUACCCCCUUUGACACCUACCACCAUAUUAUGUUCCACCUAUAUGCUAUGUCCAUUGAUUCAAGCUCAUGUAUUGCAUGAAGAAUAAAAUGUUGAUGCAUAUUGAAAAAGUACGACCCAAUUGCCUGACUUGGACAUUGUGGUGCUUCACAUUUGUAUUGAUGUGGUGAAGAUGGAGCCAUGCCUUGGUAAUAUAAUAAUACGAAUGGGGUAAAACAAUCUUUGAUGAUCAUAAACUCUGAUGGAUUAAUGAUUUUGCUGCUUAUACCUAUAAGUACUACUAUGUUAAUGUUGGUUAAUUCAUUGUUUCUCUAUAAGCAUACAUGCAUGUCACAUAAUUGUUUUAUCAUUUACCUACUCGAGCGCGAGGAGGUAUUGAUCUUGGAAUGCUUGAUACGUCUCCAACGUAUCUAUAAUUGUUUAUUAUUGCAUGCCGAUAUAAUAUCAUUCUAUAAUAUUUUGUGGUACUUAUUUGCCAAUUUAUAUUAUUUUUGAGUACUAACAUAUUGACCCAGUACUCACUGCGAGUUGAUGUUUUCUGUAUGUUUUUCGCUUUCUAGGUUUUCCAUACCAAACGAAUUCCAAUUGACGUAAAACUUUUUGGUGAUUUUUCUCGACUAAAAUAAGACCAACAAACAUCAGAGGAAGGUUGGGGGCCACAUGAGGGCCCUACAAGCCAACUCGGCGCAACUUGGGGCGCGACGUGUUGGAUUGUGGCCCCUCGUGGCCCUCUCAACUGUGUUAUGUGUCUUACAAAUUCUCUCAUAGCCUAAAAACACCAAGAAGUGUCCCGAAACACUUUUUACUAUGCUGCAAGUCUCAGUACCUACGGGUGGCCAUCUGGAGUUUCGUUCUGGCACACUGUUGAAGGGGGGUCGAUCUCGGAGGUCCUCUUCAUCAACCUUGCAGCCCUCACAAUGAUGCAUGAGUUGUUCACCACAAACCUGCGGGCCCAUAGCAAGUACCUAGAUGGCAAUCUCUCUUUCUUGUCUUCAAUACAAUGAUCAUGCCAUAUUCUCUUUGAUCCAAAUGAUGUAAUUCAUUUUGUGCGGUGCAUUUGUUGGGAUCCGAUGAAUUGUGGUUUUAUGUACAUAUUAUUCAUGAUAAAUAUUUGAGUCUUCUCUGAAUACUUAUAUGAUUCUUAUGUUCAUGAUUAUUAUAGCUUUUGUAAUUCCCUCUGAUCUAUUGAAAUAGUUUGGCCAACUCGAUUGAUAUUUCUUCGAUGAGAGAGCUGCGUUGUAGUAGGUUCAACAUGGCGAAUUUUAUAUCCCAGUGACUGAAGGGGACAAGACGCGUCUUUGUGUUGCUGCUACUAAGGACAAAAUGACAGGGGUUCAUUCAUAUUGCUUGAGUUUACUUUGUCUACAUCAUGUUAUUGUUCUCCAUGCAUUACUUUGUUUUAGUUAAUACUCUGGAUGUAUGCUAGAAAGCGGUUGAUGAGUGGCGUAAUAGUAAUAGGUGCAAGCAGGAGUCAGCCUAUUUGUUUAUGGACAUGAUGCCUAUAUACACAUGAUCAAUGUCGUGAAUGUCAAAUAACUAUCCGCUUUUCUAACAAUUCCCAACAAUAAUUUGUUUACCCACUUAUAUGUCUCCAAUGUAUCGAUAAUUUAUGAAGUAUUCAUGCCAUGUUUGCCUAUGUUUACAACAAUUUUAUAUGGUUUUGCUGCACUUUAUAUGAUUUAUUUAUAACUAACCCGGACUGAUGAUGUUUUCAACAGAACUACCGCGGUGUUGUUUUUGUGCAGAAAUAAAAGUUUUCAGAAUUGGACAAAACUUUUUGAUGAUUUUUCUCAGAAGACAUCGAGACGAGCAAAGAACCACCAGAGAGUAGGCCUAAGGUGCCCAUAGCGCACGAGGGCACGCCAGCCCCCUUAGUGCGGCCUGGUAGCUAGUGGGCACCUCGUGGCCCACCUUAGUGUGAUUCCAAGGCCGAAAAACCCUAAUAAAUAUAGAAACCUCCAGAAAUUACCAUACACGAGAAGUUCCACCGCCGCAAGUCUCUAUAGGCACGAAAAACCAAUCGGAGGCCUAUUCCGGUACCCUAUCGGAGGGGGAGAUCAUCUUGGGUAGCCAUAUUCAUUAUGCUGGCGUGGGCCAUGAUGAGGAGGGAGUAGUCCACCCUCCGGGCUGAGGGUUUGUACCAGUAGCUAUCCGUUUAAUCUCUCUCUCUCGUGUUCUUGAGAUGUCAUGAUCUUGAUACAUCACGAGCCUUGUUAAUAUAGUUGGAUCAUAUGGUGUUUAUCCCAUACUAUUAUUGUGAUGAAUUGAGUCUUUUCCUUUAAGAUGUCGUCAUGUUGGAUUGAAUAUUCAGGUUUGAGAGCACAUGAUAUAUGUCUUGCAUGUGAAUACCCGUAGUGCCAUUGGGGUAUUCAAGUGAUUCACUUGAUAUUUGUUGUGGCAUCAACUUCCGGAUUCCGGUGAACUUGGAGGUCUAGUCAUAGGGGUUGAUGGCAUGUUUUCCAUACUAUGUUCUCCGAUAGAAAUCUUGGGGUGCUCCUUGAAGUUCUCUGUGUUGGAUUAAAUAUGAAUAAUGUGAAACUAUUUAUGCAUUUCAUAUAAUUAGCCCACAGAUACUUGAGAUGACAUUGGAGUAUCUAUUUGACAUUAGGGUUGAUUGUAUGCAUAAACGGUGUUAUUUUAGUAUGAACUCUUGGAUAGAUUGAUCAGAAAGGCUAACUUGUUAUCUUAGUACGAACUCUUGGAAAGAUUGAUCGGAAAUAAUAAUUUUGGGGUGGUUUCGUACCCUACAAAUAAUUUCUUCUUAUGUUCUCCGCUAGAUAGGGACUUUGGAAUUAUUCUUCAUCGCAUGUUGAGUGAUUGUUAUGUGAUCCAAUUAUAUUAGUAUUGUUCAGAGAUUGCACUAGCGAAAGUACGGACCUUAGGCCAUAUUUUCAAGCAUUGCAAUACCUUUUGUGCUCACUAUUGUUACUCAUUACCUUGUUGUUUUUUAUUGUUCCUAUUACAAAAAUCAAUAUCUACUAUCAUUACUACACUUGUAUGACCAUCUCUUCGUCGAACUAGUGCACCUAUACAAUUUACCAUUGGAUGUACAAACCCUAGUACAUGGGGACACAAGAGAAUUUUUAUUAUUUGGUUGUAGGGUUGUUUGAGAGGGACCAUCUUCAUCGUACGCCUCCCAUGUAUUGAUGAACCUUAGCUCAUCUACUUGAUGGAAAUUUGCUACUCUCCUACAAAACUCUUCGCUUGGAGGCCCAACACGACUCUACAAGAACAAUUUGUGUAGUAGACAUCAAGCUCUUCUCUCGUGCCAUUGCCGGGGAGGUGAGUGCUUGAAGGUAUAUCUUUACAUCUUGUAAUUGAAUCUUUUAGUUUCUUGUUUUAUCACUAGUUUGAUUUUUAAAAAGAAAAUUACAAUAAAUGGAAUUGAGGUGGCCUCAUAUUGUUCAUCUUUAUAUUGUCUUUCUUGAAAAUGAUGGAAAUGAAAAUUGUGCUUAAUUGUUAGAGGAAGAAUUUAUGAAAAUGAUUAAUGUGAAAUCCUUGAAUGAUGCGCAUGAUAGUAGUAUUGUUCAUAUGGAUUCUUUGAAUAUCCAUGAUGCUAAUGAUAUGCAAAGCCACAAGCUUGGGGAUGCUAUGUUUGAUAAAUAUGAUAUUUUUAGUCCCCCAUGUUUUGAUGAGCAAAUUUAUUAUGAUGAAAGUAUGCCUCCUAUUUAUGAUUAUUAUAUUGAUGAAAGUGGGUUUGGAAGAGUGACAAUUGUUGGGGAACAUUGCAUGGGAAACAAAAAAUUUCCUACGCACACGCAAGACCUGUCCAUGGUGUUGAUCAUCUACGAGAAGGGAGAUCAGAUCCACAUACCUUUGUAGAUCACUAAGCGGUAAGCGUUAAUAAACAUGGUUGAUGUAGUCAAACGUCUUUGCGAUCCUAAUCGCAAGUGUCGCACGAACUCUGAUCCUAAUCGCAAGUGUCCCACGAACUCUGUCCCAAUCUAGCGCUAAACGGACGACUCCCCCAUGUUCGGCACGGGUGCAACUCGAUAACGAUCUCCGCCUUCUUUAUCCAGUAAGAGAGAUGAAGAGGUAGCUGAAUUCUCCGACAGCAUGAUGGCGUGGCGGUGAGGAUGGUGGAGCUACUCCGGCUGGGGUUCGUCAUACCGUACUGAAUUAGCUACAGGGUGUCCCGAAGUGGUGGAGGGAGAGAGGGUUGCGCCUUGGCUUGAGAUGCCAAAAGCCUCUCUCAGCUCCACUAUAUAUAGGAGGGAGGGGAGGGGUUGCGCCCUAGGGCAAAGUCCUAGGGUUUUGCCAGUGCAAGAGGAGGAGGAGGAGGAGUCCUCCAAUACAAUUUGGAAGGAGGAGUCCUCCUUCCCCAAUUCGGUUUGGCCCACCCUCCUUUCCUUUUCUCCCUUGGCCGAAAUAGGCCUCUUUGGGCUGGCCACCAGCCCAAUAGGGGCUGGUGCCCCACCCUUGGGCCUCUUAGGUUCUCUCGUGGGUGGGUGGCCCCUCCCGUUGGAACUUCGGAACCCAUUUCUAACUCCCGGUACUUUAUUGGUAAUGCCCGAAAACCUUCCAGAAGCAAAAUUGAUAAUUCCUAUAUAAUAAUCUUCGUCUCUGGACCAUUUCGGAAACCCUCGUGACAUCCAGGAUCUCAUCCGGGACUUCGAACAACAUUCGGUUACCAACAUCAAUAAUGCAACUAUACUGAAACAUCAGUGGACCUUUAGUGUGCAGACCCUGAGGCACUCUUCGGUCAAUAUCCAAUAGCGGUAGCUAGAUGCCAAUAUUGAAUCCUACAUAUUCUACGAAGAUCUUUAAUGGUUGAACCUCUAUGUCUAGGAUUCAUUUAAUCCCAUAUAAAAUUUCCUUUGUCCUUCAGUAUGUGAUACGUCUCAAUGUAUAUAUAAUUUUUGAUUCUUCCAUGCUAUUAUAUUAUCUGUUUUGGAUGUUUUAUAUGCAUUAGUAUGCUAUUUUAUUUUAUUUUUGGGACCAACCUUUUAAUCUAGAGCCUAGUGCUAGUUUCUGUUUUCCAUGUUUUUGAGUAUUGCACGUAAGGAAUAUUAAUUGGAGUCCAAACGGAAUAAAAUCUUUGGAAUGAUUUUUCUUGGACCAGAAGACAUCUGCCAGACUUGUAGAAGGGGACAACAGACCUGCCGGGAGGUGAUAAGCCUGCAGGACGCGCCCUGGGGGGGGUCGCGUCCCCUAGCUUUUAGGUCCCCUUCAGCUCUCCUAACACUAAUCCUUCACCUAUAAAUUCCCAAAUAUUCCCCUAUUACCGAAGGGAGCCACAAAAAUACUUUUCCGCCGCCGGGAGCCUCUGUUCUUGUGAGAUCCAAUCUAGGAGCCCUUUCUGGUAAUCUGCCAGAGAGGGAAUUGAUCACGGAGGUGAGAGGGAAUUGAUCACGGAGGUCAUCUACAUCAACUCCAUUUCCCCUACGAUGAUGUGUGAAUACUUCACCACAAACCUACGGGUCCAUAGCUAGUAGCUAGAUGGCUUGUUCUCUCUCUUUGUUCUGCAUGAUCUUCAUGAAGAUCUAUCCGAUGUUAUAAUCUUUUGCGGUGUGUUUGUCGAGAUCCUAUGAAUUGUGUGUUUAUGUUCAGAUUAUCUAUGAAAAUUAUAUGAAUCUUCUCUGAAUUCUUAUAUGCUUGAUUUCAUAUCUUACCAAGUCUCUUCGAGUUAUUGGUUUGGUUUGGCCAACUAGAUUGGUAAUUCUUGCAAUGGGAGAAGUGCUUAGGUUUGGGUUCAAUCUUGCGGUGUCCUUCCCCAGUGACAAAGUACGGGUAGCGAGGCACAUAUUGCAUUGUUGCCAUCGAGGGUAAAAAGAUGUAGUUUUCAUCGUAUUGCUUGAGUUUAUCCCUCUACAUCAUGUCAUAUUACUUAAUGGACUACUCUGUUCUUCAUGAACUUAAUAUUGUAGAUGCAGGAAGGAGUCGGUCGAUGUGUGGAGUAAUAGUACUAGAUGCAGAAUCAUUUCGGUCUACCUGACACGAACAUGAUGCCUAUAUGCAUAAUCAUUGCCUUGGAUAUCUUAUUCGCUUUUCUAUCAAUUCCUCGACAGUAAUUUGUUCACCCACCGUAUUAUUUUCCUUCAUGAGAGAAUCCUCUAGUAAAACCUAUGGCCCGCGGGUCUAUUUUCCAUAUUGUAAUUUCAGAUCUAUAGACCAAAAAUACCAGAAAUAUGUUGCUGCUAUUUACUUACUUUUGUUUUGUUUUAGUUCUAGCAAUCUUUUAUCUAUCUCUAUCAGAUAUCAUCCUUGCAAAUAACUCUGAAGGGGUUGACAACCCCUUUUUAGUGUUGGGUGCAAGUGUUUUAUUGUUUGUUUAGGUACUACAAUUGGGGCCUUGCUUGUUCCUCCUACUGGAUUGAUACCUUGGUUCUCAGCAAACUGUGGGAAAUACAUAUCUACUUUGUUGCAUCACCCUUUCCUCUUUAAGGGAAAACCAACGCAAUCUCAAGAGGUAGCAAGAAGGAUUUCUGGCGCCUUUGCCGGGGAGGAUCCAUAGCAAGAUCAAUCUUACCAAGUACCCAUCACAAACUAAUCUCUUGCAUCUACUUUAUUUGCCAUUUUCCUGUCGAUUUCCUCUCCCCCACUUCACCAAUUUGCCAUUUUAUUCGCCUUUUUCUCACCGGAUAUCUUUUUUUCUACUUUUUUUUCCAUGUACCUUCCAUUUGCUUGCAUCUUUUAUUGCUAAAAAUCUGUUGAUAUGGAUCCUGAUCCACUUGCUGAUCUUUUUAAACGGCCAAAUUAUGAUGAACCAAUUGCGAGUGAGUUGAGUGCAGUUUAUUAUCUCUAUGAAGUUUCAUUUAAAAAUCAUGAAUGUGAAAUUUUUGAUGAAGUGUGGAAAGAAGAAAUUUAUAAAAUGAUUCAUGAUAGCUCCUUGAUUGAAAAGCAUGAUUGCAAUGACGUACCUAUAAAUUCUAUUAAUGUCAAUUAUGUGAAAUAUAUGCAAAACUACAAGCUUGCGGAUGAUAAUUUUGUCAUGUCCAUUACUCAUUGUAAUGAUCAUGAUUGGGAUGACGCUUCUUAUGAUCUUGAAAAUUUAUUUAAUCCUCAUGAUGAAUAUGUUAUUGAUAAUAAGGUUUGCAAUAGUAUCAAAAGUGGGUUCGGAAUAGUGUCAAAUUUAGGUAAAAAUAAACCCACAUAUUUGGACAGUGUUCAAUCUUAUGAAUUUUUUAAUAAAAGUGGGUUUGGAGAGGUCAUGACUUUAGUUAAUGUUAAUCUCACUACCGUGCAAGAUUGUUGGACUUCUAUGCAUGUGGAUCAUGAAAAUAAUGCUUUAUGUGAUAGUUAUAUUAUUGAAUUUAUUCAUUAUGCUACUGAAAAUUACUAUGAGAGAGGAACAUAUGCUUUUACAUAUUGCAAUACUAUCAAGUUUCUUGUCCAUGUGUUUGAAAUUUUGAAGUUAUACUUGUUUUCCCUUCAUAUGCUAAUUGAUUCUUGUUCUCAUAAUUUGUUUGCUCACAAAAUACCUAUGCAUAGGAAGUGGGUUAGAAUUAAAUAUGCUUGCCAUGUGAUUCAUGAUGCUCAGAUUAUGUUUCAGUUCUUUAUCUUUAUGCGAGCAUCAUUGAAAUCGUUAUGCCUAGCUAGGGGCGUUAAACAAUAGCGCUUGUUGGGAGGCAACCCAAUUUUAUUUUUAUUAUUUUGUGUUUGCUUCUGUCUUUUAGUGUUGCACACGUUAUUACCUCUGUAGUAAUUUUGUUUUCUUGUUUUAAUUAGUGUUUGAGCCAAGUAAGACCUUUGGGAUGGUGUAGAAUGUUUGCAAGUUGAUUUUGCUGAAAAACAAAAACUUUCGCUGUCAGUCUAGGAAUUUUGUAAAUUCAGUGGAACGUUAUUUUCAUCUAUUUUUUUACAAAAUGUUGAUAUAAAAUGUUUCCAGAGUUUCCUAAAUUUUCAGAAUUUUUCGUGGUACAUAAGUAUUCAAAGUUUAUAGAUUGCUACAAGACGUUCUGUUUUUGACAGAUUAUGUUUUCUUUGUGUUGGUUGCUUAUUUUUAUAAAUCUAUGGGUUGUAUCAGGGGGUAUGAACCAUGGAGGAGUUGGAAUACAGUAAAUAUUAUAUAAACAUAAAUAAAUAAUGAGUUCACAACAAUACCUAAAGUGGUGAUUUAUUUUUCUUAUACUAAGGAUCUCAUGAGUUUUCUGUUGAGUUUUGUGUUGUGAAGUUUUCAAAUUUUGGGUACAUAUUUGUUGGACUAUGGAAUAAGGAGUGGCAAGAGCCUAAGCUUGGGGAUUACCAAGGCACCCGAAGCCAUAUUCAAGGAUACCAAAAAGCCUAAGCUUGGGGAUGCCCCGGAAAGCAUUCCAUCUCUCGUCUUCAAUCCAUCGGUAAAUUUACUUGAGGCUAUAUUUUUAUUCACCACAUGAUAUGUGUUUUGCUUGGAGCAUCUUGUAUGAUAUGAGUCUUUACUUUUUGGAUUGCCACAAUCAUCCUUUCUGCACACAUAUUUUGAGAGAGACACGCUGAAUAGUGAAUUUAUUAGAAUACUCUAUGUUCUUCACUUACAUCUUUUGAGCUAGGCAAAGUUGCUCUAGUGCUUCACUUAUAUAGGCGGUGAUUUAUUUUAUAUAAUUAUUAAACUCACAUACCUCACUUAUAUUAUUUUGAGAGUCUUUAAACAGCAUGGUCAUUGGUUUAGGUUAUGAAUUUAGUCCUAAUAUAAUGGGCAUCCAAGAGGGAUAUAAUAAAAACUUACAUACUAGUGCAUUGAAUAUGAUGAGAAGUUUGAUUCCUUGCAUAUAGUUUUGAGAUAUGAAAAUGGUAAUAUGUGAUUCAUGCUACUAAGUAAUUAUGAAUUGGAAGAAAUACUUGUGUUAAAGUUUGUGAUUCCCAUAGCAUGCACGUAUGGUGAACCUUUGUGUGAUGAAGUCCGAGCAUGAUUUUUAUUAUUGAUUGUCAACCUUUGUGUGGAGGUCGGGAUCGCGCGAUGUUUAACUCCUACCAACCCUUCUCAUAGGAGCAUGCAUCUAAUACUUUGCUUCGAUAACUAAUAGGCUUUUUCGAUAAGUAUGUGAGUUCUUUAUGUCUAAUCUUGACUUCAUGGAUUAUACGCACUCUCACCCUUCCAUCUUUGCUAGCCUCUCUAAUACUGCGCAACUUUCGCUGGCACAUUAAACCCACCUUCCCCAAAAUGGCCACCGUACCUACCUAUUAUGACAUUUUCAUAGCCAUUUCGAGAUAUAUUUCCAUGCAACGCCAUUGUCCCGUUUUUUGUGACAUGCACCAUCACUUCCAUAUUGCUUAUAGAGUCAUAUUUCGUUCUAGAUAUCGAGUUGUAAUCUUUGAGUUGUCAGUAAAUAAAACUGUGAUGAUUUGCAUUAUGAGAGCAUUGUCUCAUGUGAGAAAAAGAUGAUGGAAGCUAUGAUUCCCUCACAAGUUGGGAUGAGUAUCCAGACUUUAAAAAAUAAAGGAGGCCAGCUAAGCCCAUAAAAAAAGAGGCCAAAGAGGCCCACCAAAAAAAUGAGAGAAAGAGAGAAGGGACAAUGCUACUAUCUUUUUACCACACUUGUGGUUCAAAGUAGUAGCAUGUUCUUCAUAGAGAGUCUCUAUUUUGUCACUUUCAUAUAACUAGUGGAAUUUCAUCUUUUGCACAACCACUUAGUUUUCUUUUGGAGCUUUCAUACACUUAUAGCUCUAGUGCAUUUGUUGCAUGGCAAUCCCUCCUCAAUCACAUUAAUAUCUAUUGAUGGGCAUCUCCAUAGCCUGUUGAUAUGCCUAGUUGAUGUCAGACUAUCUUCUCCUCUUUCUUUUUGCAACCUCCAUCAUAUUCUAUUCCACCUAUAGUGAUAUGUCCAUGGCCUACGCUCAUGUAUUGAAUGAGAGUUGAAAAGGUUUGAGAACAUAAAAAGUGUGAAACAAUUUCUUGACUUUCAUCGAGGAUGUAAAUGAUUUAGAUACUUUAUAUGGUGAAGAUGGAGCAUAUCCAAACCAUAUGGUUUUGUAGGGGUAACUUUCUAAGACCAUGUUAUUUCGAAAGGAAGCAGUUGCCUUGUUAGUAUGCUUGAAGUAUUAUUGUUUUUAUGUCAAUAUUAUACUUUUGUUUUUAAUUUUAUGGAUAUGAAUAUUCAUGCCACAAUAAAGAAUAUUACAUGGAUAAAUAUGUUAGGUAGCAUUCCACAUCAAAAAUUCUGUUUUUAUCAUUUACCUACUCGAGGCUGAGCAGGAAUUAAGCUUGGGGAUUCUUGAUACGUCCCCAACGUGUCUAUAAUUUUUUAUUGUUCCAUGCUAUUCUAUUAUGUGUUUUGUAUGUUUUAUAUGCAUUAAUAUCCUAUUUUAUAUUAUUUUUGGGUCUAACCUAUUAAUCUAGACCCUAGUGCCAGUUUCUGUUUUUUCCAUGCUUUUGAGUAUUGAAGAUAAGGAAUAUUAAACGGAGUCCAAACAGAAUAAUAUCUCCGGAAUGAUUUUUCUUGGAAUAGAAGAUAUCUGCGAGACUUGGAGAACGGGGCAGGAGACCUCGCAGGGGAUUGCGCCCCCUGGCUUGUGGGUCCCGUGCAGCUCUCCUAACCCUAAUACUUUGCCUAUAAAUUCCCAAAUAUUCCCCCAUUAGCGAAGGGAGCCACAAAAAUACUUUUGCGCUGUCGAGAGCCUCUGUUCCCGUGAGAUCCAAUAUGGAAACCUUUUCCUGUAAUCUGCCGGAGAGGAAAUUGAUCACGGAGGGCAUCUACAUCAACUCGAUUGCCCCUCUAAUGAUGCGUGAGUAGUUCACCACAAACCUACGGGUCCAUAGCGAGUAGCUAGAUGGACUCUUCUCUCUCUUUGUUCUUCAAUACCAUGUUCUUCAUGAUCUUAAUGGAGAUCUAUCCGAUGUAUUACUCUUUUGUGGUGUGUUUGUCGAGAUCCGAUGAAUUGUGGGUUUAUGUUUAAAUUAUCUAAGAAUAUUAUAUGAAUCUUUUCUGAAUUCUUAUAUGCAUGAUUUCAUAUCUUAGCAAGUCUCUUCGAGUUAUUGGUUUUGUUUGGACAACUAGAUUGGUAAUUCUUGCAAUGGGAGAAGUGCUUAGUUUUGGGUUCAAUCUUGUGGCCUCCUGACCCAGUGAAAAUGUAGGGAUAGAGAGGCACUUAUUGCAUUGUUGUCAUCGACGAUAAAAAGAUGGGGUUUAUAUCAUAUUGCUUAAGUUUAUCCCUCUACAUCAUGACAUCUUACUUAAUGUUUUACCCUGUUCUUCAUGAACUUAAUACUCUAGAUGCAGGCAGGACUCGGUCGAUGUGUGGAGUAAUAGUAGUUGAUGCCGAAUCGUUUCGUCCUACUUGACACGGGCGUGAUUACUAUAUGCAUAAUCAUUGCCUUGGAUAUCUUCAUAAUUAUUCGCUUUUCUAUCAACAGCUCGACAGUAAUUUUAUCACCCACCGUAUUAUUUUCCUUCAUGGGAGAAGUCUCCAGUGAAACCUAUGGCCCCGGGUCUAUUUUCCAUAUUAUACUUUAAGAUAUGUAAACCAAAAAUACCAAAAAUAUAUUGCUGCUAUUUAUUUACUUUUGUUGAACCUUUAGUUCUAGCAAUCUUUUAUCUAUCUCUAUCAGAUCUCAUCCUUGCAAAUAACUCUGAAGGGAUUGACAACGCCUUUUUAGCGUUGGGUGCAAGUGUUUGACUGUUUGUGUAGGUACUACAAUUGGGGCCUUGCUUGUUCCUCCUACUGGAUUGAUACCUUGUUUCUCAACAAACUGAUGGCAAUACUUAUCUACUUCGCUACAUCACCCUUUCUUGUUCAAGGGAAAACUAACGCAAGAUCAAGAGGUAGCAGAAUGUUACUUGCUCGAGAUUCGAUCGUCGGUAUCUCCAUACCUAUUUCAAUCUCGUUACCGGCAAGUCUUUUUACUCGUUCCGUAAUACAAGAUCCCGUGACUAACUCCUUAGUCAAAUUGCUUGCAUGGCUUGUUGUGAUGUUGUAUUACCGAGUGGGCCCCAAGAUAUCUAUCCUUCAUACAGAGUGACAAAUCCCAGCCUUGAUCCAUGCUAACUCAACGGACACUUUCGGAGAUACCUAUAGAGCGCCUUUAUAGUCACCCAGUUACAUUGCGACCUUUGAUACACACAGGGUAUUCCUCUCGCGUUAGUGAGUUACAUGAUCCCAUGGUCAUAGGAAUGUAUACUUGACAUGCAGAAAAUAGCAGCAAUAAAAUAACACGAUCACAUGCUAUGUUCAUAGUUUGGGUCUUGUCCAUCACAUCCUCCUCCUAAUGAUGUGAUCCCGUUAGGAAACCUUAACCAUCUUUGAUCAAGGAGCUUGUCAAGUAGAGGCUUACUAAGGAAGUGUUUUGUCUAUGUAUCCACACAUGUAUUUGCAUUUCCAUUCAAUACAAUACUAGCAUGGAUAAUAAACGAUUAUCUUGAAAUAUAAAUAUAAUAAUAACUAUUUUAUUAUUGCUUCUAGGGAAUAUUUCCAACAACAACUCUAGGUACUAACGAUCCAAUUAUUUCCGAGGGUCUUUAAUCUUUUCAUAGUGGUAAAAGUGGAUUUGGAGAUCUCAUGACUUUAUUUAGUGAAGAGUCCACUAUGUUGGAAAAGGCUUCAAUUGACUAUGCCAACAAAUUUUCUAUCUAUGAUGAUUAUGGUGAUGACAUUUAUGUUAUAAUGAAUAAGGAUAACCAUGAAACUUGUUAUCAUAAUUUUAAUUUUUCUCAUGGAUUAUAUCGAUCAAGUAUCUCAUGAUUCUUAUUUUGUUGAGUUUGCUCCCACUACUAUGAAUGAUAAGAAUUUUGCUUGUGUGGUUAGUAAUAAAAAAUCUAUGUUUGUGCAUCAUGAAAAUAAUGUUGUAGGUGAUAGUUAUAUUAUUGAAUUCCUUCAUGAUGCUACUGAAAAUUAUUAGGAGGGAGGAAAAUAUGCUUGUAGGAAUUGCAAUAAUAUCAAGUUUCCUCCCUAUGUGUUCAAAGUUAUGAAACAUGAUUCUUGCUCCCAUAAAUUCUUUGCUUGUUGAAUCCCUAUGCAUAGAAAGUGGGUUAUAUUUAAAUGUGCUUGUCAUGUUAUUCAUUAUGCUCUCUUGCAUGUUUCAAAUAUUAUUCCUAUAUGAGGAUCAUUGAAAUCAUCAUGCCUUGCUAAAAGGCAUUAAAGAAAAGCAUUUGUUGGGAGACAACCCAAUAUUUAUACUUUAUGUUUUUGUGUGUUCACAUGAUUAAUAUACUGUAAUAAUCAUGUUUUGUGUAUUUUAUUUCAAUACAGUUCCAAGUAAAAUCUUUGGGAUAGUGCGGAUACUUCCUUGUUUCAUUUUGUGUAAAAACACAAACAUUUACAUCGAGUGCAGAAUUUCUAUGAUUUUACUGGAGCAUCAAAAAAUUCUGAAUUUUUACACAGUUUUUGUAUGCACAUUCUCAACGUUUUCCUUAUAUUUCAGAAUGUUUAGACUAGGGGAAGUAUGGUUUUCAUUCAGAUAUUCACAGACUGUUCUGUUUUUGUCAGAUUUUGUUUUGUGUGCAUAGUUUCUUAUUUUAGUGUUUCCAUAGCUUAUAUUGAGUGAUAUAAAUUAUGGGAAUGAUAUAAUACAAUAGGAAUUAUGUGAGAACAAUUAUGAAUCUUGUCUUUGCAUUACCUAUGUGAAUGAUCUAAAUUUAUCACACUAACCCAUCUCACGAAGUUCUAUUAAGUUCUGUGUGAUUGAAGUUUUUCAAGUUUUGGGUGAGAUACCAAUAUGAGGAGAAUAAGGAGCAGCAAUAACCUAAUCUUGUGGAUGCCCAAGGCACCCCAAGGUAAUAUCCAAGGAAUACUCAAUCGUCUAAGCUUGGGCAUGCCCCGGAAGGCAUCCCCUCUUUCGCCUCCAACAUUACCGGUAUAUCUUACUUGGAGCUAUACUUUUAUUCGUCAAAUGAUAUGUGUUUUCCUUGGAGCGUAAUUUUUUUUGUUCUCUGUUAGAUGUUAUUUAUAAUAUUAUUUUUCAAGAAAGUUCCAAGAGUUGCCUUCAAAAUGCUUGAAUUACAUGUGUCAUGUGUGUUGCACAAAAACAGAAACUUUUGCUGCAGUAUUUGAAUUAUCAUAUUUUACUAGAACGUGGAAAGUUUCUAAAAGUUUUACACACUGAUGUCAUAUAAAGUUUUUAUCACUUCCUAAUUUUUCAGAAGUUUUGGACAUACAUAAGUAUACUGUUUAUAUAAAUUGCUACAGAAUGUUCUUUUUGGACAAAUUGUUGUCAUAGUUUUGUUAUCUACUUAUGCUAUAGUUUCCCACAAUGUUUAUAAAUAUAUUGUUUACAGUAUUUGAAUUGUCAUAUUGGUAGAUCAAAAUUGUGGAAAUGAUAGUAUACAAUACCUUAUGUUUGAGAAUUAUUAUGCAACUUGUCUUGUGAGUACAUGAAGUGUUGAUUUAUUUCUGUGUGUACUAACCUAUCUCACGAGUUAUUUUCAAGUUUUGUGUGGAUGAUGUUUUUGAGACUUAGGUGAAACCGACAUAGGAGAGGAUUGAAAGAGAUACAAAAGAUCAAGCUUUGGGAUGCCCAAGGAACCCCAAGUAAAUAUUUCAAGAAGUCUCAACCAUCUAAGCUUGGGGAUGCUACGCAUCCCACCACUCUUCAUCAAUAACUAACGGUUGGCCUAUGUUGAGCCAAAAACAUUAUUUGUCCAAAUGAUAUGUGCUAUUCUUGAAAUCCAUUUUUGUUUAGUUUUCUGUUUGAAUAAAAUUAUCAGAUCUAAAAAUCUUUUUUGAGAGAAAGUCCUUACUUGAUUCUUUAACUACUCAUUGAUUUUCACUUAUAUCUUUUGAGAGCAGUUUCAUUGUUUGCUCUUGUGCUUCACUUAUAUCCUAUGAGUAAAUUGUUGAAUAAAUUGAAUGCCAUGAAGUUUAAAUUAUAUGUUCGUUUCAUGCCUAGUAGUAGCUUCACAUUGGGUUUAGAAAGUGAAAUCUUUUGAAGCUUGACAAUCAUAAUAUUGGUCAUACAAGCAAUUCACGCAUGAUUGGUAUAAGCAAGAGAACUUUCACAUAUAAAUAUAUUACCUUGGACAUAUUCUAUGAUUUUGAAUUCUCAUUAAUUAUUUUCUAAUUUGAGCAAAUUAGUUGAAGUUGGACAAGGAAGACAAUGUAAUGACUUAUGGUUGUGUUUAUUUGCAUAGAAGUUAUAUUGUUAUGGAUCAUCCAACAUGUGGUGUUUGCUAAGAAUCUUUUUCUAAACAAAAAUUCGUAUUAAGUAGAGAUACCACUUGUGCAUCCAAUAACCCUUAAACCCAGUUUAUUGACAUGAGUGUCAGCAAUACAUACCUAUGGAUUGAAUAAGAUCCUUCAUGUAAGUUGUCAUCGGUGCAAAAAUGCAAUAAAAAUUGCUUCUAAAUAUGUUUGAUCAUUUAGUGUAAGAAAAAAUUGAGCGUUUUACGAACUUGUGAUGGCAAAGUAAUAAAAGUGAUGGACUACAUAAUAAAGGUUGUUAUCAUAAGGGGCAAUAUAACGUGAUGUUCUUUUGCAUUAACGGAUUGUGCCUACAAAAUAAAAAAGUGCAUGACAACCUCUACUUCCCUCUACGAAGAGCCUAUCUUUUACCUUUCAGUAUUUAAUUUUAUGCAAGAGUCAAUAGUAUGCAUUCUCAUUUCAACCUAAAUUAUUCUCUAGUUAGCAAGAAUCAUGUGGUGGGGAAAUAUCUAGGCACAUAUAGCUAGUCAAAUAUAUUUGAUCAUGACGUAUUACUGUUGACAAUUAUCUCUAUGAUAAAUGAGUUGGGAGGCGAAACAUUAAGCCCCUAUCUUUCUCUGUGUUUGAUGGAUGCCAUUUAUUCUAAAAAUAUGUUUUGAGUACUAGCAAUCAUAGAAGGCUAUAUGAUGACUGAGUAUGUGGAGCUCUUACCUAGACUUUGUUGAGAUUAAGUUGAAUUGCAAUUGUUUGGUGACUAAGAACAUAAGUUGUUAAGUUUCAAGAGAGUUCAUUGUUUGAACCAUAACAUGUCAAUUGCUUGCUACUUUAUCAUGAUGAGUUUUAUGAGAAAUAGUUUCUGUUAUGAUGCUAGGAAAAGUGGUUGAAAUUACCAUGAUUAAACUUAUGCACUAUGCUAGCAUUCACACUUCAUAACUUAUUUCUUUUAUCAUUUACCUACUCGGGACAAGAAGUAAUUAAGCUUGGGGAGGCGGAUACAUCUCCAAUGUAUUGAUAAUUUAUGAAGUAUUCAUGCCAUGUUUGCCUAUGUUUACAAUACUUUUAUAUGGUUUUGCUGCACUUUAUAUGAUUUAAUUUGAAAUAACCCAGACUCACGCUUUUUCAGCAGAACUACUGUCGUGUUGUUUUUUGUGUAGAAAUAAAAGUUCUCAUAAUUGGACGAAACUUUUUGACGAUUUUUUUCUGAACAGAAGACAUCCAAAGGAGCAAACAACAACCAGAGAGGAGGCACAGGCUGCCCAGUAGGUACCAGGGUGCACCAGCCCCACUGGCGCGGCCUUGUACCUAGUGGGCACCUCGUGGCCCAUCUUAGCGUGAUUCCAACGACCAAAAAUCCUAUAAUUAUAGAAACCUCCAGAAAUUACCCUAAACGAGAAGUUCCACCACUGCAAGUCUCUAUAGCCAUGAAAAAACAAUCGGGAGCCCAUUCCAGCACCCUACCGGAGGGGGAGAUCAUCUCCGGUGGCCAUCUUCAUCAUCUCGGCGGAGGCCAUGACGAGGACGGAGUAGUCCACCCUCGGGGCUGAGGGUUUGUACCAGUAGUUAUGUGUUAAAUCUCUGUGUGUGUGUGUGUUGUGUUGUUGAUAUGUCAUGAUCUUGAUACAUCACGGUCAUUGUUAAUAUAGUUGGAUCAUAUGGUGUUUGUCCCAUGCUAUUGUUGGAUUGAGUGUUUCACUUUAAGCUCUCGUUAUGUUGGAUUGAAUAUUCAGUUUUGAGAGCACGUGAUAUACGUCUUGCAUGCGGAUACCCAUAAUGACAUCGAGGUAUUCAAGUGAUUCACUUGAUACAUAUUGUGGCAUCAACUUGCGGAUUCCGGUGACCUUGGGAUCUAGGCAUAGGGGUUGAUUGCAUGUAUUCAUACUAUGUUCUCCUGUAGAAAUCUUGGGGUCCUCCUUGAAGUUAUUUGUGUUGGAUUGAAUAUCUGAAUUGAUUGAUGUAUGUUGUAUAAUUAGCCCAUGGAUACUUGAGGUGACAUUGGAGUAUCUAGGUGACAUUAGGAUUGAUUGAUAAGUAUCAAUGGUGUUAUUUUAGUACGAACUCUUGGAUAGAUCGAUCGGAAAGGAUAACUUGUUAUCUUAGAACGAACUCUACAAACAAUUUCUUCUCAUGUUGAGGUGGUUUCGUACGCUACAAACAAUUUCUUCUCAUGUUCUCCGCUAGAUAGGAACUUUGGAGUGAUUCUUCAUUGCAUGCUAAUGGAUUGUUAUGUGAUCCAAUUAUAUUAGCAUUGUUGAGAGAUUGCACUAGCAAAAGUACGGACCCUAGGGCUCAUUUUGAAGCAUUGCAAUAUCAUUUGUGCUCACUUUUGUUACUCAUUACCUUGUUUUUUUAUUGUUCCUACUACAAAAAUCAAUAUCGACUAUCAUUACUACACUUGUAUCACCAUCUCUUCGCCAAACUAGUGCACCUAUACAAUUUACCUUUGUAUUUGGUGUGUUGUCGACACAAGUGACUUUUUAUUAUUUGGUUACAGGGUUGUUUGAGAGAGACCUUCUUCAUCCAACGGCUCCCAUGGAUUGAUAAACCUUAGGUAAUCCACUUGAGGGAAAUUUGCUACUGUCCUACAAAACUCUGUGCUUGGAGGCCCAACACGAGUCUACAAGAACAAGUUUUGUAGUAGACAUCACCCACCGUAUGAUAUUUCUCAUGAGGGAUGCCAUUAGGGAAAACUAUGGCCCCCGGGUCUAUUCACAACUCAUUUACAAAACCUUAAAUACCUUGCUGCCAUUUACUUGUUUUUGUUUGAUUUUGCAAUUAACAAUUAUCUACACACCUCACACGCUUGCAAGUAACAAGUACAAGAGGAUUGACAACCCUCUUGCCCGUGUUGGGUGCAAGUUGCUUGUUCUUUUGGGUGCACCCAGUGAAGAUGGUUGUGGUUGAUAUUCCUAUUGGUUCAAUAAACCUUAUUUUCAUAACUGAUAGAAAUAUUUAAUCACAUUAUGUCGCGAUAACCUAUUCCUCUUCAUGGAAAACCCAACGUAGAUCACAAGUAUCAUUCAUCCAGUACAUUGUCAUAGUUUGCUCAUCCAUGAACAAGGUGGAGUAAAACUGCAUGAUCGCCUCCUCGCACUGAUCCUUCCUGAAAGUGGUCAGCCCAAGCACACCUCUGCUAUGGUCUCACAUGAUCCCAGUCGAUGGUCUUCCUUUGUACCACCCGGUUCUUCAACCCCAUCACAAUGAUUUCAUGAUAGUCCGAAUGUUUAAUGGAUUGGAAUCUAGCAUCCGUCGCACUCCUCCCCUAAUUAUAAGGCUUGGACAUGCAUCAGAUCCGACGAAGUACAUGGCAACUCUUGUUCUUCAUGUUUGUGGGUUGCCGGUCUACUAUGCCUCGUGCUGGAGUGCAGGGCAUCAGAUCAACUGUCUUCGGUUUGUCGUGAAGACGCUCAUGGACGACGAGCGCCUUUUCACUGUUAGAUGGAUUUGGGACCAGAUAAUAUUUCGUCUUGAUCUGCAUCCUCACAACAGGUGCAGAUGCUGGUUGGUUCUUUGCUUUAACCCUAGCCAUGUUCACUGAAUUUGUAGCAGUACCGACUGGGCGAGGUGCAAGUCUGAGGCAAGUUGAUGUCGCAGCACUUGGUGCAUGAGGUGAAAGGAGCAGCACAUUUGAUGUUGAAGGUGUGGUUGACACACUGUGUAUGCAAAUUGUGGACUGAGGCAAUUGUUUCUUGAGAGACAGUAGGCUUGCCUUCGACGACUGUGGAGGACUACCUUGGAAGGUUUUGAUUGCCUUAGUCUUCCACCUAAAUGUCUUAUUACUGCUACCUAACACUGAUUGUUCCAUGCACUUUCUCCUCUCUGCCUCUUGGUCUGCCUUUCUGUUCUCCGACUCAUGGAUGGACUGUAUUCGUGGACGCUUCAAACUACGUGCUUUGUAUCGAGGUGACGGAUUGGUGUUGAUGGCUUACUUCCCUUUCUACUAUGCCUGUGAAGGUUCAGUGAAAUCAUCAGUGACAAACUACGAAACAAAAUGGACAACUAUAUGCAACUCCAAAGCAGUUGCGCGAUCCAUGUUAUGUUCACCAUCACUCGUACUAAUGUUCACCGAUACAUGACUUGGAUGAACUCCUUCAUUGCCAGAAUCUAGGCGAGGUACGGAUUUCUCCUUGGUGUACAUGAUCGUCUCUGACCCAACAAAUUGGAAAACCACAGGGUUGAAAAAAUCAUCCAUCAUCAAGGUUGUGCUCGUGUUUCCAUCCACUACUUCUAGUGCCGAUUGGUCAUCACUUCUUAGUUCCUCUGUUGCUCUACGAGUGGACUAUUGCAGAGUCGUAUCAGCACAGUUGAUUAGUCUAGUUGUCCCCCUAGUCUGGUUGUGAGCUACAUUCGUUAUGGCCAACUGCAAUGCACAUGAUCUGGCAACUCCCCCGCCGCGCAUACCGUAAACCUUUUCACAAAUCAGACCUUAACACUUAUGAACAAUACGUACAAUGCAACCUUUUAGAUCAAUGCUACUGCAAAAAAAGACCUUCCAACGGCGCCAAAAACAAGCGUGCUGACGGGAGACUAUUCCUGUCUUGAUUCUCCUCAGCAACGGGACCAGGAAUCCUUCUGCUACGGCUACGCCUUUAGGGACUUCCUAGGAAAAUAUGCAAAGGAUUCCCUCGUGGCCUUGGAGCCUUGCGUUGGUGUUCCCUCGAAGCGGAAAGGGUGAUGUAGCACAGCGGAAUUAAGUAUUUCCCUCAGUUUUGAGAACCAAGGUAUCGAUCCAGUGAAGGAGUAUCACAAGUGCCUGCACAAACACAAAGAGCUUGCUCCCAACGCGAUUAAGGGGUUGUCAAUCCCUUAUAGAUUGUUUUCCAAGUGAGAACUGAAAGCAACAAAGUAACAAAGCAAAGUAAAAGCCAAGGUGGAAACGAUAGGUGUGAAUAGACCGGGGGGCCGUAGUGUUCACUAGUGGCUUCUCUCAUGAAAGCAAGUAGACGGUGGGUGAACGAAUUACUGUCGAGCAAUUGAUAGAACCGCGCAAAGUUGUGACGAUAUCUAUGACAAUGAUUAUAUCCAUAGGCAUCACGUCCAAAACAAGUAGACCGAUACUUUCUUCAUCUACUACUAUUACUCCACACAUCGACCACUAUCCAGCAUGCAUUUAGUGUAUUAAGUCCAAAAGAACAGAGUAACGCCUUAAGCAAGAUGACAUGAUGUAGAUGGACAAUCUCAUAUCUACGACAAAGCCCAUCUUGUUACCCUUGAUGGAAACUACAGGAUGUGUGCCUUGCUGCCCCUAUUGUCACUGGGAAAGGUCACCACACGGUUAGAACCCAAAACCAAGCACUUCUCCCAUUGCAAGAAUCGUAGACCUAGUUGGCCAAACAAGACCGAAGACUCGGAGAGACUUACAAGGAUAUGAAAUCAUGCAUAUAAGAAAUCAGCAAAGACUCAAAUAUAUAUCAUAGAUAAUUUGAUCUCAAAUCCACAAUUCAGCGGCUCUCGACAAACAUACCACCAAAGAGGAUUACAUCGGAUAGAUCUCCAUGAAGAUCAUGGAGAACUUUGUAUUGAAGAUCCAAGAGAGAGAAGAAGCCAUCUAGCUACUAACUAUGGACCCGUAGGUCUGAAGUGAACUACUCACAAGUCAUUGGAGGGGCGAUGAUGUUGAUGAAGAAGCCCUCCAACUCCAAAGUCCCCUCCGACAGGGCACCGGGAAGGGUCUCCGGAUGAGAUCUCGCAGAAACGGAAGCUUGCGGUGGCGGAAAAGUGUUUUCAUGGACGCCCUGAUUUUUUCUGGAUUUUUAGGGAAUUUAUAGACCAAAGACCUAGGGCAGGGGAGCGCCAGGGAUUCCACAAGCUUGGUUGUCGCUGCAAGGGCUUGUGGGCUCCCCGUGGGCCCACUUUCUUGGCCCUCAAGCCUCCCGAUCUUCUUUCGUUCUGGAAAAAAUCAUUUUGGGGUUUUAUUCCAUUUGGACUCCGUUCCAAAAUCAGAUCUGAAAAGAGUCAAAAACACAGAAAAAACAGGAACUCGCACUUGGUCCUAAGUUGACAAGAUAACAGCGUGAAACCAUCAAAAGUUAUAGAUACGUUUGAGACGUAUCAAUCAACAACCUAGUCAAACAUAACAAUGUACGGAGUUGGCUGUAAUGGGGCUGUGACAUCCCCGGAUUAGGCUACAGUAAUCCCGGUAAGUGAACUACAGUACACCUAUGCAAAGGAUGCCAUGUCACCGUGUUUCCUAUCAUUGAUCUCGCGAUUGUUUGAAUCAGUUCGAAUUUAAGACUUAAGUUUAAAAUCAAACGAUAAAAGUUAUAGGGUUGAAAUAAAAAUUUCGGGGGAGUUAUACAAAAAUUCCCUAAUGAAUUAUAUAACUGAACCGGGCUUCUUAAGAUUUAUUGCAAUAACCAUAUAAUUAAAACAGAAAGCUAUAUAUAUUUAUAUAUAUAUAAUAGAAUAAAAGAAAGUAUUAAAAAAUAUAAUAAAUGGUAAUAGAAUAAUAAUAAUAAUAAAAGAAAAAUAAUAAAAGAAAAAGGAACAGCAACAAACAAAAAACAAAACAAAAAANNNNNNNNNNNNNNNNNNNNNNNNNNNNNNNNNNNNNNNNNNNNNNNNNNNNNNNNNNNNNNNNNNNNNNNNNNNNNNNNNNNNNNNNNNNNNNNNNNNNUUUUGGGCGGUCCCACCAGCCCACUAAGGGCUAGUGCGCCACCCUCAUGACCAAUGGGCUUCCCCGGGGUGGGUUGCCCCCCCCCCCCGGUGAACUCCCGGAACCCAUUCGUCAUUCCCGGUACAUUCCCGGUAACUCCGAAAACCUUCCGGUAAUCAAAUGAGGUCAUCCUAUAUAUCAAUCUUCCUUUCCUGACCAUUCCGAAAACCCUCAUGACGUCCGUGAUCUCAUCCGGGACUCCGAACAACAUUCGGUAACCAACCAUAUAACUCAAAUACGCAUAAAACAACGUCGAACGUUAAGUGUGCAGACCCUGCGGGUUCGAGAACUAUGUAGACAUGACCCGAGAGACUCCUCGGUCAAUAUCCAAUAGUGGGACCUGGAUGCCUAUAUUGGAUCCUACAUAUUCUACGAAGAACUUAUCGUUUGAACCUCGGUGCCAAGGAUUCAUACAAUCCCGUAUGUCAUUCCCUUUGUCCUUCGGUAUGUUACUUGCCCGAGAUUCGAUCGUCAGUAUCCGCAUACCUAUUUCAAUCUCGUUUACCGGCAAGUCUCUUUACUCGUUCCGUAAUACNNNNNNNNNNNNNNNNNNNNNNNNNNNNNNNNNNNNNNNNNNNNNNNNNNNNNNNNNNNNNNNNNNNNNNNNNNNNNNNNNNNNNNNNNNNNNNNNNNNNGUAAUCAAAUGAGGUCAUCAUAUAUAUAAAUCUUCGUUUCCAGACCAUUUCGGAAACCCUCGUGACGUCCAUGAUCUCAUCCGGGACUCCGAACAACAUUCGGUAACCAACCAUAUAACUCAAAUACGCAUAAAACAACGUCGAACCUUAAGUGUGCAGACCCUGCGGGUUCGAGAACUAUGUAGACAUGACCCGAGUGACUCCUCGGUCAAUAUCCAAUAGCGGGACCUGGAUGCCCAUAUUGGAUCCUACAUAUUCUACGAAGAUCUUAUCGUUUGAACCUUAGUGCCAAGGAUUCACAGAAUCCCGUAUGUCAUUCCCUUUGUCCUUCGGUAUGUUACUUGCCCGAGAUUCGAUCGUCAGUAUCCGCAUACCUAUUUCAAUCUCGUUUACCGGCAAGUCUCUUUACUCGUUCCGUAAUACAAGAUCCCGCAACUUACACUAAGUCACUUUGCUUGCAAGGCUUGUGUGUGAUGUUGUAUUACCGAGUGGGCCCCGAGAUACCUCUCCGUCACACGGAGUGACAAAUCCCAGUCUCGAUCCAUACUAACUCAACUAACACCUUCGGAGAUACCUGUAGAGCAUCUUUAUAGUCACCCAGUUACGUUGCGACGUUUGAUACACACAAAGCAUUCCUCCGGUGUCAGUGAGUUAUAUGAUCUCAUGGUCAUAGGAACAAAUACUUGACACGCAGAAAACAGUAGCAACAAAAUGACACGAUCAACAUGCUACGUCUAUUAGUUUGGGUCUAGUCCAUCACGUGAUUCUCCUAAUGACGUGAUCCAGUUAUCAAGCAACAACACCUUGUUCAUAAUCAGAAGACCCUAACUAUCUUUGAUCAACUGGCUAGUCAACUAGAGGCUUGCUAGGGACAGUGUUUUGUCUAUGUAUCCACACAUGUAUAUAAGUCUUCAUUCGAUACAAUUAUAGCAUGGAUAAUAAACGAUUAUAUUGAUACAGGAAUUAUAAUAAUAACUAUAUUUCUUAUUGCCUCUAGGGCAUAUUCCAACAGUCUCCCACUUGCACUAGAGUCAAUAAUCUAGCCCUCACAUCAUCAUAUGAAUUACAUUGUAAUAAAUCUAACACCCAUACAGUUCUGGUGUUGAUCAUGCUUUGCCCGUGGAAGAGGUUUAGUCAGCGGGUCUGCUACAUUCAGAUCCGUGUGCACUUUGCAUAUAUUUACGUCCUCCCCUUCGACGUAGUCGCGGAUGAGGCUGAAGCGUCGUUUGAUGUGUCUGGACUUCUUGUGAAACUGUGGUUCCUUUGCUAGGGCAAUGGCACCCGUGUUGUCACAGAACAAGGUUAUUGGAUUCAGUGCGCUUGGCACCACUCCAAGAUCCGUCAUGAACUGCUUCAUCCAGACACCCUCCUUAGCCGCCUCCGAGGCAGCCAUGUACUCCGCUUCACAUGUAGAAUCUGCUACGACGCUUUGCUUGGAACUGCACCAGCUUACCGCACACCUAUUAAGAAUAAAUACGUAUCCGGUUUGCGACUUAGAGUCGUCCGGAUCAGUGUCAAAGCUUGCAUCGACGUAACCUUUUACGGCGAGCUCUUCGUCACCUCCAUACACGAGAAACAUCUCCUUAGUCCUUUUCAGGUACUUCAGGAUAUUCUUGACCGCUGUCCAGUGAUCCACUCAUGGAUUACUCUGGAACCUGCCUGCCAUACUUAUGGCCAGGCUAACAUCCGGUCUAGUGCACAGCAUUGCAUACAUGAUAGAACCUAUGGCUGAAGCAUAGGGGACGGUGCUCAUAUGCUCUCUAUCCUCAUCAGUUGCUGGGCACUGAGUCUUACUCAAUCUCGUACCUUGUAAAACUGGCAAGAACCCUUUCUUGGACUGUUCCAUUUUGAGCCUCUUCAAAACUUUAUCAAGGUAUGUGCUUUGUGAAAGUCCUAUCAGGCGUUUUGAUCUAUCCCUAUAGAUCUUAAUGCCUAGAAUGUAAGCAGCUUCUCCUAGGUCCUUCAUAGAGAAACUUUUAUUCAAGUAAUCAUUUAUGCUCUCCAAAAACUCUACGUUGUUUCCAAUCAGCAAUAUGUCAUCCACAUAUAAUAUUAGAAAUGCCACAGAGCUCCCACACACUUUCUUGUAAAUACAAGAUUCUCCAACCACUUGUAUAAACCCAAAUGCUUUGAUCACCUCAUGAAAGCGUUUGUUCCAACUCCGAGAUGCUUGCACCAGUCCAUAAAUGGAUCGCUGGAGCUUGCACACCUUGUUAGCAUUCUUAGGAUCGACAAAACCUUCGGGCUGCAUCAUAUACAACUCUUCCUUAAGGAAACCGUUAAGGAACGCCGUUUUGACAUCCAUCUGCGAGAUUUCAUAAUCGAAAAAUGCAGCUAUUGCUAACAUGAUUCUGACGGACUUAAGCAUCGCUACGGGUGAGAAUGUCUCAUCGUAGUCAACUCCUUGAACUUGUGAAAAACUCUUUGGCACAAGUCGAGCUUUAUAAACGGUCACAUUGCCGUCAGCGUCCGCCUUCCUCUUAAAGAUCCAUUUGUUCUGAAUAGCCUUGCGGCCCUUAGGUAGUACUUCCAAAGUCCACACUUUGUUCUCAUACACGGAUCCUAUCUCGGACUUCAUGGCUUCUAGCCAUUUGUUGGAAUCUGGGCCCACCAUUGCUUCUUCAUAAUUUGCAGGUUCAUUGUUGUCUAACAACAUGAUUGACAAAACGGGAUUACCGUACCACUCUGGAGCAGCACAUGGUCUCGUCGACCUGCGUGGUUCGACGGGAACUUGAACCGGAGUUUCAUGAUCAUCAUCAUUAACUUCCUCCUCAACUGGCGUCGCAACGACACAGGUUUCCCCUUGCCCUGUGCCACCAUCUAGAGGGAUGAGAGGUUCGACAACCUCAUCAAGUUCUAUCUUCCUCCCACUCAAUUCUCUCGAGAGAAACUCCUUCUCGAGAAAAGCUCCGUUUUUAGCAACAAACACUUUGCCCUCGGAUUUGAGAUAGAAGGUGUACCCAACUGUCUCUUUUGGGUAACCUAUGAAGAUGCACUUUUCCGCUUUGGGUUCCAGCUUUUCAGGCUGAAGCUUUUUGACAUAAGCAUCACAUCCCCAAACUAUAAGAAACGACAACUUUGGCCUUUUGCCAUACCACAGUUCGUAUGGUGUCGUCUCAACAGAUUUUGAUGGUGCCCUAUUUAAAGUGAAUGCAGCUGUAUCUAAUGCAUAACCCCAAAACAAUAACGGCAAAUCAGUAAGAGACAUCAUAGAUCACACCAUCUCUAAUAAAGUACGAUUACGACGUUCGGACACACCAUUACGUUGUGGUGUUCCAGGCGGUGUCAACUGUGAAACAAUUCCACAUUGUCUUAAGUGAGUACCAAACUCGAAACUCAGAUAUUCACCCCCACGAUCAGACCGUAGGAACUUGAUCUUCUUGUUACGAUGAUUCUCAACUUCACUCUGAAAUUGCUUGAAGUUUUCAAAUGUUUCAGACUUGUGCUUCAUUAAGUAGACAUAACCAUAUCUACUCAAAUCGUCAGUGAAGGUGAGAAAAUAACGAUAUCCGCCGCGUGCCUCUACGCUCAUCGGACCGCACACAUCGGUAUGUAUGAUUUCCAACAAGUCACUGGCACGCUCCGUUGUUCCGGAGAACGGAGUUUUAGUCAUCUUGCCCAUGAGGCAUGGUUCGCACGUGUCAAGUGAAUCAAAGUCAAGUGACUCCAAAAGUCCAUCGGCAUGGAGUUUCUUCAUGCGCUUUACACCAAUAUGAGCUAAGCGGCAGUGCCACAAAAAUAUGGCGCUAUCAUUGUUAACACUAACUCUUUUGGUCUCAAUGUUAUGUAUGUGUGUAUCACUAUCAAGAUUCCAUAUGACCAAUCCUCUCACAUUGGGUGCAUGACCAUAAAAGAUGUUACUCAUAGAAAUAGAACAACCAUUAUUCUCUGACUUAAAAGAGUAACCGUCUCGCAAUAAACAAGAUCCAGAUAUAAUGUUCAUGCUCAACGCAGGCACUAAAUAACAAUGAUUCAAGUUCAUAACUAAUCCUGAUGGUAACUGAAGUGAAACUGUGCCGACGGCGAUUGCAUCAACCUUGGAACCAUUUCCUACGCGCAUCGUCACUUCAUCUUUCGCCAGCCUUCAUCUAUUCCGCAGUUCCUGUUUCGAGUUGCAAAUAUGAGCAACAGAACCGGUAUCGAAUACCCAGGCACUACUACGAGAGCCGGUUAAGUAUAUAUCAAUAACAUGUAUAUCAAAUAUACCUGAUUUUUCUUUGGCCGCCUUCUUAUCAGCCAGAUACUUGGGGCAGUUGCGCUUCCAGUGACCCAUACCCUUGCAAUAGUAACACUCUGUUUCAGGCUUAGGUCCAGCUUUGGGUUUCUUCGUUGGAUUGGCAACAGACUUGCCACUCUUCUUUGGAUUACCCUUCUUGCCUUUGCCGUUUCUCUUGAAACUAGUGGUCUUAUUCACCAUCAACACUUGAUGCUCUUUAUGGAGUUCAGACUCUGUGACUUUCAGCAUCGCAAACAACUCGCCGGGUGACUUGUUCAUCCCUUGCAUGUUGUAGUUCAACACAAAGCCUUUAUAGCUUGGCGGCAGUGAUUGAAGGAUUCUGUCAGUGAUAGCCUCUUGCGGGAGUUCAAUCCCCAACUCAGCUAGACGGUUUGAGUACCAAGACAUUUUGAGCACAUGUUCACUGACAGACAAAUUCUCCUCCAUCUUGCAAGCAUAGAAUUUAUCGGAGGUCUCAUACCUCUCGAUCCGGGCGUUCUUAUGAAAGAUGAACUUCAACUCCUGGAACAUCUCAAAUGCUCCAUGACGCUCAAAGCGAUGUUGAAGUCCCGGUUCUAAGCCAUAGAAGACUGCACAUUGAACUACUGAGUAGUCCUCCUUACGUGUUAACCAAGGGUUCUUAACAUCCUGGUCAGCCGUAGCGGGUGGUUCAUCUCCUAGCGCAGCAUUAAGGACAUAAUCCUUCUUCCCAGCUUGUAAGAUUAGCUUAAGAUUACGAGCCCAGUCUACAAAGUUGCUUCCAUCAUCUUUCAACUUAGCUUUCUCUAGGAACGUAUUAAAAUUCAGGGUGACUGUUGCGUGAGCCAUGAUCUACAACACAAAUAUAUUCAAAGUGGACUUAGACUAUGUUCAAGAUAAUUAGAGUUUAACUUAAUCAAAUUGUUCACUAAACUCCCACUCAAAAAGUACAUCUCUCUAGUCAUUUGAGUGGUUCAUGAUCCACUUACACUAGCUCAAGUCCGAUCAUCACGUGAGUUGAGUAUAGUUUCAGUGGUAAGCAUCCCUAUGCUAAUCAUAUCAUCUAUAUGAUUCAUGAUCGACCUUUCGGUCUCAUGUGUUCCGAGGCCAUGUCUGCACAUGCUAGGCUCGUCAAUUUUAACCGAGUGUUCCGCGUGCGCAACUGUUUUGCACCCGUUGUAUGUGAACGUUGAGUCUAUCACACCCGAUCAUCAUGUGGUGUCUCGAAACGACGAACUGUAGCAACGGUGCACAGUCGGGGAGAACACAAUUUCGUCUUGAAAUUUUAGUGAGAGAUCACCUCAUAAUGCUACCGUCGUUCUAAGCAAAAUAAGGUGCAUAAAAGGAUUAACAUCACAUGCAAUUCAUAAGUGACAUGAUAUGGCCAUCAUCACGUGCUCCUUGAUCUCCAUCACCAAAGCACCGGCACGAUCUUCUUGUCACCGGCGCCACACCAUGAUCUCCAUCAACGUGUCGCCAUCGGGGUUGUCGUGCUACUCAUGCUAUUACUACUAAAGCUACUUCCUAGCAAAAUAGUAAACGCAUCUGCAAGCACAAACGUUAGUAUAAAGACAACCCUAUGGCUCCUGCCGGUUGCCAUACCAUCGACGUGCAAGUCGAUAUUAUCUAUUACAAUAUGAUCAUCUCAUACAUCCAAUAUAUCACAUCACAUCAUUGGCCAUAUCACAUCAUAAGCAUACCCUGCAAAAACAAGUUAGACGUCCUCUAAUUUUGUUGUUGCAUGUUUUACGUGGUGACCAUGGGUAUCUAGUAGGAUCGCAUCUUACUUACGCAAACACCACAACGGAGAUAUAUGAAUUGCUAUUUAACCUCAUCCAAGGACCUCCUCAGUCAAAUCCGAUUCAACUAAAGUUGGAGAAACUGACACUUGCCAGUCAUCUUUGAGCAACGGGGUUACUCGUAGCGAUGAAACCAGUCUCUCGUAAGCGUACGAGUAAUGUCGGUCCAAGCCGCUUCAAUCCAACAAUACCGCGGAAUCAAGAAAAGACUAAGGAGGGCAGCAAAACGCACAUCACCACCCAAAAAACUUUUUUGUUCUACUCGGGAAGACAUCUACGCAUGAACCUAGCUCCUAAUGCCACUGUUGGAAAACGUCGCAUGGGAAACAAAAAUUUUCCUACGCGCACGAAGACUUAUCAUGGUGGUGUCCAUCUACGAGAGGGGAUUUCCGAUCUAUGUACCCUUGUAGAUCGCACAGCAGAAGCGUUAAGAAACGCGGUUGAUGUAGUGGAACGUCCUCACGUCCCUCGAUCCGCCCCGCGAACCGUCCCGCGAUCAGUCCCACGAUCUAGURCCGAACGGACGGCACCUCCGCGUUCAGCACACGUACAGCUCGACGAUGAUCUCGGCCUUCUUGAUCCAGCAAGAGAGACGGAGAGGUAGAAGAGUUCUCCGGCAGCGUGACGGCGCUCCGGAGGUUGGUGAUGACCUUGUCUCAGCAGGGCUCCGCCCGAGCUCCGCAGAAACGUGAUCUAGAGGUAAAAACCGUGGAGGUAUGUGGUCGGGCUGCCGGGGAAAAGUCGUCUCAAAUCAGCCCUAAAACCUCCGUAUAUAUAGGUGGGAGRCAGGGGAGCCUUGCCUUGGGGCUCAAGGAGCCCCAAGGGGGUCGGCCGRGUCCAAGGGGGGGAAGGCUCCCCCCCCCCGAAMCCGAGUUGGACUUGGUUUGGUGGGUGGGAGUCCUUCCUUCCCUUCCCACCUCCCUUUUUUCUCUUUGAUUUUUCUUUCUAUUGCGCAUAGGGCCCUUUUGGGCGGUCCCACCAGCCCACUAAGGGCUAGUGCGCCACCCUCAUGACCAAUGGGCUUCCCCGGGGNNNNNNNNNNNNNNNNNNNNNNNNNNNNNNNNNNNNNNNNNNNNNNNNNNNNNNNNNNNNNNNNNNNNNNNNNNNNNNNNNNNNNNNNNNNNNNNNNNNNUCCGAGACGUCGGAUCGUGAUCGUUACCGACUCGGACUCUUCCACCCAGCCGUCUUUAUAAGCACGCGAUCGCCUACCCUAGCCGUCACGAAAUCAGAUCACAUCUGCCUCACGCGUUCGUUCCUUGAACUGCUGCUGCCGCCGGCGACUCCGUCCCGUUUACCGCGUACACGGUCGACGGGAGAGCAGGCCUCCGAAACCUCGCCUCUCCGGUUCCUGUACGGGAGAGGGGCGAUUAGGUUUUUGGGGAGCGAUCACGCGACUGCUCGCCUCCGUCCGUCUGCUUCGUCUACGUCCGCGUCGCCCUCGUCAUCGCCAUGUCUUCACCAAGCGAAGCUGAUCGUCUCCGCGAGGAAGCCGAAAAGAAGACGGCAGAGGAUACUGCCGCCGCCGCCGCUGCUGCUGCUACGGCCAACUGGCCGAUUGGAGGGUAUGACUCGUUUAUCCUCUUGUUCGUAUUUAUUCUAGCAGUACUACUUGUUUGCAUAGAUGUAUCCACUAUAUGCGUAGUAUGUGCUAGGUUAGCUCAACAUCAGUAUGUCAUUAGUCUAGUCAAUGCCAUGCUAGUUAUUAUUUUGUGGAUUAAUCUACUCGGAAAAUUGCCUAUUUACUCAACACUUCAUUCACGCAUUUCCGUUGGACGUGUGACUUGCACGUCUGCAUAAUUUCCAAUUAGACGGCGUCGAUGGUCGUCGGUCACGUCGUCACCGUGACACCGCCCUAAAGAGCCGGAUAAAACAACGCUAUGCGAGUUUUUAUGUCACACCUUGUAGUUAGGCAUUGUUGAUCCUUGAAACACCUUUUUCUAAGCGUUGUUGAGUCUCAACACACAUGUUCUCCACGCAUUGAUAAAAACGUAACCGGAUCAUCUGGUUUUCUAUCUGUGGCUUCAUUAUCUCGAUUACCCGUCGUACAUACUGACGCUUUUUAAUUGCGAGAGCAUUUGACAUAUUUAACAUGCGUUAGAUCAUCUGAUAUUGUGUAGGGGUAUCAUUACUCACAGAGUAGUCAAAUGAAUCGGUGUCUUUCGUCUGUUUAAAUAUUGUUGCAUUUCACUAGUGGAAAACACACCUUUCGUAUGGAGCUUUAGUCCCGGUCUGGUUUGGGCCCGGGACUAAUGUGAGCAUUAGUCCCGGUUCCAAUGGCUAGGAACGGACGGGGGGCACAACCACCUUUAGUCCCCAUGGAAAUGGGACCUUUAGUUCCGGUUGGUGAUAUCAACCCCGAACUAAAGGGGUUGCGGCAGGCUGGGGCCACUGCGAGCCCCUUUAAUCCUGGUUGGUAUCAUCAACCUAGACUGAAUAUAGACCUUUAGUCCUGGUUGGUGAUACCAACCGAGACUAGAGUCUUCCCUAUGUAAAGCUCUGCUUCUUCCAGCCUGAAUCCAAGCUUUCUUUCCUCUUUGUUUCAUUCCUUCCCCAAGCUCGAGUUCAUCCUCCAUUUUCUCGAGAUUUGUCAAGAUUGACGGCUCCCCAUCUAUCCAAGUGUUCUAAAAGGUUAGCAACUUCAUCCUUUCAUCUAUCAUUGCUAUUUUAGCUUGUUUCAUACUCUAUAAGUAUAGUGAUUUGCUGGUUUUAGUUUCAUGUUGCUCGUAUCGUUCUGCUGAUCAACUUUCAUGUUGAAAAUAUUUUGAUCUGACUUACGGUUUAUUUAUUAUCAAUUAUUUUAAAGUUUUAUUCAAUAUUUAGGAAUUAACAGAUUUAAUUAUAUUAGAUAAUUAAAUAUGACAUCACGCUGAUGUCAGCACGACAACAGCAGUCAACAGGGGUUGACUGGUCAGAUAUGGCCAGCGGGACCCAUCUGUCAUAGACAUAGGGUUAACAAAUGUUUAUUAUUAACUAAAAUAGGUUAUUUUAGCAGGGAAGGCCCACAUGUCAUACCCAACAUAAAUAAUUUAACUCAUAGAUUUGAUUUAAUUAAAUUAGGUUUAGUUAACCAAAUCAGUUAUCCAAUUUAAUUAUUCUAUUUAAUUAAGCACGUUAAGCACACAUUUGAUUAGACUAACUAAUUAACUUACUAAUUAGUCACUUUAAAAUAAUUUAAUAAAUAAUUUCAUUAAUUAAUUAAAUUAUAAUUCACAUAUUGUUUUAUUAAUUUAUAUUGUUGUCCUAACAUAUUUUUGGAUGGGGGGGGUCCCCACUUGUCAUUGUGUGAGUGAGAGGGGGAUUAGCCCCUAGCUUAAUCAAGGCCGGCCCUAGCCGUGGUUGUGCCCGCGAGCGCCAUGGGAGGCCACAGCAAGAAGGUCCCGCCCGUAUGCAGGAGCCCGGGAAGGCGCCCACAAGGACGAAGCGGGACUGCGGCGGGAGGCAACAGUGAGUCGGGCAUGGGAGCAGAUUCAGCUGGGCGUGCGCGACAAAAGGGGGGCAAUGCACGGUGCGGCUAGCGGGGCACAGGGCAUCGGAGGAGCUCGCCGGAGUGGCGAGGCACUGCAGUGCCAAGUUGGCCGAGCCGAAGGGGGAGAGGAGGAGUGACAGGAGGAGCCCAAGGAUCACCAGCAUUGUAGUGGUAGCAGAGGCGCGAGGAGGCGCGAGGUGGUGGUCCAGUGAUGGCCGGCGCGAGUGGGGCGAGGGAGAGGCGCCAGGGGAGAGGAUCUGGUGCGGGGUGGCCCAGGGCAGGGCGCCGCAGCGUCGUCGGCGUGGCCUUGGUGGGUGGAGGCGGCGAGGUCGGUCGGUGGCGAUGGGAGGACCCGGCCGGCAUGGGGCUGAAGGAGGCUGUAGGAGGAUGGGGUCGCCGAAGGGCCGGUCAUGCCCGGAGGGCGACAUACCCGACGUGGGGCUGGCCCUAGCGCGGCAGGGAGCGGGGCAGGGCCAGAGCUAGGAUGUGAUAACCUACAAGUAUAGGGGAUCACAACAGUUUUCCAGGGUAGAGUAUUCAACCCAAAUUUCUUGAUUUGACACAAGGGGAAGCCAAAGAAUAUUCUCAAGUAUUAGCAGUUGAGUUGUCAAUUCAUCCACACCUGAAAGAUUUAGUAUCUGCAGCAGAGUAUCAGUAGCAGAGUAGUGUGAUAGCAAGAGUAGCAACAGUAACCAAUAGCAAUAGUGACAGCAGUAGUGACAGAGUACCAGUAGCAGCAGCAGCAAAGUAACGGAGCAAGGAUCAGUAGGAAAAGACUCGUAGGCAUUGGAUCGGUGAUGGAUGAUUAUGCCGUAUGAUAUUCAUCAUGCAGCUGUUAUAACACGGAGAGAUAUGUAACUAGCACCAGUUCGUCAAUGUAAUGUAGGCAUGCAUUCCGUAUAUAGUCAUACGUGCUUAGGGAAAAGAACUUGCAUGACAUCUAUUGUCCAUCCCUCCCGUGGCAGCGGGGUCCUAAUGGAAAAUACGAGAUAUUAAGGUUCUCCUUUUAAUAGAGAACCGGAAGAAAGCAUUAGCACUUAGUGAAUACAUGAACUCUUCAUACUAUGGUCAUCUCCGGGAGUGGUUCCGCCUAUUGUCACUUUGGGGUGAUCGGGUCAUAACAUAUUGUAGGUGACUACAACUUGCAAGAUAGGAUCAAGAACACACAUAUAUUGACGAGAACAUAAUAGGUUCAGAUCUGAAGUCAUGGCACUCGGGCCCUAGUGACAAGCAUUAAGCAUAGCAAAUUAGUAGCAACAUCAAUCUCAGAACAUAGUGGAUACUAGGGAUCAAUCCCCAUCAAAACUAACUCGAUUACAUGAUAGAUCUUAUCCAACCCAUCACCGUUCAGCAAGCCUACAAUGAGAUUACUCACGAACGAUGAAGAGCAUCAUGGAAUUGGCGAUGAAGGAAGGUUGGUGAUGAUGAUGGCGACGAUCUCCCCUCUCCGGAGCCCAGAACGGACUCCAGGUCUGCCCUCCAGAGGAAGAACAGGAGGUGGCGGCGCCUCCGUAUCGUCAAACGCAAUGAAUUAUUCUCCUUUAUUUUUUUCCGGACGAAAGGGACUAAAUAAAUCUGGAGUUGGAGGCGGUGGAGCUCCGUGGGCCCCACAAGCCUGCCAGGCGAGGCCAGGGGGCCCGCGCCUGGUGGGCUUGUGGGCUCCACGCUCCACCUCUUCGGUUGAUUCUUGCGCCAGUAUUUUUUAUAUAUUCCACAAAAAAUCCUCGUAAAUUUCUAGGUCAUUCCGAGAACUUUUAUUUCUGCGCAAAAACAACACCAUGGCAAUUCUGUUGAAAACAUUGUUAGUCCGGGUUAGUUCCAUUCAAAUCGUGCAAAUUAGAGUCCAAAACAAGGGCAAAAGAGUUUGGCAAAGUAGAUACGACGGAGACGUAUCGGAGUGGUAGCGAAGAGCGGAGCCGAGGGAAGAUGGGGGUCUGGCGCGUGAGGCUCGCGUUGGGAACGACGAGGGGAGGGAGAGUGGCGGCGCUAGUGGGGGAAGUGGGGAGGGCUGUGGGUGGUUAGGGUUAGGAGGGGGGGGUUAAAUACCCCCCGGUUAGGUGGGUUGGCUGGGCCGGUUGGCCCAGUUUGGCCGGGGAGGCAUUCCCCCUUUUUUUUAUUUCUCUUUUAYUUUUUUUCUAUUUGUUUUAGUUUUAUUUACUUUACUUUUUUGUUUUUUUAAACAAGAGUAUUUUAGUCUUAUAAAACAUGGAACUUGCGUCAUUUACUAUAAUGCAUUAUUAGGAACUAUCACAAAAAGGUUUGUGAUUUAAUUGAUGCGGUUUGGAAUUGAUAUAGUUUAUAAGCACAUUAGAAUAUUGUUUAGACCUCUGUUUUAAUUAUUUUGAGGCACUUAGACACUCAAAAAAAUGUUGGCUUCAGUUUUAUAAUUACUAGGAGAACAUUUCUAACCUAAACAUGAUUUUUAUUUUAUAGUUUGAAGAAAUAAUUUAUUUGACUUAAAUUUUAAUUUUAAUUUAGUUUUGGCUUUCCAAUUGGAAAUUUGGCUUAGUUAAUCUUGAUGACACGGCACCAUUAGCGUGUAAUUACUGUAGCCUAACUACAUUAACUACUGUAGCUUAAUCCGAGGAUGUCAGAACUCUCCCCUACUAACAAGAAUUCUCGUCUCGAGAAUUAAGAGGUAGAAGGAAUGAGCUCGGGGUAUUCAUCAUGAAGAUGAUCCCCGCGUUCCCAAGUGGCUUCAUCUUUAGAAUGAUUUGACUACUGCACUUUAAGGAACUUGGUGACUUUGCGACGAGUCUGACGUUCAACCUGGUCGAGAAUGCGAACCAGAUGCUCUUUAAACGAGAGGUCUUGUUGCAGCUCAAGCAUAUCAUGAUCCACUGCUCGAAUAGGAUCCUCGAAGCAGCGGUGGAGCUGAGACACAUGGAAUACAUCGUGUACCUGAGAAAGGUUUGCUAGCAGUUCCAGUUGAUAAGCUACUUUUCCAUGCCUUUCGAGAACAAUGAAAGGAUCAAUAUAGCGAGGAGCUAACUUGCCCUUGAUCCCAAAAUGGUGUGCACCUCUCAUUGGUGUGACACGAAGAUAAGCCUUUUCGAUAGGUUGAUAGACGGUAUCUUGAUGACGACAGUCAUACUGACUCUUCUGACGAGACUGAGCAGCCUUCAGAUUCUCAUGAAUAAUGCGGACUUGAUCUUUGGCAUGUUGAAUAAUAUCUGGACCGAAGUGUGAUCGGUUCAAUGAACGGUGGCUUUGGAAUUUCAUACGAAGCCAAGUGUACGGGAUACCUUGGAGUCAAAGAUGUACAAGAGAGUCAGGUUUCAAUCCUGUGGAACUUUGCGUUAUGGGUCCACCAUGUGAACCGAGAGUAGGCAGAGCGGUGGCAUCUUAUACGGCCUUGGUAGCAAUACAUGUCAGAGGAUAACCUGUCAGUUAUGUUGGCAACAACGUCGGUACCAAGGGCGGGGAACGACUAGAACCAUUUUCCUGCUCGUUGCAACGAGGCGGACCAAUAUGCAAGGCUCUCGUCCACUGGCGGCUACCGGAAUGUUAUCCAUUAUAGUAACAGGGUCUUAUUGACAGAGUUGUAUACCGAGAUUUUUUUACCUAAGCAGGGAAUUAACACUUCUUUGAUAAGUAAUGCCACAAGAAAGGUCAAACAGACCAAUGGGAAAGAAAAUGUGUUACCACACAUGUAUUAAAGUAUACCAUUCCCGAGGAAAAAUAGGGUAUGGUAUACAUGAUUAGUCAUCAAGUACGUAACCUUUUAGAUAAAGAUGCAAGAAAAAUCAUGAUGUUCACCCGUACCAUACGGUUUGGAUAAUUGAUCAAGAACAAUUUAGCAUUACGUUUCCAAUGUUCUUGUUGAGAUUUGAAGUACCGCAUCCGUGCUUCGGGGUAAUAUCGACAUGGUCAUCAGCUAAAGGCCGGACCAAUGGGUACACAAAGAGGAUCCAUGAUGAACAACUUAUGAAAUAAGUCAUAUAGUUUCUGCAUGGUAGAAUGGCUAACCUUAUGUAUGAAGAAUUUAUAACAAUAGGUCCUUCGGCCCGGUGUGUUGGAAAGAGAGCACCGUACCGGUUUACCUAAGGACCAAAGUUAUAAUUAUUGGGAAAUGUUCCAACCAUCAUAUAUGUCCGAGAUUCAGAUCUAAUUGGUGUCGGGACACCUCAGACUCAAGAUGCCUAAGAAGAAAGAUGAAGAUGCAAGAUUCUCAUGAUAUGAGCUACACAAGCAAUUCUUGAAUCAUGAGUUCGACUGUAAGACAUAUGAACACAAUGUCAAGACAUUCAUGCCCACAUAGAAUUCCUACGUCAAAAUGCCAUUGAGUUGUCAUUUGGAAAACAUCAUCGAGGAUAACAAGGUUCCAUGUGUAAGCCUGGAUUGGAUCUUAUGAAAGAACUUCUUUUCCUUGAUCAAAUCAGUCAAUAGCUUGGCAUGCUAAGAGAAGUUAUAUGAAGUGAAGAUAACAAAUCUUCAAAACAUAUAACACUUCGCACAUGCGUGAAUGAUUUGGUAUUUCCCGAGAAGAAGCGAAACAAAACUUUCACAUAUUCACGGCGGCAAGAGUUCAUGUGAACUUUGGGAAAUACACUUCUUCUAUCCAACAUAUUCUUCAUGAGCUGGGCACAAGGAUAAUGCUUUCAAGAGCUUCAUCAUGGAACAUGGAGAAGUUGAGGGUGUGGCUGAUGGGCUCAGCAACAAUCCCUCAAGAUUUUGACAGGGAUGAAUUUCCAAAAUUAUAACAUCAAGGAGAUAACAUUUGUCAAGUCAAAUGGUAUAAUGUUGUAUGCUUGAGGGAACAACAACAAUUAAACAUUGGUCGAAGGGUGCACUCGGAAAUACGGGCAGAGUAGCACAACCAAUGUCCAAAAUGAUGAGUCAACACCCAACACAUUAAGAAUGAAACAAUCAGUUGUUAACCUCAAGGCAAUAGGGUUGCCAGAAGUAUUGGGAUCACACAUCAGAGUUCAUUUGUUGGUAUUCCGGUUUGAAAUAACACUGGACCAAGAAAUGAAUGGUGAUGACGAGAAGUAUUACUAUAUCAAGAAUUCUUAAGAGGGACAAUGAUCCUCACAACAUUCUUGACAUAAAGAUGGUAAUACUCCAAGGUAGAAGAUAACAUAAUUUGCAUAGCAAGGAACUUAAGGGACAACACAAAACAUGAACAAGUUUGUGUUGGAGGGAAGUCAAUAAGGUUGACGAUGAUUUCACAAAUCAUCGAGGGGCAAGGAUGGUAUUCCUCAACAUGUAUUCGAUUGAUACCCUGCAAGAGAUCGGGAUGCUGAUGAUGAUCACGACACCUUUGUCGAGAAGCUUCACAAAGAUGUCAUCGUUCAGCGACGACAUCAAGGAAGGGAAUGAUGAAGCAAGGGGUUGCCGAAAUCACAAAUAAGUCUACUAGCUCCGAAUUAAAAUUGCUUUUCAAAACAACCAACAUGGUAUUGAAAACCCGAUGUAAGCUUAUCGCAUAGUCGGAAAUGUGCUCGAGGGAUGGAGGACAUAGAUAGCAUGGUCAAGCUUUCACAUGACGAUGAUGUUGUAGCUUAAUGCUACGGCAACAAAAGUCCUUCCUUGGCGCUAGGAAUUCUUCUUGUUACUUCUCUGGUUUGCGUCGGUUUUUCCCUUGAAGAGGAAAGGGUGAUGCAACACAGGAGCAGUAAGUAUUUACCUCAGUUUGAGAACCAAGGUAUCGAUCCAGAAGGAGGGCCUCGUCAAGUCCAGAGUACCUGCGCAUACACAAACAAGCUUGCACCCAACGCUUCAAAGGGGUUGUCAAUCCCUUCAAUAUUGUUUGCAAAGUGAGAUCUGAAGGCGGAAAGUGCAACGAAAUAAAAAGUGUAAGGCUGAAAAUGUGAUGUGCAGUAGACCCUGGGGGCCAUAGUGUUCACUAGAGGCUUCUCUCAUAAUAGCAAAUAUCACGGUGGCUGAACAAAUUACUGUUGAGCAAUUGAUAGAACCGUGCAAAGUCAUGAUGAUAUCUAAGGCAAUGAUCAUGCAUAUAGGCAUCACGUCCGAGACAAGUAGACCGUUACUUUCUGCAUCUACUACUAUUAGUCCACACAUCGACCGCUAUCCAGCAUGCAUCUAGUGUAUUGAGUUCAUGACGAACAUAGUAACGCUUUAAGCAAGAUGACAUGAUGUAGAGGGAUAAUCUCAAACCAAUGAUGAAAACCCCAUCUUUUUACCCUUGAUGGCAACAACACGAUGCGUGCCUCGCUACCGCUUCUGUCACUGGGUGAGGUCACCGCACGGUAUGAACCCAAAACCAAGCACUUCUCCUAUUGCAAGAAUCAUAGAUCUAGUUGGCCAGACCAAACCCACAAGUCGAAGAGAAUUACAAGAAUAUUAAAUCAUGCAUAAGAGAGAUCAGAAGAAACUCAAAUAAGAUUCAUAGAUAAUCUGAUCAUAAAUCCACAAUUCAUCGGAUCUCGACAAACACACCGCAAAAGAAGAUUACAUCGGAUAGAUCUCCAUGAAGAUCAUGGAGAACUUUGUAUUGAAGAUCCAAGAGAGAGAAGAAGCCAUCUAGCUACUAGCUAUGGACCCGUAGGUCUAUGGUGAACUACUCACGCAUCAUCGGAGAGGUCAUGGUGUUGAUGAAGAAGCCCUCCAUAUCCGAAUCCCCCCUCCGGCAGGGCACCAGGAUGUGCCCCAGAUGGGAUCUUGCGGAGACAGAAGCUUGCGGCGGCGAAAAAGCGAUUGCGAUGAUCUCUUGAUUUUUUUUGGGAAUAUUUGGGAAUAUAUAGACGCAAGACCUAGGUCAGGGGACCUCCAGGGGGCCCACAAGCUUGGAUGGCGCGCCCCCUGGCCACGGGGUGGGGUCUUGUGGGGCCCCUGGAGCUCCUGGAGCUCCUGGUUUGGCUCCCAAGUUCUCCGAUCUUCUUCCGUUCCAGAAAAAAUCUUUUUGGGGAUUUUCUUCCGUUUGGACUCCGUUUCAAAAUCUCCUCCGAAAGGGGUCAAAAACAUGGAAAAAACAGGAACUGGCACUUGGCACUGAGUUAAUAAGUUAGUCCCAGAAAAUAAAUAAAAAGCAUGCAAAACAUCCAAAGUUUGACAAGAUAAUAGCAUGAAACCAUCAAAAAUUAUAGAUAUGUUGGAGACGUAUCAAGCAUCCCCAAGCUUAACUCAUGCUCGUCCUCGAGUAGGCAAGUAAUAAAGAAUGAAUUUUUGAUGUGGAAUGCUACCUAGCAUAUUUGUCCUUUGCAACUUCUUUCACGUGGCAUGAAUGUUCAGAUCCGUAAGAUUCAAAACAAUAGUUUGCUAUUGACAUGAAAACAAUAAUACUUCAAGCAAACUAGCAAAGUAAUCAUGAACUUUCAAAAUAACAAGGCCAAAGAAUGUUAUCCCUACAAAAUCAUAUAGUCUGGCUAUGCUCCAUCAUCCUCACACAACUAAUGUAAAUCAAGCACAACCCCGAAAUUGGCCAAGUAAUUGUUUUCACACUCUUACUUUCUCAAACUUUUUAUAACUAUCACGCAAUACAUGAGCGCGAGCCGUGGAUAUAGCACUAUAGGUGGAAUAGAGUGUGGUGGUGGUUGUGAGACAAAAAGGAGGAGAUGGUCACAUUGACUCGGCAUAUCAAUUGGCUAUGGAGAUGCCCAUUAAUAGAUAUAAAUAUGAAUGAGUAGGGAUUGCCACACAAGAGAUGCACUAGAGCUAUUAGUAUGUGAAAGCUCAAGAGGAGAACUAGUGGGUGUGCAUCCAACUUGCUUGCUCACAAAGACCUAGGGAAAUUUUGAGGAAGCCCAUCAUUGAAAUAUACAAGACAAGUUAUAUAACGAAGAUUCCCACUAGCAUAUGGUAGUGACAAAGCAAGAAGCUCUCAAUCAUGAAGAACAUGGUGCUAUCAUGAAGCACAAGUUUGGAAAAAGAUAGUAGCAUUGUCCCUUCUCUCUUUUUCUCUUUUUUUAUUUUGGAUCUUAGGCCUCUUUUUUAUUUUAUUUUAUUUUCUCUUUUUUUGGGCUCUUUGGCCUCUUUUCUUUUUAAUUUCCUCACAUGGGACAAUGUUGUAAUAAUGAUGAUCAUCACACUUUUAUUUACUCACAGCUCAAAGAUCACAAUGAUGACGACUCCAUAGGAAAUGCCUCCGGCAGUGUACCGGGAUGUGCAACGAUCUACCAUGGCGUAUGACGUUGAAACAUCUCGCUAGCUAUCUUACGAUCAUGCAAUGGCAAUAUGAGAGUGACGCCACAAGUCAUGAGACGGACGGUGGGAGUUGCAUGGCAAUAUAUCUCAGAAUGGCUAUGAAAAUGCCAUAGUAGGUAGGUAUGGUGGCUGUUUUGAGGUAGGAAUUUGGUGGGUUUGUGCACCGGCGAGAAUUGCGCGGCACUAGAGAGGCUAGCAAUGGUGGAAGGUGAAAGUGCAUCUAUACCAUGCCCUAACAUUACUCAUGAAGAACUCACAUACUUAUUGCGAAAGUUUUUAUUAGUAAUCGAAACAAAGUGCUAAACACAUACUCCGAGGGGAAGGGUUGGUAGGUGUAAACCAUCGCACGAUCCCGACCUCAACACAAAGGAUGACAAUCAAUAGAUCAAUUAUGCUCCGACUUCCUAACAUAGUGGUUCACCAUACGUGCAUGCUACGGGAAUCACUAACUUCAACACAAGUAUUUCGAGAUUCACAACACCCUACUAACAUAACUCUCAAUAUUACUGAAUCCAUGUCUCAAAACUAAUUGAGAGGAAUAAAAACUUCUCUUACUACUCAAUGCACAUGAAGAUGGAGGUUUUUGCAUCCUCUUUGGGUACCUAGCACAUUUGGGACUACUUUCAUAGCAUAAGCCAACUACCAAAUCAUGCACCGCCGUGCUCUAAAGAUAUAAGUGAAGCACAAGAGCAAAAUUAUCUAGCUCAAAAUAUAUAAGUGAAGCACUAGAGCAAAAGUAUCUAGCUCAAAAGAUAUAAGUGAAGCACUAGAGCAAAAUUAUCUAGCUCAAAAGAUAUAAGUGAAGCACUAUGAGCAUUCUACCAAAAUCACGAUGAGUGCAUGUCUCUCUCUCUCAAAAAGGUGUGCAGCAAGGAUGAUUGUGACACAAAAAAAAGAAAAGACUCCUAAGAUAAAAGAGACUCCAAGCAAAACACAUAUCAUGUGGUGAAUAAAAAUAUAGCUCCAAGUAAUGUUACCGAUGGAUUGAAGACGAAAGAGGGGAUCCCUUCCCGGGGCAUCCCCAAGCUUAGGCUUUUUGGUGUCCUUGAAUUUGGCUUGGGAUUCCUUGGGCAUCCACAAGCUUGAGCUCUUUCCACUCCUUAUAUCUUUGUCCAUGAGAACAUCACCCAAAACUUGAAAUCUUCACAACACAAAACUUAAAUAGAAACUUGUGAUAACAUUAGUACAAGAAAACAAACUACCACUUCUUUUGGUACUGUAGAAAACUUGAAUUCCAUCCAUAUUGAUGAUGGGCUACUGUAUUCUGACUUUUACAUGGCUAGUACCCCCAUAUACUAACCAUAGUUUCAUCAAAACAAGCAACCAACUCAACAACAACAGAAUUUGUCAAAAACAGACUAGUCUGUAGCAAUCUGUAUACUUCGUAUACUUCUGGUACCUCACAAAAUCUGAAAAAUUUCGACGGCCUGGGGAGAAAGCAUAUAAAUCAGCAUAAAAAAGAAUCAACUCAAAAUCUAUUUGUGAACAAAAAUGAAAAAUCAUCUCGUGAGCGAAAAGUUUCUGUCUUUUUCCAGGAGGAUCAAACAACCAUUACCGAGACUAGUCAUAAAGGUUUUGCUUGGCUCAAACACAAAAAGAAACAUAUAAAACACAAUCACAACAGAAUUAUGAAAGUGUGGACGCAUAAAACAGAAAGAAAAAGGUUCAUUGGGUUGCCUCCCAACAAGCGCUAUUGUUUAAUGCCCUUAGCUAGGCAUAGGAGCGAUAGAAUCACAUAUCGUCGUCUUUGGUGCUCAUACCAUAAGUGUCCCUCAUCAUGGAUUCAUAAGGCAAUCUUAUUUUAUUUCUAGGAAAGUAGUCCAUGCCCUUCCUUAAAGGAAAUUGAAAUCUAAUAUUUCCUUCCUUCAUAUCGAUUAUAGCACCAAUAGUCCUUAGGAAAGGUCUACCAAGAAUAAUAGGGCAUGUAGGAUUGCAAUCAACGUCAAGCACAAUGAAAUCCACGGGUACAUAGUUCCUAUUUGCAAUAAUAAGAACAUCAUUGAUCCUUCUCAUGGGUUUCUUGAUAGUCGAAUUAGCAACAUGCAAAUUAAGAGAACACUCUUCAAUCACAUUGAAACCCAGAACAUCACAUAAAGACUUUGGAAUCGCAGAAACACUAGCACCCAAAUCACAUAAAGCAUUGCACUCAUCGUUUUUUAUUUUGAUAUUGAUGGUAGGUUCCCACUCAUCAUGAAGCUUUCUAGGAAUAGAGACCUCCAAUUCAAGUUUCUCUUCAAGAGCUUUUAUCAUAGCUUCGACGAUAUGAUCGGUAAAGGCUUUUUUUGGCUAUAAGCGUGUGGAGAGUUCAACAUGGAUUGCAUAAAAGAAAUGCAUUCAAUAAAUGAGAAACUAUCAUAAUUGAAUUUCUUGAAAUCCAUGGUAGUGAUUUCAUUACUACUCAAAGUUUUAACGUCUUCUACUCCACUUUUAAUGCUUUUAGCAUCAAGAUAGAUGGACUCCGAAUCCUUGGGGCACUUUUCAACCAAAGUGGAUUCAUAUCCAGCCCCAUAAUCAUUAGGUUUGACACAAGAAAACAAAGAUUCAAUGGGAGUCACACCAAGCACUUUAAGAUCUUCGUGACUCUCAUCACGAGAACACGCCUUUUUAAGCCAUUCAUGUCUAGCACGAAUUUGGGCGGUUCUUUCUUGGCUCUCAAUCAUGGAAACACGCAUAGCUUUCAAAGUUUCAUCCAUGUUGAUUUUUGGAGGAGCACAUCUCACUUUCAAAGCAUCAACAUCACAAGAAAUCCUAUCCACGCUCUUAGCCAAAUUGUCAAUUUUGAGUAGUUUUUCCUCUAGGGACGCAUUGAAAAUCUUUUGAGAGUUGAUGAACUCUUUGAUAUUACUCUCUAGAUCAGAGGGUAAUCUAUUGUAAUUUCCAUGAAUAUUGUUGUAGGAGUUGCCAAAGUUAUUAGAGGAGUUCCUAGGAAAAGGCCUAGGAAUAUAGUUUGCUCUAAAGGCAUUGUUGUUGCCAAAGUUAUUCCUACCAACAAAAUUAACGUCCAAGCUAGCAUUGCUACUCUCAAUCAAAGAAGACAAAGGCAUAUCAUUAGGAUCCAAAGGAGCACUUCUACUAGCAACCAAAUUCAUUAACUCAUCCAUCUUAGCACUCAACGAGUUAAUUUCUUCUAUAGCGUGUACCUUCUUACUAGUAGGUGACCUUUCCUAACGUGAUUUCCACUGAGAGUAGUUUGUCAUGAUGUUGUCUAAGAGCUUUGUGACUUCUCCUAACGUGAUUUCCAUGAACGUUCCACCUGAGGCGGAGUCCAAGAUAUUCCUAGAAGCGAAAUUCAAGCCAGCAUAAAAGAUUUGAAUAAUCAUCCAAAGAGUCAAGCCAUGAGCGGGACAAUUUCUAAUCAUUAAUUUCAUUUUCUCCCAAGCUUGUGCAACAUGUUCAUGAUCAAGUUGCUUGAAAUUCAUGAUAUCAUUACGAAGAGAGAUGAUCUUAGCCAGCAUAAAGUACUUGGAUAUAUAAGCAUCUUUGCACUUAUCCCAAGAAUCGAUAGUAUUUUUGGGCAAAGAGGAAAACCAAGUUUUUGCGCGAUCUCGCAACGAGAAAGGAAAAAAGCUUCAAUUUAAUCACGUCAUUAUCCACAUCUUUUUUCUUUUGAAUAUCGCAAAGCUCAAUGAAGGUAUUGAGAUGGGAUGCGACAUCUUCACUAGGAAGGCCAGAGAAUUUCUCUUUCAUAACAAGAUUCACCAAAGCAGCAUUGAUUUCGUAUGACUCCGCACUAGUGGCAGGAGCAAUCAGAGUACUAAUAAAAUCAUUAUUAUUAGUAUUCGAGAAGUCACAAAGUUUGGUGUUUUCGUUCAUGGUGACUUCUGCAAGCAAGCAAGCACACAAGCAAACAAAGAGGAGGCGAGAAAAAGGGAGAACGAAAGGGCGAACGAAAAGGCGAACGAAAAGGCGAACGAAAAAGGAAAAUUGGUGAAGUGGGGGAGAGGAAACGAGAGGCAACUGGCAAACAAAGUAAAUGCAAGAGAUGAGUUUGCGACACCUACUUGGAUGAGUUCUUUACUUGAUCUUCCUCCCCGGCAACGGUGCCAGAAAUUAUUGUGCUACAGCAACAAAAGUCCUUCCUUGGCGCUAGGAAUUCUUGUUCUUACUUCUCUGGUUUGCGUCGGUUUUUCCCUUGAAGAGGAAAGGGUGAUGCAGCACAGGAGCAGUAAAUAUUUCCCUCAGUUUGAGAACCAAGGUAUCGAUCCAGAAGGAGGGCCUCGUCAAGUCCAGAGUACCUGCGCAAACACAAACACGCUUGCACCUAAUGCUUCAAAGGGGUUGUCAAUCCCUUCAAGAUUGUUUGCAAAGUGAGAUCUGAAGGCGGAAAGUACAACGAAGUAAAAAUUGUAAGGCUGAAAAUAUGGUGUGGAGUAGACCCUGGGGGCCAUAGUGUUCACUAGAGGCUUCUCUCAUAAUAGCAGAUAUCAUGGUGGGUGAACAAAUUACUGUCGAGCAAUUGAUAGAAUCGCCCAAAGUCAUGACGAUAUGUAAGGCAAUGAUCAUGCAUAUAGGCAUCACGUUCGAGACAAGUAGACCGAUACUUUAUGCAUCUACUACUAUUACUCCACACAUCGACCGCUAUCCAGCAUGCAUCUAGUGUAUUGAGUUCAUGACGAACAGAUUAACGCUUUAAGCAAGAUGACAUGAUGUAGAGGGAUAAUCUAAAACCAAUGAUGAAAACCCCAUCUUUUUACCCUUGAUGGCAACAACACAAUUCGUGCCUCGCUACCCAUUCUGUCAUUGGGUGAGGUCACCGCAUGGUAUGAACCCAAAACCAAGCACUUCUCCCAUUGCAAGAAUCAUAGAUCUAGUUGGCUAGACAAAACCCACAACUCGAAGAGAAUUACAAGGAUAUGAAAUCAUGCAUAAGAGAGAUCAGAAGAAACUCAAAUAAGAUUCAUAGAUAAUCUGAUCAUAAAUCCACAAUUCAUUGGAUCUCGACAAACACACCGCAAAAGAAGAUUACAUCGGAUAGAUCUCCAUAAAGAUCAUGGAAAACUUUGUAUUGAAGAUCCAAGAGAGAGAAGAAACCAUCUAGCUACUAGCUAUGGACCCGUAGGUCUAUGGUGAACUACUCACGCAUCAUCGGUGAGGUCACGGUGUUGAUGAAGAAGCCCUCUGUAUCCGAAUCCCCCCUCCGGCAGGGCACCAGGACGUGCCCCAGAUGGGAUCUUGCGGAGACAGAAGUUUGCGGCGGCGGAAAAGCAAUUGCGAUGAUCUCUUGAUUUUUUUGGGAAUAUUUGGGAAUAUAUAGGCGCAAGACCUAGGCCAGGGGACCUCCAGGGGGCCCACAAGCUUGGAUGGCGCAGCCCCCUGGCCAUGGGGUGGGGGCUUGUGGGGCCCCUGGAGCUCCUCUCGCUUGGCUCCCAAGUUCUUCGAUCUUCUUCCGUUCUAGAAAAAAUCUUUUCGAGGAUUUCUUCCGUUUGGACUCCGUUUCAAAAUCUCCUGUGAAAGGGGUCAAAAACGUGGACAAAACAGGAACUAGCACUUGGAACUGAGUUAAUAAGUUAGUCCCAGAAAAUAAAUAAAAAGCAUGCAAAACAUCCAAAGUUUGACAAGAUAAUAGCAUGAAACCAUCAAAAAUUAUAGAUACGUUGGAGACGUAUCACUUAACAGCUUGGAAAGACAUGAUCGAGUACAAACUUAUAAGCAAGGAAUAUUACUAAGAUUUGUUGAAUCGUAGUGCAUACCCGAUUCAGUUAUCGAUGUCCUUGAGUAUCCAACAACUCAAACAUGAGGAAAUUGGAAUUAAUGAAAAUAUCAUAGUUGAUGAGGUGCUCACAAGAACUUAUGUAGCUCCGUGAUAUUCUCGGGAUACGAGGCAUAAUACUCGGAGGUAGAUCAACAUUAAAGCUUGGACCGAUGUAUUGAUCUGAAGAAGACAAGUACUUUAACUAUAAAAAUGAAAUCAAGGUAGGACAACAUGGCCGGAACCAUGGUUGCAAAGUACCAAACCACAGAUACGAGAUAAAAUCAUAGAAAGGAUGAUUAUUGAUACGAGAAGCUUAUAUGAUAGGAUCAACAUCGUUUCCAUGGGCAUGAACACAAAGUUCAAGGUUCACUCCCACUUCAUCAAUACAUCACAUGCCAUUUACUCCUUGACUUUGAUGAGGUUGUAUCUUGGGAAGAUUAUCUGGCAAAACACCAGAAGAGCAAGACUCGUGAAAACUCGUCGGAUCAUAUUGUUUCAUGCAGGCGUAGGUUCAACCCGUCGGGGCAUCUUAGGAACAUAUACCAAAAACUUCAAGAGUAAUUAACAUAUGCUUGAAGGGCAUGGCUGACAAAAGCAAAGUAUAGAACUUAUUAGAGGAAGAAGACACAAUUUACCAAUGACAUUAUGUAUAAGGGGAACAAUAUCCCAAGAAUUUAUGAAUGCAAAGGUUCCCAUCGGAUAAUAACCCAGAAUGAGUCUCGCAGUCCACAACAGAUUUGAUGUGAGUAUCGGUACUCAAUCAGAGGGGGUAAAACGCAAGGCAUGAGAUUAUAGAACAUCUGAAAAAUAUUGAUACUUAAUUAGCCAAGGAAUUAGGAUUUCGAGGUUGGUGUAUCUUAAUCAGAUGCUCCGAUGAAGUACAAGUAAGUUGAAUGGACUUAGAUGGACAACCAACCAAAGUUGAUUUGGCGAGAACCAGCUCUGUUUGAAAGGACGUCUAAGCCAGAAAAUAAUACAUGAGUAUCUGCAGAUGAUUGAGUGCAUUCACACAAAGGUAGAAUCAAUAAGAUCACAGGAAAUCACAAAGGAUUUUAAUGAAUGCUGCUAGACAUAUGGAUUUAACCAUAACACAAGCAGGUGAGAAAGGUCAAGAGGAAUAGGUUACCGGGAAUUCCGAAAGAUCGAAUAGUAAUUCGAAGAACUUUCGAAACCCAUGACAACUGAUGACGGACGACUCCCCGAUAAGAUAAUUCGUUGCAUCUCGUAAAACAAGAGCAAUCGGAAAGAAAGUAUGGACGGCAUUUGUAUGUCGUCAUCCAUAGGGGUUUAUGGAGGAAAAUAAUUCGCAGAAGCGAUGAGCAACAGCUCUUGAGGGAACAUGGGAGAGUAUCAGCAGUUCUUCUGACGGAUAAAGCAACCGUCUGGAAUACGGGGCUCUCCGGGAGGAAGUAUUUACGAGAACCUAAUGUUAGAGUCCGAAACAGAAGAGAGAGUAGAGCCCAGAGUAUAGGAAAGGAGUAAAAGAUACUAAUACCACCCGAUUGAGAUCUGGGCCCGUAACCCACAACAUGAGUGUUAGUAAAGUUUUUCAAGCACUAGACUCAACUUCGGCCAAGGAGUUGGAAAGGGGGCUAACUAUAGGCAGUCGGCUCUGAUAUCAACUUGUGACGCCCUCAAUUUAAUCAUACGCUAAUCAUACACGCAAAUGCAUACGAUCAAACUCAAGGACUCACGGGAAGAUAUCACAACACAACUCUAGUCACAAAUCAAACAAUACAAGCUUCAUAUUACAAGCUAGGGGCCUCGAGGGCUAGAAUACAGAAGCUCGAUAAACACACGAGUCAGCGGGAGCAACAAUAUCUGAGUAUAGACAUAAAACAAGGGGGUGCCUUAGAGAAGGCUAGCACAAAACAAACUCGAUCGAACGAGGCGAGGCCUCCUGCCUGGGAACCUCCUAACUACUCCUGGUCUUCAGGGGCCUCCAUGAAGAAGACACCAUUGGGGGGCAGACGUUGGCAGGAAAUCUCCUGGGCUUCAUUAUCUUGUCGCAACAACGGAUCAAGGGGAGAAAGGGGAGCAAAGCAACGGUGAGUACUCAUCCAAAGUACUCACAAGACUUAUAUCAGAACUAUGCUAAGUAUGCAUCAGUAUCAAAGAAAGGGGUUUAAUAUGUGGACUGAUUGCAGCAAUGCAAGAAUAGGCCUAGAGAAUGCCUAGUCCUAGCGAAGACUAGCAUCUUCACGGGUCUUGCAGCAAUAGACGAGAGUAGAAGAAGGUAACACAAGUAAUAGUCAUAUUGUUGCAGCAAUAUUAAUAUGAGGUUACGCCUAGAGAUCCUUCCUCGACUCCCUGCCAGGAAGCAAUCCCAGGGCAACUAAAUCCAGUUAAGUAACAGUUGUAGUUGUAUAAGAUUAGGGCACAACUCUAAGUUGUCGAAUAACCUUGGACACGGCUAUCCGAAUAGUUAAUUUUCAUCCCUGCAGGGGUGCACCAAGUUUCCCGUCAAGCUCCAUAACACUCUGGCCGGACACACUUUUGGGUCAUGCCCGACCUCGAAAAAUCCACACGUCGCAACCCCACCUAAGCUCAGUAGAGAGGCCAUCCCGCCAGUAUAACUCCUAAGCACAAAGGGUUCAUGGGCCCACUUGCCCUCCGCGCUCCUGCAUGAUGCGUGGGCGGCUGAUGUCAAUCCUAGAACCCCUUAAUACAAGAGGAUGCAUCUCGGGACCGCACGGGCGUGCGCCGCUCCAUCGCUGACGUCUGAAGAGCUUCGGCUCAUACCACGACGUGGAGUACCCAUAAUUCUUCCCGCGUAGCCGGUUAGUGCGAAAAGGUCUCCGACCAACCCAGAUCAAAAACCCAAAUCCAUUAUCAAUUUAAUUAAGUCCUCGACACAAACACGCGGGAAAUCACCCGCCUAACAUAUAUUCAUCAAAGAUCCCAGUAACAUGGUCAAGUAACUGUGUGGUAGAAACAUCAGGGGGAAUCCGAGGUAUCACCCUCGUUGGAUUCUGAACGAUGUAUCCAUCAAGGUGGACCUAGAGGAAUCACCCUCGAGGGUCCCACACUUAAGUGGUUGCACGACAAAGACAUCGUCGGGAAUGGUGAAAGAGGAAUCACUCUCGAUAACCACGACCGACUAGCUACAAUACAGAGGAUUCAUCAUGAGUAGUUCGCGAGGUGUUACCCUCGGUACCCGAUAGUAUCUCUGUAGCGUCGUACAACUAAGGGGGGUGUAAGUGUUGUGUCGGGUCUGGCUCAUCGAUCAUGUUGGAAUUAUACCCUAGAGGCAAUGAUAAAAUAGUUAUUAUUAUAUUUCAUGUUACAAGAUAAUCGUUAAUUAUCCAUGCAGUAAUUGUAUUGAAUGAAAACAUAGAUACAUGUGUGGAUACAUAUACAAAACAAUGUCCCUAGAAAUCCUCUAGUUGGCUAGCCAGUUGAUCAAUGAUAGUCAAGGUUUUCCGACUAUAUGCAAGUGUUGUCACUUGAUAACUGGAUCGCAUCAUUAGGAGAAUCAUGUGAUGGAUUAGAACCAAACUAUGAACGUUGCAUAUUGAUCGUGUCAUUUUGUUGCUAUUAUUUUCUGCGUGUCAAGUAUUUAUUCCUAUGACCAUGAGAUCAUGUAACUCACUGGCACCGGAGGAAUACCAUGUGUGUAUCAAACGUCGCAACGUAACUGAGUGACUAUAAAGGUGCUCUACAGGUAUCUCCGAAGGUGUCCGUUGAGUUAGUAUGGAUCAAGACUGGGAUUUGUCACUCCGUGUGACGGAGAGGUAUAUCGGGCCCACUCGGUAAAACAACAUCACACACAAGCCUUGCAAGCAAUGUGACUAAGUGUAAGUCACGGGAUCUUGUAUUACGGAACGAGUAAAGAGACUUGCCGGUAACGAGAUUGAAAUAGGUAUGCAGAUACCGACGAUCGAAUCUCGGGCAAGUAACAUACUGAAGGACAAAGGGAAUGACAUACGGGAUUAUAUGAAUCCUUGACACCAGGUUCAACCGAUAAGAUCUUAGGAGAAUAUGUAGGACCCAAUAUGGGCAUCCAGGUCGCUCUAUUGGAUAUUGACCGAGGAGUAUCUCGGGUCAUGUCUACAUAGUUCUCGAACCCGCAUGGUCUGCACACUUAAGGUUCGAUGAUGUUUUAGUAUAGUUGAGUUAUAUGUGUGGUUAACGAAUGUUGUUCGGAGUCCCAAAUGAGAUCAUAGACGUCACGAGGGUUUCUAGAAUGGUCUGGAAUGAGGAUUGAUAUAUAGGAUGGUUUCAUUUGGUCACCGGAAAGUGUCGGGCAAUUCUGGCAGUGUACGGGAGUGACGAAUGGGUUCCGGGUGUUUACCGGGACAGGCCCACCCACCCGAGAUUGAGCCCAAGGCCCUAGGGUGGCGCACCAAGUCUUUAGUGGGCUGGUGGAGUCAGCCCAAGAGAGCUAUGUUGCCACAAGCAAAAAUACCAAAGGAAAGAAGAAGAAGAAAAGGAGGAAAGAGGGAGGUGGGAAGGAAGAGGAGGACUCCUCCUUCCCAAACCAAAUUGGAGGAGGAGUCCUCCUUCACCCUUGCGGCCGGCGCACCCUUCGGGCCCUUGUGCCCCAAGGCUAGCCCCUCCCCUGCUCCUAUAUAUAUUGGUCGUUUAGGGCUUUUUGAGAUACAACUUUGCCACGUGCAACUCAAGCCUAUUCCACAUAGUUUUACCUCUAGAUUGGAUUUCUGCGAAUCUCGGGUGAAGCCCUACAGGAGUAGAUCAUCACCACCACUAGAGCACCAUCAAGCUGCUGGAGAACUCAUCUACUUCUCCGUCUUGCUUGCUGGAUCAAGAAGGCCGAGAUCAUCGUCGAGCUGUACGUGUGCUGAACGCGGAGGUGCCGUCCGUUCGGUGCUAGAUCGGAACAGAUCGUGAGACGACAGUGAUUUGAAUCACGAAGUUGUACCACUACAUCAACCGCGUUUCUCAAUUCUUCCCUCUUAGCGAUCUACAACGUAGAUCUAAUCUCCUCUCGUAGAUGGACAUCACCAAGAUAGGUCUUCGUGGCGUAGGAAAAGUUUUGUUUUGCAUGCAACAUUCCCCAAUAGUGGCAUCAUGAGCUAGGUUCAUGCGUAGAUGUUAUCUCGAGUAGAACACAAAAGGUUUUGUGGACGGUGAUGUUCAAUUUGUUGCCCUCCUUAGUCUUUUCUCGAUUUGGCUGUAUUGUUGGAUUGAAGCGGCUCGGACCGACAUAACUCGUACGCUUACGAGAGACUGGUUUCAUCGACUGACAUGCAACCUCGUUGCAUAAAGAUGACUGGCGGGUGUCGGUUUCUUCAACUUUAGUUGAAUUGGUUUUGACCGAGGAGGUCCUUGGAGAGAGGUUAAAUAGCAAUUUGCACAUCUCCGUUGUGGUUUUUGCGGAAGUAAGAUGCGAUCAUACUAGUUACCCAUAGCAGCCACGUAAAACAUGCAACAAUAAAUUAGAGGACGUCUAACUUGUUUUUGCAGGGUAUGCUUGUGAUAUGAUAUGGCCAAUGACGUGAUGUGAUAUAUUGGAUGUAUGAGUUGAUCAUGUUGUAAUAGUUAAUAUUGACUUGCACGUGGAUGCUACGGCAACCGGUAGGAGCCAUAGGGUUGUCUUUAAACUAACGUUUGUGUUUGCAGAUGCGUUUACUAUAUUGCUAGGUCGUAGCUUUAGUAGUAAUAGCAUAUAUAGGACGACAACCUCCAUGGCGACACAUUGAUGUAGAUCAUGAUGAUGGAGAUCAUGGUGUCGCGCCGGUGAUAAAAAGAUCAUGCCGGUGCUUAAGUGAUGGAGAUCAAGAAGCACAAGAUGAUGGCCAUAUCAUGUCACUUAUGAAUUGCAUGUGAUGUUAAUCCUUUUUUGGACUGGUGCAAGCAUCUCGGAGUUGGAAUAAGCGCUUUGAUGAGGUGAUCAAAGCAUUUGGGUUUAUACAAGUGGUUGGAGAAUCUUGUAUUUACAAGAAAGUGAGUGGGAGCUCUGUGGCAUUUCUAAUAUUAUAUGUGGAUGACAUAUUGCUAAUUGGAAACAACCUGGAGUUUUUGGAGAGCGUAAAGGAUUACUUGAAUAAAAGUUUCUCUAUGAAGGACCUAGGAGAAGCUGCUUACAUUCUAGGCAUUAAGAUCUAUAGGGACAGAUCGAGACGCCUGAUAGGACUUUCACAAAGCACAUACCUUGAUAAAGUUUUGAAGAAGUUCAAAAUGGAUCAGUCCAAGAAGGGGUUCUUGCCAGUGUUACAAGGUAUAAAAUUGAGUAAGACUCAAUGCCCAACAACUGCGGAAGAUAGAGAACAAAUGAGUUCCGUCCCCUAUGCUUCAGCCAUAAGUUCUAUCAUGUAUGCAAUGUUGUGCACUAGACCAUACGGCGGUCAAGAAUAUUCUGAAGUACCUGAAAAGGACUAAGGAAAUGUUUCUCGUUUAUGUAGGUGACGAAGAGCUCAUCGUAAAGGGUUACAUCGACGCAAGCUUUGACACUGAUCCGGGUGACUCUAAGUCUCAAACGGAUACGUAUUUAUUCUUAAUGGGGGUGCGGUAAGCUGGUGCAGUGCCAAGCAAAGCGUCGUAGCAGAUUCUACAUGUGAAGAGGAGUACAUGGCUGCCUCGGAGGCAGCUAAGGAGGGUGUCUGGAUGAAGCAGUUCAUGACGGAUCUUGGAGUUGUGCUGAGCACACUAAAUCCAAUAACUCUAUUCUGUGACAACACUCGUGCCAUUGCCUUAGCAAAGGAACCAAGGUUUCACAAGAAGACCAGACAUAUCAAACGACGCUUCAACGUCAUGCGCGACUACGUCGAAGGAGAGGACGUAAAUAUUUGCAAAGUGCACACGGAUCUAAAUGUAGCACGCCCGCUGACUAAACCUCUUCCACGGGCAAAACAUGAUCAACACCAGAACUGUAUGGGUGUUAGAUUUAUUACAAUGUAAAUCCCAUGACGAUGUGAGGAUUAGAUUAUUGACUCUAGUGCAAGUGGGAGACUGUUGAAUUAUGCCCUAGAAGCAAUGAUAAAUUAGUUAUUAUUAUAUUUCUGUUACAAGAUAAUCAUUUAUUGUCGAUGCUAUAAUUGUAUUGAAUGGAAACAUAGAUACAUGUGUGGAUACAUAGACAAUACAAUGUCCCUAGCAAGCCUCUAGUUGGCUAGCCAGUUGAUCAAUGAUAGUCAAGGUUUUCUGACUAAAUGCAAGUGUUGUUACUUGAUAACUAGAUCACAUCAUUACGAGAAUCAUGUGAUGGAUUGGACCCAAACUAUGAACGUAGCAUAUUGAUCGUGUCAUUUUGUUGCUAUUGUUUUCUGCGUGUCAAGUAUUUAUUCCUAUGACCAUGAGAUCAUAUAACUCACUGGCACCGAAGGAAUGCCUUGUGUGUAUCAAACGUCACAACGUAACUGAGUGACUAUAAAGGUGCUCUACAGGUAUCUCCAAAGGUGUCCGUUGAGUUAGUACGGAUCAAGACUGGGAUUUGUCACUCCGUGUGACGGAGAGGUAUCUCGGGGCCCACUCGGUAAUACAACAUCACACACAAGCCUUGCAAGCAAUGUGACUAAGUGUAAGUCAUGGGAUCUUGUAUUACGGAACGAGUAAAGAGACUUGUCGGUAACGAGAUUGAAAUAGGUAUGCGGAUACCAACGAUCGCAUCUCGGGCAAGUAACAUACCAAGGACAAAGGGAAUGACAUACGGGAUUAUAUGAAUCCUUGAGACCAAGGUUCAACCGAUAAGAUCUUCGAAGAAUAUGUAGGAUCCAAUAUGGGAAUCCAGGUCCCGCUAUUGGAUAUUGACCGAGGAGUAUCUCGGGUCAUGUCUACAUAGUUCUCGAACCCGCAGGGUCUGCACACUUAAGGUUUGAUGACGUUUUAGUAUAGUUGAGUUAUAUGUGUGGUUAACGAAUGUUGUUCGGAGUCCCGGAUGAGAUCACGGACGUCAUGAGGGUUUCCGUAAUGGUCCGGAAAGGAAGAUUGAUAUGUAGGAUGGUUUCAUUUGGUCACUAGAAUGUUUCGGGCAAUUCCGGCAGUGUACCGAGAGUGACGAAUGGGUUCCGGGUGUUUACCGGGAGGGGCCCACCCACCCGGGAGUGAGCCCAAGGCCCUAUGGUGGCACAGCAAGUCCUUAGUGGGCUGGUGGAUUCAUCCCAAGAGGGCUAUGGCGCCACAAGAAAAAAUACCAAAGGAAAGAAGAAAAAAAAGGAGGAAAGAGGGGGUGGGAAGGAAGAGGAGGAUUCCUCCUUCCCAAACCGAAUUGGAGGAGGAGUCCUCCUCCACCCUUGCGGCCGGCGCACCCUUGGGGCCCUUGUGCCCCAAGGCUAGCCCCUCCCCUCCUCCUAUAUAUAUUGGUGGUUGAGGGCUUUUUGAGAUACAACUUUGCCACGUGCAACUCAAGCCUAUUCCACAUAGUUUUACCUCUAGAUCAGAUUUUUGCGUAGCUCCGACGGAGCCCUGCAGGAAUAGAUCAUUACCACCACCGGAGCACCGUCACGCUGCCGGAGAACUCAUCUACUUCUCUGUCUUGCUUGCCGGAUCAAGAAGGCCGAGAUCAUCGUCGAGCUGUACGUGUGCUGAACGCGGAGAUGACGUCCAUUCGGCGCUAGAUCAGAACGAAUCAUGGGACGGAUCAUGGGACGACGGUGAUUUGAAUCACGAAGCUGUGCUACUACAUCAACCGCGUUUCUCAAUGCUUCCCUCUUAGCGAUCUAGAAGGUACGUAGAUCUAAUCACCUCUCGUAGAUGGAGAUCACCAUGAUAGGUCUUCGUGCGCAUAGGAAUUUUUUUGUUUCCCAUGCAACGUUCCCCAAUAGAUCAGGGAUCGAGACUUGACAAUAAAGCAAGGCAACUGUACUACGGGGUCAGAGGGGAUGACUACUCCACCUAUACUAAAUAGAUUAAAAGUACAGUACUGAAAGUAGCAGUUCAUGAAAAAUAGACUAUGCAUUAGAUAUAGGAGCUAACUACAACAGUAGCAAAAUUCUAAUGCAAGCACGAGGAAGAAAGAAUAGGCGAUAUAGGGAAGAUCAAGGGGGUUUUCUUGCCUUGUUUCUCUGUGGCAAAGGGCUGAUCGGCAGGGUCGUAGAUGUACCCAGCGGCAACGUCAGUCUCAAGGUCUACUGGUAAGAAAGGGGGGGGGGAAACAAUAAAUAACAGCAAUAGGUGCAACACUAAGCAUGACAUUACAAUAUGCAGGCUAGACAUGAUCUAACGCAGUAACAUACAUCAUAGACGGGUCGGGAAAAUAUCAGAUGAUAUUUUCCGGGUCUGUGGCUACUACGGGUCAGACUGAAAACGAUGGAAAAGUUCCACAUUAUAUUUGCUAUGCUAGGGACACGUGACACACGAAUGGACCGCGUAACCGGGUUCGUCUCGUUCUGCUGAUCAACUUUCAUGUUGAAAAUAUUUUGAUCUGACUUACGGUUUAUUUAAUAUUAAAAUUUUAAAGUUUUAUUCAAUAUUUAGGAAUUAACAAAUUUAAUUGUAUUAGAUAAUUAAAUAUGACAUCGCGGUGUUAUCAGCACGACAUCAGUAGUCAACCGGGGUUGACUGGUUAGAUAUGACUAGUGGGACCCAUUUGUCAUAGACACAGGGUUAACAAAUGUUUAUUCUUAAUUAAAAUAGGUUAAUUUAGCAGGGGAGGCCCACAUGUCAUACCCAACACAAAUAAUUUAACUCAUAGAUUUGAUUUAAUUAAAUUAGGUUUAGUUAACCAAAUAAGUUAUCCAAUUUAAUUAUUCUAUUUAAUUAAGCACGUUAAACACACAUUGAUUAGACUAACUAAUUAACUUACUAAUUAGUCACUUAAAAUUAUUUUAAUGAAAAUUUCAUUAAUUAAUUAAAUUAUAAUUCACAUAUUAUUUUAUUAAUUUAUAUUAUUUUCUUAACAUGUUUUUGGAUGGGGGUCCCCACUUGUCGUUGUGUGAGUGCGAGAGGGAUUAGCCCCUAGCUUAAUCAAGGCCGACCCUCACCUCGUAGUGGCACAACCGACUCUGGCCGUGGUUGUGCCCGCGAGCGCCAUGUGAGGCCACAAUGAGCAGUUCCCGCGCGUAUGCGGGAGCUAGGGAAGGCGCCGACAAGGGCGCAGCGGGACUACGGUGGGAGGCAACGACGAGUCGGGCAUGGUAGCAGAUUCGGCUGGGCGUGCGCGACAAAAGGGGGGCAACACGUGGUGCGGCUAGCGGGGCACCGGGCGUCGGAGGAGCUCGCCGUAUCAGCGAGGCAUUGCAGUGCCAAGUUGGCCGAGCCUAAGGCGGAGAGGAGGAGUGACGUGACGAGGACAAGGCUCACCACCGUUGUAGUGGUAGCAGAGGUGCGACGUGGUGGUCCGGUGAUGGCCGACAUGAGUGGGGCGAGGGAGAGACGCCAGGGGCGAGGAUCCGGUGCAGGGGUGGCCCAGGGCGGGGUGCCACGACGUCGCCGGCACGGCCUUGGUGGGUGGUGGCGAUGGGAGGGCCCGACCGGCAUGGGGCUGAAGGAGGUCGUAGGAGGAUGGGGCCGCCGGAGGGCCGGUCUUGCUCGGAGGGCGACAGGUCCGGUGCGGGGGUGGCCCUAGCGCGGUGGGGAGAGGGGUAGGGCCGAAGCCAGGGUGGCAGGGAGGAGCGGAGCCGAGGGAAGAUGGGGGUCUGCCGCGUGACGCUCGCGAUGGGAGCGACGAGGGGAGGGAGAGUGGCGGCGUUAGUGGGGGAAGUGGGGAGGGCUCUGGGUGGUUAGGGUUAGGAGGGGGGGGUUAAAUACCCCCGGUUAGGUGGGCUGGCUGGGACGGUUGGCCCAGUUUGGCCAGGGAGACAUUCCCCUUUUUUUUAUUUCUCUGUUUCUUUUUUCCUAUUUGGUUUAGUUUUAUUUACUUUCUUUUCUAUUUUUUAAACAAGAGUAUUUUAGUCUUAUAAAACAUGUAACUUGCAUCAAUAACUAUAAUGUAUUAUUAGGCACUGUCACAAAAAGGUUUAUGAUUUAAUUGAUGCAGUUUCGAAUUGAUAUAAUUUAUAAGGACAUUAGAAUAUUGUUUAGACCUCUGUUUUAAUUAUUUUGAUGCACUUAGACACUCACAAAAAUGUUGGUUUCAGUUUUAUAAUUACUAGGAGAAUAUUUGUAACCGAAACAUGAUUUUUAUUUUACAGUUUGAAGAAAUAAUUUAUUUGACUUAAAUUUAAUUUUAAUUUAGUUUUGGCUUUCCAAUUGGCAAUUUGGCUUAGUUAAUCUUGAUGACAUGGCACCAUUACUGUAGCCUAACUACAUUAACUACUGUAGCUUAAUCCGAGGAUGUCACAACUCAACUCCUUCAUGUUGAUCAUUUUUUGCGAUUCCUCGCGGUUUGAGAACAGUUUCGAAAAAGGUGGGCCCAUGACGGGACGCAGAGAUCGUAUUUUUGCAUUUUUUUAAACCGCCCGUCGUAAUGAAGCAAGCGAUACGGCAUUGAAAAUAUAUCGUCGAGCCGCAUAUUUUUCAUGUAGAUUGAUCUCUCUAAAUCCUCACGGUUUGAGUGUAAUUUCAAAUUUACAAAAAAAUAGAAUUCUGUUUUAGGAUUUUUUCCUUUUUUGGACUGUUUUCGCCACGGUUUUUAAAUAGUUCAUCGGAACAAGGCAUGUGAUACCGAGUUGAAAAGCUGGGGAAUAGGCGCACCUUUCAUAUGUUGGUCAUUUGUCGAGAUUCCUCGCGCUUUUAAAUGAAUUUUGAAAACGGUGUGACUGGCUACGAGUGGCAGCAAGCGUAUUUUCGUCCAUUUUUCGAAACUGCUUGUUGGAAUGACCUAAAUUAUACAUCGCUGGAAAGAUAUCGAAGAGGCUCAACAUUUUCAUGUAGAACACCCUAUCUAAUUCCUUACGUUUUUUAAAUUACCAAAAUGUGGACACUUUGUUUUUCGCAACACACAAAUCAACGUGCGAACAACAUCGGAUAGAAGAGCGCAGUGAUUUUUGAUGGAAAAUUGCACUGCACCGUACGGGAAAGCGAAAUACAUCAUUUUCUUUUUUUGUUUGUUUUUACUAUACUUUUCAUGGCACCAAAUCAAUGAAAUGAACUACAUCACACAGAACCGUACUAUUUAACACAAAAAACCACACGCAUCCAACGGGAAAACGAACUUCAUAUUUUUAAUCAGUUUUUGUUUUAAAUGGAAUGUACUAAAGAGUCCUUCAUAUUGGAAUUUUUAAGACCAGAGUGCGCUGCAUUUGCUUCAAGAUUUCUUUACUAGUGAACUACAUUCAAAACGAAGCAAACUUCUUGCGAUAUUUUUCUUCUUUAUACAAAGAGAACCACAUUUGCGCAUUAUGGUUUUGAAACCAUGCAAUAUAUACAUCUUGUACAACAUAACCAAACCGCUACUUUCAUUUUGACUAAUCUGCAGUGCACCAAAGACCAAACUAUAUUCACAGAAGUGAACUACAUUUUUUUGCAUGACUACUAAAUCAAAAAAAAUCCGCUUUUUAGAUCUUCAGAUAGGUCCAACCAGCUACACAAUUUAGCUACAGUGAGCUGCACAUCUCACUCGUGCAAGCUACAACUCGAGGUACAGGGAGACGCAAACCAAUCCACAAAUUGGUCACCAGCGCACUGCAUGUCCACCCUUGCAAAUUGGCUACUUUAAGAAAUAAAUCAAAAAAUUCCAUGAAACGCAAGUCAAUCGCUGGUGCACUCAUGUCCACCUCCACAACACUGCACCUGUCGUGCCCAUGGGACUGCAACCAAGUUUAUUGAAGAUUCCCGAAAAAGAAAAUACAAAGCAAUCGGAGUUCUUGUUGACCCCUGCACGAGAGCUAGCAAACUUUGCUUGGCAAACCAAACUGCAUGCCAUGCUGCAGCUGCACACGCCAAGGAGCUGCACUGAAUCACGAUGGCGAGCGAACUACAUCGAGAACAAAGAGGAGGGGCUCGAUCCCAUUUUUUGGAACAGGCUUCGAAAGGGGAGUGUGAGCCAGAUCGGAACUGGCACGGACAUGCGGUGUCGCGCGAGAGGGAGGUUUCGUGGUGCCUCAUCGAGCCUCUAGAAGAAGGCCUGUCAGGAGGACGGCGCGAGCCUGGGGGCUUGGUUGCCGGUCUGGAGAGGUCGGGCCGUGGUAGAAGAUGGCGGAUCUGCCGAUGUGUAAGAGGGUUGGGGUGGGCUGCGACGCUAGGAUCCUUCGCGUGGAGGGGGUGAGGUGGGCGGGGGAGCUAGGAUCCCGCGCGAAUGAAGUGGGUGGGCUGCCGUGAUGGUCGGAGCCAUCCCUGUGGUGGCUGGCUACCGACGAGGGAAGAAGGUGGGUUGAGGGGGCGGGGGUCGUCGCCUGACAGGGAAAGAAGGUGGGUUGAGGGCGCGGGGGUUCCUUUCUUGGCCAACAGAUGGAGGAGGGAGAGGGUGGAGGUGGCAUUUGGUAGCUGGGGAAGCUGAUCUGGGUCCAGGGGUCGCCAGGCAUGGUUAUCACGCGAGAGGGAGGGGCCAGAGGCCAGAUCCGUUAAUGUGGGGGGAGGAGGCCCGCGGAUGAACCAUGCGGGGUGAUGUGGAGGAGGCCCUCGUGGCCUGGGCAGAUCUCGGCGGGGGUAGGUGCCGACGGGGAAGACCGGUGCCGUGUGGGCUGCUGGCGCAGCAAUGGUGGAAGAAGAUGAGGGGGAUUGGGGGCAGGGUGGUGCGGGAGUUGGGAGGAGAGAGAGGAAGGUGGGAUAGGGAGGGGGAAGUUCAUUUUUGUUUCUUUGGGUGUUUUAUCUAUAUGCUGGCGCGGGACGGGAGGUGGCGCGGAUAGAGGGGCACGGGGUGGGAGGUGUAUUUAGAAUAAGUGUGUGUAUAUAUAUAUAUAGAAAGACUAUUCAUCACCGAGGAUGCAGAAUAAGUUAUUCUUCACACGAGGUAAUCUUACGAUCGUUUCAUAAUUAUAUUACAUUCAAAAUGCAAAUAGGUACAUUUAUACUGAUUCACUACCUAAAGUUUUACAUAAGAAAAAAAUAGGUCAUAAGACCAGAAGAACGCAUUUAAUGUAUAUUUUACAUGACAUAAAAUAUUUUUAUGGUGUCUAUAUAUUUUCUUAUGGUCUCUUUUUACNNNNNNNNNNNNNNNNNNNNNNNNNNNNNNNNNNNNNNNNNNNNNNNNNNNNNNNNNNNNNNNNNNNNNNNNNNNNNNNNNNNNNNNNNNNNNNNNNNNNUACGACUCGUCUACGUUCGUUGAUGACCGACACCGGCUUUGUUGGGUCAUGUAUGCUUGUCCUUGUGCGGAACUGCCACUUUGGUUUAUGACUAGACAUGUCGAUCCGGGUUCUUUGACAUUGGAAUGCUAGCGACACUAUCGCAUACGUGAGUCAAAACACACAAACGGUCCCGGCUAAGGUAAGGCUGCAACCGUGGAGUUAACCGUGCGUGAGACCACAAAGGGAUGCGAUGUGUUACAGGCUGGAUUCCUAUGGCUUAAGAUCGGGGUCCCGACAGCGUUGGUAUCAGAGCCUGACUGACUGUAGGAUUACUAAGCCAAACUGGUCGAAGUUGAGUCUAGAAUUGCUUUAGUUAUAUAUAAGGGAAUUGUUUGUGGAAGGGAACGUAACACUCUUGUUCUCUUCUCAAGAUAUUCUAUUCUGGUCAUCCUCGUCUUUUCUGCGGGAAUUAAGGACUAGGUUACUCAUCUUCUCCUAGGCUCGGAUUUUUGAUCGGUAGAUUAUAGGACUAAGGGUCGAGAGAUAUUGGGUUUCUUUUAUUCCUGGGAAGAAGGAAGUAAGUUUGAUGAUCAGGGAGUUGAACUUGAUAGUUGAGUGGUGACGCUAUUUCAUUUUGGGUUGUCUCAAAAUUUGUUUUGAACAUUUACAGCUGUUAUGCUGCCCAAUUUUUCAUUCAGAGCUCUAAUGCUUUUUUGCAUUACUCUCUAUUUACAGAUGCCUGGCCGUCCUUCUCGUCAGGUGGUACGUUUGACCAGGUGCAUUGAUGUACCGGGUCAUACGGCCAUGCUGGUCAGGGUGAUGUCGGUGUGCGGUUACCGCUGGUACCCCGAGUACACGGUAGAGGAACAGUACCGAGACUUCAACCAGAGCCAGUACAUCUGCACUGUUAGGGUAUUUCCAGAUUACCCUGGAGCGGAGAAGCCAAUCCAUUGGUCCUAUGGGUUGGGAGUCACUGUUGACAUGGCAGUACAAGAUGCUGCCUAUUCAAUGCUGACUAUCAUGAGAGAGAGACAUGCAUUGCUGCAGAAUUCAGAGUUCUGCUAUGUUCCGGCCUCUCAGUCUGGCGAAGAGGGAUACCUCAGUGGAGUCUAUUUUGAUUCCUCUAUGGAGGACCCACUUCUGCAGUCCACUGUUGAGAUGCUAGAGAACAGAGACAAGGAUGCUCGUGCUCUCCGCAUGGAGCUUUAUGCUACCCGUGCCCGUCUGUGGACAGCUUUGACGCAGCUGGCACCGGUAGUCCAGACAGGGUAUGGAGAGAUGGAGAUGCUGAACCCUGUUAGGACCCAUCUUCCGGCUCAUGUUGACUGGCCAGCUAUAGGAGGAGUCACACCUCUUCGGGGACCCCUCUUACCACCAGUCAGGGGACCAAGGCCACAUCUGUGUCCUUAUGGAUCCCAGGGAUCUCAGGCUAGAGUGUUUCCUGAUCCGCAGGUUGAGCUUCCAGGUCAUGGAGGUAAUCUCUAUGAGAUGUUCUAUGCGGAUGCGUGAGCUAUGAGCGGAAGGAUAGUAUGGUGGUAGCCGUAUGUUCACAGUCCUGCGUGACUUGUGUAGUAUGGUUGUAAUGUGAAACGAAUUCCGGAGGCCUAGAUAAAUAAUGUAUAGGAAGCUUGUACGCCUCUGAUGAGUAGUUCCACCAUUUCGGUAGUUUGCUCUUCGAGUAAGUUUGUACUGAACUAUGUAAGGGUGUGUAUGAACCAUGGUGUAUAUAUAGCAGUUGCUUGUUACCAUGUUGUUCGGAUAUUCAUUUCCGCAUUCCGUGUGUUCAGUACAUUCUUAAUCCAUAGAUAGUUUUGAUAUGAUUUUGGUUUAAGCUAUGAGUUUGUUUGUUAGGAUGGUGUUCACCAGGUUGAACCGUGCCCCUGCUCAUGAGCAAGGUGAGGGUAGUCAAGCGUCGCAGGAAGACCUGCCUCACCCACCUUCUCUGGUAGAAGUGAUGCUUGAGGCAGAAAGAAUCAAAAGGGAGACCAACCGACUGCUAGAGCGUAUUGAGCAGAAUACGGCUCGAGAGCCUAGGAAUGCUGCAGUGUCCCUCAAUGACUUUGUGAAGCUGAAUCCUCCAAAGUUUCAUCAUUCCGUCGAUCCCCUCGACGCUGAUGACUGGCUGUGCAGCAUUUCAUGCAAGAUUCGCUCUGCGAAUGUGUCUGAGGCCGACAAGGUGACCUUUGCGGCGUAUUUCCUGGAGGGACCCGCCAAUCUAUGGUGGGAGAAUUUUGAAGCUAUGCGUCCCGCUGAACCAGUGGCCACAUGGGCAGACUUCAGUGCAGCUUUUCGUCUGCACCAUAUUCCAGAGGGCCUGAUGGACAGAAAGAGAGAGGAGUUAUGUGCCUUCACUCAGGGCAAGUUGUCUGUGGAUGCCUAUAGCCGCGAGUUCGGUAACCUCGCCCGCUAUGCAACAGAGGAGGUGUCUACUGACGCCAAGAAGCCAGCAAGAUUCCGUAAGGGUCUGAGCCCUGAGCUCCGUCGAGACCUGCGCCUCCAUGAGUGUGCAAGCUUUCAAGCCCUGGUCAACAAAGCGAUCAGUGCGGAGACUGGUCAUACUGACUUCGAAGCCACAAGGAAGCACUCCCGUGACUUUGGCUCGUCUUCUGGUUCCGCGUUUCCAAAACGCAGGCUGUGGGUUCCAAACAGUUCUCUGCCGCCAAGAUACACUCCGAGGCCAUCCUACGUGGCGCCUCAGACGAAUCAGGCCAACCCUCCAGCAAAAGCUUAUGGUGGUCCAGCUAGCAAUGCUGCACCACGUGCCAACCAGGUGAUAUGCUACAAGUGUGGAGAACCAGCGCAUUAUUCCCGUGAGUGUCCUCAGAAUGUGGGUGCCAAGCAACCCGGAAAGUGUGUCGGGCAGGCCAAGUCGGGCAAAGCGUUUUAUGUGAAACCAACUCCUGCACGUGGCCGUGUGAACUAUGUGUCAGCAGAAGAAGCUGCAGAGGAUCCCGACGUCAUGCUGGGUACGCUUCUUGUUAAUCAUCACCCAGCGUCCGUUCUCUUUGACACUGCGUCUUCUCAUUCCUUCAUUUCAAAAAGUUAUGCACAGUUGCAUAACAUGUCAUUUUGUGAUAUGCCAAUCCCAUUGGUUGGCCAAACCCCUAGUAGUAAAUGGCAAACCUCUAGGAUUACCUAUGACAAUGAAAUUCUAGUAGACACGCUAGUUUUUCUAGCCUCAUUGAUAGCGUUGAAAUCUUCGGAUAUUAAUAUCAUCUUGGGCAUGGACUGGAUGUCAGCUCACUAUGCCAAGAUUGAUACUCGCUCUAGAAAUGUCCAGCUUACCCAUCCCUCGGGUGAGAUAGUAAAUGUCUCUACUCGAGUUGCCAAAUGCCAGCUCUAUUCCCUAAAUGCCAACCCUCUUCCGGAACUUGAAGACAUUCCGGUAGUCCGUGACUUCCCGGAUGUUUUUCCAGAGGAACUGCCAGGAAUUCCACCUGACAGAGAUGUAGAGUUUGUGAUAGAUCUUGUUCCGGGAACUGUCCCAAUAGCUAGAAGACCUUAUAAGAUGGCACCCCUGGAGCUAGCCGAACUUAAGAAGCAAUUAGAUGAGGCCUUGAACAAGGGUUUCAUUCGUCCUAGCUCUUCUCCUUGGGCUUGUCCCGUCCUCUUCGUCAAGAAGAAAGACGGAAUGGAUCGGAUGGUUGUAGAUUACCAACCAGUUAACCUGGUCACCAUAAAGAACAAGUAUCCGCUCCCCAGGAUCAACGAUCUGUACGAUCAGCUCGCUGGAUCCUCAGUCUUCUCCAAAAUGGAUUUGAGGUUGGGAUACCAUCAAAUCAAGAUUAAGAACGGGGACAUUCCAAAAACGGCUUUUGUUACUCGUUAUGGCCAAUAUGAGUACACCGUUAUGUCCUUCGGUUUAACCAAUGCCCCAGCCAGCUUCUCUCGACUGAUGAAUUCAAUCUUUAUGGAGUAUUUGGAUAAAUUCGUCGUAGUAUUCCUCGAUGAUAUUCUCAUCUACUCCAAGAAUGAACAAGAACAUGCCGAGCAUCUAAGGCUGGUAUUGAUGAAACUUCGAGAGCAUCGCCUUUAUGCCAAAUUUUCAAAAUGUGAAUUCUGGUUACCAGAAGUGACCUAUCUAGGCCACGUAAUCUCUGGUAAGGGUAUUGUUGUCAAUCCCGAGAGAGUUCAAGCUGUCCUUGAUUGGACUCAACCUGAAUCGGUUAAGCAAGUUAGGAGUUUUCUUGGUCUAGCGAGCUAUUGUCGCCGCUUCGUCGAGAAUUUCUCCAAGGUUGCAAAGCCUCUAACUGAACUCCUCAAGAAGGAUAAAAAGUUCGAGUGGACACCACAGUGUGAGCAUAGUUUUCAGGAACUGAAAAGACGCCUGACUUCCGCACCUGUGUUGCUACCACCAGAUUUUUCUAAGGACUUUGUUAUCUAUUGCGACGCCUCGCGACAAGGAUUAGGUUGCAUUCUCAUGCAAGAUCGUCAUGUGAUCGCAUACGCAUCUCGCCAGUUGCGUCCACAUGAGGAUAAUUAUCCCACACAAGACCUUGAGCUUGCAGCUGUGGUCCAUGCACUAAAAACCUGGCGACAUUACCUUCUGGGUAAUCGUUGCGAAAUAUUCACUGAUCACCAAAGUCUGAAAUAUAUCUUCACCCAGCCGGAUUUGAAUCUCAGGCAAAGACGAUGGGUUGAGUUGAUCUCGGAUUACGACUUAGGGAUAACUUACACCCCGGGGAAGGCCAAUGUUAUGGCCGAUGCACUAAGUCGUAAAUCUUAUUGUAACAAUCUGAUGCUACAACAAGGACAACCACUUCUCCAUGAGGACUUUCGGAAGUCGAAUCUUCAUAUUGUUCCUCAAGGAUUCCUUUCUACCCUGGUGGCGAAGCCUACUCUUAAGGAUCAAAUUAUAGCUGGCCAAAAGCGUGACAAGGGUAUAUCACGGAUCAAGGAGAAUAUUUUUAGCGGAAACGCUAAAGAAUUUUCCAUGAAUGAUCAAGGUGUGGUAUUCUUCCAGAAUCGUUUAGUGGUUCCUAAGAACCCACAUCUAAGGCAGUUAAUCCUUAAGGAGGCUCAUGAUUCCCCUCUCACCAUUCAUCCUGGUAGUACUAAGAUGUAUAAAGACCUACGCCAGAGGUUCUGGUGGACUAGGAUGAAGAGAGAAAUUGCUGAGUUCGUUGCUAACUGCGAUGUUUGUCGUCGAGUUAAGGCAGAACAUCAAAGGCCUGCUGGCACCCUUCAACCUUUAGCUAUUCCUGAAUGGAAAUGGGAUAAAGUUAGCAUGGAUUUCAUUACCGGAUUUCCCAAGACCAAGAAAGGAAAUAAUGCUAUCUUUGUGGUCAUUGACCAUUUUUCCAAAGUGGCUCAUUUUCUUCCUGUUCGUGAGAGUUUAACAGCUAGCCAGCUAGCAGAGUUAUAUAUCUCUCUAAUAGUGUCUCUUCAUGGUGUUCCCCUGGAAAUUAACUCGGACCGUGGAAGUAUCUUCACUUCUCGUUUCUGGGAAAGUUUUCAGAAUGCCAUGGGGACUCACUUAUCUUUUAGCACUGCUUUCCAUCCCCAAUCAAGUGGUCAAGUAGAAAGAGUGAAUCAAAUCCUAGAAGAUAUGCUCCGAGCUUGUGUUAUUUCGUUCGGUAUGAAUUGGGAGAAGUGCCUUCCAUUCGCCGAUUUCGCUUAUAACAACAGUUAUCAAUCAAGCUUGGGCAAAGCCCCUUUUGAAGUUCUCUAUGGACGAAGAUGUCGAACACCUCUUAAUUGGUCAGAAACCGGAGAGAGGCAACUCUUUGGUCCGGACAUGAUCCAGGAUGCAGAAGAGCAGGUUCGCAUUAUUCGUGAAAAGUUGAAAACAGCCCAAUCUCGUCAAAAGAGCCAAUAUGAUCGUCAUCAUAAGGCUGUGACCUUUGAAGUUGACGAGAAGGCUUACCUUCGGGUUACACCUUUGAAGGGUACCCAUCGUUUCGGUAUCAAGGGCAAGUUGGCUCCUCGUUACAUUGGUCCUUUUCGCAUUCUUGCCAAACGAGGAGAAGUUGCCUACCAGUUGGAACUUCCUCCGCAUCUUUCCAAGGUUCAUGAUGUUUUCCACGUCUCGCAACUCAGGCGUUGCUUUUCGGAUCCUAUCCGUGAAGUGGACCACGAAACGCUUGAUCUCCAAGAUAACCUUUCUUACCGAGAAUAUCCCGUGCGUAUUCUUGAUCAAGCUGAGCGUACCACUCGACGUCGAAACCUCAAGUUUCUUAAAGUUCAAUGGUCAAAUCAUUCUGAAAAGGAGGCAACUUGGGAAAGAGAGGAUCGUCUCCGACUCGAAUAUCCUGCGUUAUUCCCGACGACUUCUAAAUCUCGGGACGAGAUUCUUUUGAGUGGGGGUGAGUUGUCACAUCCCUAACCCUUAAGCAAGAUAGCAUUGUGCUCAUGUCUUCUUUGCAUUUGCAUCUAAGAAGUUUCAACAAAAACAACAAAGUGGCAAAGGAGAAACUCAAAACCCUAGCCACCAUUUCAAUUAAAGGAAAUUUCAACUAGUUCAAAAUCAAUGAACCCAAAAUGGCCUCAAGAAAUGUUCAAACUUUCUGAUAAAUCACGAAAGUAAAUGAGCAUUGGAGAAAACUAUUUUCUUGACACUUUAAGCAUUUUAAAUAAAUGCAAAAGCCACUGGUUUCAAAUUUAAAAAUUUGAAAUCAGAAACUAUAAUUUUCCAAAAAUGUUGAAAGUCUUGGAAAUGAGUGGGGAUAUUAUAACAAAUAUUUCAGGAGGUCAAAAUCAGUUUUUACCUUUUGUUUUGGAGCUGAAAUAAUUAGCAAAGCAAUAAACAGCAAAACAGAAAAAACCAAAAAAAGAGAAAAUGGGAAAAGCUUACCUCACGCCCAAGCCAGGCCCAGCCCAUCUCGCCGCUCGUCCCCUUCCCCGCGCCAGUAGGCAGCAGGAGGUGGCCGCCGCCUCCUCCGGCGCGGCCACGCACCUGCGUGCCUGCCUGGUCGCCGGUUCGCGCUGGCGACGACGGGGAUAAGCUCCCCAGAGCCUCCCCUAUCCAUUCCCCGCCUCGGUUCUCCUCCUCCGCCCGGAUCCCCUCCUUCUCCCUGCUGCCGCCAUUAGAGCCGAGCUCGAGCUCGAGCUGGCCGUGCCCCUGGCCAUAGGAUCCCCUCCGCGAGCACGCCAUUAGCUCCGCCUCGUCGCCCUGGUCAUUCCUGCAGAAGGCGAAGCUUCCUCGCGCCCUGCAACGCCCGCAACGCCGUCGUCUUCUUCCUCCGGCCGCCGGACAUCUCCCGUCGAUUCGUCGCCCCCAGGCCUUCCCCGAGCCGUCUGAGCUCUUCUCUGCACUCCCUGUGAGCAUGCGGUGGUUUUCCCUAAGUUUUCCCCGUCGAUCCCCUCCUCUAGCCCUAGUUUCACCGGAGCCCGACGAGCACCGCCGCUGCCGCUCGUCGCCGGUAGCCCUCCGAUGUCCAGCUCGUCCUCCCGAGAGCACCAGCAGCUCCAGGACGACGCGUAGAUGCCGUAGCAGCUAAGAACUAAGCGCGGAUCCCCCUGUUUCAAAGCCCCCGACGACGCCCGAGCUUCGUCCGCCGCUCCGGCUCGUCGCCGACGCCUCUUCCGGCGAACCUAGCCUCCCAAGUUGGUCCUGCCAGAUCGGCCACUUCGCGGGCUUGCUGUAGCUGCCAACCGCGUGCGUUUUCGUGCUGUGCAACGCCGUCUAGAUCGCCUCCGGCGAGCCCUCCGCCGCGGGUUUGGUCGCCGGCGACACCCUCCGGUGGCCGUCGACGUGGCCGACCAUUAGGGCCUAAUCUCCCUCCCCUGAGUCGCUGCCAGAGGGCCCCACGCCUGGACAAACCCCAAUUAGGGGUUGGUCAGUGCGGGAUUAGUCCCAGAGAGGCUGACCAGGGGGACCCCCCUGUCAGGUUUGACCUGCACAGGUCGGCUGACCUGCUGACGUCAGCCUGAUGCAAUAAAUGAAAUUUCCAGUAUAAAAAUAAUUCAGGAAAUUGCUAAAAAUUGCAAAAUUCAUAGAAAUUAAUCUAUAACUCCAAUGAAAAUAAUUUAUAUAUGAAAAAGUAUCAGAAAAAUUCAAGGAUUCUGAUUAUGCUAUUUUCAACUAUGUUUGAAAAAGUUGCAGAACCCUAAAUUGUGAAAUAAGGAAUAAUUCAAUUCUUUUAAUCACUUUAUAAAUGGAAUUUGCAAAAUAUCCAAAUUUCAUUAUAAAUACAAUGAUCACACACUGCCCUAGAUGUAAAUCAGUACCAUAACAUGACAUUUCAUGCAUGUUAACAUUAGGUUGAUCUGAGCAUCAGGUCGAAUCAAUUAAACCGGUAUGCGGGAAUACCCGUUUGAAUUGCUUUUCGAAUGUGAUUCAAAUCAACUCUAAACCUAAAACAUCUUGAUUAUAAUAACUUAUCACCUGCAUUCUCAUGCCUUGCUCAUGCAUCAUUUUGAUUGCAUAUGAUUGUUAUUGAAUGUUGCCAUUCCUUUCGGUAGGCUCCGCACCCCCGGAUUCCACCGAAUAUCCGUCUGACGGAUAUCAUUCCUCCUCUCAGCAACAAGGCAAGCAACCCUUUUGAUCAUCCCGAUAACACCUAUGUUCUUGCUCCUGCACCUAUUUAUUGCAUUAGGAUCAAAUGCUUCAAUUGCUUUUGCCACGAUAGUUGGACCCACUUCCUUUGCAUGACUUAACCUUGUCACAGUAAAUAGCCGAACCUUGCAACCUAGCAUACCUGGUAGUUCCUUGAGCUCUAAUGUGCCUUAUCCUGCCAUGCAUGCUAUGCUUAGAGUUGUGUAUGGUCUGUCAUCUGGGAGAUGAACAGAAAUGUGGAAUGUGUUCGGUGAGCAAAGGUCGUGUGUUGAAUUUGAUUUGGUAAAGGUACCGGUGAAAGGCUGUGUAGGAGUACAUGGCGGGUUGUUUCAUUGGAACCGUCCUUAGGAACUGAGUUCCGUGUAUGUAAUCCAAGACUAGAUACUACCACAUGCUGGGCCCUGAAAUAUGACCCCGCUCGGCCUAUUAAUCGCUUAGUACUCGGUCCAGGAGUUGCAAGUAGUUUCUGGUGUUUAUAGUAAUGCUGGAGGCCGUGCAUGGUGCUGACCUGAGAGGUGGACCGUGAUGCGGUAGGUAGUGGCACCCGGAUGGUGGGCUUGGGAACCCUGCGCACAACGUUUGAGGCCGUGGCGGAAACCUCGGCCGGACUUCCGUACGGGUUACUCUCAGAUAGGCGAUAAACCUGGACUAGGUACUAGUGUGGUUAACGGUCGUGGCCGACUCCGUCGCUGGGCUUCCGCUUGAAGGUUGCCGAGGUGCAUGACGUGCACAUGUCGAUAAGUGGCGGAAGCGUGUGUGACGAAGUACACCCUUGCAGGGUUAUGAUCUAUUCGAAUAGCCGCGCCCACGGAUAUGGACUACUUGGAGACAUAUGUUGUUCAUAGAUAACUUCAAUGGCUACUCACAAAAUUGUCAAGAUAAGCUUGAGUGUCGUGGACGGUAUUUCCGUAUGGAGACGGAAUGAUUCCACGAUAGUGUAUUGUUGUGGUGUUAGUGGACUCGUGUGCGAGAAAUCAAGUUGUCAAAACUAAUUUCAAAAAGCAAGUUGUCUAGCCACGAGUCAAAUGCUGGCUUUCCGCAUGAAAUCCCACAAUACCUUCUUGAUACCUUGCAUGAGUAGUUAGUCAUCCUAAAGUCUUGCUGAGUACCUUCGUACUCAUGUUUUCUUAAUAAAUGUUGCAGAGAUUGUUAAUGACCCUAAUGGAGGGUUCUUCGUAGACAUCGACGACGACGAGUAGCUGGUGUCCCAGCUACGAUCUGGCCCUACGUCGACUCUGUAGUAUAGUCAGGCCAUGUGCCUUCUAGUUGCUCUGUCGGUACCCAGACAGUUUAUAACUCUUCCGCUAGCUUGUAUUGUAUGACUGCUAUUAUGGGUCGUGAGACCCUUAAUGUGUAAUAAUAUGUGUGUGGCUCUUCCGAGCCUCUUAAAUAAAGCUUGUAUGUUUAUGGUUAUGUUGUGAUGCCAUCGAUGUAUCUAUACAUAUCGGUAUGCCAUGCAUACGUGUGUCUUACUUGAUAUGUAUGGGGUUCGAAUACCUAGUCGUGAACUUUAGUAGCACUCCUUACAAGGAAAUGCCCCUUUGUGAUCCAACGAGCCUUGGUAGUUCGCUACUGCUCCGGACACAUUGGUUGACCGGCAUGUGUCCUUCUUAGAUGCUGUGUCUGUCCCCUUUGGGGAAAUGUCACGCGACGUAAUGGAGUCCUUGUAGCUUGCUACGACUCGUCUACGUUCGUUGAUGACCGACACCGGCUUUGUUGGGUCAUGUAUGCCUGUCCUUGUGUGGAACUGCCACUUUGGUUUAUGACUAGACAUGUCGAUCCGGGUUCUUUGACAUUGGAAUGCUUGCGACACUAUCGCAUACGUGAGUCAAAAGACGCAAACGGUCCCGGCUAAGGUAAGGCUGCAACCGUGGAGUUAACCGUGCGUGAGACCACAAAGGGAUGCGAUGUGUUACAGGCUGGAUUCCUAUGGCUUAAGAUCGGGGUCCCGACAGCGUUGGUAUCAGAGCCUGACUGACUGUAGGAUUACUAAGCCAAACUGGUCGAAGUUGAGUCUAGAAUUGCUUUAGUUAUAUAUAAGGGAAUUGUUUGUGGAAGGGAACGUAACACUCUUGUUCUCUUCUCAAGAUAUUCUAUUCUGGUCAUCCUCGUCUUUUCUGCGGGAAUUAAGGACUAGGUUACUCAUCUUCUCCUAGGCUCAGAUUUUUGAUCGGUAGAUUAUAGGACUAAGGGUCGAGAGAUGUUGGGUUUCUUUUAUUCCUGGGAAGCAGGAAGUAAGUUUGAUGAUCAGAGAGUUGAACUUGAUAGUUGAGUGGUGACGCUAUUUCAUUUUGGGUUGUCUCAAAAUUUGUUUUGAACAUUUACAGCUGUUAUGCUGCCCAAUUUUUCAUUCAGAGCUCUAAUGCUUUUUGCAUUACUCUCUAUUUACAGAUGCCUGGCCGUCCUUCUCGUCAGGUGGUACGUUUGACCAGGUGCAUUGAUGUACCGGGUCAUAUGGCCAUGCUGGUCAGGGUGAUGUCGGUGUGCGGUUACCGCUGGUACCCCGAGUACACGGUAGAGGAACAGUACCGAGACUUCAACCAGAGCCAGUACAUCUGCACUGUUAGGGUAUUUCCAGAUUACCCUGGAGCGGAGAAGCCAAUCCAUUGGUCAUAUGGGUUGGGAGUCACUGUUGACAUGGCAGUACAAGAUGAUGCCUAUUCAAUGCUGACUAUCAUGAGAGCGAGACAUGCAUUGCUGCAGAAUUCAGAGUUCUGCUAUGUUCCGGCCUCUCAGUCUGGCGAAGAGGGAUACCUCAGUGGAGUCUAUUUUGAUUCCUCUAUGGAGGACCCACUUCUGCAGUCCACUGUUGAGAUGCUAGAGAACAGAGACAAGGAUGCUCGUGCUCUCCGCAUGGAGCUUUAUGCUACCCAUGCCCGUCUGUGGACAGCUUUGACGCAGCUGGCACCGGUAGUCCAGACAGGGUAUGGAGAGAUGGAGAUGCUGAACCCUGUUAGGACCCAUCUUCCGACUCAUGUUGACUGGCCAGCUAUAGGAGGAGUCACACCUCUUCGGGGACCCCUCUUACCACAAGUCAGGGGACCAAGGCCACAUCCGUGUCCUUAUGGAUCCCAGGGAUCUCAGGCUAGAGUGUUUCCUCAUCCGCAGGUUGAGCUUCCAGGUCAUGGAGGUAAUCUCUAUGAGAUGUUCUAUGCGGAUGCCUGAGCUAUGAGCGGAAGGAUAGUAUGGUAGUAGCCCUAUGUUCAAGUCCUGCGUGACUUGUGUAGUAUGGUUGUAAUGUGAAACGAAUUCCGGAGGCCUAGAUAAAUAAUGUAUAGGAAGCUUGUACGCCUCUGAUGAGUAGUUCCACCAUUUCGGUAGUUUGCUCUUCGAGUAAGUUUGUACUGAACUAUGUAAGGGUGUGUAUGAACCAUGGUGUAUAUAUAGCAGUUGCUUGUUACCAUGUUGUUCGGAUAUUCAUUUCCGCAUUCCGUGUGUUCAGUACAUUCUUAAUCCAUAGAUAGUUUUGAUAUGAUUUUGGUCUAAGCUAUGAGUUUGUUUGUCAGGAUGGUGUUCACCAGGUUGAACCGUGCCCCUGCUCAUGAGCAAGGUGAGGGUAGUCAAGCGUCGCAGGAAGACCUGCCUCACCCACCUUCUCUGGUAGAAGUGAUGCUUGAGGCAGAAAGAAACAAAAGGGAGACCAACCGACUGCUAGAGCGUAUUGAGCAGAAUACGGCUCGACAGCCUAGGAAUGCUGCAGUGUCCCUCGAUGACUUUCUGAAGCUGAAUCCUCCAAAGUUUCAUCAUUCCAUCGAUCCCCUCGACGCUGAUGACUGGCUGUGCAGCAUUUCACACAAGAUUCGCUCUGCGAAUGUGUUUGAGGCCGACAAGGUGACCUUUGCGGCGUAUUUCCUGGAGGGACCCGCCAAUCUAUGGUGGGAGAAUUUUGAAGCUAUGCGUCCCGCUGAACCAGUGGCCACAUGGGCAGACUUCAGCGCAGCUUUUCGUCUGCACCAUAUUCCAGAGGGCCUGAUGGACAGAAAGAGAGAGGAGUUAUGUGCCUUCACUCAGGGCAAGUUGUCUGUGGAUGCCUAUAGCCGCGAGUUCGGUAACCUCGCCCGCUAUGCAACAGAGGAGGUGUCUACUAACGCAGAGAAGCAAGAAAGAUUCCGUAAGGGUCUGAGCCCUGAGCUCCGUCGAGACCUGCGCAUCCAUGAGUGUGCAAGCUUUCAAGCCCUGGUCAACAAAGCGAUCAGUGCGGAGACUGGUCAUACUGACUUCGAAGCCACAAGGAAGCACUCCCGUGACUUUGGCUCGUCUUCUGGUUCCGCGUUUCCAAAACGCAGGCUGUGGGUUCCAAACAGUUCUCUGCCGCCAAGAUACACUCCGAGGCCAUCCUACGUGGCGCCUCAGACGAAUCAGGCCAACCCUCCAGCAAAAGCUUAUGGUGGUCCAGCUAGCAAUGCUGCACCACGUGCCAACCAGGUGAUAUGCAACAAGUGUGGAGAACCAGGGCAUUAUUCCCGUGAGUGUCCUCAGAAUGUGGGUGCCAAGCAACCCGGAAAGUCUGUCGGGCAGGCCAAGUCGGGCAAAGCGUUUUAUGUGAAGCCAACUCCUGCACGUGGCCGUGUGAACUAUGUGUCAGCAGAAGAAGCUGCAGAGGAUCCCGACGUCAUGCUGGGUACGCUUCUUGUUAAUCAUCACCCAGCGUCCGUUCUCUUUGACACUGGGUCUUCUCAUUCCUUCAUUUCAGAAAGUUAUGCACAGUUGCAUAACAUGUCAUUUUGUGAUAUGCCAAUCCCAUUGGUUGUCCAAACCCCUAGUAGUAAAUGGCAAACCUCUAGGAUAACCUAUGACAAUGAAAUUCUAGUAGACAUGCUAGUUUUUCUAGCCUCAUUGAUAGCGUUGAAAUCUUCGGAUAUUAAUAUCAUCUUGGGCAUGGACUGGAUGUCAGCUCACUAUGCCAAGAUUGAUACUUGCUCUAGAAAUGUCCAGCUUACCCAUCCCUCGGGUGAGAUAGUAAAUGUCUCUACUCGAGUUGCCAAAUGCCAGCUCUAUUCCCUAAAUGCCAACCCUCUUCCGGAACUUGAAGACAUUCCGGUAGUCCGUGACUUCCCGGAUGUUUUUCCAGAGGAACUGCCAGGAAUUCCACCUGACAGAGAUGUAGAGUUUGUGAUAGAUCUUGUUCCGGGAACUGUCCCAAUAGCUAGAAGACCUUAUAAGAUGGCACCCCUGGAGCUAGCCGAACAUAAGAAGCAAUUAGAUGAGGCCUUGAACAAGGGUUUCAUUCGUCCUAGCUCUUCUCCUUGGGCUUGUCCCGUCCUCUUCGUCAAGAAGAAAGACAGAACGGAUCGGAUGGUUGUAGAUUACCGACCAGUUAACCUGGUCACCAUAAAGAACAAGUAUCCGCUCCCCAGGAUCAACGAUCUGUACGAUCAGCUCGCUGGAUCCUCAGUCUUCUCCAAAAUGGAUUUUAGGUUGGGAUACCAUCAAAUCAAGAUUAAGAACGGGGACAUUCCAAAAACGGCUUUUGUUACUCGUUAUGGCCAAUAUGAGUACACCGUUAUGUCCUUCGGUUUAACCAAUGCCCCAGCCACCUUCUCUCGGCUGAUGAAUUCAAUCUUUAUGGAGUAUUUGGAUAAAUUCGUCGUAGUAUACCUCGAUGAUAUUCUCAUCUACUCCAAGAAUGAACAUGAACAUGCCGAGCAUCUAAGGCUGGUAUUUUCAAAAUGUGAAUUCUGGUUACCAGAAGUGACCUAUCUAGGCCACGUAAUCUCUGGUAAGGGUAUUGCUGUCAAUCCCGAGAGAGUUCAAGCUGUCCUUGAUUGGACUCAACCUGAAUCGGUUAAGCAAGUUAGGAGUUUUCUUGGUCUAGCGAGCUAUUGUCGCCGCUUCGUCGAGAAUUUCUCUAAGGUUGCAAAGCCUCUAACUGAACUCCUCAAGAAGGAUAAAAAGUUCGAGUGGACACCACAGUGUGAGCAUAGUUUUCAGGAACUGAAAAGACGCCUGACUUCCGCACCUGUGUUGCUACCACCAGAUUUUUCUAAGGACUUUGUUAUCUAUUGCGACGCCUCGCGACAAGGAUUAGGUUGCAUUCUCAUGCAAGAUCGUCAUGUGAUCGCAUACGCAUCUCGCCAGUUGCGUCCACAUGAGGAUAAUUAUCCCACACAUGACCUUGAGCUUGCAGCUGUGGUCCAUGCACUAAAAACCUGGCGAGAUUACCUUUUGGGUAAUCGUUGCGAAAUAUUCACUGAUCACCAAAGUCUGAAAUAUAUCUUCACCCAGCCGGAUUUGAAUCUCAGGCAAAGACGGUGGGUUGAGUUGAUCUCGGAUUACGACUUAGGGAUAACUUACACCCCGGGGAAGGCCAAUGUUAUGGCCGAUGCACUAAGUCGUAAAUCUUAUUGUAACAAUCUGAUGCUACAACAAGGACAACCACUUCUCCAUGAGGACUUUCGGAAGUUGAAUCUUCAUAUUGUUCCUCAAGGAUUCCUUUCUACCCUGGUGGCGAAGCCUACUCUUAAGGAUCAAAUUAUAGCUGGCCAAAAGCGUGACAAGGGUAUAUCACGGAUCAAGGAGAAUAUUUUUAGCGGAAACGCUAAAGAAUUUUCCAUGAAUGAUCAAGGUGUGGUAUUCUUCCAGAAUCGUUUAGUGGUUCCUAAGAACCCACAUCUAAGGCAGUUAAUCCUUAAGGAGGCACAUGAUUCCCCUCUCACCAUUCAUCCUGGUAGUACUAAGAUGUAUCAGGACCUACGCCAGAGGUUCUGGUGGACUAGGAAGAAGAGAGAAAUUGCUGAGUUCGUUGCUAACUGCGAUGUUUGUCGUCGAGUUAAGGCAGAACAUCAAAGGCCUGUGGGCACCCUUCAACCUUUAGCUAUUCCUGAAUGGAAAUGGGAUAAAGUUAGCAUGGAUUUCAUUACCGGAUUUCCCAAGACCAAGAAAGGAAAUAAUGCUAUCUUUGUGGUCAUUGACCGUUUUUCCAAAGUGGCUCAUUUUCUUCCUAUUCGUGAGAGUAUAACAGCUAGCCAGCUAGCAGAGUUAUAUAUCUCUCGAAUAGUGUCUCUUCAUGGUGUUCCCCUGGAAAUUAACUCGGACCGUGGAAGUAUCUUUACUUCUCGUUUCUGGGAAAGUUUUCAGAAUGCCAUGGGGACUCACUUAUCUUUUAGCACUGCUUUCCAACCCCAAUCAAGUGAUCAAGUAGAAAGAGUGAACCAAAUCCUAGAAGAUAUGCUCCGAGCUUGUGUUAUUUCGUUCGGUAUGAAUUGGGAGAAGUGCUUUCCAUUCGCCGAAUUCGCUUAUAACAACAGUUAUCAAUCAAGCUUGGGCAAAGCCCCUUUUGAAGUUCUCUAUGGACGAAGAUGUCGAACACCUCUUAAUUGGUCAGAAACCGGAGAGAGGCAACUCUUUGGUCCGGACAUGAUCCAGGAUGCAGAAGAGCAGGUUCGCAUUAUUCGUGAAAAGUUGAAAACAGCCCAAUCUCGUCAAAAGAGCCAAUAUGAUCGUCAUCAUAAGGCUGUGACCUUUGAAGUUGACGAGAAGGCUUACCUUCGGGUUACACCUUUGAAGGGUACCCAUCGUUUCGGUAUCAAGGGCAAGUUGGCUCCUCGUUACAUUGGUCCUUUUCGCAUUCUUGCCAAACGAGGAGAAGUUGCCUACCAGUUGGAACUUCCUCCGCAUCUUUCCAAGGUUCAUGAUGUUUUUUUACGUCUCGCAACUCAGGCGUUGCUUUUCGGAUCCUAUCCGUGAAGUGGACCACGAAACGCUUGAUCUCCAAGAUAACCUUUCUUACCGAGAAUAUCCCGUGCGUAUUCUUGAUCAAGCUGAGCGUACCACUCGACGUCGAAACCUCAAGUUUCUUAAAGUUCAAUGGUCAAAUCAUUCUGAAAAGGAGGCAACUUGGGAAAGAGAGGAUCGUCUCCGACUCGAAUAUCCUGCGUUAUUCCCGACGACUUCUAAAUCUCGAGACAAGAUUCUUUUGAGUGGGGGUGAGUUGUCACAUCCCUAACCCUUAAGCAAGAUAGCAUUGUGCUCAUGUAUUCUUUGCAUUUGCAUCUAAGAAGUUUCAACAAAAACAACAAAGUGGCAAAGGAGAAACUCAAAACCCUAGCCACCAUUUCAAUUAAAGGAAAUUUCAACUAGUUCAAAAUCAAUGAACACAAAAUGGCCUCAAGAAAUGUUCAAACUUUCUGAUAAAUCAUGAAAGUAAAUGAGCAUUGGAGAAAACUAUUUUCUUGACACUUUAAGCAUUUUAAAUAAAUGCAAAAGCCACUGGUUUCAAAUUUAAAAAUUUGAAAUCAGAAACUAUAAUUUUCCAAAAAUGUUGGAAGUCUUGGAAAUGAGUGGGGAUAUUAUAACAAAUAUUUCAGGAGGUCAAAAUUAGUUUUUACCUUUUGUUUUGGAGCUGAAAUAAUUAGCAAAGCAAUAAACAGCAAAACAGAAAAAACCAAAAAAAGAGAAAAUGGGAAAAGCUUACCUGACGCCCAAGUCAGGCCCAGCCCAUCUCGCCGCUCGUCCCCUUCCCCGCGCCAGUAGGCAGCAGGAGGUGGCCGCCGCCUCCUCCGGCGCGGCCACGCACCUGCGUGCCUGCCUGGCCGCCGGUUCGAGCUGGCGACGACGGGGAUAAGCUCCCCAGAGCCUCCCCUAUCCAUUCCCUGCCUCGGUUCUCCUCCUCCGCCCGGAUCCCCUCCUUCUCCCUGCUGUCGCCAUUAGAGCCGAGCUCGAGCUCGAGCUGGCCGUGCCCCUGGCCAUAGGAUCCCCUCCGCAAGCACGCCAUUAGCUCCGCCUCGUCGCCCUGGUCAUUCCUGCAGAAGUCGAAGCUUCCUCGCGCCCUGCAACGCCCGCAACGCCGUCGUCUUCUUCCUCCGGCCGCCGGACAUCUCCCGUCGAUUCGUAGCCCCCAGGCCUUCCCCGAGCCGUCUGAGCUCUUCUCUGCACUCCCUGUGAGCAUGCGGUGGUUUUCCCUAAGUUUUCCCCGUCGAUCCCCUCCUCUAGCCCUAGUUUCACCGGAGCCCGACGAGCACCGCCGCUUCCGCUCGUCGCCGGUAGCCCUCCGAUGUCCAGCUCGUCCUCCCGAGAGCACCAGCAGCUCCAGGACGACGCGUAGAUGCCGUAGCAGCUAAGAACUAAGCGCGGAUCCCCCUGUUUCAAAGCCCCCGACGACGCCCGAGCUUCGGCCGCCGCUCCGGCUCGUCGCCGACGCCUCUUCCGGCGACCCUAGCCUCCCAAGUUGGUCCUGCCAGAUCGGCCACUUCGCGGGCUUGCUGUAGCUGCCAACCGCGUGCGUUUUCGUGCUGUGCAGCGCCGUCUAGAUCGCCUCCGGCGAGCCCUCCGCCGCGGGUUUGGUCGCCGGCGACCACCCUCCGGUGGCCGUCGACGUGGCCGACCAUUAGGGCCUAAUCGCCCUCCCCUGAGUCGCUGCCAGAGGGCCCCACGCCUGGUCCAACCCCAAUUAGGGGCUGGUCAGCGCGGGAUUAGUCCCAUAGAGGCUGACCAGUGGGGCCCCCCUGUCAGGUUUGACCUGCACAGGUCGGCUGACCUACUGACGUCAGCCUUAUGCAAUAAAUAAAAUUUCCAGUAUAAAAAUAAUUCAGGAAAUUGCUAAAAAUUGCAAAAUUCAUAGAAAUUAAUCUGUAACUCCAAUGAAAAUAAUUUAUAUAUGAAAAAGUAUCAGAAAAAUUCAAGGAUUCUGAUUAUGCUAUUUUCAACUAUGUUUGAAAAAGUUACAGAACCCUAAAUUGUGAAAUAAGGAAUAAUUCAAUUCUUUUAAUCACUUUAUAAAUGGAAUUUGCAAAAUAUCCAAAUUUCAUUAUAAAUACAAUGAUCACACACUGCCCUAGAUGUAAAUCAGUACCAUAACAUGACAUUUCAUGCAUGUUAACAUUAGGUUGAUCUGAGCAUCAGGUCGAAUCAAUUAAACCGGUAUCCGGGAAUACCCGUUUGAAUUGCUUCUCGAAUGUGAUUCAAAUCAACUCUAAACCUAAAACAUCUUGAUUAUAAUAACUUAUCACCUGCAUUCUCAUGCCUUGCUCAUGCAUCAUUUUGAUUGCAUAUGAUUGUUAUUGAAUGUUGCCAUUCCUUUCGGUAGGCUCCGCACCCCCGGAUUCCACCGAAUAUCCGUCUGACGGAUAUCGUUCCUCCUCUGAGCAACAAGGCAAGCAACCCUUUUGAUCAUCCCGAUAACACCUAUGUUCUUGCUCCUGCACCUAUUUAUUGCAUUAGGAUCAAAUGCUUCAAUUGCUUUUGCCACGAUAGUUGGACCCACUUCCUUUGCAUGUCUUAACCUUGUCACAGUAAAUAGCCGAACCUUGCAACCUAGCAUACCUGGUAGUUGCUUGAGCUAUAAUGUGCCUUAUCCUGCCAUGCAUGCUAUGCUUAGAGUUGUGUAUGGUCUGUCAUCUGGGAGAUGAACAGAAAUGUGGAAUGUGUUCGGUGAGCAAAGGUCGUGUGUUGAACUUGAUUUGGUAAAGGUACCGGUGAAAGGCUGUGUAGGAGUACAUGGCGGGUUGUUUCAUUGGAACCGUCCUUAGGAACUGAGUUCCGUGUAUGUAAUCCAAGACUGGAUACUACCACAUGCUGGGCCCUGAAAUAUGACCCCGCUCGGCCUAUUAAUCGCUUAGUACUCGGUCCAGGAGUUGCAAGUAGUUUCUGGUGUUUAUAGUAAUGCUGGAGGCCGUGCAUGGUGCUGACCUGAGAGGUGGACCGUGAUGCGGUAGGCAGUGGCACCCGGAUGGUGGGCUUGGGAACCCUGCGCACAUCGUUUGAGGCCGUGGCGGAAACCUCGGCCGGACUUCCGUACGGGUUACUCUCAGAUAGGCGAUAAACCUGGACUAGGUACUAGUGUGGUUAACGGUCGUGGCCGACUCCCUCGCUGGGCUUCCGCUUGAAGGUUGCCGAGGUGCAUGACGUGCACAUGGCGAUAAGUGGCGGAAGCGUGUGUGACGAAGUACACCCCUGCAGGGUUAUGAUCUAUUCGAAUAGCCGCGUCCGCGGAUAUGGACUACUUGGAGACAUAUGUUGUUCAUAGAUAACUUCAAUGGCUACUCACAAAAUUGUCAAGAUAAGCUUGAGUGUCGUGGACGGCAUUUCCAUAUGGAGACGGAAUGAUUCCACGAUAGUGUAUUGUUGUGGUGUUAGUGGACUCGUGUGCGAGAAAUCAAGUUGUCAAAACUAAUUUCAAAAAGCAAGUUGUCUAGCCACGAGUCAAAUGCUGGCUUUCCGCAUGAAAUCCCACAAUACCUUCUUGAUACCUUGCAUGAGUAGUUAGUCAUCCUAAAGUCUUGCUGAGUACCUUCGUACUCAUGUUUGCUUAAUAAAUGUUGCAGAGAUUGUUAAUGACCCUAAUGGAGGGUUCUUCGUAGACAUCGACGACGACGAGUAGCUGGUGUCCCAGCUACGAUCUGGCCCUACGUCGGCUCUGUAGUAUAGUCAGGCCAUGUGCCUUCUAGUUGCUCUGUCUGUACCCAGACAGUUUAUAACUCUUCCUCUGGCUUGUAUUGUAUGACUGCUAUUCUGGGUCGUGAGACCCUUAAUGUGUAAUAAUAUGUGUGUGGCUCUUCCGAGCCUCUUAAAUAAAGCUUGUAUGUUUAUGGUUAUGUUGUGAUGCCAUCGAUGUAUCUAUACAUAUCGGUAUGCCAUGCGUACGUGUGUCUUACUUGAUAUGUAUGGGGUUCGAAUACCUAGUCGUGAACUUUAGUAGCACUCCUUACAAGGAAAUGCCCCUUUGUGAUCCAACGAGCCUUGGUAGUUCGCUACUGCUCCGGACACAUUGGUUGACCGGCAUGUGUCCUUCUUAGCUGCUGUGUCUGUCCCCUUUGGGGAAAUGUCACGCGACGUAAUGGAGUCCUUGUAGCUUGCUACGACUCAUCUACGUUCGUUGAUGACCGACACCGGCUUUGUUGGGUCAUGUAUGCUUGUCCUUGUGCGGAACUGCCACUUUGGUUUAUGACUAGACAUGUCGAUCCGGGUUCUUUGACAUUCGAAUGGUAGCGACACUAUCGCAUACGUGAGUCAAAAUACGCAAACGGUCCAGGCUAAGGUAAGGCUGCAGCCGUGGAGUUAACCGUGUGUGAGACCACAAAGGGAUGCGAUGUGUUACAGGCUGGAUUCCUAUGGCUUAAGAUCGGGGUCCCGACAAAACGGGGCUCCGAUCCGUCGACGUUUGACUCCGGUAGGAGGAGAUGAAGUUGGCUCUCUUCUAUGUUGAGGAGGUUAACAGAGACUCUCUGUUGUGUUCUCUGUUGUGUGUUAACAGAGAGAGAUGAGAGUGUGGGAGUUAAAUACAAUAAAAACAAAUGAUGUAUUCCAUAUAUAUGAAUGUAUGUAUGUAUGAGAUGCGAUGUAUGUAUUGCGUAUAUAGGUAUUUGGAGGAAUACGAUAUUUGCAUGUUUAUAUCUAUGAAUAAAAUCGAGUAUUUGGCCUAAGGUCACUUACCGGUGGGGCCAACGCACCCGCUGUCUAUGACAGGGAGGCCCCACGCGAUAAUUAAAAAAAUAAAGAUAAUGUUAAUGUUUUUAUUAAAUAAAUAAAUAGAUAUAUAUUAGUUAAAUUAAUUAAUUGGAUCUUUAGGAUAAUUGGAGUAUGACACGUGGGUCACCCACUAAAUUAAUCUGAUUAAUUAAUAUUUAAUCUAUAUUAAAACUUGUGGCUGUGACGUUCGGGACCCGUUGGUCAGUUGACCAGUCAACUGUUGAUGUCAGCAUGCCAUCAUGCUGAUGUCAUAAUAGAUUUUUAUUAAAUUAUUCAAAUUUGUUUUUAAUUCCUAAUUAUUGAAUAAAACAUUAAAAAUUAAUAUUAAAUAAUCCGUAAGUCAGAUCAAAAUAUUUUCAACAUGAAAGUUGAUGAGCAGAACGAGACGAACCCGGAUACACGGUCCAUUCAUCUGUGACGCGUCCCUAGCAUAGCAAACAUGGAACUUUUCUAUCGUUUCCAAUCUGACCGGUAGUAGCCCGAGACCUGGAAAAUAUCGUCAGAUAAUCUUCUGACCCGUCUAUGACGGAUGUUGCUGCAUUAGCUCAUGUCUAGCCUGCAUCUUGCCAUGUCAUGCUUUGUGUUGCACCGUUGCUAUUAUUUAUUGUUUCUUCCCCCUCUUCUUAUGGGUAGACCCCGAGACUGACGCUGCUGCUGGGAACAUCUACGACCCUGCCGAUCAGUCCUUUGCCGCAGAGCAGCAAGGCAAGCAAACCCCCCUUGAUCAUUCCUAUAUCGCUUAUGUCUUUCUUCCUACUGCUUGCAUUAGUAUUUUGCUACUGUUGUAGUUAGCUCCUAUAUCUGAUGCAUAGCCUAUUUUUUAUGAACUGCUACUUUCAGUCCUGUACCUUUAAUAUGCCUAGUAUAGGUGGAGCAGUCAUCCCCUAUUACCCCGUAGUUCAGUUGCCCCGCUUGUUUUCAAAUCUCGAUCUCUAAUCGACGAGCCAGACCCGACACAGCACAUUCACCCCCUUCGUUGUACGACGCUACACAGAUACUAUCGGGUACCGAGGGUGACACCUCGCUAAGUACUCGUGAUGAUAUCUCUGUAGUAUAGCUAGUCGGUCGUGGUUAUCGAGGGUGAUUCCUCUUUCACCAUUCCCGAUGAAGCCUCUGUCGUGCAACCCCUCAAGUGUGGGACCCUCGAGGGUGAUUCCUCUAAGUCCACCUUUAAAUUCCCGGGUACAUCGUUCGGAGUCCAACGAGGGUGAUACCUCGGAUUCCCCCUGAUGUUACAGCCACACAGUUACUCGACCAUGUUACUGGGAUCAUUGGUGAUUAGUUGUAAGACGGGUGGAUUCCCGUGAGACUAUGUUGGCCUAUUUAAAAUGUUAAUGGAUUUGGGUAUUUGAUCUGGGUUGGUCGGAGACCUUUUCGCACUAACCGGCUACGCGGGAAGAAUUAUGGGUACUCGGCGUCGCGGUAUCAGCCGAAGCUUUUCAGAUGCCAGCAAUGUAGCGGCGCACGCCCGAGUGGUCCCGAGAUGCAUCGCUCUUGUGAUUAAGGGAUGCUAAGACUGACGUCGGCCGCCCACGCCACGUGCAGGAGCGCGAAGGGGAACUGGGCCCACGAACCCUUUGUGCUUAGGAGUUAGACCGGCGGGCUGGCCUCUCUGAUUAGUCUUAGGUGGGGCUGCGACGUGUCUAUAUUCCGAGGCCGGGCAGGACCCAGAAAAGUAUGUCCGGCCAGAGUGUUAUCGGGCAUGACGGGACAUGUGGUGCACCCCUGCAGGGAUGAAAGUUAACUAUUCGGAUAGCCGUGUCCACGGUUAUAGGACGACUUGGAGUCGUGCCCCGAUCUUUGACAACUACAAUUGUUACAUAACAAGAUCAUUAGUUUGCCUCGUGAUUGCUUCCUCGCAGCGAGUCCAGGGAGGAUCUUUAGGCGUGACCUCACUUCAAUAUUGCUGCAACAAUAUGACUAUUAAUGUGUUACCCCUGUUCUACUCUCGUGUAUUGCUGCAAGACCCUGAAGAUGCUAGUCUUCGAUAGGACUAGGCCUUCUCUCUCUAUUCUCGCAUUGCUGCAGUCAGUCCACAUAUAACCCCCCCUUCUUUGAUACUGAUGCAUAAUUAGAAUAGUUAUGAUGUAAGACUUGCGAGUACUUUGGAUGAGUACUCACCGCUGCUUUGCUCUCCCCUUGUCCCCUUGAUCCGUUUGCUGCGACCAGAUGAUGGAGCCCAGGAGAUGGAGUUUUUCCUGCCGACGCCUGUCGUCCCGAUGGUGUCUUCUACGUGGAGGCCGCUCAAGAUAGGAGUAGUUUAGGAGGUUCCCAGGCAGGAGGCCUCGCCUCGUUCGAUCGUGUUUCUUUUGUGCUAGCCUUCUCUAAGGCACCCCUUGUUUUAUAUCUGUACUCAGAUAUUGUUGCUUCCGCUGACUCGUGUGUUUAUCGAGCUUUCGUAUUCUAGCCCUCGAGGCCCCUGGCUUGUAAUAUGAAUCUGAUGUUAUUUUAUUUGUGUCUAGAGUUGUGUUGUGAUAUCUUCCCGUGAGUCCUUGGGUUUGAUCGUACGCAUUUGCGUGUAUGGUUAGCGUACGAUUAAAUUGAGGGCGUCACAAGUUGGUAUCAGAGCCGACUGCCUCUAGGUAGUCCCCUUUCCAACUCCUUGGCCGAAGUUGAGUCUAGUGUUUGAAAAACUUUACUAACACUUAUGUUGUGGCUUACGGGCCCACAUCUCAAUUGGGUGGUAUUAGUAUCUUUUACUCCUUUCCUAUACUCUGGGAUCUACUCUCUCUUCUCUUUCGGGAUAAAGAUUUUGCUAACUCUAACAUUAGGUUCUCGUAAAUACUUCCUCCCGAAGAGCCCCGUAUUCCAGACGCUGGCUUUAUCCCUCAGAAGAACUGCAGUUACUCUUCGAUGUUCUCUUGAGCUGUUGUGCUCAUUGUUUCUGCAAUUUUCCCUUCCUUCGUCAACCACUAUGGAUGACUACAUGCAAAUGUCGUUCAUACUUUCUUCUCCAAUUGCUCUUGUUUACGAGAUGCAAUGAAUUAUUUUAUCGGGGAUUCGUCCAUCAUCAGUUGUCAUGGGUUUAGAAAGUUCUUCGACUUACUAUUCGGUCUUCGGAAAUCCUCCGUAGCCUAACGUUCAUGACCUUUCUCACCUGCUUGCAUUAUAGUUAAAUCCACAUGUCUAGCAGCAUUCAUUAAAAUCCUUUGUGAUUUUCCUGUGAUCUUAUUGAUUCUACCUUUCUGUGAAUGCACACGAUCAUCUGUUGUGGCUCGUAAAUUAUCUAUCGGCUCAGACGUCCUUCCAGACCGAGUUGGUUCUCGACAAAUCAAUUUUUAUUGAUUGUCCAUCUAAAUCUAUUCAACUUACUUGUAUUUGAUCGGAGGAUCUGAUUAUGAUACACCAACCUAGAAAUCAUAAUUCCUUUGGUGAUUAAGUAUCGAUAUUUUUCAGAUGUUCUAUAAUCCGAUGCCUUGCGUUUUACCCCCUAUGAUUGAGUACCGGUACUCACAUCAAAUCAUUUGUGGAUUGCCACACUCAUUUGGGUUAUUAUCCGACGUCAUCCUUUGCUUUAGAAAAUUCUUGUGAUUGCUUCCCAUGACACAUGAUGCCAUUGGUAAAUUGUGUCUUCUCCCUUUGAUAAGUUGUACCAUAUGAUUUGUCAGCCAUGCCCUUCAAGCAUGUGUUAAUUACUCAUGGAGUUUGUGGUAUAUGUUCCUAAGAUGCCCCGAUGUGUUGAACCUAUGCCUUCCUAAAUCAAUAUGACCCGAAGAGUUUUCUCGAGUCUUACUCUUCUGGUGUUAUGCCGGUUAUUCUUUCAAAGCUACAACUGAUCAAAGGCGAGGAAUAAAUGGCAGGUGAUGCAUUGAUGAAGUGGGAGUCGACCUUGAACUCUGUGUUCAUGACCAUGGAAACGACGUUGAUCCUACGAUAGAAACUUCUCGUAUCAAUAAUCAUUCAUUAUAUGAUUUGAUCUGGUAUCUGUGAUCUUGUACUUUACAACCGUGGUUCCGACCAUGUUGUCCUACCUUGAUUUCAUUCUUAGAUGAGUUAAAGUACUUGUCUUCUUCAGAUCAAUACAUCGGUCCAAGCCUUAAUGUUGAUCUACCUCCGAAUAUUAUUCCUUGUAGCUUGAGGAUAUCACGAAGCUAUAUAACUUCUUGUGAGCUCCUCAUCAACUAUGAUGUUUUCAUUAAUUCCAGUUUCCUCAUGUUUGAGUUGUUGGACAUGCGAGUACAUCGAUAACUAAAUCGAGUACGCAUUGCGAUUCAACCAUCUUUUAGUAAUCUUCCUUGUUUACGAGUUUAUACUCGAUCCUGUCAUUCCAAGCUGUUAAGCUACAUCAUCAUUGUCAUGUUGUAGCUCGACCAUGCUAUCUAUACCCUUCAUCCCUGGAACACAAUUCCAACCGUGCGUUAAGCUUCCAUCGAGCUUUCCACAUCAUGUUGGUUGUCUUGAAAGGCAAUCUCAAUUCUAAGCUAGCAGUCUUAUCUGUGUUUCCGACAACCUCUUGCUUCAUCAUUCCCUUGCUUGAUGUCGUCGCUAAACGAUUACAUCUUCAUGACAUUUCUCGACAAAUGUGUCGUGAUCAUCAUCAGCAUUCUGAGCUCUUGCAGGGUAUCAAUCAAAUGCAUGUUUACAAAUACCAUCCUUGUCCCUCGAUGAUUGUAUUAUCAUCGGCAUCAUUAUUUACCUUCCCUCCAACACAAAUGUGUUCAUGUUUUGUGUUGUCCCUUAAGUCCCUUGCUAGUUCAGCUUAUGUUAUCUUCUACCUUGGAGUAUUACUAUCUUUUUUAUCAAGAAUGUUGUGAGCAUCAUUACACCUCUUAAGAAUUCUUGAUAUAGUGAUGCUUCUCGGCAACGCCAGUCAUUUCUUGGUCCCGUGUUGUUUCAAACCGGAAUACCAACAAGUGAACUCUGAUGUGUGAUUCCAAUACUUCUGGCAACCCUGUUGCCUUGAGGUUAACAACUGAUUGUUUCAUUCUUAGUGUGUUGGGUGUUGACUAAUAAUUUUAGCAUUUGUCGUGCUACUCACUCAGUAAUUCCGAGUGCACCCUUUUACCAAUGUUUAAUUGUUGUUGUUCCCUCGAGCAUACGACAUUAUACCAUUUGAUUUGACAAAUGCUAUCUCUUUGAUAUUAUAAUUUUGGCUGUCAAAAUUUUGACGGAUUGUUGUUGAGCCCAUCAGCCACACCCUCAACUUCUCUAUGUUCCACGAUGAAGCUCUUGAAAUCAUUAUCCUUGUGCCUAGAUCAUGAAGAAUAUGUGGAUAGUAGAAGUGUAUUUCCCAAAGUUCACGUGCACUCUUUCCGCCGUGAAUAUGGAAAGUUUUGUUUCACUUCCUCUCGUGAAAUACCAAAUCAUUCACGCAUGUGCGAAGUGUUAUAUGUUUGGAAGAUUUGCUAUACUCACUCCAUAUAAUUUCUCUUAGCACGUCAAGCUACUGACUGAUUUGAUCAAGGAAAAGAAGUUCUUUCAUAAGAGCUAAUCCAAACUUACACAUGGAGCCUUGUUAUCCUCGAUGAUGGUGCCCAAAUGAGAACCCAGUUGCAUUUUGAUGUACGAAUUCUAUGUGGGCACGAAUGUCUUGACAUUGUGUUCAUAUGUAUUAAAUCAAACUCUUGAUUCAAGAAUUGCUUGUGUAGCUCACCUCAUGAGAAUCUUGCAUUUUCAUCCUUCUUCUUAGGUAUCUUGAGCCUGAGGUGUCCUGGCACCAAUCAGAUUUGAAUAUCGGGCACGUAUCCCAAUAAUUAUAACUUUGGUCUUUAGGAACACCGGUACAGUGAUGUCUUGUCUGGCACACUGGGUCGGAGGACCUAUUGUUAUAAAUCCUUCCAUAUGUAAGGUUCGCCAUUCUACCAUGGGGAAAUUGUAUGACUUAGCUUUGUAAGUUGUCCCUCCUAGUUCCUCUUUGUAUACCCAUAAGUCCAACAUUUAUCUGAUGACCAUGUCGAUGCUACCCCAAAGCACGGAUGUGGUACUUUAAAUUCCAACAGGAACAUUGGAAGCGCGAUGCUAAAUUGUUCCUGAUCAAUUAUCCAAACUACAUGGUAUGGAUAAACAUGAUGAUUCUUCUUGUCUCUUUACCAAGAUGGUUAUGUACUGGAUGACCUAUCAUGUAUACCAUACUCUAUGAUUUCCUCGGGAAUGGUAUACUCUAAUACUUGUGUGUGUGAACACAUUUUCCCUUCCCAUUGGUCUGUUUGAUUUUUAUUGUGGCAUAACUUAUCUAAGCAGUGUUAAUUCCCUGCUUAGGUAAAAUUCUCGGUAUAUAACUCUGUCAGUAAGACCCUGUUACUAUUAUGGAUAACAUCCCGGUAGCCGCCGGUGAACGAGAACCUUGCCUAUUGGUCCGCCUCGUUUCAACGAGCAGGAAAAUGGUUCUAUUCGUCCCCCGCCCUUUGUACCGACGUUGUUCCAACAUAACUGACAUGCUAUCCUCUGACAUGUCUUGAUACCAAGACCAUGUAAUAUGUCACCCCUCUGUCUACUCUCGGCCCACAUGGUGGACCCAUAACCCAAAGUUCCUCAGGAUUGAAACCAGACUCUCUUGUACAUCUUUGACUCCAAAGUAUCCUUUACACUUGGCUUCGUAUGAAAUUCUCGAGCCACCGUUCAAUGUACCAAUCACUCUUCGGUCCGGAUAUUAUCCAACAUACUAAAGAUCAAGUCCACAUUUUUCAUGACAAUCUGAAGGUUGCUCAGUCUCGUCAGAUGAGUCGGUAUGACCGUCAUCAUCAAGAUAUGGUAUAUCAACCUGGCAUAAAGGCUGAUCUUCACGUCACACCAAUGAGAGGUGCACAUUGUUUUAAGAUCAAGAGCAAGUUAGCUUCUCGCUAUAUUGGUCCUUUCAUUUUUUUCGAAAGGCGAGGAAAAGUGGCUUAUCAAUUUGGAACUGCCGGCGAACCUUUCUCAGGUUCACGAAGUCUUCCAUGCUUCUCAGCUCCGUCGCUGCUUCAAGAAUCCUAUCCGAGCAGUGGAUCAUGGUAUGCUUGAGCUGCAACAAGACCUCUAUUAUAAAGAGCAUCCGGUCCGCAUUCUCGACCAAGCUGAACGUAAAACUCGUCGCAAAGUCACCAAGUUCCUUAAGGUGUCGUGGUCAAAUCAUUCUGAAGAUGAAGCCACUUGGGAACGCAGGAUCAUCUUCGUGAUGAAUACCAGGGGCUCUUUCCUUCUACCUCUUAAUUCUCGGAACGAGAAUUCUUGUUAGUAGGGAAGAGUUGUGACAUCCCCGGAUUAGGCUACAGUGAUCCCGGUAAUUGAACUACAGUACACCUAUGCAAAGGAUGCCAUGUCACCGUGUUUCCUAUCAUUGAUCUCGCGAUUGUUUGAGUCAGUCCGAAUUUAAGACUUAAGUUUAAAAUCAAACGAGAAAAGUUANNNNNNNNNNNNNNNNNNNNNNNNNNNNNNNNNNNNNNNNNNNNNNNNNNNNNNNNNNNNNNNNNNNNNNNNNNNNNNNNNNNNNNNNNNNNNNNNNNNNAUAUCUUUUAUAACUAUUUGUUUCAUUUCGUGUUUACGAUUAUGCCCAUCAAGUUGAUAUAUAUAUUUUUAUCUAGGAGGUAUGUGAACCAGAAAUUGCAAUCGACCCUCUUAUCGAGAAGUUAAAUUUAGUUGAAAAAGAAAAUGGUUAUUUGAAAGAAAAAUUGAAAAGAAUUGAAGAAGAGAAAAUGAAAUUGGAGUUGUAUGUUGCCCAUGUCGUUGAUGAUCAUAAGAUCAAGAUGGAUGCAAUGCGCUUGACGGUUAGAAAGAUUAGAAAAUAUGAUAUUAAUAAAGAGGCUUGUUAUCAUUAUGUUGUUGGAUCAAUUAUUACCUUAGCUGCGAUUUUGAUUGAAUAUGUUGUUGCAUUUAAAUUCUUUAGAUAGUUGUAUGUUGUUUUAUGAGAAGUAUAUAUAUAUAUUUUUGCAGUAAUAACAUUUGGUCACUACUCUACUUUAGUUUUAGUGUGGUGAAAUUGUAUUAAUUUGGUCACUUCAAUGGUGUGUAGUGAAGAUGAGCCGGCAAUGUAUGUACAAUGAUCGACGCUCUCCCGAGUUCAUUAAUGGCCUGCACAAUUUUAUGCGUGUGGCUGAGGCGAACAAGCAGAAUGGUUUUAUGUGUUUUCCAUGUGGUGUCUGUAAGAAUAAUAAGAUUUAUUGUACCUCAAAGAUCCUUCACAACCAACUGCUUCAGUCCGGUUUCACGUCCGACUAUAAUUGUUGGGCCAAGCACGGAGAAAGAGGGGUUAUGAUGGAAGACAAUGAAGAAUAAGAAGAUGAUGACAACUAUCCUAUGUUUCCUGAAUACGGUGAUACUUAAAAGGGGGAAGAUGAAGAUCAAGAGGCGCCAGUGUUGAUGCAUAGAGAAAAUGCGAAAGUAAAAGGAGAGGUUGAAGUUGGAGCGCAAGUUAUAGGAUAAAAAAAAAUUUGUACCCAAAUUGCGAAGAUGACAAGAAAAAGUUGGGUACCACACUGGAAUUGUUGUAAUGGAAGGCAAAAAAUGGUGUAUCUCACAAGGGAUUUGAAAAGUUGCCGAAUAUUACAAAUAAGAUGCUACGAAAAGAUAAAGAAUUGCCCACCAGUAUGUACAAAGCAAAGAAGGUUGUCUUCCCUCUAGGAUUAGAGGUGCAGAAGAUACAUGCAUGCCCUAAUGACUGCAUCCUAUACCGCAAUGAGGAGUAGGGGAAUUUGAAUGCAUGCCUGGUAUGUGAUGCAUUGCGGUAUAAGAACAACCACGAUGACUCUAAUGAUGUUGAGGGAGAGCGCCCUAGGAAGAGGGUUCCUGUGAAGGUGAUGUGGUAUGAUCCUAGAAUACCAUAGUUGAAACGUUUGUUCCAAAACAAAGAGCAUGCCAAGUUGUUGUGACGGCACAAAGAAGACCGUAAGAAAGAUGCGAUGUUUUGAGUACCUGUUGAUGGGUCGCUAUGGAGAAAAAUCGAGAGAGAAUUCCCGGAAUUUGCAGUUGACACAAGGAAUUUAUGGUUUUCUCUAAGUACAUAUGGCAUGAAUCCUUUUGGGGAGCAGAGCUGCAGUCAUAGCACGUGGCAUGUGACUCUCUGUAUCGACAACCUUCCUCCUUGGUUGUCCAUGAAGUGAAAGUUCAUUAUGAUGUCAGUCCUCAUCCAAGGCCCUAAGUAACUCGACAACAACAUUGAUGUGUACCUAAGGCCAUUAGUUGAAGAAGUUUUAAAGUUGUGGGAUAAAAAAGGUGUAUGUGUGUGGGAUGAGCACAAACCGGAGGAAUUUGACAUGCGAGUGCUGUUGUUUGUAACCAUCAAUUAUUCGCCCGCUCUUAAUAACCUUUCAGGACCAACAAGCAAGGGAUACAAUGCAUACAUAUACCGUUUAGAUGAGACUAAAAGUAUAUAUUUUGAUAAAUGUAAGAAGAAUGUGUACCCGGGACAUCGUCAGUUUCUUCCGACCAGACAUCUCUUAAGAAAGAAAGUCAAGCAUUUCAAAGUUGAGGAAGAUCACCGUAAGAAGCCUCGCCACCGUACUGGUGAUGAUAUAUUUGAUAUGACCAAGCAUUUAUAAGUAAUCUUUGGAAAGGGUCCUGGCGGACAAUCUGUUCUAAGUGACGCGAACGGACACACACCCAUGUGGAAGAAGAAAAUUAUAUUUUCGGAGCUACACUAUUGGAAAGUCCUAGAGGUCCGCAAUGCAAUCGAUGUGCUGCACGUGACAAAGAAUCUUUGCGUGAACCUGAUAGGCUUCUUUGUGUGUGUGUGUGUGAAUACAAAAGAUAGACCGUAGGCAUGGGAGGACCAUCAAAGUAUCAACGAAAAAGAUGGCAUGCAUCCAAAGUCGUAUCAAGGUCCUGCUAGGUAUGCUCUUGCUAAAGAAGAGAAGGAAAUCUUUUUUGAAUGCCUUAGCAGUAUGAAGGUCCCGUCUGGCUUCUCAUCGAACAUAAAGGGAAUAAUAAAUAUGGAAAAGAAAAAAAAAUCCAAAACCUAAAGUCUCAUGACCGCCACGUGAUUAUGAUGCAAGUACUUCCGGUUGCAUUGAGGGGGAUUCUAUCGGAAAAUGUUUGAGUACCCAUUGUGAAGCUAUGUGCAUUCCUCAAUGCAAUUUCUCACAAGGUAAUCGAUCCAGAAAUCCUGCCAAGGUUACAUAAUGAUUUUCUCCAAUGUCUUGUUAGUUUUGAGGUUGUGUUCCCACCAUCCUUCUUCAAUAUUAUGACACACGUCAGAGUUCACCUAGUCCAAGAGAUUACCAUUCUAGGUCCUGUAUUUCUACACAAUAUGUUCCUCUUUGAUAGGUUCAUGGGAGUCUUAAAGAAAUAUGUUCAUAAUCGUGGUAGGCCAGAAGGAAGCAUGUCCAAGAUGUAUGGAACAGAGGAGGUUAUUGAGUUUUGUGUUGACUUUAUUCCUAACCUUAAGCCGAUUGGUGUUCCUCCGUCUUGGCAUAUGGGGAGAUUGAGUGCAAAAGACAUGCUAGGAAAUCAAGCAGUAAUAUGUAUGGACGAGCAUUCUUUCACUCAAUCACACUACAUAGUUCUACAAAAUUCCACAUUGGUGGCUCCAUAUAUCGGGGAACACAUGGAUAUUAUACACUCCAAGAACCUGGAGCAGUCUAACUCCUGGAUUAAACGUACACACAUGGCGACUUUCGGUGAUUGGUUGCAAACACAACUCAUGAAUAAGACCAUCGUUGAAGAUGAGUUGUACUUGUUGGUUAAGUCACCAUCUUCGACUAUAUUGACUUACCAAGGGUAUGAGAUAAAUGGGAAUACAUUUUACAUGAUCACCCAAGAUAAAAAGAGCACCAACCAAAACAAUGGUCUACGCUUUGAUGAAACAUACAACGAUGGGAAAAGGAACACAUAUUAUGGUUACAUAGAGGAGAUACGGGAACUUGACUAUGGAAGUUCUUUUAAGGUCCCUUUGUUUUGGUGCAAAUGGGUCAAUCUGACAGGAGGUGGGCUAGAGGCAGACCAAUAGUACGGAAUGACAACAGUGAAUCUGAACAAUCUUGGGUACACAGUCGAACCAUUCGUCCUAGACAAUGAUGUGCUCGGAUUUUCUAUGUGAAUGACAUGUCAAUCAUACCGAGAAAAAGAAAAGAUAAGGAAAUGAGUACAUCAUACGAUGAGCCAAAGUGCCACAUAGUUCUUUCAUGGAAAAUAAACAUCAUGGGCGUGGAGGACAAGACACACAUGUCUGAAGCUUAUGACAAGUUUUAUGAAAUUCCUCCCUUCAAAGUGAACACUGACCCAAGCAUCCUUUUCCAUGAUGAAAAUUCUCCAUGGUUACGGCACAACAUAAGGAAGGGACAUACACGAAUAAAAAGUCUUAUAGCCAAGAUCCAACUCACGUAUGUGACAGGCUUCAUCGUCAUCACUUUCUCUCAAGUGAGUUUCUGGACUUAUAGCUGGAAAAUCCCACUCCAAACUUUGCUACCCCUUUGUGAUGCCAGAAUCUUUGUAAGAGCUAGGGCAUUUUGUUUUUGGAAUAUUUUGGUGAAUCAAAUUAAUUUGGAUUGAUAUGAAAUUUGAAAAGUCACCGUAUAUAUCAUUUGUGACCUGCUAGAACUUUCCUAGAAUUAUCUGAGGAUAUUUCUUAUAGAAAUAUUUCAAAUACUUGAAAUGAACAAAAAGGGUUUUGGAGGGAUUUGUCCAAUAUUUUGAAACAUACUCAUAAAACACCUAUUGAAAAUAUCCUACAAAUUUUGAAUCAACUCUUUUGGUUUAUUUUCAAAUUGUUAUGCAUUUUACAAUGGAUUUUGAGAUCAAGGGGAAUAAUAAAAGGGGUUAAAACAAGUUUUUUUACUAAAUCUCCAGAAGGUGUAUAUGGAAAUGAGGUUGAUCACCCAUAGUGGGAUUGUAUGACGAAAGUUGCCAAUGUAAACUUUAUAAACCCUAGAAAAGGGCAGAAAUAUAUUUUCCUAGAUCUGGUUUUGCAAACUUGUCCCCCCUAAUGCACCACUUGGUGUUGUGGCAUUAUUUGAGGAUUAGAGCAUAUGACCAAAAAGUUUGGGGUCAAUUGAGGAAACUUGACAAUGCAAAUUUUUCAAUUCUAGAAAUCAGCAGAAAUGGGUUUAGGGAAUUUGGACAAGUGGAUCUGUUCUCCUUGAUGCACCACUUGGUGUGGAUGCAUUAUUAGGUUAUUAGAACAUGUCCACAAUGUUUGAGAAUAAUUGGAGAAAGUUGUCAAUGUAAACUUGUCCAAGUUUGGACCUGGACAAAGAUGGUUUUGGAAUAUUUUGGUGACUCAAAUCAAUUUGGAUUGAGAUGAAACUUGGCAAGGUCACCAUAUAUAUAUCAUGUGUGACUUGCUAGAAUUUUACAAGAAUUAUUUGAUAAUAUUUAUUAUUAAAUAUUUUAAAUACUUGAAAUGACCACAAAUGGUUUCGGAGGGAUUUCUCCAAUAUUUUGAAAUGUACUGAUAAAAAACUAUUUAAAAUAUCCUACAAAUUUCCAAAUUGAACAUACUCAUAAAUCACACUAAUAUUAAACAACGAGGAAAUUAAUCAUUCAAAAAUCUAUUUUUGGACUAAAGUUAUUCACAAACUAGUGAUUCACACAAAUUUCAAAGAAUUCAAAUUUAAACAAUUCAAAUUUGAAAGCUACUACCAUUAACCGUGAGUUUAAAAUUUUCUGACCUAAAGACAAAAGAUUCACUAAAAAACUCUAAAUAUUCUAAAAGUUAUUAAAAAUCUAAAAGCAAAAACAAUUCUGUUUAAAAAGGAACCUUUACUCCCGGUUGGCGAUAUCAACCAUGACUAAAGGUCGACCUUUAGUCCCGCCUCCCGGUUGGGGAUACGAACCGGGAUUAAAGGGGCUUUAAUCCCAUAUGGUAAUACCAAGAGGGACUAAUGGUCCCGUCUAUAUAAGUGCAUGUUCUCCCGAUGCCAGUUACCACGCGGGAGAACACAACAACGCCGCCAGGCCGCCGAACCUCGACGCCGAACUGCUCGUCACCAUCGCCGCUCGUCGUCCGUGCUCCAUCGACGAAGGGUUCCCUAUGAUGUCGGUCGUUUCAUGCUAUCCAACGCCAUCCCUAAUCCACUCCUCCCCACGCGCUGGUGAGCUCCCCUCACCAUCCCGACCCCCUCUGCUCCCCACGCGUCCAUUCCCCAUCAUCGCCAUAUUCUUCGGCGAAGGACCCCCGUUCCCCCUCCACUCCUCCCUGUCCGGCGCAAGACCCCUGACCACCUGAUCCUAUGUAUUUAUUUUUGCCAAAAAUUGCAUGAGGAGUCUGGUUCUCUCCCAUGCUUUGUUCAAAUGGUGGUGGCAAUGUCAGUACCGAUAAUUUCUCUUCCUAAGGGUUUCUUCCUGAAUUGAUUGUCUAUUGGUGAAUGGAGACAUGUUUGAAGUGUUGAUCCUCUAAGAAUGUCAUUGUAGUUGUACACUACUCAAAGUUCUGUCCAUUUAGUGGCAGACUAAAAAUUGCAUUUUUUAUUUAUCCAUUGAUGUGGAAGAGCAUAGCUAAAAAAUUCUCAGGAGUGGAGUAGGGUUAUCAUAAAAUAGAAACCACUAUAUAACUUCUAUUACGGGAGGAGUCCCCGAUGAUCGCGGGAGAGGAAUCCCAUACGAUCGCCGGUGAGGAGUCCCCGGCGACCGCUAGUGGGGAGUACGACGAUCACCGAUGAGGAUCGAGUCCACGAUGACCGCCAAUGAGGAGUCCCCGAUGAUCACCAGUGAAGAGUCCUCGACGAUCGCCGGAGGAGUCCACGACGAUCGCUAGUGAGGAGUCCUCGACAAUUGCUGGUAAGGGUCAAGUCCCCGAUGGGCAGCUAGAGCAACCAGAUCCAGCAUUGGAUGAUAGUGCCGUCCCAUCUAUGCGGAAAAGUAGCAUGUGACACAAGGGGCUUCGGUCCGAUGAUGCACUGCUGGCUCUCUACCCCUGGAUGAUAUCAAAGAGAGGACAGAUUGUGAGCUACACCAAAAAAUGAAGAACAUAUCCACGAAGGUGUCGGUCGGCUUUGCUUUACCGAAUGCACCUGAAGCAACUAUCCAUUGCAAUCCGAUUCCAGCUAGCUAGGAUAAAGUCGGGGUGGGUGAAAUUCUGCCGAGAUAUGAGACACUACAGCUUGACAUUCCUAGAGGUGAAGUGAGUGAGACGUUGGGAGAACUCAUACAUUGUGUCAUUUUAUGGAGUAAGGAAUGCAUCAUGUUUCGAUACUCGGCACCAAGGAAACCGACUUCUCCGAGCAACAAUACACCUCGAAGUACACCCAACGUUGCGAUCCCUAGUGCGAGUCCAGGUCGAUCGCUGCCGCAUCAGCCGACUCCACCCCGUAUGUCCCAGAUGGGCCAAAAGCGGAAGACCACUCCUCCGUCGACAAUUAAUCCUAUUGAGAAGAGAUCUACAAAGAAGAAAGCUUAAUGCAAGCCUCCUACCAAAAAUAAGUUAGCGUAUGAUAUGACUGACGAGGAACUCAACGAGAUCGUGGUUUCUGAAGUAAAGUCCCAUUUUGCACCGAAACGGCUCCAGCCGCCAAAGGAGAUAAUACUUGAGAAAACCAUAGUCCACUUUGUGGAAUUUCAUCAGCGACCCCCCAUCACAUGUGGACAAUAGGCCAUCAGACUGUGACCGCUCUAUUAGGAUGUUAUAUGAAAAACAAAUGCAGUAGUCGAAACCUACAAAUAGUUAAAAAAGAGGGAAAACAGUUCCCCAGUUCGGAGAAAAUGCAAUGAAAUUGACCCCCCCUCGCUCAAGGUGACGACUGAUGCUACUAAAAACAUCGGUCUAAGUGUUAAUUAACUCCUAGGCACCGAGGAAGUCCCCGUAGAUGAAGUAGCAUGCGAUAUAUCGCCAAGCAAUCUCUGGUGAGACCUGAGCAGGUCCCGCAACUAUCAACGCAAAUGUGAAUAUUGCAUGGGUGGUACAUGAAAGAAGUUUCCCUCGGGCGAUUGUAGAUCAUGAUGAAAGUCAAGAAAGAGCAGUACUUCUAUGAAAACGAGCUAUACAUUGAGUUUGAUGUAUUAUUUCAGUUAUACAAUCAAGACGCACUCGACAAAUCUAUCGUGAGUUUCUAUUGUCUAUAAGUGAUUUCUUUCUGUAAUUUAAGUCUCGAACUCGGCUCGUUCAUUGACUGUAAUUAUCCUCACUAUAUUAUUUUGUACGCUAUUAUGCAGAAUGAAGAUUACCAAUGCAAAAGAAAGGGAAUCUAUGCCAUUGGGUACAUUGACCCAUACAUUCUUACUAAAAAAUUGAUAGAAGACCGCCCCGAAGACUCAGAGAUGAACUUGCUAAGGUUUUUAAAGGCAUAAAAUACCAAAAAAAUACUAUGGCCUUACAAGUUCAGGUGAGUGUUACUAUCUUGUACUACAAAUUCUGUUUUGCUUACUUGAUGUUAAGUGUAGUUGAUGAGUUAUGCAUACUUUCUUAUAUAAACGUGUGUCGGGUUCCACUGGAUGCUGCUAAUCAUUAGAGUUGAUGCUGGAAUGGUUGAAGUCCUAGACUCACUAGGUAAAAACACUCAAGAAUACACCAGCAUGGUUAAAAUGUACCAUAGGUAAUUUCAAUCAUUAUCGCACUAUAUCACCCUCUUUCGUUCAUUUCCUGAUAUCAAGUACUCCCUCCGCCCGGAAAUACUUGUCGGAGGAAUGAAUGUAUUUAGAUGUAUUUAUUUCUAGAUACAUCCAUUAUUAUUCACUUUUGUGACAAGUAAUUCCAGACGGAGGGAUUAAUUAAUAACUCUUUUAUUCAUUUAAUUUGCCGGGCAGGGUUUGGAAGCGAUUCAUUAGAGAGGUUGUUAGUGAAUGGAAACUGGAGCUCCGUUGGAAAAUGGUCAAGGUAAUUAAAUAAGAACUACUAGCUAGGUUCGUGCAUCUUUUUAAUUUUAUACCAAAUUGUAAAUAUAUAUGUAUGUAUGAGAAAUUAUAUUAUAUAUGCACCAACAUGUACAAUAUGUAGUAGCGUAAACUAUGUUUCAAAUGAAAAAGAAUUGAAUGAAAAACACAAAAUGAAAAGGAAAAUAAACUAUAAACCCUAAACCCUAAAACCCUAAACUCCAAACAAAAAACAAAAUCUUUAGUCUCGGUUUGUGACACCAACCGGGACUAAAUGUCCUCCAGCCCCCGGCGCACGCCCGUGGCCACGUGGAGGGACUUUAGUCCCGAGGUGUGGCCAACCGGGACUAAAGGUCGGACCCUUUAGCCCCAACCCUUUAGUCCCGGUUGGUGACCUAGGACUAAAGGUAGUUCCCAACUCGGACUGAAUCCCCGUGUUCUACUAGUGUUUGCAUCCACCCAUCUGCAGUACCUCGCAAAUCCGACAUUUUUUGCUCGCCUCAUAUUCUUCCACUCUCAGUCCGUCCAUCAAGGAAGGAUAUCGUCGUUGUUAACCAUCAAGGACGUCGUGAGUCCCUGUGUCCGUCGGAGCUUGUUCGCAUCCUCAUCCACGAAGGAGGUAUUUGCCCAUGUUCUCUUCGUCAACUCAUUUUUUCAUAUCUGCAGCAUGAACUUCUUUUGUAGGAUUUAGUCGAUGUUGUAAAUAUUGUAAAAAAUCGUUAAAUGUGAAGAUAGAUAAGUUGUGGAUGGUCUGGUUCAUUGUGCAUAAACCAUCUUUACGUUAACCACCACCUGAGGCAUGGCUAGAAGACUCGAUGACCAUUUAUAAUUUGAGACAAAAGCUUGUGGAUCAUGGUUUACUCUAUAAUGAUUUCAUUUACUAUUGAAGCUGGGUUUACCCAAGUGACAAGAUCAAGUGGAACUUCAGCAACAAGAAUAAGUUUAGCUCAGGUUACAAGAGGAUGUUGAAGUCAAGCAACGAGGUGGUGAUGAGGAACCCCAGGUGCAGGACCAGGUUCAGCUCAAGUGAGUGGCUGCCGAGCUUCAACUCGAGUUGGUGUUUGAGGUUAAACAUUGGUGGAAGGAUUAGUUUGACUGAACUCACAAACGAUAGCACAGUCGGGAAGAUGAUUGAAGAAUACAAACCAUUUCACAUGGUUGAAUUGCAUUGUUACAGUAGACCAGAUUGGUUUGCAGACCCUCCUCCAAUUACAAAAGCAGAUGUUGUUAACAACUCUUAACAUCAUGUUUGAAGUUGUUUCGUUAUGAUUUGCCACUGAUUGAGAACAUGUACCAUCUCUUGUGUGAAAACUCUAAAUUUGCCAUCGCGGUGGCAUACGGUUAUGAUUUGCUCUAUUCAUGUUCAUUUUAUCUUCAAUGUGUUUUUAAUUACACUACGGUAGCAUUGAAAUAACAGUACAUAGUGCAAUAAAUUUAGAGAAACCAACUUUAGAGCAACCCAGUUUAUUCCCUCUCUUCAAACUUAACAAAGCAUAUUGUUACAUGAAUCUGAAUCCAGUCUCACUCACUAGGUCUUUGCUGGCCUUUUUCCGAGCGCAACACUCUUUGACUUGCUUUUGAUACUUCACUUUGUGUUUACUCUUUUGCUUCUCCACCAACAUAUUCUUAUCUUUUCUCUCCACGUACCCGACACCGAACCAAUACUGCUCAUAUCGUUUCUUGUUUUCAAGCUAGCAUUUGCUUGGCCACCUAGCACCUUCCUGCAACGAGUUCAUAGGUGUUUUUCAAAAACUCGAGCAAGAAUUCGGAUUUGAGAGGAUAUGGACAGUUUGACUUACAAAGUAUGCCGCGGGCCCCUGGGUGUGUUUGGAGACAAAUCCCGACUAACCCGUUUCUCCUUUUGUUCGUACCUGGAAUAACUCUAUGAUGUAGCAGGCUAGAACACCGCAAUGAAAGUGUACUACAUGUGGCACAAAGGAAUCUAGUUCGUCGAGGGAUGGCAUAUCUGCUGGUAGGAAGGUGCCGCUGUGGGGUCCUACAAGUUCAUUCAAACUCCCUUUUUCUUUCAUGCAAAGAGUAUCCCAUGGUUACGAUGCAGAUAUGCAAAAACAAUGUCGGUGCGUGAGAGUUAAAGAUGGUCCGAGUGUCUGUAUUCAAAAGUCAAUACGUCUGAUAUUAUAGAUGGAUGGUCUCAACCUCACGGGCUCUCUUUAACAGUUUGGCGGCCUCGCUCACUAUGUGGGCUUUGGUGGGCUAGCCUUUGUCCUCAUUAUCCUUGUGUUUUCUUCACCCGGGGCGACAACCUAGCUCCUCCACAUUCUCCUUUCCCCAAAUCUUUCUCAUUGAUAUGCUACCACCGCUUGACCUUGGUUCUGAAGGAAGUUACGGCCGGUUGGCCGGCGUUACGCCUAUACACACACCCUAAGCUGGCCCUGACCCGUCGUACACAUCGUCAAGACUCCAUACGACAUGAAAUGUCUACCGGUGUUGUUGUUUCAGGGCAGAUUCAACCGUGGUAGGAAGUAAGUUACCGUAGUUGUCAAAGUUUUUCCCUUUUGUCCGGUGUACUAUCGAAUUAGUUGGGUAGGGCGUUGUCAAAGCUUGUUGUCUUUCAAGUUAUCUUAGAUCUAGUUCCCUUCUUAUUCCGCGGCUCCUGUGUGGAACACUUACAAUAGUUUGCCGUGUUCUUGCACAGAGUACAAACGUGAAUAGGUUUGGUGCUUCUUGUGCUAGCCAAUAUUUGGAUUUGGUCCCUCAUUUGUACCAUACAACAACAAAUGAUUCGCUCGAAGAUGGUAACACUACUACCUUUGAGAUAGUUGUUUUCAACUUUAUGUUACAAAUGAUUCAUCACCACUUGGUGAUAAUGGUAAUAAUCUUUGAUUUCCAGACGAUAGCGAUAAGGUUGCAAUUCCCGAGUAGUAUGGAAGUGCAUCAAGCAUAACUUCCACCUUUUAACACGGGAGUCGGGCACAUGAGGAAGCUACCGUGGCCUCAACUAAUGUUCAAUAGUCUAAAUCAAUCCAGCAACAACAGGUACUACCUUGUUGUAGGACAAGACUAGCACUGUUUGACUGUUGAUGCCGCUCUGGUAUGUACAUUUAUUUUUACAUCCUUUUAUCUGUGAUUUGAUCAGUCAUAGUUAAUGCAGGUGGUUCCAGCGUUGAACCAACUUCACAUAUAGAAGCACCAGGUGAAUGCACCCCAAUAUUGAACUUUCUGUCGAUCAUAAUGCACAUGGUAAUGACCAGAUCUAUGAUGGUCCCAGUACCGAUUACCCGGUAUCUGAACAAAUACACGAAACAAAUGUAGCAGAGGAUGUUGGUGGCUGCAUCGACAACCCGUUAUCCCACAAUCAAUUCGGGCCAUUGGAAUGCAAUGUAGCGGAGUAUGUUGACGUAGGAUAGGAUGUUGAUGUAGCUUUAUUAUUAGCGGCCAUGCCUAGAUAUGCAGUAACACAAGAUUCCACAAACGCAUCUGAAGGAUGUACUCAGAAGCAUCGUACGAUUUCAUCGCCCCUGUGACGCCCUCGAUUUAAUCGUACGCUAACCAUACACGCAAAUGCAUACGAUCAAACCCAAGGACUCACGGGAAGUAUCACAACACAACUCUAGACACAAAUAAAAUAACAUCAGCUUCAUAUUACAAGCCAGGGGCCUCGAGGGCUAGAAUACGAAAGCUCGAUAAACACACGAGUCAGCGGAAGCAACAAUAUCUGAGUACAGACAUAAAACAAGGGGUGCCUUAGAGAAGGCUAGCACAAAAGAAACACGAUCCAACGAGGCGAGGCCUCCUGCCUGGGAACCUCCUAAACUACUCAUAUCUUCAGCGGCCUCCAUGUAGAAGACACCAUCGGGACGGCAAGCGUCGGCAGGAAGAACUCCAUCUCCUGGGCUCCAUCAUCUGGUCGCAGCAAACGGAUCAAGGGGACAAGGGGAGAGCAAAGCAGCGGUGAGUACUCAUCCAAAGUACUCGCAAGUCUUACAUCAGAACUAUUCUAAUUAUGCAUCAGUAUAAAAGAAGGGGGGGUUAUAUGUGGACAGACUGCAGCAAUGCAAGAAUAGAGAGAGAAGGCCUAGUCCUAUUGAAGACUAGCAUCUUCAAGGUCUUGCAGCAAUAGACGAGAGUAGAACAGGGGUAACACAUUAAUAGUCAUAUUGUUGCAGCAAUAUUAAAGCGAGGUCAUGCCUAAAGAUCCUCCCUCGACUCCCUGCGAGGAAGUAAUCCCGAGGCAAACUAAUGAUCCAGUUAAGUAACAAUUGUAGUUGUAAAAGAUCGGGGCACAACUCCAAGUCGUCCUGUAACAGUGGACACGACUAUCCGAAUAGUUAAUUUUCAUCCCUGCAGGGGUGCACCACAUGUCCCGUCACGCUCGAUAACACUCUGGCCGGACAUACUUUUCUGGGUCCUGCCCGGCCUCGGAAUAUCGACACGUCGUAGUCCCACCUAAGACUAAUCAGAGAGGCCAGCCCGCCGGUCUAACUCCUAAGCACAAAGGGUUCGUGGGCACAGUUCCCCUUCGCGCUCCUGCACGUGGCGUGGGCGGCCGACAUCAGUCCUAGCAUCCCUUAAUCACAAGAGCGACGCAUCUCGGGACCACUCGGGCGCGCGCCGCUACAUUGCUGGCAUCUGAAAAGCUUCGGCUGAUACCGCGAUGCUGAGUACGCAUAAUUCUUCCCGCGUAGCCGGUUAGUGCAAAAAGGUCUCCGACCAACCCAGAUCAAAUACCCAAAUCCAUUAACAUUUUAAAUAGGCCAACAACACAGUCUCACGGGAAUCCACCCGUCUUACAACUAAUCACCAAUGAUCCCAGUAAAAUGGUCGAGUAACUGUAUGGCUGUAACAUCAGGGGGAAUCCGAGGUAUCACCCUCGUUGGACUCCGAACGAUGUACCCGUCAAGGUGGACUUAGAGGAAUCACCCUCGAGGGUCCCACACUUGAGGGGUUGCACGACAGAGGCGUCAUCGGGAAUGGUGAAAGAGGAAUCACCCUCGAUAACCAGGACCAACUAGCUAUACUACAGAGAUAUCAUCAGGAGUACUUAGCGAGGUGUCACCCUCGGUACUCGAUAGUAUGUGUGUAGCGUCGUACAACAAAGGGGGUGAAUGUGCUGUGUCGGGUCUAGCUCGUUGAUCAGGGAUCGAGAUUUGAAAACAAGCGGGGCAACUGAACUACGGGGUCAUAGGGGAUGACUGCUCCACCUAUACUAGGCAUAUUAAAGGUACAGGACUGAAAGUAGCAGUUCAUCAAAAACAUGCUAUGCAUCAGAUAUAGGAGCUAACUACAACAGUAGCAAAAUACUAAUGCAAUCAGUAGGAAGAAAGACAUAGGCGAUAUAGGAAUGAUCAAGGGGGUUUGCUUGCCUUGCUGCUCCGCGGCAAAGGACUGAUCGACAGGGUCGUAGAUGUACCCGGAAGCAGCGUCAGUCUCGGGGUCUACCGGUAAGAAGAGGGGGAAGAAACAAUAAAUAAUAGCAACGGUGCAACACAAAGCAUGACAUGGCAAGAUGCAGGAUAGACAUGAGCUAACGCAGCAACAUCCGUCAUAGACGGGUCGGAAGAAUAUCUGACGAUAUUUUCCGGGUCUCGUGCUACUACCGGUCAGAUUGGAAACGAUGGAAAAGUUCCAUGUUUGCUAUGCUAGGGACGCGCGACAAACGAAUGGACCGUGUAUUCGGGUUCGUCUCGUUCUGCUGACCAACUUUCAUGUUGAAAAUAUUUUGAUCUGACUUACAGAUUAUUUAAUAUUAAUUUUUAAUGUUUUAUUCAAUAAUUAGGAAUUAAAAACAAAUUUGAAUAAUUUAAUAAAAAGCUAUUAUGACAUCAGCAUGAUGGCAUGGUGACAUCAACAGUUGACUGGUCAACUGACCAGCGGGUCCCGAACGUCAUAGGCACAAGUUUUAAUAUAGAUUAAAUAUUAAUUACUCAGAUUAAUUUAGUGGGGGACCCACGUGUCAUACUAUAAUUAUCCUAAAUAUCCAAUUAAUUAAUUUAACUAAUAUAUAUCUAUUUAUUUAUUUAAUAAAAACAUUAACAUUAUCUUUAUUUUUUUAAUUAUCGCGUGGGGCCUCCCUGUCAUAGACAGCGGGUGCGUUGGCCCCACCGGUAAGUGACCUUAGGACAAAUACUCGAUUUUAUUCAUUGAUAUAAACAUGCAAAUAUCGUAUUCCUCCAAAUACCUAUAUACGCAAUACAUACAUCGCAUCUCAUACAUACAUACAUUCAUAUAUAGGAAUACAUCAUUUGUUUUUAUUUUAUUUAACUCCCACACUCUCAUCUCUCUCUGUUAACAGACAACAGAGAACACAACAAAGAGUCUGUGUUAACCUCCUAAACAUAGAAGAGAGCUAACUUCAUCUCCUCCUACCGGAGUCAAACGUCGACGGAUCGGAGCCCCGUUUGCCGGAACGGAACCGGGACGGUGAGGGGAACGCGAUGGUGGGAGGAGCCCGAGGAGGGGCUCACCAACGUUGAUGAGACGGCCCGGUGAAGCUGGAGUUCUAGUGAGGCGGAGGUGACGGCGGUGAUGGCGCGGUUCCGGUGGUAAAGGUGACGGUGAGGACGGUGGUGACGGCGGUGACGGUCGUCGGAGAGGGCCUCCCGGAUUCGUGGCCGGAGAGGAGAGCCCUCCGGUGAAGAAGGGGCCAGCCGGAUCCGGCGAGGGUUGCCCCGGCCUCAAGGGGAGGGAGGCCGGCCGGGUGGGAGGCAGGGGAGGCCCGGUGGGGGAGGGGGGCUUGCCGGCGGGGUGGAGAUGUWGGGGAGGGGCUCGACCGGCGGUUAAAGGGGCCGAGAUGGGGAGGCUCGCCGGCCGGUGAGGGAACCGGCGGUGGAGGGUGAUGCGUGGGGAGGGACUGGGAGGCCGACGGGGGGAGUGGAGCUCGCCGACCGGGGUGGGGGCCGAGGUGGAGAGGAGGGCCUCGGUGGGGGAGAACGAGAGGUGGGGAGGAGGGGUUACCGAGAGAGACAGGGGAUCGUGGGGUGUUGGUGGGGGGGUCUGGUGACCGAGUAGGUGGGGGGGCCUCGAGGGGUGAUGUUGGCGGGAUGGGAGGCGAGCGGGAGGGGGGCUGGCGGCGGCCACUAGGAAACGGGAGGAGUGGUUUGGUCGCUUAGGGUUUUCCCCNNNNNNNNNNNNNNNNNNNNNNNNNNNNNNNNNNNNNNNNNNNNNNNNNNNNNNNNNNNNNNNNNNNNNNNNNNNNNNNNNNNNNNNNNNNNNNNNNNNNGCUGGUUCCCUUCCCCACUUGGCCCAAUUUACCUCCCGGGGUCGUUGACCCCCCUUCGGUGGACCCCCGGGGCCACCUCCGGUGGUCCCGGUGGUCCCGGUACAUUACCGGUGAUGCCCGAAACACUUCCGGUAUCCGAAACCAUCCGUCCUAUAUAUCAAUCUUUACCUCCGAACCAUUCCGGAGCUCCUCGUGACGUCCGGGAUCUCAUCUGAGACUCCGAACAACUUUCGGUAACCUCGUAUAACAAUUCCCUAUAACCAUAGCGUCAUCGAACCUUAAGUGUGUAGACCCUACGGGUCCGGGAGACAGGCAGACAUGACCGAGACGCCUCUCCGGCCAAUAACCAUCAGCGGGGUCUGGAUACCCAUGGUGGCUCCCACUUGCUCGACGAUGAUCUCAUCGGAUGAUCCACGAUGUCAAGGAUUCAAUCAAUCCCGUAUACGAUUCCCUUUGUUUGUCGGUAUAGAACUUUGCCCGAGAUUCCAUCGUCGGUAUACCUAUACCUUGUUCAAUCUCGUUACCGGUAAGUCUCUUUACUCGUUCCGUAGCACGUCAUCGUGUGACUAACUCCUUAGUCACAUUGAGCUCAUGAUGAUGUUCUACCGAGUGGGCCCAGAGAUACCUCUCCGUCACACGGAGUGACAAAUCCCGAUCUCGAUUCGUACCAACCCAACAGACACUUUCGGAGGUACCCGUAGUGCACCUUUAUAGUCACCCAGUUACGUUGUGACGUUUGAUACACCCAAAGAACUCCUACGGUAUCCUGGAGUUGCACAAUCUCACGGUCGAAGGAAAAGAUACUUGACAUUAGAAAAGCUUUAGCAUACGAACAAUACGAUCUAGUGCUAUGCUUAGGAUUGGGUCUUGUCCAUCACAUCAUUCUCCUAAUGAUGUGAUCCCGUUAUCAAUGACAUCUAAUGCCCAUGAUCAGGAAACCAUGAUCAUCUAUUGACUAACGAGCUAGCCAACUAGAGGCUUGCUAGGGACACUUUGUGAUCUAUUUAUUCACACAUGUAUUACUGUUUCCUGUUAAUACAAUUAUAGCAUGAACAAUAGACGAUUAUCAUGAACAAGGAAAUAUGAUAAUAACCAUUUUAUUAUCGCCUCUAGGGCAUAUUUCCAACAGCGCGUGGCAAAGUUGUGUCUCAAAAACCCUAAAACCUCUAGUACAUAUAGGAGGAGGGGAGGGGCUAGCCUCGGGGCUCAAGGGAGCCCCUAGGCUGCCGGCCGAGAGAGGAGGAGGAGACCCCAACUCCAAUUCGGUUUGGGAAGGAGGAGCCCCCUCCUUCCUUCACACCUCCCUCUCCUUUUUUUUCUUUUCUCUUUGGUUUUUUUCCUUAGCCGACAUAGCCCACUUGGCCUGGCCUCACCAGCCCACUAAAGGCUGGUGCGCCACCCUUGGGCUAUUAGGCUCACUCCCGGGUGGGUGGGCCUCUCCCGGUAAAAACUCGGAACCCAUUCGUCACUUGUGUUACACUGCCGGUAAUGUCUGAAAUCCUUCCGAGACCAAAUGAAACAAUCCUAUAUAUCAAUCUUCGUUUCCGGACCAUUCCGUAAACCCUCAUGACGUCCGUGAUCUCAUCCGGGACUCCGAACAACCUUCGGUUACCAACACCUAUAACUCAACUAUACCGAAACGUCACCGAACCUUAAGUGUGCAGACCCUGCGGGUUCGAGAACUAUGCAGACAUGACCUGAGACACUCCCCGGUCAAUAUCCAACAGCGGGACCUGGAUGUCCAUAUUGGAUCCUACAUAUUCUACGAAGAUCUUAUCGGUUGAACCUCUGUGCCAAGGAUUCAUAUAAUCCCGUAUACCAUUCCCUUUGUCCUUCGGUAUGUUACUUGCCCGAGAUUUGAUCGUCGGUAUCUCUAUACCUAUUUCAAUCUCGUUACCGGCAAGUCUCUUUACUCAUUCCGUAAUAAAAGAUCUCGUGACUAACACAUUAGCCACAUUGCUUGCAAGGCUUAUAUGUGAUGUUGUAUUACCGAGUGGGCCCCGAGAUACCUCUCUGUCACACGGUGUGACAAAUCCCAGUAUUAAUCCAUGCUAACUCAACGGACACCUUCGGAGAUACCUGUAGAGCACCUUUAUAGUCACCCAGUAAAGUUGCCCUUUGGAGAUACCUGUAGAGCACCUUUACAUGAUCUCAUGGUCAUAGGAAUGAAUACUUGACACUCAGAAAACAAUAGCAACAAAAUGACACGAUCACAUGCUACGUUCAUAGUUUGGGUCUUGUCCAUCACAUGAUUUUCCUAAUGACGUGAUCGAGUCAUCAAGUGACGACACUUGCCUAUGGUCAGAAAACCUUAACCAUCCUUGAUCAACUGGCUAGUCAACUAGAGGCUUACUAGGGACAUUGUUUUGUCUAUAUAUCCACACAUGUAUCUAUGCUUUCAUUCAAUGCAAUUUUAGCAUGGAUAAUAAACGAUUAUAUUGAAACAGGAAACAUAAUAAUAACUAUUUUAUCAUUGCCUCUAGGGCAUAUUUCGUACAGUCUCGCACUUGCACUAGAGUCAAUAAUCUAGUCUCACAUCGCUAUGUGAUUUACAUUGGAAUGAAUCUAACACACAUACAGUUCUGGUGUUGAUCAUGCUUAGCUCGUGGAAGAGGUUUAGUUAGCGGAUCUGCAACAUUCAGAUCUGUAUGCACUUUGCAAAUAUUUACGUCCUCUCCUUUGACAUAGUAGCGGAUGAGGUUGAAGCGUCGUUUGAUGUGUCUGGUCUUCUUGUGAAACCGUGGUUCCUUUGCUAGAGCAAUGGCAACAAUGUUGUCACAGAACAGAGUUAUUGGAUUUAGUGCACUCGGCACAACUCCAAGAUCUGUCAUGAACUGCUUCAUCCAGACACCCUGCUUAGCUGCCUUCGAGGCAGCCAUGUACUCCGCUUCACAUGUAGAAUCUUCUACGACGCUUUGCUUGGAACUGCACAAGCUUACCGCACCCCCAUUGAGAAUAAACACGUAUCCGGUUUGAGAAUUAGAGUCAUCCGGAUCAGUGUUAAAGCUUGCAUCAACGUAACCCUUUACGACGAGCUCUUCGUCACCUCCAUAUACGAAAAACAUUUCCUUAGUCCUUUUCAGGUACUUCAGAAUAUUCUUCACCGCCGCCCAGUGUUCCACUCCUGGAUCACUUUGAAACCUGCGUGCCAUACUUAUGGCCAGGCCGAUGUCCGGUCUUGUGCACAACAUUGCAUACAUGAUACACCCUAUGGCUGAAGCACAGGGGAUGGUACUCAUCUUUUCUCUAUCUUCCGCAGUUCCUGGACACUGAGUCUUACUCAACUUUAUACCUUGUAACACUGGUAAGAACCCCUUCUUGGACUGCUCCAUUUUGAAAUUCUUAAAAACUUUAUCAAGGUAUAUGCUUUGUGAAAGUCCUAUUUGGCGCCUCGAUCUAUCCCUAUAGAUCUUAAUGCCUAAUAUGUAAGCAACUUCUCCUAGGUCUUUCAUUGAAAAACAUUUGUUCAAGUAAUGCUUUACGCUCUCUAAAAACUCCACAUUGUUUCCAAUCAGCAAUAUGUCAUCCACAUAUAAUAUUAGAAACACUAAAGAGCUCCCAAUCACUUUCUUGUAAAUACAAGAUUCUCCAACAACUUGUAUAAACCCAAAUGCCUUGAUCACCUCAUCAAAGCGCUUAUUCCAACUCCGAGAUGCUUGCACCAGUCCAUAAAUGGAUCGCUGGAGCUUGCAUACUUUGUUAGAAUUAUUUGGAUUGACAAAACCUUCAGGUUGCAUCAUAUACAACUCUUCCUUAAGAAAACUAUUAAGUAACGCCAUUUUGACAUCCAUCUGCCAGAUUUCAUAAUCGAAAAAUGCAGCUAUUGCUAACAUGAUUCGGACGGACUUAAUCAUCGCUACCGGUGAGAAUGUCUCAUCGUAGUCAACUCCUUGAACUUGUGAAAAAUUCUUUGCCACAAGUUGAGCCUUAUAAACAGUCACAUUAUCGUCCGGGUCCGUCUUCUUCUUAAAGAUCCAUUUGUUCUGAAUAUCCUUGCGACCUUCAGGUAAUACUUCUGAAGUCCACACUUUGUUUUCAUACAUAGAUCCUAUCUCGGACUUCAUGGCCUCUAACCAUUUGUUGGAAUCCGGACCCACCAUUGCUUCUUCAUAAUUCAGAGGCUCAAUGUUGUCUAACAACAUGAUAGAUAAGACAGGAUUCCCGUACCACUCGGGAUCAGUAUGUGAUCUUGUCGACCUCCGAGGUCCGACAGUAACUUGAUCCAAAGCUUCAUGAUCAUCAUCAUUAGCUUCCUCCUCAACAGGUGUUGCCUCGACAGAGAUUUCUCUCUGCCCUGCGCCAUCAUCUAGAGGGAGCAGAGGUUCCACAACCUCAUCAAGUUCUAUCUUCCUCCCACUCAAUUCUUUCGAGAGAAACUUCUUCUCAAGAAAAGCUACGUUCUUAGCAACAAACACUUUGCCCUCGGAUCUGAGAUAGAAGGUGUACCCAACUGUCUCUUUUGGGUAACCUAUGAAGACGCUUUUUUCCGCUUUGGGUUCCAGCUUUUCAGGCUGAAGCUUUUUGACAUAAGCAUCGCAUCCCCAAACUUUAAGAAAUGACAACUUUGGCCUCUUGCCAUGCCAUAGCUCAUAUGGUGUCCUCUUAACGGAUUUUGAUGGUGCCCUAUUUAAAGUGAAUGCAGCUGUCUCUAAUGCAUAACCCCAAAACGAUAAUGGCAAAUCGCUAAGAGACAUCAUAGAUCGCACCAUAUCUAACAAAGUACGAUUACGAUAUUCGGACACACCAUUAUGCUGUGGUGUUCCAGGCGGUGUCAACUGUGAAACGAUUCCACAUUGUCUUAAGUGAGCACCAAACUCGAAACUCAGAUAUUCACCCCCUCAGUCAGAUCGUAGGAACUUGAUCUUCUUGUUACGAUGAUUUUCAACUUCACUCUGAAAUUGCUUGAUAUUUUCAAAUAUUUCAGACUUGUUCUUCAUCAAGUAGAUAUAUCCAUACCUACUCAAAUCAUCAGUGAAGGUGAGAAAAUAACGAUAUCCGCUGCGCACCUCCACACUCAUUGGACCGCACACAUCAGUAUGUAUGAUCUCCAAUAAGUCACUUGCACGCUCCAUUGUUUCGGAGAACGGAGUCUUAGUCAUCUUGCCCAUGAGGCAUGGUUUGCAUGUGUCAAGUGAUUCUAAAUCAAGUGACUCCAAAAGCCCAUCAGCAUGGAGUAUCUUCAUGCACUUUACACCAAUAUGACCUAAGCGGUAGUGCCACAAGAAGGUGGUGCUAUCAUUGUUAACUCUACAUCUUUUGGUCUCAAUGUUAUGUAUAUGUGUGUCAUCACAAUCAAGAUUCAAUAUGAACAAACCCCUCACAUUGGGUGCAUGACCAUAAAAGAUAUUACUCAUAAAAAUAGAACAACCAUUAUUCUCUGACUUAAAUGAGUAACCGUCUCGCAAUAAACAAGAUCCAGAUAUAAUGUUCAUGCUUAACGCAUGCACUAAAUAACAAUUAUUUAAGUUCAUAACUAAUCGUGAUGGUAACUAAAGUGAGACUGUGCCGACGGCGAUUGCAUCAUCCUUGGAACCAUUUCCUACGCGCAUCGUCACUUCAUCCUUCGCCAACCUUCGUUUAUUCUGCAGUUCCUGCUUCGAGUUGCAAAUAUGAGCAACAGAACCGGUAUCAAAUACCCAGGCACUACUACGAGAGUUGGUUAGGUACACAUGAAUAACAUGUAUAUCACAUAUACCUGGUUUGGCGUUGGUGGCCUUCUUAUCAGCCAAAUACUUGGGGCAGUUGCGCUUCCAGUGACCCAUCCCCUUGCAAUAAUAUCACUCUGUUUCUGGCUUAGGUCCAGCCUUGGUUUCUUCGUCGGAUUGGCAACAAUUUUGCUGCUCUUCUUAGAGUUACCCUUCUUGCGUUUGUCGUUUCUCUUAAAACCAGUGGUCUUAUUGACCAUCAACACUUGAUGUUCUUUCCGGAGUUCUAACUCUACAACUUUCAGCAUCGCGAAUAACUCGCCCGGUGACUUGUUCAUCCCUUGGAUGUUAUAGUUCAACACAAAGAUCUUAUAGCUAGGUGGGAGUGAUUGCAAAAUUCUGUCAGUGAUAGCCUCUUGCAGGAGUUCAAUCCCCAGCUCAGCUAGACAGUUUGAGUACCCAGACAUUUUUAGCACAUGUUCACUAACAAACAAAUUCUCCUUCAUUUUGCAAGCAUAGAAUUUAUCGGAGGUCUCAUACCUCUGGAUCCGGGCGUUCUUCUAAAGGAUAAACUUCAACUCCUGGAACAUCUCAUAUGCUCCAUGAAAUUCAAAGCGUCGUUGAAGUCCCGGUUCCAAGCCAUACAAGACUGCACAUUGAACUACUGAGCAGUCCUCCUUACGUGAUUGCCUAGCGUUCAAAACAUCUUGGUCAAACGUAGCGGGUGGUUCAUCUCCUAGCGCUGCAUCAAGGACAUAAGUCUUUUUCCUAGCUUGUAGGAUGAACCUUAGAUUAUGAGCCCAGUCUACAAAGUUGCUACCAUCAUCUUUCAGCUUAGCUUUCUCUAGGAACGUAUUGAAAUUCAGGGUUGCUACUGCGUGAGCCAUUGAUCUACAACAUAAAAUAUUGCAAAGUGGACUUAGACUAUGUUCAAGAUAAUUUAGAGUUUAACUAAUCAAAUUACUAAUAAAAUCCCACUCAAAUAGACAUCCCUCUAGUUAAUUGAGUGUUAUGUGAUCCAAAUUCACUAACUCAAGUCCGAUCAUCACGUGAGUUGAGUAUAGUUUCAAUGGUAAAAAUCUCUAUGCUAAUCAUAUCAACUAUACAAUUCAUGCUCGACCUUUCGGUAUCUUGUGUUCGAGGCCAUGCCUGUACAUGCUAGGCUCUUCAAGUUUAACCCGAGUGUUCCACGUGUGCAACUGUUUUGCACCCGUUGUAUGUCUACCUUGAGUCUAUCACACCCGAUCAUCACGUGGUGUCUCGAAACGACGAACUAUCGCAACGGUGCACAGUCGGGGAGAACUCAAUUUUAUCUUGAAAUUUAGCGAGGGAUCACCUUAUAAUGCUACCGUCGUUCUGAGRAAGAUAAGGUGCAUAAAAGKAUUAACAUCACAUGCAAUUCAUAAGUGACAUGAUAUGGCCAUGAUCCUGUGCUUCUGGAUCUCUAGCACCAAGCACCGGCAUGAUCUUCAUCGUCACCAGCGGCACCCCAUGAUCUCCAUCAUCAUGAUCUCUAUCAUCGUGCCGCCAUCGAGGUUGUCGUGCUAUCUAUGCUAUUAGUACUAAAGCUACAACCUAGCAAUAUAGUAACCGCAUCUGCAAGCACAAACGUUAGUUCAAGGACAACCCUAUGGCUCCUGCCGGUUGUCGUAGCAUCGACGUGCAAGUCGAUAUUUAACUAUUACAACAUGAUCAUUUCAUACAUCCAAUAUAUCACAUCAUGUCUUUGGCCAUAUCACAUCACAUGCAUACCCUGCAAAAGCAAGUUAGACGUCCUCUAAUUUGUUGUUGCAUGUUUUACGUGGCUGCUACGAGUAUCUAGUAUGACCGCAACUUACUUAAGCAAAGACACAACGGUGAUAUGCAAAUUGCUAUUUAACCUUUCUCCAAGGACCGUCUCGGUAAAAUCUGAUUCAACUAAAGUUGAUGAAACAUACACCCGCGAGUCAUGUUUAUGCAACAAGUUGCAUGUUAGUCGAUGAAACCAGUCUCUUGUAAGCGUACGAGUAAGGUUGGUCCGGGCCGCUUUAAUCCAACAAUACCGCCGAAUCGAGAAAAGACUAAGGAGGGCAGCAAAUCGUACAUCAACGCCCACAAAAACUUUUGUGUUCUACUCGAGAUUACAUCUACGCAUGAACCUAGCUCAUGAUGCCACUGUUGGGGAACGUUGCAUGGGAAAAAAAAAUUCCUACGCACACGAAGACCUAUCAUGGUGAUGAUCAUCUACUGGAGGGAUAUCGGAUCCACAUACACUUGUAGAUCACUAAGCGGAAGCGUUAAUAAACGAGGUUGAUGUAGUGGUACGGCUUCACGAUCCGUCCCACGAACCGUCCCACGAUCCCUCCAUGAACGUUCUCAAGAUCCCUCCCACGAUCCGUCCCGAUCAAGUGCCGAACCGACGGCACCUCCGCGUUCCGCACACGUAUAUCUCGAUGACGAUCUCCACCUUCUUGAUCCAGCAAGAAAGGCGGGGAUGUAGAUGAGUUCCCCGACAGCGUGACGGCGCUCUGGUAGUGGUGGUGAUCUAUUCCUGCAGGGCUCCGCCCGAGCUCCGCAGAAAACCGAUCUAGAGGAAGAACUACGAUCUAUAUGAGAGGGCAGCACGUGGCAAAGUUGUGUCUCAAACAGCCCUAAACCUCUAGUAUACAUAGGAGGAGGGAGGGGCAGGCCUUCCGCCACAAGGGAGGAGCCCUUGGGCCGGCCGAAGUGGAGGAGGGAGGAGUCCUCCUCCAACUCCACUUGGAUUAGGACUCCUUCCUUAAUUUCCCACCUCUUUUGGAUUUCUCACUUUUUCCUCAUGGGCUUUCCUUGGAUGACUUUGUCAGCCCAUUGUGCCUUAUUAGGCAUCCAAUAAACCCACGUGGACCCCUUGGGGCGUGGUGGGCUCACCCAGUGGGACCCCGGAACCCAUUCGUCACUCCCGGUACACUGCCGGCAAUGCCCGAAAACCUUCCGGAAUCCAAAUACCAACUUCCUAUAUAUCAAUCUUCGUUUCCAGACCAUUCCGGAACUCCUCGUAACGUCUGGGAUAUCAUCCGGGACUCCGAACAAAAUUCGGUCACCAACACAUAUAACUCAACUAUACUGAAAUGUCACCGAACCUUAAGUGUGCAGACCCUCCGGGUUCGAGAACUAUGCAAACAUGACCUGAGACACUCUCUGGUCAAUAACCAAUAGCAGGACCUGGAUGUCCAUAUUGCCUCCUACAUAUUCUACGAAGAUCUCUAUCGGUUGAACCUCUUUGUCAAGGAUUCAUAUAAUCCCGUAUACUAUUCCCUUUGUCCUUCGGUAUGUUACUUGCCCGAGAUUCGAUCGUCGGUAUCUCUAUACCUAGUUCAAUCUCAUUACCGGCAAGACUCUUUACUCGUUCCGUAAUACAAGAUCCCGUAACUAACUCCAUAGUCACAUUGCUUGCAAGGCUUAUUGUGAUGUUGUAUUACCGAGUGGGCCCCGAGAUACCUCUCCGUCACACGGAGUGACAAAUCCCAGUCUUGAUCCAUGCCAACCCAACAGACACCUUUGGAUAUACCUGUAGAGCACCUUUAUAGUCACCCAGUUACGUUGCGACGUUCGAUAACCCACAAGGUAUUCCUCCGGUUUCCAGGAGUUGCAUGAUCUCAUGGUAAUACGAACAGAUACAUUGACAUGCAGAAAACAGUAGCAAUAAACUGACACGAUCAUACGCUACGUUUAUAGUUUAGGUCUUGUCCAUCACAUUAUUCUCCUAAUGAUGUGAUCCCGUUAUCAAGUGACAACACUUGUCUAUGGUUAGGAAACCUUAACCAUCUUUGAUCAACGAGCUAGUAAACUAGAGACUUACUAGGGACAGUGUUUUGUCUAUGUAUCCACACAUGUAUUUGUGUUUCCAAUCAAUACAAUUAUAGCAUGGAUAAUAAAUGAUUAUCAUAAAAAAUAUAUAAUAAUAACUAAUUUAUUAUUGUCUUUAGGGCAUACUUCCAACAUCGGCUAACCGAUCCAAGUCCAAGGCGCCACCACCGACCACCAUUGGCCUUGUGAUCUGCCGGCAACAACAACGGUGAGCGUUUUUGGUCAUCCUGGGAUGCAGUGCACCAAAGAACGGAGAUGACCCUUAUCACUCUAGCCAUCCUCCGGUGAACGUCCCUAUACACAUCUAUCCGUGCGCACAAAUCAUUCUAGCCUUACACCGAUGCAUGAAGAUCUCUGUUGAAUUGUUUUUCGUCUCACACACUCUUCCGCGCCUUUCGUCGAAGCCGUUGCCCACAGCCUGGCUACCGCCGUCAGCCAAACAGGCUUUGCUUGGCUUGUUUUUUAAGAGAUGAGAUAUAGGCUUGUUUUUUUUCUUUUUUCCGGGGUAGAUAUAGGCUUGUUGAUGUGCCUAGGGGCUCCUUUUCCUUUCCUUCGAACGUUGAUCAACCUUUUUUCUUUAAACGCGGUCCCUUAAGGACCUAUUCACUAAAAUAGGUUGAAGAGAAUUGCCGAGUUAAUUAACGAAAAACCGGGUGAAAUCGGAUACAACACGCCCGAAAAAACAAGGCCCACUGGGUGACUUGGCAACCCACACAUGUUUUCGAAGAGACAAGCAUCGAAGCCUGCGCCGGCGAAAGCCAAACAGUACACCGCACACACGGACAACCAGGCAGCUCCGACUCCAACCACGAGCAUUACAGGAAAAAAGCAUUAGACCCGCGACGAGCCGGUACCACAACCGACCAUCCGUCUCAUGUCAUCGUCACCGCGGAGACACCUCCUCUGCAGCUCCGACUUCAGGAAGACAAGUGAGGCACAGAAAUCCCUCGAACACGCCGGAAGAGAUCGACUACCAAAGCCCAACAGCAAACCAACUCCCCCGCAGCCACCAUCGUUGCCACCGAAUAAGCUGCACUGUAUCACCAUUGCCGGACGAACACCUGUCGAACGCAAUGUCGCGCGCGUCCAGCCCAAGGAGCGCGCAAACGAGAUCCAAAGCUCUUCAGGAUGAUGCCCCAAAGAAGGAAGCGACGAUGUCGACACCGUCGCCCGACCCGACUGGGCCUUAGGCUUUCACCCGAAGAGCUAGAACCGAGGGCGUGUACGGGGUGGACUCCACAAUGACUCCUCCAUGGAGGUAUCACAACAUCCACGGACGUCGACGCCGCCGGCCGGUAAGACCGGCGAACUUUCGCGCCGAGCACCGCCAAACACCACACCCACACGCAAAGCACCGCACCGCUAACCCGCACACCUCCCACGAAGUCAUCACGACAUGACAAGAGAAGCUAGUAGAAACCUCAUCGAUGACCAGAGACACCAUCGAGCCCGAGCCAGCCGAAAACGACCAGAUCCGGUAUCCCACCGCUGGUGCAACACCCGGAAGUCCACCAAAGACUGACACGUCGUUGGACAACGCAAAAAUGAGCCCUAUAUAGCAGGAAGGGGAGGGCCGCACACGCCCCGACUCGUCGGAGAUGUGCGUCCGGGCCUAAGAACCGAAGCCCGCGGACGAAGCAAAAGUGGCUGCCACCCACGAGAGACGCUGCUCGGAGCCGAAGGAGCCAUAGGGACGAGUCCGAGAGGCCAACCUGCACUGUUGCCGAGGCCACUGGCCCGCCUGGAGCCGCCUAGCCGCGCAACCGGAAGGGGAUCGAACCACCGCUACGUCGAGCUCCCACCGCCAGACAAGGAGAGAUGACCCCGUCGCACGCCGCGCCCUGCCCUCCCCCGUCGCGACGACCCCGACCGCGACGACCCACGCCGGAGAAGCCUACGCGAGCGCCGCGUCGAACUCCCGAAGGAGCGGACGGCCCACGCUGUCCAAGUCCGAUCUGGAGGAGGGGAGGGCCCUGCUGCCGCCGAGCCACGCGGGCUUUGCCCGGCGACCCCGCCGGCGACGGCAAGGAGAGGAGGGGACAUGCGGGACGGCGCUGGCGACGGCUAGGGUUCACUCCCUGGCCGCCGGUGGGAGCGACCUGGAGGUGGGUGGGUGUGUUUCGUCGUUGAUCAACAUUAUUUUCCUGCUUCCAUAAAUCAAUGAACGCGAGCAAGUCUGGAUCUUUCAAAAAUAAAAACCGGGCCCAUUUUUAUCAAAUUCGGCAGAUACAUCUCUCAGGCCGAUCAUAAAGAAAAGUUUUAGCUUUCAGUAAACGUUUGCUUCCCGUUUGAGCUGACGCUUAGCUGCAUGUUUAGUUGUGAUAUGGGAUCACGCCAUGUUGAAUGUGAACAGAUUUUGUCGAACCAAGUUUAUAUAUGAACGAAUACAUUCGGGGAUGAGCUGUCUCUCUUACUGAUUGCUCAACUAUACAUAAACACAAUCAAUAUUUUAUUUUGUAUUAUCACAAUGAUAAGGGAAACAAUAACACACAACCAUCGAUCAUUCUUAACAACCCGUACGAUCGAUGCACUAAACGUAAGCAACUAUUGUGCGCACGCAAAUUUAAAAACCUCUACCGGCAAGCCGGCAUCGGUCAAGCCGUCGGGUAGAAGGGCGAGGUGGCGAGGGCACAUGUGCCCGUCGGCCCGACAACGUCCUUGGCGAGGUAGAUGUAUCCCUGGUCGCCCCAAUCGUUGCUCCACGAGUUCUUGGCUAUCCAAAACUUCUCACCGAACUCCUCGCAGUAGCCGACAAUGGUGACGGCGUGGUUGACCCUCGCGGCGUCGGAGGAGCAGGGGCCCCGGAAGAUGCCGCCGGAGUAGAACUGGAACUCCCACGUGCUGGC
rnacentral:lncRNA from 1 species